UUUUACUAGUUUUGCUAGAAAGGGUCAAUGCAAUUUUUAAUUCUCGUGUAUGUUAACUUUGCUUUCCAGCAUGACCCUCUUCCACAACAACCAAAGUCAGAACAGCUUGAAAAGCUGAAGGUAUUGAAGGUCAUGUUGGAGCGCUUGAUAACAUUCUUACAGGUCUCUAAAAACAACAUCACGCCUAAUUUCAAGGAGAAAUUGGGUUUCUAUGAGAAGCAGAUUGUAGGUUUUCUAAACCCAAGCAGAUACAGGAAGCCUAUUCCUAAUCUACAGCAAGGACAACCUCCCCAACCUCGUAUUCAACCUAUGCAGCAACCCCAAUCUCAAGUUCCUCAAUUGCAGUCCCAUGAAAAUCAACUGAUUCCCCAGUUGCAAUCAAUGAAUACGCAAGGUUCUGUACCACAGAUGCAGCAGAACAAUAUGUCAAGCUUGCUGCAUAAUUCCCUUUCAACUUUAUCUGGGGAUUCGACGUCACAAUCAAACAUGAUGAAUCCAAUACAACCAGGCUCCAAUUUAGAUUCUGGACAAGGAAAUGCACUGAGCUCAUUGCAGCAGACACCUGUAGGAUCUGUACAAAAGAAUCUCGUGAGCAUUUCCCAACCAACCAAAGUUAACACAUUGUCAACACAAAGUGGGGCGAGUAUGCUGCAGCCAAAUAUUCCCCUUCAGUCGAAUUCCAAUAUGAUUCAACACCAGCAUCUAAAACAGCAGCAGCAGCAGCAUGAACAACAGAUGCUACAAACACAACAGCUUAAACGAUUGCAGCAACACCAGAAUUUAAUGCAGAAUCAACAGAUGCAGCAGCAGCAAUUACACCAGCAAGCUCCGUCUCCUAUGCCAGGAGAUUCUGACAAACCAGUUUCUGGUAUUUCCUCACUCUUAAAUACUGGAAAUAUUGUACACCAACCAUCUGUUGCACAAGCACCGGCUCCAUCCCUUGCAAUUGGCACUCCUGGGAUAUCUGCAUCACCUUUGCUUGCAGAGUUUACCAGUCCUGAUGGUGCUCAUGGCGGUGCUUUGACAACUGUUUCUGGCAAGUCAAAUGUUACAGAGCAAUCACUUGAGUGCUUGAUUAAAGCGGUUAGUGAUGCUCUCCUUUUGGUUUUACUCCACCCCACCCUUAUUUUGGAGGUUUCUGAAAAAGAAAGAAACUUCUUUGUGAAUGAGAUGGUGAUGCUGUAAUUUUUUUUCCCAGGUGAAAUCUCUGUCUCCCAAAGCACUUAGUGCAUCUGUCGGUGACAUUGGCUCCGUUGUCAGUAUGAUUGACAGAAUUGCUGGUUCUGCAGCUGGUAAUGGAUCUAGAGCUGCAGCUGGUGAGGAUUUGGUAGCAAUGACAGGAUGUCAUCUUCUUUCGUUUUUGUCUUUUUUAUUUUUCACGUGUUUCUCACAACAUGGGAACUCGAGGGAAUAAAAAGUGCUGGGAAGUAAUUUUUGUUGGAACGUCUUGUGUAACAUCUUCUUUCGAUGAUGACCUCUUGGAUGUUUUGGUGAUAUCUCUACAUCCAAAAUCAUAUAGACCGCUACUGCUGGCACUUGCAGUAGCCAAUGAGCACUGAUAUAUAUUGCAGAGUGAGAUAAGGUUAACUCGUUGCAUUUUCAUAAAUAAAAGGGAUUUCUCUUCUUUUCUUUGUCAAUUACAGUGCAUGUGUAAAAGUUUUCUUACUCAGAGUAAAUGCUAUUGUAAUGUUUUCACAGAGACUCCCCUGUUUUGCAACUAAUUCACUUCUGAAUAUAUCUGGGAAACAGAAAGGCAAUCAACAAAGAGUAAGGCAUCUUCUGAAGAAACAAAGAAAUUUAAUACCCUAAACUAAGCAGCAGGUAGAAGGCAAAAACUGAGCACAAAUUUUCAGGAAGGGACAAAAAAAAUAAAAAAGAAAGCAGAGAAAAAUACAGACUCAAAUUCAACAACACCCAUUUUCUUUCCAUUGGAACACUUUAAAUAGUUUAUUAAAUAAAGCAUAUAAAAAAAUCAACUUAAUGAUCAAUUCUCUAUAAUUUCGGCAUUACUAAAAACAUCCAAACUAAUAAACUAUUAGUUAUUAUAGUCAUUUUAAUAAACAUUUUAGUUAUGAAUUCACCAAACAUUUUGAACAAUUCAUAUUGAUGAAUUAACAUGUCAAUUUUAGAUUUUUUGACUUACUAGUUCCUUCAUGAAUUACUUCUAAAGCAUGCUAUAUAUCUCUAAGCAUUUUUAUAGAAUAUAAUUCUAUCAAAUUCACUUUUACCCAAUGUAUAAUAUAAAAUAUUCAUGGCUUUAACAUCCAUAAAAAAUAAUUUUUUAUCAUUUUAUGUAUAUUCACUUCUAGUUUUAGAAAUCUCAAUACCAUUUUCAAUUUUGAUAGGUUUAGGAGAUCUAUUUUGUACGGAUAGCCACAAAUUAAAAUCAAUAGAUUGACAAUAAACUAUCAUACAACAAUUUAUUACUUGCUCUUUGGUGAUAGGAAUGUGAUUGUAAUAUUAUUUUUCAAGCUUACUCAAUCUCUUAUUCUUGAUAGCAUAACCAAUAAUAAAUGGCGAGCCAAAAUUUAUAUGUUACUCUCUGUAAGAAUUUUGACUGCAUAAAUGUAAAAGAAAAUAGUUUUAAAAAGACUAAAAGUUUUCUUCAUUAUAAAAACCAUGUCAGAAUUGUCUCUUUUUAUAGGCAAUUCUGACACUUAAUUUUAAAAUAACUUUUAAGACAAAAGGUUACAAUUUUCUAGUUUAAAACUACACAAUUAUAUUUCAAGUAGAGUUUUAACAAACACAACUUUUCAUUCACACCUUAACAAUCCCUCCACAUGAUAAAAAUUGUUUGAUCAUAAUAAAAUACAAAGUAGACAUGAAAAUAAAGAGUAGGAGCGAAAAGUCAUUGCAUCGAGCAAGAUAACUUUUGGCCUUGAACCUUUCAUAGUUAAAACUAUUGGAUUCACUCGGCUAAUCAGCAAACAUGAUAUUUUGAGUUGUUUAGCCUUUUGUGAGAAACCAGAUAAUAUAGAUUACACAUUUCAUUUUCUUACAAUUUUGGUUCUCACGGUUGUGUUCAUUUUGGCCUCGAAUACGUCUUGAUUUCAAAGAGCUUUAAAGAAUUUGCAUUUUCAAUCCUGAUAGAAGUGGCCUUAUUUCACACUCACAUAUGUGAUUCUUAUUAAGAGUAUCAUGUAAUACCUCACUUGAAUUUCUCAAGCUAUAAAAGUCAUUAAAAGCUUAGCUUAUCCUAUUUUCAUUGCAGAUAGCACUUUAUAUCAUAUGAAUGGGUAAGAGGGCUAUUAUUAAAUGACAUGUGAUUUGGUUGCUUCUUUGAAUCUAGAUCCUGGGAUCUCCAGUAAACUAGGUUGGGUCGCUAUCAUGACAAUUCAUUGAACUGUGUCUUAAUCUCAUUCCCCUCGAUGAUUAUUGACUUGCUCUAUUGUUAAGCAUUUUAUUAGUAAAUUAAUGAUAUUAUCAUUUAACUUUACAUGGUUAAUAAAGAUAAUCUCAUUUUAGAUCAACUAUCUUACAAUAUUAACAAUUGUGUCAAUACUUUAUGUGUGUGUGUGUGUGUAAGCAUGGUUAUAUUUCAUAUCAGCAUCAUAAUAAUAGCAAAUGUGAAGUAUGUAUUCAAGCAAAGAUGACAAAGAAGCCUUUUCCUAAAGUAGAAAGGAAUUCUCAAUUACUUGAGUUGAUCCAUUCUGAUAUAUGUGAAAUAAAUGGUAUGUUAACAAGGGGUGGGAAAAGAUAUUUCAUAACUUUCAUUGAUGAUUAUUCUCGUUUUACCUGUGUUUCCUUAUUAAAAACUAAAGAUGAAGCCUUUGGAAAAUUCAAAGAAUUCAAGAAAAUGGUAGAAAAUCAAAAGGAAAGGCAAAUUAAAGUUCUUAGAAGUGAUAGAGGUGGAUAAUAUUUUUCUAAGGAGUUUUCUACAUUUUGUGAGGAAAACAAAAUAAUCCAUCAAAUGACAGCACCUUAUACACAACAUAAUGGACUUGCUGAAAGGAAAAAUAGGACCUUAAUGAAUAUGGUCAAUGCCAUGCUUUUGAAUGAUAAAUUACCAAAUAAUUUAUGGGGUGCAGUCUUACUUACUACAUGUCACAUUCAUAAUAGAGUACUAUUUAAAAAAUCAAAUGUUUCUCCCUAUGAAGCAUGGAACGGUAGAAAAUCAAAUCUGAAUGAUUUUAAUGUGUGGGGGUGUGUAGCUUUUUGUAAAAGUUCUGAUCCUCAAAGAACAAAAUUAGGACCCAGAGGUCUUAAGAGUGUUUUUGUUAGUUAUGCACAAAAUUCAAAGGCUUAUAGACUUUUGGAUUUAGAAACUAAUGUGAUUAUUGAAUCUAUACAUGUUGAAUUUAUCAAAAAUAAAUUCAUAAGUGAUUCAAAUGUGUAAGAACCAAAUCUAAAAGUAAUGACUCCUAGCUCAACAUUAAGUGAAAAAUAUAAAAACCUAGAAGUAAUAGGUUCAACUGAACCUAGAAGAAGUCAAAGAGUUAGAAAGGAAAAACACAUAUAUACAGAUUUUAUUUCUACUUAUUCAAUUGUAUUUUUAGUGGAAGGUGAUAGAAAUACAAUAUUAAAAAAGACACCUAUGAUCUUAAAUAUGGAAGAUGAUCCAAAGACAUUUGGUCAAGCUAUGUCUUCUAGGGAUGUUGCUUUUUGGAAAGAAGCGGUAAAUGAUGAAAUGGAUUCAAUAUUGUCUAACAAUACUUGGGUCCUAGUAGAUUUACCUCCAGGUUCUAAGCUAAUAGGAUGUAAGUGGGUGUUUAGAAGAAAAUACAAUACCGAUGGUUCUAUACAAACCUUCAAGGCAAGAUUGGUUGCCAAAGGUUUUACUCAAAAGGAGGGUGUUGAUUAUUUUGACACUUAUUCUCUGGUGGCAAGAAUUACAUCAAUUAGAGUUUUAUUUGCAUUAGCAUCAAUUUAUAAAUUGUAUGUUCAUCAAAUGGAUGUAAAGACGGCUUUCCUAAAUGGAGAUUUAAAGGAGGAAGUGUAUAUGGAGCAACCUGAGGGUUUUAUACUUCCUGGAAAUGAAGAAAAAGUCUGUAAAUUGAUAAAGUCUUUAUAUGGUUUAAAACAAGCUCCGAAACAAUGGCAUGAAAAGUUUGACAAAGCAAUUUUGUUGAAUGGUUUUCAUCACAAUGGUGCUGAUAAGUGUAUGUAUUCCAAAUUUACAAAAUAUUUUGGUGUGAUUAUUUAUCUCUAUGUAGAUGACAUGUUAAUAUUUAGCACCAAUAUGAUUGGAAUUGUUGGAACCAAAAAGUAUCUCACUUAUAUCUUUAAAAUGAAAGAUCUUGGUGAAGUAGAUACAAUUUUAGGUAUCAAAGUUAAGAAACAUGGUAGUGACUAUGCACUUAAUCAGUCAGAUUAUAUUCAGAAAAUGCUCGAUAAGUUUAAGCAUCUCAAUAUAAAGAAGGCUAAUACCCCAUUUGACUAUAGUAUGAAGUUAAAUGAUUAUUAUGAUAAAGCUGUAUCACAACUAGAAUAUGCUAGUGCCAUUAGAAGUCUUAUGUAUGAUAUUCAUUGUACAAGACCAUAUAUAGCUUUUGCUAUAUGCAAGUUAUCAAGAUAUAUAAGCAAGCCGAAUACAGAUCAUUAGAAGGCUAUUGCAAGAGUCUUUGGUUACCUAAAAAGAACAAUCAAUUGAGGUCUAUUUUAUUCUGAUUUUCCAGCUGUGAUGGAAGGAUAUAGUGAUGCAAGUUGGAUGACUAGUUCAAAUGAUAAUAAGUCCACAUCAUGAUGGAUUUUCUCACUUGGAGGAGGUGCAAUAUCUUGGGCAUCUAAGAAACAAACAUGCAUCUCUCAUUCUACCAUGGAAUCAUAAUUUAUUGUUAUGGCUGCUGCAAGUAAAGAAGUAGAAUGACUAAGAAAUAUGUUGUUUGAUAUUAAGUUGUGGCCACAACCUAUGUCAGCUAUUUCUUUAUACUGCGAUAGUGAAGCAACUAUGUCUCGAGCUUAUAGUAACAUUUACAAUGGUAAGUCAAGACAUAUAAGCAUUUGACAUGGAUAUAUUCGAGAGUUGAUUACAAAUGGUGUAAUCACCAUUGUCUAUGUGAAAUCUAUGAAUAAUUUAGCGGAUCCGCUCAUAAAAGGACUAUCUAAAGACAUGGUACGAAAAAUAACUAAUGGAAUGGGGUUGAAACCUGUUUUUAAAGAUACCAGUAAUAGGAACCCAACUUCGGAUCAACAAGAAGCUUAUCUCUUAGUUUAAUGGGUAAUAAUAAGUUACUGUUUUGUAUAUGUUAGACACUGAUAAUUAAUUUGAGUCCCUAUUCUGAUAGUAUUCAGUGUAUUCUAUUACAUAAAGGAGGAUGAGCAUAGGCUCUUCAUGGAAUUUGAAGUUCGUGUCUAAUGUAAUAGAGACAUGUAUAAUUCCACCUAUAUGAAUAUAAAAGUGAUGCCGCUUUUGACAAGAGUUAGGGUUUUUUCUUGUAAAUAUUCAUAAAAAAAAUUAAAAUUAAGAUUUUAGCACAUGACCAUAAUAGUGCUAAACAGUUGUAAACCUCUUUAAGAGUUUGGAUAGUAUUAUGUGUGUAGUAUCUUUUAUUCUACAACAAAAGUUUUGGUUUAAUCUGCGGACACCAAUAACUUUAGUAGGAUUCAAGUUCUAACACUAAUUGAAGUUUUAAAAUGCAAAAUACCUUCUUGUAAGCAUAAUUCUAUAAAGUGAAAAGACCUUCAUUACAAACUAGUGGGGGAUUGUUGGUGUAGUUUGUAAAUGAAUAAAGAAAAGAUGUUUAUCUCACAUUGGAAAGAAACACUCCCUCCUAAUGUUUCUAUGUGUGGGUUUCUAUUGUGUAGUAAAUUAAGCCAUGGUGGACAAACUCUCCUAUUUGGCUUUCUAAUGUUAUUAUAUGGAUAUUUAUAAUAUCAAAAAAUAGCAUUUGGAACUUGAAACUUGGAUCUUAAUAUGAACAGUCAUAUUGUUUCAUCAAUAGUCAUAUUGUUUGAUGAACAGUCAUAUUGUUUCAUCAAUAGUCAUAUUGUUUGAUGAACAAUCAUACUGUUUCAUCGUUAUGUUUUAAGUCUAUAAAAGCAUGUUACUAUACAGAAAAGAGGCACAACAAAAAACAUACAUUCUUUUCUUGGUCUUAUCUUCUCAUUCUUUUAGAGGUUUAGAGGGCUUAGUUGUAUCCUGGAGGUAUUGUCUCUAUGUGGGACAAAUAAACACCUUAAAAAUAGUGUUUUCACGCCUCUAAGCCAACUCCAUAUUUGUUUCCAUCCUAAACAUUCAUAUCAAGAAACAUUGCGCCACGCCUGCUAAACGUCCACGAAAGAGUCGCCGACCGUUAUUCCCGCAUUAAAGUCCAUGCAUGGUCGCCUCAUUAUCUGGAGACGACCGCAUGGCAUUCUCUGGCUAUAAAAACCAGAGAAAGGCCAUGACAAAGAGGAGGGGGGGACAAAACAAAAGACAGGAGAAAAGAGGCAGGAGAGAGAGAGAGAGAGACCGAGAGAGAGGGGGCCGAAAACACAAACCAGAGAAAAAAAACCGGAGGAGUAACCCAGGGAAGAACACAGAAAAAACCAGGGGAACACUGGAGAACAAAUGAGACAGAAAUAGAGAGAAAUUGCUAGCCAACGCAUGAGCACCAACUAGCCUCGUCUCCGGUUGCACCACCCCCUGAAUAGACGGACGCGAAGGAGAACAGGGGAGUAAACGAAGAGAGGACAUAACACCGGGAAACCGAAAACUGAUAGAAAACCAGAAGAAAAGGAAGAACCACAGAGAGACGAACAACACAGGAGCUGAGAACGAACGAAAAAAAGAGAGAGAGAAGACAGAGAGAAAAAGCAGAGGCGUAAGGUGAAACAGAGAAGAACGACCAGAAAUAAACCAAAAGAAAACAGAAGUGAAGGGGAAGUUUUGGCCAGCCACCACACCUUCUUCGUCAUCCAGACCAGGUAAGUUCUCUCUUCUUCGUAAUUAUAAUUACAUAGGUAUUGUACAUAUGCAAAUUUAAUUCACUACUAUAAUUCACCGGUUUGUGCAUGCACGCGUGAAUCAGUUCACACAUGCCUGUUGUCCAGCUGGGUCACUGGCUUGGGUCAGUGACCAGGCUGGGCUGCUGGGUUUAGCCCAGCCUGACCGAGCUGAGCUGGAUCUAGCCCCCAAAAAAAAUUUAAAAAGGAAAAUAUAAAAAAAAACUAGGCAUGGGCCUCGGGCCUAGGUGGCCUAAUCCCCUUUAUUUAAGUCCCUUUUAUUUUGAUAUUCAACCAAAAUGACCAACUUUUCCCUCAUAUUGUUUUUAGGGUAUUUCACUGUAUAUUUGAUCUGUAGAUUUUUACUGCGAAAUUCGGUGUACGAUACUUUUUUUUUAAAAAAAUAUGCAUGCAUAUAUUUAAAUUCAUUUUAUUGGUUUAUUCACCAACGCUAGAGUCAGGAAUACAAUUUAUUUUGUUUUUGCUACGUAAUAUUUAUCAAUGCCAGAGUUGGAAGUAUCUGUAGUCGAAUAUUCACUGACGCUAGAGUCAGGAAUAUUACAAGCAAACCAUCAUAGCAUAAAUCAACAAACUCUUAAUAAUUUAAGACAAAACCAACAAUGCAGCUUAUCUCAGGUAGGGUGUGCUAGGGGUGUUAAUAUCUUCCCUACCCAUAACCAGUCUUGUACCAUAAAAUCUCUAUUGACUAGUUAGGGUUUCUAAUGACCAUAAUACUAGGUGGCGUCUCCUUAAACCAAACCUUUUUCCCAUAAAAGAACAAGAUGCCAGAAAUCUGUUCUUUUCAAGAAUUUUUAAGGUCAUCGCGAUGUCGGGUGCGACAAUACCCAAAACAAUUGCCUUGCUAAUGGGGAUAAAGUUGUCUUUCUUAAGGGAUCUAAAAGUUAUUUGUAUAUUGAUUGGGGAUAAUUUAGUAGGUUCACUCCUUUUUUCAUAUUAAAACUACAUCAUUGCCCUUGCAAUAAAAAAACAAGUGGCCUUUUGUUUUGGGUCUAUUUUGUCUUUUCUAUUUUAUUUGCACAAUAAAAUGACAUCAAUACCCUCGAGAGUUCAAAAAUAUUGACACUUGACGAGAGGUAUUUUUUAGUCUUUUUCAUGUUUUGUGUACUGUAAAAUGACAAAGUUAACCUUAGAAUAAAAUAAAUCUAAAGCUAGUGUGGGAUAACAUUUUCAUCUUUGCAAUAUAGCUUUUUGUAAUAUUUAGAUGCUUUUAGGGGCUAUUUAGUAAUUUAAAGUAUUGAAAUAUUAAUAAAUCAAUAAAAAAGCUGACAUAUGCGUAGCACGUGUCAGCGCGUGAUAAUCCACCACGUCAUUCAGGAGACUAAUAAACUAACCUAAACUCGUUCUUGCCCAACAGCGAGCCACAAACAAUACUCUUUUGAAUAUUAGAAGCAUGAACCACAUUGUUCAUAAUCGACUCUUUCAUAAAUGUCAUCCUUAACAUCACCUUUUUCUGGCCUAGGAUUUUGCACACUAAGAGCCUAUUUGACGUUGCAGUUGAAUCGUUGUUUUUCCAUUUUGAAAAAAAUUAUUCUUGCUUCAAUUGUUUUUGCGUUCUUGGAUUGUUAUGAUGUGUUAAUGUUAAAAAUGAAUUAAAAAAUAUAUUUUGAUACAUUUCCAAGUAAAAAACACUUUACAACGCAACCGCUACCACACUUUUAAACAAUCACUAAGAAGUUAUCCAGGAAUAAUUGUUCUCCAUUUGCAGUUGUUGCAUACUCAAAAAAAUAUUAUGUCAAAACAUACAUGACAGGUGGCUCCAAUAUCAAUCCACCACUUUUUAAGAUUGUGCACCAGGUUUGCUUCUGACAUAACUACAACAAGCUUUGCAGCUUUCUCAUCAACAUUCUCAAUGAUUUUGUUUUGUGCAUUUUUUCCUUACAGAUAUGCCUUUGCUUUUUACAAACAAAACAAGUUUCUUUGAACUUCUUUUUGCCGACACUAUUACCAUUAGAACUCUUGAGAGAACUUGCUUCAUAUUUAAGUUCACCAGGUUAAGAAUGUUUAGGAAUCGGGUUUGCCAUCGAGACCGCAAAGAUUACCAGGUUAAAUUAUUUUGGUUUUUUCCCCGCAUGAUAGAAUGUUUAGGAAUCGGGUUUGCCAUCGAGACCGCAAAGAUUACCAGGUUAAGAAGUACAUUGAAAUUAUUAACAAUAGAUUUAUCCAUUUAUUAUCUCAAUAACAAGAUUAACUUUAUAAUUAUAUAUCACACUUAUAUAAUCUGAAAUAAUAUUAAUUAAAAUGAAUCCCAAAAAUUUAACACACUAAUUCUGCAAAAAACAAAUUUAAUAAACAAUUUAACUUUGCAACUAUGUAUUUAUUUAUUUGUUUUUCUAUGAGACUCAAUUUUUUUUUUAAUAAUCAUCAAGAGUAUAUUGAAAAGGCCAUAAAGCCAAUAGACAGUGAAAUUUUUAACAGAAACUCAAUGUAAUUUUCAACAAAAACUAUAACAAUACAAAUAAUUACAAAUAUUUUUCUUUCAACAUCAACAUAAGAAAACAAUAUGCACUCUUCUAAAGUUAUGAUAAAAAAAAUCUGAUUGAUACUUAUGUUGUUUUAUGAUUAAAGUAACAAUAGCAUCUAAAGAGAAUGAAUUAGGUGUUGCACUAAUUAUGUCAAAAUAAUGCAAGUAAACACACUAAACACAUAUAACACAAAAACCAACAAUAUAAUUCAAGUGCUUAAAGUAAAUAUAUAAGAAAAAAGAGAUUGCAAACUCGAUUUUUAACGUGAUUCGGUAAGCUUACAUCCACAUCUCAAGUACUAAUCAUACUUAAGUAUUGUACUUUUUUACUAAUCCAAGUGAAAGAUACAUUGCCCUUGAUGAAUUCACACCAAGAAAUUACACCACUUGAUGAAUUUUUCUCUUUAAGAUUUUUCUCCUAGAAUUCCGGUUAAAUAGAAUUGCACUUAAUAUAUAUUAUUUCACCAUAAUUAUUAUCCAGAUAUGCAACUUUUUUUCUUUCCGAUCAUCUGUUUUCUUUUUUUCAUAUCAAUACAACAACAAAGGAAAAUACCAUGCAAUAUAAAAUGUAUUUCCCUGUAGAAUCAAUGCAACAAGUUUACAGACAACAGACGACAAGGAAUUUAACAUAGUCAUGGAAUUUAACUGAAGAUAUAUACACUUUACUUUCUCUAUUAAAAUUAAACUAUUUUUUUUAAUCUAUGUCAAUAUAUAAUCAAUUUGGUCUUGAAGAUAUAUAAAUAUACACAGAACAAAUAUGUUAGAAAAUAAAUUGUUUAAGAUUGUUAGAGCACCUUAAAUAGUUCAUAAAAUUAUUCUUCCCUUUUACUAUAAUGAUGAAGUACAAGGGUUGUUGAUGAUGACCUCUUGGAUGGCUACAUGAAGCUUGUUCCGUUUUAAAUUUCAAGGUUAAUCUAUUGCUAUGAGCAUACGUGUCUCAAUUUAAAACUCGAGUUGCAACUGAACUUAAAUGAAUGGUGUUGGAUUUGGGCCUUCUAUUUGUUUUAACUUCUACAGGGUUGAAAUGAUAGUGAUCUUAAAGUAGAAAAGCAGCAGACAAAAAUCAAUUAACCACAAUGGUGCAUGGUUUCCUAGUUUCUCAGCAUAAAGUUGAAUGUUUUGUUGACCUUUCUACAUCAAAAAUCAUAUAGACAGCUACUGCUGGCACUUGCAGUGGCCAAUGCAUACUGUAGAGUAUAUAUUGCAGUGUGAGAUAAGGUUAACUCGUUGCAUUUUCAUAUAUUGAAAGGAUUUCUCUUCUUUUCUUUGUCAAUUACAGCACAUGCAUAGAAGUGUUCUUCCUCAGAGUAAAUGCUAUAGUAAUGUUUUCACGGACUCCCCUGGUUUGCAACUGAUUCACUUAUAUAUCUUGGAACAUAGCCAUAAAUGAAAGGUUCUUCUAGUUCAAGAAAAUUAACCAUGAAGCUCGUAACUAGAAUUUUUAGACAGAAGGGUGGCCAAGCGAACUCCUAUACUCCGUACGUCUGGAAUAAUACAGGGAAAGGGUGUUUAUGUAUUUUGAUGUCUUAUAUUACUUGACCAACUCUUGCUUAUCUCAUUAUUUGUUUUAAUUUUUUGCUAAUAAUUCCACACAUUUCUGAUAUGGUGUGGUUUUUGAGUUCAGGGUUCUUGCUCAUUGCUGCUAACUUCUCUAUACUUGCCUGGUCAUUAAAAAUGAAACGUAAUGAUUUGCAUAUGCUGAAUGGAGACAUUAAAGAGGCAUCUUCUGUUUUCUGGUCAGGAGGGAUUACAAGAACUCAAGAAAUUUUCCAUAUGUUUUGAGGAAAAGAUUUAUACUACCACUACCAAUCAGGUAUUUGCCUAAUGUGAGGUUUAAUAAUUACGAUAUUAUCUAGACAUUAAUAUACACACGCAUUUAUGCUUGUACAAAUGUGUGUGUAGUGUGCCUACACUUCCUCACCGUUCAUUCUGUAUGCAAGGCUGAUUGGGAGUUCACAUUAUUUUGUUAAUUCUCUUGACAAGUGUUUUAUUUAGAGUGACCAAGUUCAAGUACAAGGGAAGAGUGCAAAAAGCAAAUAGCGAAUCAAUACAUAAAUAAUUAAAUAAAAAGAGAGGAAACAAAAGUAUAUCAUAGAGAAGAUGAAAUGAUAGAGCAUAUAUCCAUUUUCCUCCUCUUGUAACAUGGAUUGCUCUGAGAUCUGAUGUUUUGUUAUUAAUAUCUGAUUUCAGUCUGAUUAUAUAUCUACGAAAAAUAUCUCUGGAGAUGCUUUCGAUGGAGAUCAGGUCUCAAAAUGCCAUGCCCACUGUCCCCAUGGAUCCAGCAGGUAAUAAUGCACCCGAGCAUUGAAUUUCUAAACAUCUUACCUUUUGUUUUUCUUCUCACAUUGUUAUCAAACUCUUUUACAUUUUAUUGCUGUAUAUUGCUAUGUAUAUCGCCUUGCUAGAAAAAUCUCAUGAUCACCUCCACGAUGCUAAUUCUAUAAUGCAUGUGAAGUGUUUCAUCCUUAACUUGUUAAGAACAAGGACUAUGAUGCAUUGCUAUUUUAUAUUUUAUGAUUGAGAUGGUAGAUUUUAAAGAUUUUCCUGUUUAGGAGAUAAAAGUAAGAUGUCACUUUUUUGCUUUUCUUCCGAGAGAGUAUUUGAUCCUUUUUUCGUAUAAAAUAAUGCUGGCAUGCAUUGAAUUUCCAAACAGCUUAGCUUUUGUUUUGUUUGUCGCAUUGUUAUCAAACUCUUUUACAUUUUAUUGCGGUAUAUUGCUAUGUGUAGGGCAUGCUUUAAUCAAAAAGUUGAGUAAUUGAUGAAUGCUAGGCAUGAAAAUGACAUAUUAUUUUUGUUUUCUGUCUCCUCCUUUUCUUUCCCCCACCUCAAAAAUUGUCAUGUUAUUUUUGUUUUCAGCCGCCUCUUCUUCCCCAAACCUUUAAAAUUGUUUAUAUUUGCUUUGGAAGCAUGACAAACUUCAUUGCCUCUCAGCUUAAGGAGAUUGCAGCAGGUCUCGAAGCUUCUGGGCAUUAGUUUAUCUGGGUAGUUAGAAGAAACAAAAAGAGUCAAGAAGACAAGGAAGAUUGUUUACCUAAAGGAUUUGAGGAAAGAAUGGAAGGCAAAGGGCUAUUAUCAGAGGAUGGACACUCCAAGUUUUGAUUCUUGGUCAUGAAGCAAUAGGUGCAUUUGUGACUCAUUGAGGAUGGAACUCAACUCUUGAAGGCAUAAGGCAAAUAUUUGCUGAGCAAUUCUAUAAUGAGAAGUUGGUGACUGAUGUUUUAAAAAAUGGAGUUAAGGAAUGGCUUAGAGUGCAGAGAUCAUGUUAAAAGUGAAGCUGUAGAGAAGGCAAUCACUCAAAUUAUGAUGGGUGAAGAAGCAGAGGAAAUGAGAGAGAAGAAAGCUGAACAAGGGAACGCAGUAGAUGAAGAAUAUGAGUUUACUGCAUUUACUGUCAAGAAUACAAACGUGAGCACUAAAAACUAAUUUGUACAGGAUACUCUUUAUAUAUAGAGUAGUAAUUAACUUCAUCACUUAUUUCUUUCUAUGAAUACAAUAUUCCUUAUUUAUAUAUAUUGAUUUGUUUCUUAUAUGAGGUAGCUGUAGUUUCCUUCUAUGAAAGAUCUGCCAUGGCUGUAGUUUCCUUCUUUGAGAAGUAGCCGUUGGUUGAGGUAGCUGUUGAUUCCUGUGAUUUCCAUGUAUGGUUAAUUACCAUUCUGAAUAGUAGCCGUUGGAGGUGUUAAUUCAGAAUGGUUGCUGACGAGAGUGAGGAUCCUGUGGUGGUGCUGCUGCUGUCUCCUGCUGCUGCUGCAGAGGUGUGUUGUUGCUGUUAAUACCCUCCCUCAAACGUUGCCGAGGUUGGAGGCAAAGUUUGCGCUGAAAACGAAGAAGAGUAGCUUUGGACACCGGCUUAGUAAACAGAUCAGCAAUCUGAUGUGUAGUGGGAAUAUGAUGUGUAAUAAGUUUCCCAAGAGCUACGCGUUCGCGUAUAAAAUGAUAAUCAAGUUCAAUAUGCUUGCUGCGAGCAUGGAAAAUAGGAUUGACCGUCAUAUGGAGCGCACUGAGAUUAUCACAAUAGAGCACUGGUGGAGAUAGCAAGGGAAUGUGUAAAUCAUGAAGGAUGUAGGUCAACCAGGUAAGUUCUGCAGCCGUGUUGGCCAUAGCACGAUAUUCAGCUUCAGUGCUAGAGCGUGAAAUAGUAUGUUGUUUCUUGGCACACCAGGAGAUGAGAUUACAGCCAAGGAAGACACAGUAGCCAGUGGUAGAACGUCGUGUAGUAAGACAGCCAGCCCAAUCAGCAUCUGAAAAAGCAGAGAAAUUAAGAUUAGUAUUAGAAGUGAAGUGCAGACCAUUAUUAAUAGUACCUUGACAUAUCGUAAGAUACGGCGGACCAUUUUUAAGUUGACAGUUGUAGGAGCAUGCAUGAAUUGAGAGACAUAAUUAACACUAAAAGAGAGAUCUGGUCGAGUAAGGGUGAGAUACUGGAGGGAGCCAACAAGCCCCCGGAAGAAACUGACAUCCGCUAAAGGAGGAGCAUUGGAGGAGGCUUUAGUUCGUGCUUCAAGUGGUGUAGUCAUGGGUUUACAGUCAACCAUUUCAGCACGUUCUAGAAUUGUAAAGGCAUAAUGUGAUUGUGAUAAAUGAAGUCCAUUUGGCGUGGGCGAAAUUUCGAUGCCAAGAAAAUGAUGAGUAGGGCCUAAGUCCUUCAUGGCAAAUUCUUGACUGAGUAGAGUAAUGAAAUCUGCAACAAGUGUAUCUAUAGUUCCUGUAAGAAGUAUAUCAUCAACAUAAAGUAGGAGAAUAAGAGAACCAUGAUCAGAAUGAAAAGUAAAUAGAGAAGGAUCUGCCAAGCUGCAUAGGAAACCGUAUUUGAGGAGAAAGGAACUAAAACGAUCAAACCAAGCACGAGGUGCUUGUUUAAGGCCAUAGAGGGCACGUUGGAGCUUGCAGACAUGCUGUGGACGUUGAGGAUCUGAGAGUCCUGGUGGCUGUUCCAUGUAGAGAUUUUCAGAAAUCAAACCAUGUAGAAACACAUUUUUCACAUCAAGCUGCCGUAGGGGCCAAUGAUGAACAAGAGCUAUAGUGAUAAUUAGCCGAAUGGUGCCAGGCUUUACAACGGGAGAGAAUGUUUCAGUGUAGUCUAGGCCAUCAAUCUGGUGGUAUCCUUUGGCAACAACACGGGCUUUGAGACGCUCCAAGCUGCCAUCAGAUUUGAGUUUGGUUUUAAACACCCAUUUGGAACCUAUGAUAUGCAUAUCGGUGGUACGAGGUACCAAUUUCCAUGUCUGAUUUUGGUGUAAGGAUGUAAGUUCAUCCUCCAUUGCUGCUUUCCAUCCUGGAUGAGCUAGUGCAGCUCACACAGAUCGCGGUUCAUGCGGUAUUCCAGCAGAGAUGACAGAUGUUAAUGCAUACUUGGGAUUUGGUUUUAUGAUGCCAUGCUGGGACCGAGUGGUCAUGGUGCGAAGAGCUGAAGUAGAGGAAUUGGGAACAAACUCAUCUGCGGAGGCAUCACUACAAGGAGGUUGUGCAGCUUGGUGUAGCGCACGUUGUGAACGAGUAACCAUAGAGUGAGGAGCUGAAUUUGGGUGGUCUUGCUGCUGCAGAGUAGUUAAGUUCUCAGAGAGUGGUUGCUGGGAAAUAUCAGGGCAGAGAUUGUGGGCAAUCUCCUGCUGAGUGGGAGCUGCCACCUGCUGAAUAUCAUUCUCCGAACUAUGGUGUUGUAGUGAGGAAGAGGGUUCUAUAGAUGGAUCAGUGGGAGAACCAGAAUUAGAGAGAUCUGAUACGUGCAUGAAGAUACAUGCAAACCGCAACAAACCAGAAGGUGGCAGUAGCGCACGUGGUACGUGGAAGACACUUGGACGUGGAUCAUGCUUGGUCGCCAGAUUGUUAGUGGGGUUUGUUAUGGAAUUAGUCAUUCUCCAGUUAUUUUUAGUAUUAACAGUUAAUAAGGAUUCCUCGGAGGAUCCCUUGUUUGUUUCCCAUUUUCUAGAUAGUUUCCCAAAUUCUAGCAUUGUUUGUUAUUCAAUUCAUGUAUAAAAGGGCCUGGUGGCAUCCAAUAAAGGUAUCGAAAAUUAUCCAAUACUGUCUCCUCUCUUACUUCUCUGCUUCUCUUCUCACUCCCUAAAUUCAACCUAUCAGUGGUAUCAGAGCCAGGUUACACAGUUGUCAUGGAUACUCGCGGAAAAAGUAAUGCUGAAUUCCGGACUGAGGUCAAUGACGCCUUAGCUAGGCAUGAGUCUAGCUUUGAUCAGGUGAAUGCUGCCCUUCAAGCAGUAUUAACCGAACUACAAGCCAUCCGCACCCAAAAACACCCAAACACUAACCCUCCCGAAAUCAAUCCCUUUGCAUCAGAAUCAUCAUCCCAGUUACAUAGUUCUCGCAACCCAAACACCACUGGUCAAACACACUCCCACCUCAAACUCUCAUUCCCUCGUUUUGAUGGCAGUGAGCCCACAGGUUGGGUGUACAAAGCCGAACAGUACUUCGAAUUUCAGGACAUUGACUCGGCCCAGCAGGUCCAAUUGGCCUCCUUCCAUCUAGAUGGAAUUGCUCUCCAAUGGCACCGAUGGCUGACCAAGUUUCGGGGACCCCUUCUGUGGAACGAGUUCGUGCAAGCCCUUUUGCAACGAUUCGGACCCACAGACUACGAAGACCCAUCGGAAUCGCUCACUCGUCUCAGACAAACUACCUCUGUAGCAGCUUACCAAGAGGCUUUUGAGAGGCUCUCCCAUCAAGUUGAUGGACUACCGGAAGGUUUUUUAAUAGGAUGUUUUGUUGCAGGGCUGCGAGAUGAAAUUCGUAUUGAUGUCAAGAUUAAACAUCCCCACACACUGGCAGAAGCAAUUGGAGUUGCCCGACUGAUUGAGGAGCGCAAUCUACUGCAAAGGAAGACCCAUCUUCCAAUUCGGUCUUCUUCCAUGAAUUUACCCUCCAGGGCACCAGCAAAUUCAGUAGCUGGAGUGUUGGGACCACCCCCAUCACAAAGACCAAACCUAUCACCAACAUCAUUCCGGAGGAUCACCACUCAAGAAGCUCGGGAACGAAGGGAAAAAGGGGCUGUGUUUCUAUUGCGAUGAGAAAUUCAAGCCAGGCCAUCGCUGUGAACAACCACAAUUGUUUAUGAUCGAAGACAGCUCCAACACCAGCCUUGAUGAAGAAAUAACAGAUACUGAGGACAUCAUCAAUUCAGAGGACAUGCCCGAAAUCUCAUUCCAUGCUAUCGCAGGUGCUGAACACCCUCAAACCUUACGGGUGUUGGGUCAAUUGGGCAACAAAAAGGUGACCGUGCUCAUUGACGGAGGCAGCACGCAUAACUUCAUUGAUCAGGUGGUGGUAACCAAAUUUGGGAUACCCAUUAAUCGCAGCCAGCGAUUUCAGGUAAUGGUGGCUAAUAGAGAGAAAAUCACUUGUACUGGGCAAUGUCAGAGCCUCACAUUAAUCAUUCAGGGCAUAGCCAUCACUGCCAAUUACUGUGUUCUACCGGUCAUGGCUUGUCAAGUGGUACUGGGUGUGCAGUGGCUUGAGACACUGGGUCCGAUUGAAAUGGAUUUCAAAAAGCUCACUAUGAGCUACAAAACGCAUGGAGAGAAACACACCUUUUACGGGUUGAAGCACACGGGUCAUGCUGCCUUCACAGAGAAGGAGUUUCAUGGGUUACAAGGGAAUGGAUUCUUCCUUCAAAUCAUUCCCUCACAUCCCAUCAUUGACAGUAGCAGCCAUCCACCGGAGCUUAAGGCCCUUCUAUCCGAAUUCUCGCAGGUGUUUGAGGAGCCCACGGGUCUGGCUCCCCAGAGAGCCAAAGACCACCACAUACCUCUACAACCCAAUUCUGGCCCAGUAAGUGUGAGACCCUACCGCUACCCGUAUUACCAGAAAACCGAGAUAGAAAAAAUGGUGCAAGACUUGUUGAAGUCUGAAUUGAUACGCCCCAGUAAUAGCCCAUUCUCCUCUCCUGUUUUGCUAGUCAAAAAGGCGGAUGGGGCUUGGCGUUUUUGUGUGGAUUAUCGCGCUUUGAAUGAAAUCACCAUCAAAGACAAAUAUCCAAUUCCCGUAAUUGAUGAGCUCCUAGAUGAGCUGCAUGGGUCUCGUUACUAUUCCAAAUUGGACCUACGAUCCGGCUAUCACCAAAUCCGGGUACGAGACGACGACAUACCUAAAACAGCAUUCAGAACUCAUGAAGGCCAUUACGAGUUCGUUGUCAUGCCAUUUGGUCUAACCAAUGCUCCUGCAACCUUCCAAAGUCUUAUGAAUGAUCUUUUUCGUCCCCACCUCAGGAAGUUUAUUUUGGUUUUUUUUGACGAUAUUCUGGUUUAUUCCAAAUCGUGGGAAGACCAUUUAACCCAUUUGCACACUGUUUUGAAGAUUCUAGCAGAUAAUACACUCUUUGCAAAGGAGUCCAAGUGCAGAUUCGGGGUUACAUAGGUUGACUACCUAGGCCAUGCUAUUUCAAACCAAGGAGUAUCGGUGGAUCCUACCAAAAUUCAAGCAGUGGUUGAGUGGCCUACCCCUACGACAGCCAAGGGGGUCCGCGGAUUCUUGGGCCUGGCCGGCUAUUACAGAAAGUUCAUCCGCCAUUUUGGAGGAAUAGCCGCACCACUUACCCGAUUGCUGACCAAGGAUGGGUUUCAGUGGAGUGCAGAAGCUGAUUUGGCUUUUCAACGUCUGAAGGAAGCCUUAACCCAGUCCCCGGUCUUACGCAUGCCAGAUUUCUCUCAACGAUUUGUGGUCGAGUGUGAUGCCAGUGGGAUCGGAAUUGGUGCAAUACUUUCCCAACAGAAUCAACCCGUGGCAUACUUUAGUGAAGCACUAAAAGGGUCUUCUUUGACACUAUCCACUUAUGAGAAAGAAAUGUUGGCCAUCGUCAAGGCAAUUCGUAAGUGGCGACCAUAUCUGCUUGGUAAACCAUUCACAGUUCGCACGGACCAGAGGAGUCUCAAAUAUCUCCUGGAGCAGAGGAUUACUACCCCAGCACAGACACGUUGGCUUCCUAAAAUUCUCGGCUAUGACUAUGUAAUCGAGUACAAGAAAGGGAGCGAGAACCAAGGGGCAGACUCACUGUCCAGAGUAGUGGAAUUUCAGUUUUUGUCCAUCUCGUUCCCAAAGGCAGAGUGGUGGCCAACUCUGCAACAGGAGGUGCAACAGGAUCCAUUUUAUGCCAACUUCAAAUCAACGGACCCCUUCAUGGUUCAAAGAGACGGAGUGUGGUUCAAGAAGGGUAAGGUGUUUUUAAGCCCGAAUUCUACUCUUAUCCCUCUACUUUUGGCAGACUGUCAUGCCACGCCGAUUGGUGGACACUUUGGGUUCCAUAAAACACUCGCACGCAUUAAGCAAGACUUUACCUGGCCCAGAGUUCACGUCACAGUGAAGGAAUUCUUGCAGCAAUGUACCACAUGUCAACGCUUCAAAAAAGAUUGCAUGAAGCCAGCUGGGCUGCUGCAACCCCUACCUGUGCCUUCCAAAGUUUGGACUGAUAUCUUCAUGGACUUCAUCAAAGGAUUGCCUUCCUCCCAAGGGUAUACUUGUGUAAUGGUGGUAGUGGAUCGCCUGUCCAAAUAUGCCCAUCUCAUUUCGUUGAAGCAUCCCUACACAGCAAUCACGGUGGCCAAAGCCUUCAUCUCCUGCGUCGUCCGCCUGCAUGGUAUUCCAGCCUCUAUUGUGAGCGAUCGUGACAAGGUGUUUAUUAGCUCCUUCUGGCGCACCCUCUUUCAGUCCCAAGGCACUCAGCUGUGCAUGAGCUCAGCUUACCAUCCUCAGUCGGAUGGUCAGACUGAAGUUGUCAACCGCAUCCUCGAACAGUAUUUGCGGUGCUUUGCAGGUGACCAGCCACGUAAAUGGUUCGACUGGAUUCCAUGGGCAGAGUUCAGCUACAAUACCUCGCUCCACUCUGCCACUAAGAUGACGCCAUUUGAGGUGGUUUAUGGUGUUCCCCCUCCUAGUUUACUCACCUAUGUUCCCGGUACCUCAAAUGUUCAAGCCGUGGAUGAGCAUCUGCGCGAUAGAGACUGUCUCCUUCGUGAGCUGAGGAGGAAUCUGUUGAUUGCCCAGAACAGGAUGAAGAGCCAAGCUGAUCAACAUCGCAGGGAUGUCUCCUUUGACGUUGGAGAUUAUGUGUAUUUAAAGCUCCAACCUUACCGUCAAUCCUCAGUGGCAUUUCGUAGCUCAAUGAAGUUAGCCCCACGGUUCUUUGGGCCUUACCAGGUCCUAGCUAAAGUCGGAACAGUUUCCUACAAAUUAGCACUGCCACAGGAUUCCCAAAUCCAUAACGUGUUUCAUGUUAGCUUGCUACGGAAAUACUUUGGGCCCCUCCCUCCUACAUCAACAGUGGUGAGCCUUCCUCCUAUUUCAGAAUCAGCCAAUAUUCUUCCACAACCUGAGGCUGUCCUGGACCGACGAGUAGUUAACAAUGGGAAAUAUCAUCCAAAACAUGAAAUUUUGGUCAAAUGGGAUGGUGCACCAGUGGAAGAUGCUACUUGGGAGAAUGAAAGGCGUUUUAUCAAGACCUAUCCCACCUUCAUCCUUGCGGACAAGGAUUCUUAAGGGGGAAGGAUUGAUACGUGCAUGAAGAUACAUGCAAACCGCAACAAACCAGAAGGUGGCAGUAGCGCACGUGGUACGUGGAAGACACUUGGACGUGGAUCAUGCUUGGUCGCCAGAUUGUUAGUGGGGUUUGUUAUGGAAUUAGUCAUUCUCCAGUUAUUUUUAGUAUUAACAGUUAAUAAGGAUUCCUCGGAGGAUCCCUUGUUUGUUUCCCAUUUUCUAGAUAGUUUCCCAAAUUCUAGCAUUGUUUGUUAUUCAAUUCAUGUAUAAAAGGGCCUGGUGGCAUCCAAUAAAGGUAUCGAAAAUUAUCCAAUACUGUCUCCUCUCUUACUUCUCUGCUUCUCUUCUCACUCCCUAAAUUCAACCUAUCAAGAUCAUGAAGGGAUUGUACAGCCGCAGAGUUAGUGAUAUCAGGUGAAGAAGUGUGCACUGUCUCCUGCUGGAAUGUCUCCGGCUGAGUAAUUGAAGUGUCAGACUGCUGCUGAAGCUGUUGGCGGGCUGGAGUACUGUCACCAUGGAGUUGCAGAGCAACAUCAGCGGGAGAAAUAUCUGUAAAGCACACUGUCUCCUGCUGGAAUGUCUCCGGCUGAGUAAUUGAAGUGUCAUACUGCUGCUGAAGCUGUUGGCGGGCUGGAGUACUGUCACCAUGGAGUUGCAGAGCAACAUCAGCUGGAGAAAUAUCUGUAAAGCACGCUGGUGUAUCUGAGGUCAUAGUAGGAAGCAGGGGUAUGGGCAGUGAGCUGCUGCAUGGUGGCGUUGCUGGUGUUUCAGAGAUAUCUGUAGGAGAGCGUGAAGCAAGGAUAGUUAGCCAAGAAUCAAAUAUGCUAAGGACAUGAUUAGAAUGAUCAAUAUUUGUGGUGAUAUUAUUUUGUUUAUACGGAAGGAUAGAUUCACUAAAAACCACAUGUCGUGAGACAAAAAAAUUUUUGCUUGUUGGAUGAAAGCAUUUAUAUCCCUUAUGUUGAUCACUAUAUCCUACAAAAAUACAUGGAACACUUUUUGGAUCAAAUUUAUUUCGUCUUGUAUCCCAAGUGUAAGGGAAACAUCGGGAGCCAAAAAUACGAAGAGAUGAAUAAAUAGGGUGGUUACCAUGUAAGCGGAAGUAUGGAGUGUCAUAGUUAAGAGCAGAAGAGGGCAGUCUAUUAAUGAGAUAAACAGCAGUUGUGAAGGCUUCAACCCAUAAAAAUAAAGGAGUACCACUAUGGAAUAACAUUGUCAUACCUAGUUCUCUUAUAAUUCUGUGUCGCCUUUCAACCAUACCUGUUUGUUCAGGAGUGUAAGGACAAGAUACCUGGUGAACAAUUCCUGUGGAGCGAAAAUGACUUGAUAAUUUUGAGUUAAUAAAUUCUCCUCCUCCAUCUGAGUGAAAGACUUUGAUCUGUUUAUUGAAUUGCCUACUAACAUACUUUUCAAAUGCUAUAAACACUGUUAGAAAAUCAAAUUUGUUAUGAAGAGGAAUUAUCCAUGUAUAUUUAGAGAAAUCAUCUACUAGGCAAGCAUAAUAUUUGAAUUUUCCAAUAGAUAAAACAGGGGCAGGUCCCCAUAAAUCACAAUGUAUUUUUUCAAAAACAUCAGUACUUGAAUGUUCAGAAUGCGAAAAAGGUAAGUUGCUAAGUUUUCCUAAUUGACAACUAUCACAAAGGUGCUCAGUCUUCAUAGCUCCUGUGACGUCAAUCAAUCCUGUAUUUUUUAAUAGCUGCACUGCAGAAGCUUGAGGAUGUCCUAGGCGUUGAUGCCAAACUGCUGCUGAUCCAGUUUUAAAACGAUAAGAAAAAUGUAAUUCUGGCGAGUUGUGCAAGACAUAAAGAUCACCCUUACGUCUACCUGUGAUCAGAGGUUGUCCUGUUUUCCGUUCCUUAACACAAAAAUCAACGUCAGAAAACUCACAGUUCACAGGAAAUUGUUUGGUAAGCUGACUUACUGAAAGUAAAUUUUUAGUUAAUUCAGGAACAAGAAGAACAUCAUUAAUAUGUAAUUUAGUAUUGUUUUGUUUAAUAAAUGAAUCUCCAAUACCAAUAAUCGGUAGAGACGAUCCAUUUCCAAUAACCACAGAAUCAGUUCCAAAAUACUUACGAACAUCAGUUAACAUACCUGGCUUACUUGUCAUGUGAUUCGAUGCACCAGUGUCUGAUGUCCAUUCCGUGUCAACCACGGUGCUUCCCAAAUAGCGGUUGCUCUUUUGCAAUAUUAGAAGCAUGAACCACAAACAAUACUCUUUUGAAUAUUAGAAGCAUGAACCACAUUGUUCAUAAUCGACUCUUUCAUAAAUGUCAUCCUUAACAUCACCUUUUUCUAGCCUAGGAUUUUGCACACUAAGAGCCUAUUUGACGUUGCAGUUGAAUCGUUGUUUUUCCAUUUUGAAAAAAAUUAUUCUUGCUUCAAUUGUUUUUGCGUUCUUGGAUUGUUAUGAUGUGUUAAUGUUAAAAAUGAAUUAAAAAAUAUAUUUUGAUAUAUUUCCAAGUGAAAAACACUUUACAACGCAACCGCUACCACACUUUUAAACAAUCACUAAGAAGUUAUCCAGGAAUAAUUGUUCUCCAUUUGCAGUUGUUGCAUACUCAAAAAAAUAUUAUGUCAAAACAUACAUGACAGGUGGCUCCAAUAUCAAUCCACCACUUUUUAAGAUUGUGCACCAGGUUUGCUUCUGACAUAACUACAACAAGCUUUGCAGCUUUCUCAUCAACAUUCUCAAUGAUUUUGUUUUGUGCAUUUUUUCCUUACAGAUAUGCCUUUGCUUUUUACAAACAAAACAAGUUUCUUUGAACUUCUUUUUGCCGACACUAUUACCAUUAGAACUCUUGAGAGAACUUGCUUCAUAUUUAAGUUCACCAGGUUAAGAAUGUUUAGGAAUCGGGUUUGCCAUCGAGACCGCAAAGAUUACCAGGUUAAAUUAUUUUGGUUUUUUCCCCGCAUGAUAGAAUGUUUAGGAAUCGGGUUUGCCAUCGAGACCGCAAAGAUUACCAGGUUAAGAAGUACAUUGAAAUUAUUAACAAUAGAUUUAUCCAUUUAUUAUCUCAAUAACAAGAUUAACUUUAUAAUUAUAUAUCACACUUAUAUAAUCUGAAAUAAUAUUAAUUAAAAUGAAUCCCAAAAAUUUAACACACUAAUUCUGCAAAAAACAAAUUUAAUAAACAAUUUAACUUUGCAACUAUGUAUUUAUUUAUUUGUUUUUCUAUGAGACUCAAUUUUUUUUUUAAUAAUCAUCAAGAGUAUAUUGAAAAGGCCAUAAAGCCAAUAGACAGUGAAAUUUUUAACAGAAACUCAAUGUAAUUUUCAACAAAAACUAUAACAAUACAAAUAAUUACAAAUAUUUUUCUUUCAACAUCAACAUAAGAAAACAAUAUGCACUCUUCUAAAGUUAUGAUAAAAAAAAUCUGAUUGAUACUUAUGUUGUUUUAUGAUUAAAGUAACAAUAGCAUCUAAAGAGAAUGAAUUAGGUGUUGCACUAAUUAUGUCAAAAUAAUGCAAGUAAACACACUAAACACAUAUAACACAAAAACCAACAAUAUAAUUCAAGUGCUUAAAGUAAAUAUAUAAGAAAAAAGAGAUUGCAAACUCGAUUUUUAACGUGAUUCGGUAAGCUUACAUCCACAUCUCAAGUACUAAUCAUACUUAAGUAUUGUACUUUUUUACUAAUCCAAGUGAAAGAUACAUUGCCCUUGAUGAAUUCACACCAAGAAAUUACACCACUUGAUGAAUUUUUCUCUUUAAGAUUUUUCUCCUAGAAUUCCGGUUAAAUAGAAUUGCACUUAAUAUAUAUUAUUUCACCAUAAUUAUUAUCCAGAUAUGCAACUUUUUUUCUUUCCGAUCAUCUGUUUUCUUUUUUUCAUAUCAAUACAACAACAAAGGAAAAUACCAUGCAAUAUAAAAUGUAUUUCCCUGUAGAAUCAAUGCAACAAGUUUACAGACAACAGACGACAAGGAAUUUAACAUAGUCAUGGAAUUUAACUGAAGAUAUAUACACUUUACUUUCUCUAUUAAAAUUAAACUAUUUUUUUUAAUCUAUGUCAAUAUAUAAUCAAUUUGGUCUUGAAGAUAUAUAAAUAUACACAGAACAAAUAUGUUAGAAAAUAAAUUGUUUAAGAUUGUUAGAGCACCUUAAAUAGUUCAUAAAAUUAUUCUUCCCUUUUACUAUAAUGAUGAAGUACAAGGGUUGUUGAUGAUGACCUCUUGGAUGGCUACAUGAAGCUUGUUCCGUUUUAAAUUUCAAGGUUAAUCUAUUGCUAUGAGCAUACGUGUCUCAAUUUAAAACUCGAGUUGCAACUGAACUUAAAUGAAUGGUGUUGGAUUUGGGCCUUCUAUUUGUUUUAACUUCUACAGGGUUGAAAUGAUAGUGAUCUUAAAGUAGAAAAGCAGCAGACAAAAAUCAAUUAACCAUAAUGGUGCAUGGUUUCCUAGUUUCUCAGCAUAAAGUUGAAUGUUUUGUUGACCUUUCUACAUCAAAAAUCAUAUAGACAGCUACUGCUGGCACUUGCAGUGGCCAAUGCAUACUGUAGAGUAUAUAUUGCAGUGUGAGAUAAGGUUAACUCGUUGCAUUUUCAUAUAUUGAAAGGAUUUCUCUUCUUUUCUUUGUCAAUUACAGCACAUGCAUAUAAGUGUUCUUCCUCAGAGUAAAUGCUAUAGUAAUGUUUUCACGGACUCCCCUGGUUUGCAACUGAUUCACUUAUAUAUCUUGGAACAUAGCCAUAAAUGAAAGGUUCUUCUAGUUCAAGAAAAUUAACCAUGAAGCUCGUAACUAGAAUUUUUAGACAGAAGGGUGGCCAAGCGAACUCCUAUACUCCGUACGUCUGGAAUAAUACAGGGAAAGGGUGUUUAUGUAUUUUGAUGUCUUAUAUUACUUGACCAACUCUUGCUUAUCUCAUUAUUUGUUUUAAUUUUUUGCUAAUAAUUCCACACAUUUCUGAUAUGGUGUGGUUUUUGAGUUCAGGGUUCUUGCUCAUUGCUGCUAACUUCUCUAUACUUGCCUGGUCAUUAAAAAUGAAACGUAAUGAUUUGCAUAUGCUGAAUGGAGACAUUAAAGAGGCAUCUUCUGUUUUCUGGUCAGGAGGGAUUACAAGAACUCAAGAAAUUUUCCAUAUGUUUUGAGGAAAAGAUUUAUACUACCACUACCAAUCAGGUAUUUGCCUAAUGUGAGGUUUAAUAAUUACGAUAUUAUCUAGACAUUAAUAUACACACGCAUUUAUGCUUGUACAAAUGUGUGUGUAGUGUAGUGUGCCUACACUUCCUCACCGUUCAUUCUGUAUGCAAGGCUGAUUGGGAGUUCACAUUAUUUUGUUAAUUCUCUUGACAAGUGUUUUAUUUAGAGUGACCAAGUUCAAGUACAAGGGAAGAGUGCAAAAAGCAAAUAGCGAAUCAAUACAUAAAUAAUUAAAUAAAAAGAGAGGAAACAAAAGUAUAUCAUAGAGAAGAUGAAAUGAUAGAGCAUAUAUCCAUUUUCCUCCUCUUGUAACAUGGAUUGCUCUGAGAUCUGAUGUUUUGUUAUUAAUAUCUGAUUUCAGUCUGAUUAUAUAUCUACGAAAAAUAUCUCUGGAGAUGCUUUCGAUGGAGAUCAGGUCUCAAAAUGCCAUGCCCACUGUCCCCAUGGAUCCAGCAGGUAAUAAUGCACCCGAGCAUUGAAUUUCUAAACAUCUUACCUUUUGUUUUUCUUCUCACAUUGUUAUCAAACUCUUUUACAUUUUAUUGCUGUAUAUUGCUAUGUAUAUCGCCUUGCUAGAAAAAUCUCAUGAUCACCUCCACGAUGCUAAUUCUAUAAUGCAUGUGAAGUGUUUCAUCCUUAACUUGUUAAGAACAAGGACUAUGAUGCAUUGCUAUUUUAUAUUUUAUGAUUGAGAUGGUAGAUUUUAAAGAUUUUCCUGUUUAGGAGAUAAAAGUAAGAUGUCACUUUUUUGCUUUUCUUCCGAGAGAGUAUUUGAUCCUUUUUUCGUAUAAAAUAAUGCUGGCAUGCAUUGAAUUUCCAAACAGCUUAGCUUUUGUUUUGUUUGUCGCAUUGUUAUCAAACUCUUUUACAUUUUAUUGCGGUAUAUUGCUAUGUGUAGGGCAUGCUUUAAUCAAAAAGUUGAGUAAUUGAUGAAUGCUAGGCAUGAAAAUGACAUAUUAUUUUUGUUUUCUGUCUCCUCCUUUUCUUUCCCCCACCUCAAAAAUUGUCAUGUUAUUUUUGUUUUCAGCCGCCUCUUCUUCCCCAAACCUUUAAAAUUGUUUAUAUUUGCUUUGGAAGCAUGACAAACUUCAUUGCCUCUCAGCUUAAGGAGAUUGCAGCAGGUCUCGAAGCUUCUGGGCAUUAGUUUAUCUGGGUAGUUAGAAGAAACAAAAAGAGUCAAGAAGACAAGGAAGAUUGUUUACCUAAAGGAUUUGAGGAAAGAAUGGAAGGCAAAGGGCUAUUAUCAGAGGAUGGACACUCCAAGUUUUGAUUCUUGGUCAUGAAGCAAUAGGUGCAUUUGUGACUCAUUGAGGAUGGAACUCAACUCUUGAAGGCAUAAGGCAAAUAUUUGCUGAGCAAUUCUAUAAUGAGAAGUUGGUGACUGAUGUUUUAAAAAAUGGAGUUAAGGAAUGGCUUAGAGUGCAGAGAUCAUGUUAAAAGUGAAGCUGUAGAGAAGGCAAUCACUCAAAUUAUGAUGGGUGAAGAAGCAGAGGAAAUGAGAGAGAAGAAAGCUGAACAAGGGAACGCAGUAGAUGAAGAAUAUGAGUUUACUGCAUUUACUGUCAAGAAUACAAACGUGAGCACUAAAAACUAAUUUGUACAGGAUACUCUUUAUAUAUAGAGUAGUAAUUAACUUCAUCACUUAUUUCUUUCUAUGAAUACAAUAUUCCUUAUUUAUAUAUAUUGAUUUGUUUCUUAUAUGAGGUAGCUGUAGUUUCCUUCUAUGAAAGAUCUGCCAUGGCUGUAGUUUCCUUCUUUGAGAAGUAGCCGUUGGUUGAGGUAGCUGUUGAUUCCUGUGAUUUCCAUGUAUGGUUAAUUACCAUUCUGAAUAGUAGCCGUUGGAGGUGUUAAUUCAGAAUGGUUGCUGACGAGAGUGAGGAUCCUGUGGUGGUGCUGCUGCUGUCUCCUGCUGCUGCUGCAGAGGUGUGUUGUUGCUGUUAAUAAUGAGGACUAGAGCAAAGAAGCUUUCAGUGCUUUGAUUUAAUAACUGCCAAGAAUGGAAGGCUGUUGAAGAUGGUGGAUCUUCUUGCUCCAAUUUCAAUGCUUUGAUUGAAUAACUGAGGUGGGGUAGCCCUUGAAACAGAGGCAUAGAACAUUUUGUUACUACUUAGUAGUGGUUUUGGCAAUUUAUUUUCAGAUAAGUCUUGAGAGUUGAAAGAGUAAUCACAGACGAGUCAAUGACCAAUCCAAAUCAGUUCCCUUCCUAAUGGUUCAGGAAUGACAAGUCCAGCUUAUUUAUUGAGCCCAAAUAACUUUUCAAAUAAAAAGGUUGAACUUAGAGACAGUACACUACAAAUUAAGCACCUAAUAGCUAGACAUACAAGACAAACAAUCAUCACAAACUAGGAACAAUCGUCUUCCCAGUAACAAAUUCACCUUCUCAAGUUGGAGAACUUGCGAAAACUAGCCACUACAAAAUAGUAGCAAGUAUCUAUGCAGUCUUCGAUGAAGUACGACCACCUGCGUCGCCAAUAUGGAUCGAUGUAAAGAACUACUACAAUUAUCAUCACCACAACUGUGUAACAUACACCGAAAUUGAUGUAGAAAAACUCCAUGUCUAUGAAACCAUCAUCUCCUUGUUCAUCAUAAGGCACUGGCUGUGAUGGCACUGGUUGUGAUGGCACUGGCUGUGAUGGCACUGCUUCCUCACUACAAUUGUUUCGCAAUGGAGGUCCACACAAAAAAGGAUUUCCUUCGUAACAACUUUCAUCAAAGGUCCCAAACUGAUAUUUUCUCUCGGGUGUGUUACCUGACAAGUUAUUAUGCGCCACACUAAAAACUUCCAGUGUGGUAAUAUCAGUAAGUUGUGGAGGGAUGACACCAUUCAAGUUGUUGUAAGAAAGAUCCAAACUCUCAAUCUGCUUUAGGUUUGAGAAUGUUGCAGGGAUAGAUCCAGUGAGAUUGUUGUGUGAUAAGUUUAAUGACAGUAUCUUACUUAAGUCUCCAAAUUCUGGUGGGAUUGCUCCUACGAAGUUGUUAUUGGAGAGAUCAAUACCAGACAUGUAGCUGAGAGUCUUCCCCUUGUAACGAUAAUACAUAUUUUUAGUUGUAAAUUCUAUCACUUCUUCUGUAAAGUUAAGCAGAAAACCCUUUCUCAAGUUGUACAUACUCUCCACUAGUGGUGGACCCAUUGUUUCAUAAUAAGCUUUUUCUAUGGACCUUGAUAGAACAUCAGCUCCGAGAUCUGCGAGCGUUUUCUGGGAACUUUCCUUGAAAGUAAGAUUGCCCAAACAGGAGGGUAGUGGACCAGAGAGUUGGUUUUGUGAAACAUCCAAAAUGCUUAAUUGUUCUAACAAGCAUAAUUGAACAGGGAGCUCACCAUCAAAGUGAUUAGCCCUCAGAAGAAGAACACUCAAUGAUGAAAGAUUGCCAAUCCAAUUUGGAAAGGAGCCGGUGAAGUUGUUAUCUCGAAGAUCCAUCGUAACCAGGGAAGAGUUGUUAUAAAAUCCAUAUGUUAAUGGACCGCUCAAUCUAUUUUCAGAUAGAUGCACAUGGGUUAUUUGUGGUGGACUGAAACAAGAUGGUAUAUAUCCAGACAAGUUGUUCUCAGAAAGGUCCAAAUAUUCAAGCUGGUUAAGCUUACAAAAGUCUCUUAGGAUCGGACCCUUAAAAUAGUUUUUGGACAAAUCAAUUGCGAUAAGGCCUGUAGAAUUGACUAACCACCUUGGAAGCAUGCCUGAAAAUUGAUUGUCACUCAAAUCCAAUGUUGACCACAUUUUCCACCCAUAUAAUAGAAAAUCUGAUAUCUGACCCCAAAAGUUGUUACCGUGUAGGUAGAGAUAUUCUAAGGUAGAAGAAUUGAAUACUGAGGUUGGUAAUUGCCCACCCAAAUUAUUGUUUGACAGCUUGAGAAACCAUAUUGUUGUUAGUUGUUCUAGUUUUACUAUAGACAAUUGAUUGUUGGAUAAAUCUAAAAUUUUCAAAGAGCUAAUAUUUCCUAAACAAGAAGGAAUACAACCUGUGAAUCCAUUAUUGGCCAUCCUUAAGCUCCACAUAUUUGGAAAGAUCAAACAAAUAUCUUUAGGAAUUUGACCGUUCAUGUUGUUGUUGGAAAUAUCUAAUUCGGUCAUAUUCAGAUAUGGGUGAUCUUGCAACUGUAAAGUACCGACAAAGGAGUUGUUGCUUAGAUAUAGUUGCUCCAAUCGUGUAUUGUUCUUAAGCAACCAUGAUGGAAACAUUGCGGUGAUGUUGUUGUGGGAGAGAUCAAGGACUCUUAUGUCGUAUUGGUAAUAAAGGAAGUCGGGAAUUUUUACAUUUAGUGCUUCUGUUGUUUUUGACAAUCGGAAAAAUACUAGUUGGAACUUUGGAAUCAAAUUAUCAAAGGCAGCAGGUUCUGUUACUAGCUUGUUGUUCUCACUGGAGAAGAACUUGAGGCUUGAGUGGUUCAUAAAAGGCUUCAUUGAAAUGGGAACUUCAAAGAGGUUAUUUGAUAGUGAGAGGAAUUCAAGGGAUGUGAGGUUGGUAAGAGGACCGGAGGCAAUAUUUCCAGUAAACUGGUUUUCAGAAACAUCUAAUAGUUGUAGAGAUGACAAGUUCCCCAAACAAUCUGGGAGUGAACCUCCUAAAUUAUUUCCAGAGAGAUCUAACUGCCUCAGAUUCUUUAAUUCACACCAACCUGUACAAUUUAUCUUGAAACAGUCAAAACAGUGUUGAAAGAAUCUUUUAUUGAUGAUAGUUGUUAAUUUACCUUGAGCGGGUAGGGUGCCAUGGAGGUCACAUUCAGCAACAGACAAAACUUUAAGAUCAGGCAAUGCUCCAAUGUUCUGGAGAAAGUUUAUUGGGAGAGAAGUACGAUCUAGAUACAAUUCUUCAAGGGUGCUAGAAUUGAAGAAAGUCCCUGUGAAAAAGAAAGAAGAAGAGAUAUGAUGAAAAUUGUGGUCGUACAGAAUAGCCAUUCCAUUUAAUAUUAUUAAUUAAGAUUUUAAGAAACUAAACUAUGAUUAACCUUGACUUAAAUUAGUAUCCUUGAGAGAAAGGGUCUUCCUUAAACCUAUGAUGUGUAGAAUUGAAAGCAGGCAAUCAAGUAAGUAGUGAAAUUAAGUGUUAUCUUGAUCGAGUUUUUAAACCUAUGAUAAAGAACUGAUAUUGAAUAGUGAGAUGAUUUUUGGAUAGAAACAACAAAUUGCCUGAAAAAUCCAGAGAUAUUGCCUGAUAAAUUUAAAUUUAAAGACUUUACCAUUGACGGUCGUCGAUCCUAGCAACAUAUUGCCUGAUAAAUUUAAAGACUUGAGAUAAGAAAGCCCACGCAGAUGUGAUAAAAUGCUGUCGUUGAAUAUAUUAUAGCUCAGGUCCAGGUUAUCGAGUUUCUCCAAAUGUGAUGAUAUGAUCUCAAAACCUGCAAGAGAGUUGUUUCUAUAAGCAAGUCAUAAUUACAUAAUAACUUUAAUCAAACAUGAUGAAAUACUAUCGUUGAUUAUUAAAUGAAUAUAAAGUCCUCAAUUUUCAUAGAAGGAGAUAUGAGAAGGAGAAAAGAAAAUGUUUCGAAGCUAAAUAAUUAAAAGGUUACCAUAGAAGCUACCUGAUCCUGUCAAUCCAUUGCCUGAUAGAUCCAAAGACUUGAGAGUGGAAAGCCCAGUCAUGCAUGACAAAAUGCUUUUAUCAUUAUUAAAUCGGUUAUCACUUAGGUCAAGAUUCCUCAGAUUUGAUGAUAGGACUUCGAAGCCUGGAAGAGAAUCAUCAAAGCAAGAUAAUUGACAUUAAACACCAAUCAACCUUGAUUUAUUUUAUGAUUAUAAGUGCAGAAACAUUGAACUAACCUUCAUUCUCCAAGCAACCAACCAAUCCAUUAAAUCGCAAUUCGAGACUUUGCAAUUCUUUAAAAGGCAGAAACAAAGAUGCGUUGAGAACCCAAUCGCCAAAGCUCUGAUCCCUUGCUCCACUAAGAGAGAGUUCGAUCACUCGCCUUGUAGUGUUAUCACACUCGAUCCCAUCCCACUCACAACAAUUACUACUGUCCACCCAAUGUCUCAAGGAAAAGCCAUCUGGGUCGAUCAAAGAUUGGAUCUCCAAGAGACCAAUUCUCUCUUCCUCCAAACAUCCAUAACAACGACCAUACCAUUCGCCAACCAAAGUCAAUAAUAUUGCUAGCAACAUCCAAGCCCCCAUUCUUUUCAUCAUCAUCUUAGAUAAUUCUAUGUGACAUCAAGAACGUAGAAUAUUGUUGUUUGUUAUGUGCCUUUGGGCAACCAUAGAGGUCCUAUUUAUACUACACUGUGGCCAUUUCCGUGACUUUGAGAUGUUUUCUUUAUUUAAUUUCCAUGACUUUAUCUGCAUAUCUUGUGCAGGUUCGGUGUUUUGAGAUUUGAAUAUUAUUUUAUUUCUUUUUGGAAUAUUCUUGGAUUUGAAUAUUAUUUUAUUUUAUUGUUUAGCACUUAGUCUAUUUGCAUUUAAUUAUAUUUUGGUUACUAAUUAUUCAAUUUAUAAAAAAAUAAAAUAAAAAAAUUGUUGCAGUACUUCAACAUAACAUAUAUUUGUUUUUAUGGUGGGAAAGGUAUUCUUGACUUGUUUUUAUUACAUUUCAAUAUUAAAUAUAUUUUUUUCAAUCGAGUCAAAGAUAUACAAUUUAUAUUAGAAUGAGAAGACUAAUCAAUUUCUCUAGUUUUCUCCCUAAUUAUAAAAUACAUCUAAGAUAAAAGGAAUUUAUUUCUUGAAAUUAAUGCAUUAAAAAAUAUAAAAAUAUUUUUUAAAAAUUAAAAUAGUAGUAAAAGAAAAUUUAGUUUUUGAUUGAAGUGUAAACUAGUGGUCAAUGAACAAAAAGAAACUUUAUUGAUUAUCUAAUGAGUUACUUCUCCAAAAAGAAUAUAUAUAUUAUUGAAUAUCUAAAGGAAACGAUUCAUGAAACUCCGCCUAAUAUAUAUAUAUAUAACAGAGAAAUUGUCGAUAAUAGCAAUCAUUUUCUUAUCUCUUGUAUCAUUCAUAUCUUCCACAAAUCUUAAGUAAUUGAUGAGAAAGAUCGUGAACGCGGAUGCUUGACUUGUUGUGUGGCAUUUUGAUUUUUAAACACAACCAUGCAGUGAUUUCCUGGUGAUUUCCUUAUGCAUACUGGUGGUCCUUCAGAAUCUUGGAGGACCACCACAAGCCAAUCUAAAAAAAUGCUAAAAGUAAUCUUGAGGGUUGUAACUUAACUGGUCAGGUCCUGAGUUUGUUCCCCGAAGAUCACCAGUUCGAGUCCCACAAACCUCAGAGCCACUUGAGGCUUACAUGAUCAUUAACUUCAGGGCUCGUGGGAUUAGUCGAGAUGCACGCAAGCUGACCCGAACACCCACGUUAAUAAAAAAAAAUGCUAAAAGUCAAAACACACAAGCCAUAUAAAAAUCACACGACAGCCAAUUGCCUUAUCUUGUGAAAAAAAGAUCAAAAAAAAAAAAAACAUUCUCUUAGGUAUGCAAUGACUGCCUAUCUUCUCAUGGGGAGCAAAAAUCAGUAGCCUCCCAUGGAAUCCUAAUAAACCUUUCUCUGUGCUCUUCUAAGAUAUUAAAAAUGUCAAACAUACAUCAAUAAUCAAGAUUUGGGUCCUAGAUCAGACAAGUUAGCUUAUGUUGACUGGUGUUAAUCUAAAAUUGUAUCAUUUUAAGAAGAAAAAAAACUGUGUAGUUAAAAAAAAAAAACUAGUUUUUGACUGAGUUGAUUAGGUUCUUGGUUGAUUUAUCUGGUCGAUGAGGCUUGAUUGGGUCAACUCUCACUUGGUUUUUUCUAAACCUGAAUCCGGUCAGAUUCCAGAUUAAAAUGGUAGGCUUGAAUUAAAUUUAAUAACGCUGAUUAAAACCACAUUGUAGAAAAAAAAAUUGAAUUGCAUAAAAGUAAUUAACCGAAAACUUAUAUUCCUUCUUAUUGUCAAAGAACCAUCUCAACCCUUAAGCUAUUAGGUGAGGUCCCAAGAUAUGAUUUAUAUUAUUCUUUAACACACUCCCUCAAGUGAAAGCCCUUUGGGCUUGAAACUUGCAAAUGUCUACAUUACCUUGUGCUUGAUUUUUAUCAAAUUAAUGGGGGGUGAGAUUCGAACUCGUGACCGCUUGGUCAUCAAAGCUCUGAUAUUAUAUCAAAUAAUCACCUCAACCCAAAUUAAAACUUAAACUAUUAGAUGAGAUCCCAAGUUAUGAUUUAUAUUAUUCUCUAAGAACCCAUAUCAGUUUUUUUUAAGGAAAAGUAUGAAUCAAAGGUUAACGCUAGGCAGCUCACUUUGCAUGACAAUGACGGAUAUAGAAGACUUGCUACUUUCUUUAUGGAAAUAACGUGUGGAAAAUCAUGCCUUAAUGUUGAUGGUGAUGGCAAAAACAACCAGUAUCGUUGAUAAAAUGAACCACAAAUGAUAUUAUUUCUAAAAUACUUUUUUUCAUUGUCAUGACAACAAGUCUUCUUCUUUUUCUUUCUAAAGAGUCUAUUUUUUGUAACACAACCAACAAGUAAAAUGGAUAGGAAUUUGCAGUGUGAGAUGGGUCUGUGAGACUUUUGCCAUCUGCAUUUUUUCCAUGAUAUAGGCCAGUGAGAUAGUCCAUGAAACCAUUGCCCUGUAAGCAUUUAUGAGUUCGUGAGACCAUUUCCAUCUGCACAUUGGUCCCUGAAACCGUUGCCAUCAUGCAUUUUUUCCACGAGAUGGGUUCGUGGAACAUACUUUGGUUUAAUUGGGAAUGCUGUUAUUGAUUGAAAACUUUCUAAUUAAAAUAAAUUUGAUUAUUUGAUUGGAAGAAAUCCUUAAAUGUUAUUAACACAAGAAAUCAAUUUAUUUUCUUAAGAAAAAAAUAUUGUAACCAUAUAAGUAAUUUAUUUAUUUAUUUUAAUGAAAUAUAAAAUAGUUUUAAAUAAUCUUGUGGUAUAUUUCUUGUCUUUAAGAGCUAUGAACUUAUAUCUCAAAACUUGAAAACUAAUAUAAAGAUAUUAAGUGAUCAUUGAGUGUGUGUGUAUGUAUAUAAUCCUUUUCAAAACAAAAAGGAUUUUGAUGGAGAUCAGGACAUUGCAACAAAUUAUCCACGAGAUGGGUCGGUGAUACCAUUGUCAUCAUGUAAUUUUUCCCACGAGAUGGGGUCGUACGCUUGGGGCUCUAAAAGCUAUGGUUUUUAAUUUCAUCAGGUAUAUUUUAUUUCAAUUCUAAAAAUGAAAUAAAUUAGAAGAUAUUUCAUCUUGUUUAGAAUAUUAUCUCCUUACAUGCAUGAAUUUCACCUAAAUUUUGACCAGAAUAUAUCGGUUCUAUUCCGGCCAUUCUAUUAUGUCCAAAUAAUGUUUUGUUUUGCUUUUAUAUAUAUAAAAAAUAUAAUUUAUUUUUAUGAUAUCAAUUAUACCUUUCAAUUUGACUAUUAGAUUAGACUGAAAUUUUAUAAUCUCUUAAUAUGUAUUUAUAUCACAAGUUAAAAUUUUAGAGCAAUCAGAGUUUAGAAAGACUUGUGAAAUUACUGUUGAUAUUUUCAUAAUUUUAUUUAAAUUCAUAAUUUUUUUUUGAAAUGUUAUUUUUUGUGUUUUUUUAGAUUGAUUUUUUUUAAUUUUAUAAUUUAAUAAUAAAUUUAUUAAAAAUUAAAAUUCAUAAUUUAUUUUUAUUUAUUUUAUUUAAAAUUAUUAUAUUCUCAUUACUCAUAUCACGAAAAAAACCUUUGCUUUAAUUGGGAAUGCUGUUACAAGUAAUUGGACUCCGUGGGAUGGGAGACCGUUGCCAUCAUGCAUUUUUUUUCCACAGCAUGGGUCCGUAAAGUCCUCUAUAAAAGCUUAAACCUCCUUACUAUCCUCUAUAUCAAUUGAUCAGCAUUUAUAAGAUGGGGCUGUUCCUUCUGAUGCUGAUGGUUUUAGUAAUGAUGGUUUCUUGCAAGGAUGGCUGCCUCUUGGAGUAUAUUGACUUGAGAAUUAAUUGUUUUGAUAACAGUAUUUUAUUAUUUGUGGAGUUAUUUCUAUUUUUUAAAUUAUUAUAUUUAGAUUAUAAUAGAGUGAAAGAGUUAAUAGGUUUAAGAGAUUAGGAAAAAGCUAAUAUUAAUUAUAGUUAGGGACCAAACUGGAAUUUUUGCAUAUUUUUAAGGGUCAAAUUGUAAUUUUAUUAAAUUGAUGAAGGACCAAAAUGAAAAUAUCAUAUUUAUAACUAUACUGGAAUUUUGCCCAUAUUUCUUCUUUAAUUUUGCCUAGAAUCUCGGAUUAUGCUCUAGGGACCAAUCUGUAAUUUUUUUCAAAGUUUGGGGAUUAAACUGAAAUUUUCACAAAUUGAGGUACCAAGCUGAAAUUUUUUCAUCUUCAACCUCAUACCCAGAUUUUUCACAAAUCACCUAUUGAUAUAUCAAGAUUUUUAACUAGAUGAGGGUUUAGGUCAUAGAUUGGCCUAAUACUCAGAUCAAGAUUUGGAUCAAGUUAGCUUAUUGACUAGUGUUAAUAAAAAAUUGUAUUAUUUUAAGAUUUAAUUUAAUCAAAUAGAUUCAACUCCCAUGCCAUUCCACAAUUAAUUUAUUUUAUUAUGAUUUAGUGUUAUGUUAACCAGGCAACAUUUAAUUACCAUGAUAUAAAAUACAAAAAUAGUGGGAACAUAAAAAACAUGCUUUUAUAUAUUUUUUAUUUUAAAAGUACAAAUUUUACUCUAAGACUAUUGUAAAAAGAUAUUUAUUUUAAAUUUAUUUAUAUUUUUAUAAUUCAAAAAUUAAAAAUAAAACAGAAUUAAUCCAUACUCAUCUAAAAACAAUUAACUCUAACAUCAUUAUUUUAUAACAAAACUAGCAAAGAUAAUUUAUUAAUCACUAAGUUUUCUGGUUAUAAAUACAUUAGUAAUUGUCUUCGUCUCUUUUGUAUUUCUAACUAUUAACGAAUUGAAUAUAUAUAAUAAAUACCGAGUGAAAGAAUAAAUUUAGUUGUAUAAUGUACUAAAUAUUAAAUAGGUGACUUUAGAAUCACCAAGCAGUGAAUCACACGGGAAGAUUGAAAGAAUAAUUAAAGUGAUUUUAGUAACCGACAAGUUGACCCCAAGUCAAAAGUCUUUUGUGGAAAAACAUGAAUAAAAGGUUGAGGGUAAGGUCAUUGCUAUCAAGCGUUUUUUUCUACGAGAUGGGUCCGUUACACCAUUUCCGCUCAAGCUUGAGAAGUGAUGAUAUAUGCUUUAUUUUCAACUUGUAUAAAAAAUAAAUUUUAAUGUAGUGUGUUAGUGUUAAAUAAUUAUCUUAAUCUAAUAGUUUAAGCUGUUAGAUAAGGUCUCAAGAUAUGAUUUAUAUUAUUCUCUAACACACCUCUCAAGUAAAAACCCUUUGGACUUGAAACUUGUUCAGGUUCACAUUACCUUGUGUUUAAUUUUUAUCAAAUAAAUGAAGAUGGUGAGAUUCAAACUCGUAACUGUUUGGUCAUCAAGGCUCUGGUACCAUGUUAAAGAAUCAUCCCAACCCAAUAGCUUAAGCUGUUAGGUAAGGUCCCAAGAUAUAAUUUAUAUUAUUCUCUAAUACACCUCCUACUUUGUGUUUAAUUUUUAUCAAAUAAAUAGGGAUAGUGAGAUUCGAACUCGUGACCGCUUGGUCAUCAAGGCUCUGAUACCAUGUCUAAAAACUAUCUCAACCUAAUAGCUUAAACUGUUAGGUGAGGUCUUAGGAUAUGAUUUAUAUUAUUCUCUAACAAUAUUUUCUUCACUUUCUAUAUAGUUUUACCUUACACUAAUAUUGUCAGAAAAUGAUAUAUAGUUCUUGUGUUAUCCUUCAAGAUUUCAAUUGAAAAGGAGGGUCGUAAAAAAUUUAAUUUUUAUAAACAUACCCUUAACUUAAUUUGGAUGUGGAUAAUUGUUUGCAAUAUAUUUACAUCCAAUAUAAACAAUUCAUCAAUGAUCAAGUCGGCAUUGGUUAGCUAAAAUAUUGAAAAUACUUACUCUUUUUUUUUUUUUGGCCAUGCAGUUCCUAUAUAUAUAUAUAUAUAUAUAUAUAUAUAUAUAUAUAUAUAUAUUAGUUGAAAUUUCAUGAUGUCCAUUAAUCCUUUUAAAUUAAAGUCAAGUUAUUAAUUAUAUCCUAUAAAUUUCUAGAAAAACUAAUUCUCUCAAAUUUCGUCGUCUUUUUUACUAACUAUAGAAGGCGAUUGCUACAAACUAAAAUUUCAAGAUGAAAUUGAGAAAUCUGAAGGAGCAAACUGAGAAUCUACCAAAAUCUGACCAAGUCGUUUCACUAGUGGUUUCAAUUAAAAAGCUGAGAGGCAGGCAAUUUCCCAGAAACCCUCUUGGACCCCAUAAAUGAAAUAAUGACACAUGCCGGGGAACAUAGAAAAAUGAGCCUAUAAUCGAAUGAUCAAUACCGGCGAAAGAAAUCAAAUGGAGUAUAAGGUGAAGAGUAAGCCAUCGACAGCACUUUGGAGGCUAUAAUCGAAUCAGCUGCUUCUAUAUAUGCAAUGGGUCGCAUCCCAACUUGCAGACCUGAUAUGAAAUUGUUAUGAUGUUCGUUCUGUAACUAUCAAAACUCACUUAAUUCUGUAGUUUCCAUCUCUUUUUUACUUAACAUGUGAUGUUUGAGAGUGAAGGUAACUAUUGCUUUUUAAAAUAAAAUAUAAUUUAUGUGGUAUCUGAAUACAUAGGAACAAUAUCUGUGUGCCUCAUGCAUGCUUUUCAAAAUCAAGUUUGGGGUUUUUUACACCCAAAAAUCUAUUUUUCAAUUAUGUUUUCACCAAAACAAAAGCAACUAAAAAUCACUUAAUUAAAAGAUCAAAGUGAAUCUAUUUACUUUCUCAUACAAAAAUCAGUCCAAAAAUAAAAAAUAACUUAAAACCUAAAUUUUCUGAUAUCAUAUCUACUUUUUCAUGUAAUUUUAAGGUGAACACUCGAAUAAAACUACUUUUAUCUAAUGGACUAUUGACACAAAGAUUGACUAUUUUGAGGGCCAAAAUUGAUUUUAACCGAGAUUUUAUCUUUUUACCACUAGAAUUUAGCUACUCUCUUUUCUCUUUGAAACUAAAAAAAUAAAAAUAAAAAAAUGACCUUUUGAGUCAAAAUUGAAUCUUACAAAAUUAUAGGGAUUGAAGAUCUAUCAAUUGGAAGUAAGAAAAUCCAAGCUAACUUUUCGCAUUAAUUUUGAAAAAGCCACCUAGUGCCUUUGUUUUUUUCACUUUGAUCCCUUAACUCUCAAUCAUGCCCUUCAUCAAUAAAUUGAAAGAAAUUUAUUGGCGAAAUAAAUUUAUUUCGAAGCCCUUCAUCCUUUGCAAAAUUUACAAGAACAUACCUGAAAGUCCUUGUUGAGAAUCUUGGAGAUAGAGCAAAAUAGAGUGGCAAACAUUGAUACAAUGAACUGAACUUGCAGGACAAGGUCAAAAGUCAUGGCCUUGCCAGCCUUCAAGAAAGUAAACUCCAAUGCAGGCAUUAGAAACCCAUGAAGAGCUGCACCACCAAUAUUCAUGAAGAAACCCAAAAUAUAUUUUCCUUUAGACUCCCACUUGGUCUAUCUCCGUUCAUGUGAAAUACAAGAAUAAUAGACCCAAGGGUCAUCAAAAUCACCGCGUUUAUUCAGUAAUGUGUGAAGCCACUGAGCUAAAGAAUAAAUAAUCCAAGAAAAUUCCACCAAUUACCAUUAAUGUAAGGAAUUCCUGCUUCUUUUUUAGAAGAUCUUCUGGUUGUAUUUGGUUAAUAUCUCAUGCAGAAGAGACACAAAUAUAUAAAAGACAAACAAGUUUAAUUAAAGAGAUAGAAACAUAAAAUAAAUAUGUUUAUAAGAUAAUUUUAGAGUAAAUUUCUAUAUAUAUUUUCAAAUAAAAAACACAAAGAGACAUGUUCAGUACUUGUAUCAUAAGUUUUAUUAUCAUCAAACGUUUGCCUUUCACUACUUUUGCAUGUCUAUAAAGGAAUUUGAUUUCAUUCAAAACACAAUCUAAUAAUUUUGUAGAGAUAAAGAAGACAAGCACGUCGCAAACUGAUCAAUGGCCAUUGAAGUAGACAAAACAGUACUGACUAGCACCACCAGCUUUUACUUGCAUUUGGCUUGAAAGACGAGUGGACUACAUCAAGCAAAUAACAAAAAAAAGCAUGUAAAGAACUAUGAUUAAUUUAAUAAAAAGUAUCUUGCAGUAUUAGAAGGUUUCAGUGAUAUGCCUAUUAAAACAUAUUUGUCAAGUGAUUCUUUAUCCUACAUUGGUUAUAUAUUUAUUCGACGUGGUGGUACUAUUUGUCGUGAAUCCACAAAUACUAUUCAUCAUCAUAGUGUUCAUCUACAUGCAGAUCACUAUGGAUUGAAGCAGUAAUAUUUUUAAAAAAAUUUCAAUUUGGUUCUUAAAAUUUUAUUUCACAUGAUUUUAGCUCUUUUAAACCCAAAUUAUCACUCAAUUGCAUAUUUUUUUGGGAGAGAUGGUUGAAUUAAAAAACAUAGGACUGAAGUGAAAAAACAGGUGAAAUAGAUGGUGACCUUGAAAUUUCUCUUAAAAGUUCAUUUUUAUCCCCCAUAUUUUUUUUAGCUCUUAGGUGACCGGUCCCUUUAAUUUUUAAAAAUUUAAUUUUAAUAUUAAACUUUAUUUUUUUUAUUUUUCAGACUUUUUUAUGGGAGGAGAGAGAAAGUUGUCGUUGGUGAUGAUUUCAGCCAUUGAAAUAAUCAAUUUUUGUCUCAAAUAAUUCCAUCUAAAGAGAAGAGUUUGAAUUAAGUGUUUUGUUUUACCUUGAAAAUACCUAAAAAAUAGAUCCGAGCUCAAGAAGAUUUUUGAAUUCAGGUUGAUAUCAGAUUUUAAGGUGUUUUUUUUGUGUUUUUUUUAGUCCAUUAAUUGUUUAACAAGAUUUCUAAGGUAUUUUUUAGGAGUUUUAAAUAACAAAUAGAUUAAAAAUAAGUUUUUAGAUAAAAAAAUAUAAACAUCAGUUUUCCCGCUACAACAAUGGAUGGAAUCUAGAAAUCUAGAUGACACAUUAUCUUUUUUAAAAAAAAAAAACAGUGUCUGACCCCUUAGCUUAGAAAAUAAAAGCCCUUUGAUUAGCAGGCUUGUCAAUGUCUAAUCUCAUUCUUUCUUUCUUUUUUAAUUAGUACCUUUUUUAUAUAAUUUUUUAUUUUAUGUUUUACUAAUACAUCAUCUAUUGUUUUGGCUUAUUUAGAAUUUUUUAAAAUGAAAAUAGUUUAUUUAAUUAUAUUGAUUGUAUUUAAUUUUUAAAAAGGUUGAUAUGAUUUAUCUGUAAUUUUUUAUAUAAAUAUUUAUAUAUGGAUUAAAUUUACCUUUAAAAAAUUAAUUAAUUAUUUAUUAUAAUAUUUUUAAUAUGUACAGCCUUGUAUAAUAUUUUUUUCUCUCUUAUUUUAUUUAAUAAAUCUUAUAUUCUGGACAUAUCAGUAUGGUUGGUUAGGUUUGGUUUUGGGGUGAAAAAAGAAAAAUCCAACCACAUCAAAUUAAAUGUUAUGGUUUGUUUUAAUUCAAUUCAUUUUUUUAUUAAGAAACCCAAUUUCAUUCUUGGGUUUUUUAGUUGAUUUUUGUAGAUAGACUCUGAUGUAAUAGGCAUGGUUGUUUUUGAGGUUUUUUUAGUUUUUUAUUUUAAAAAAGCAAUUGUUUGGUUUCAUUCAGUUUAAUUUUUUUUAAUCUCUUAAAUCUAAAGCCAAUUUAAGAUCUUUUAAAACUUUCUAAUCGGUUUUUUUUUUAAUUUUAUAUUGGUUUUUUUUUUCAAUUAAUUUUAUGAUAAGAAUCUCGUUAUAAGAAGUAAAAGGAAAAAAAAAAAAAAACAAUUACAUGUCGCAGCCAUGUUUUCACAUGGCCUCCGUAAAGUUCGAACAUUAACAUGGUCUCUAGACAAUAAGAACCUGUUUGUAAGUUUAGCAGAAUUAUUUUUUAAAAUAUUUUCUAGUUUAAAAUAUAUUAUAAUAAUAUCUAGUUAAUUAUUUUUAACAUCAAUAUAUUAAAACGGUCUAAAAAUACUAAAUAAUUAAUUAAGUUUUUUUAUAAAAAAAAACCGGUUCAACUACGGGGCUAAGGAUGUGUUUGGAAGUAUGGUAGUAGUAAUUUUUCAAAGUGAUUGUACUUGAAAAUGUAUCAAAAUAAUAUUUUUUAUUUUUUAAAAAUUAUUUUGACAUCAGCCCAUUAAAACAAUACUCACAAAAUUGAGCAUCAACCUAAAAAUAAACACUUAUUUGAGACAAUUAUCCCUCGAAAGCAAACAAAAAGUAAUAAUGCAGUUCAUUUCCUAACCAAUUCAAUGUUAAAUGAUAAAAUCAAAAUAUUAAAAAUAAUUAAAAGACAAAAAAAACAUAUUAUAAUGGUGGGUAAACUCGUCAAACUUGUGAAUCGGGUAAGUCGAGCUAAUAUGACAAACCUGUAAAUUGGAUCAUUGACUCCAUUGGAAUUAUAAUUUGUUUUUUAAAGCUAUUUUCUUAGUUAACUAUAUGAUAAUAAAAAUAGAUAAUUACAAAAUCAAACACCAACUUAAUACCAAAAUGUUUUUAGAUCAUGAUAACCUCAUAAAAUGUGAAACAAAACCAAUUAUGAAACUAAAUUCACAAUUAAUCCAGUAUCCAAGGAUGAAAAAAAAAACUGAUUUAAAAAAGUUAAUCUUGUCAACUAGCCAAAUAUAUCCAUGGAAUUUAUAAAGUUUAAUAACAUAAUUUUUUCUAAAAAUUAUUUUUUUAACUAUAUAAGGAAAAAAUAGACUAUAAAAAAGUCAAGUUUAAUUAUAAAAAAAAAACCCCACCAAACUUGUAAACUAGGGCAACUUAGAUUACCUAGCAAACUCACAAACCAUGUUAACCUUAUAGAAAUGUAAAAUAAAAGAAACAAAUUAUAAAGUUAAAUUCUCAACCAUCUCAAUAUUAAAAGAUAAAAUUGAUAAAAAAAAAAUUUGAGAAAAAAAUCAUAACAAAAAUUAAAAAAACAAAAACAAAAAUGAAAGAAAGCAAAACAUUAUGGAUUACUAUUGUCAUUCACAAUACAAUGUGUGUGGGUGAACAAUGAUUUUCUCACACCCUUUAAUUUUUGUUAUUUUAUAAAGUUUAAUAACAUGACUUUUCUCUAAAAGUUUUUUAAUUAUAUGAGAAAAAAAUAGACUAUUAAAAAAGUCAAGUUCGAUUUUAAAAAAAAAUACAACCCACCAAACUCGUAAACCAGGGAACCCUAGGGUACUUUGGCAAACUCAUAAACUACACUAAUCCCAUAUAAAGGAAAAAAAAACAAACAAAUUACGAAACUCAUUUCUCAACCAUCUCAAUUUUAAAAAAUAAUAUUGACAAAAAUAGAUUUUAAAAAAAAUCAUAAUAAAAUUUCAAAAAAAAAGAAAAAAAAAAGCAAGACACGGUGGAUUAUUAUUGUAAUACAUAGUGUAAUGUGUGCUGGGUAAACAAUGGUUUCCCCUACAUCCUUUAAUUUUUAUUACUUCAUAAAAUUUAAUAAUAUGGUUUUUCUCUAAAAUUAUACUAUAAAAAAGCCAAGUUCAAUUAAAAAAAAACCUCACCAAAUCCAUAAACUGGGGUACCCUGAGUUACCUCGACAAAAUCGCAAACCACAUAGAAAGAAAAAAUAAAAAGAAAAAAAAUUAAAUUUAAAUUCUCAACUAUCUCAAUAUUAAAAAUGAAAUCAAUAAAAAUAAUUUUUUUUAAAAAUCAUAUAUAAGAAAAACAAUGAAAAGGAAAACAUCAUGUGUUCAAGGGAAAAAAAAAACAAAUAAUAUGAGGAAAUAUUAUAGCAAUCUAUAAUGUUUUAUGAGAAUAAUUGCAGUGCUAUCCCCAUAUAUUUUAAUUUUUCUUAUGAUAAUAAUAAUUAUAGUCUCUCAUGUCUCACAACUUUAUUUGUUUUUCUUGAAUAAGUGCUAAUGUUCUUUGAGGGGUCCAAGCACCAUAUAUUGAAAGAAAGAACUAGUUCAAAUUGAAGCACUAUUAGUUUUAGAAGCACCAUGAAGAUUCAGGCGUGUAAAGAUAUCAAAGGCUCCUGCCACAUGUCAAAAGAUUAGAGAAUGAAAUUGUUAGAAUACUGUUAGUAACUGUUAGUAUUGUUUGUCAGUUAAGAGAAUUAGUUAGCAUUGUUUCAGUGAAAUAAAAAGAGAAUAGAUAACGUGCAUAACCUUUCUACUAUAGCAUAUAUAAACAUGUCAGAUAAGAGAACUGUAAUCAAUUAAUAAAAGAAUCAGUGCUAAAGUUCUUCUUCUUCUUCUUCUCUGUUUAACAGAAUCACUCUCUGCUUUUCUUCAUCUUUAUUCUCUGUUUUUCUUCAUCUCUAUUCCUUUUCUGUGUAAAUCUUACUGUCCUCACAAGGCCCACAUCUUGCUUAUAAUACCCAAGAUCCUAGCACCUUGUAUUUAUAAACGCUAGACACAGCUGCUGUUUCAAUGAAUAAUUCUCCACGCUAUUAUUGAUAAAUAUUGUGUGCUAUAUAUACAGCAGUGUGGAAAUUCAGUUUAGGAAAAAUAUAAAUGGUAAUGCUAAAACUAUGCUAUUACAAUAUACAGCUGCAGAAUUCAAGUUUGGAAUCGGCUCCAAAUAUAGCGUUAAUGGCAGAAUCUUUGCCAUGAUUUUCGGCUACACCUUCUCUGUUUUGAUUUGAGCAGAUUCUCUGCUAGUUUCCCUGAUAGUAUUUAAAUGAAAGAAAAAGAGAAGGGCAAAAGACUGCCAUGAGGCAACCUCAAGUAUCAUACACCUCUGUUUUUGUCCUUUUCAUUUUUCACGUGUUUCUCACAAGAAGCGAACAUAAAGUGCUGGAAGGAAUUUUUUGUUGCAGCGUGAGAUAAGUUUAACUCAUUGCAUUUUCAUAAAUUAAAGGGCUUUGUCUUCUUUUCUUUGUCAAUUACAGUGCAUGUAUAAAAGUUUUAUUGCUCAGAGUAAAUGCUAUUGUAAUGUUUUCGCAGAGACUCCCCUGCUUUGCAACCAAUUCACUUAUAUAUCUUGGAGCAUAGUCAUAGCCAUAAAUGGAAGGUUCUUCCGGUUCAAGAAAAUUAACCACGAAGCUCGUAACUAGAAUUUAGAGUGACCAAGGUCUUUUUCAAGAACAAGGGAAGUGUGCAAAAUGCAAAUAACGAAUCAAUACAUAAAUAAUUAAGUAAAAAGAGAGGACACAGAAGUAUAUCCUCAGACGAUGAAAAUACAGAAAGCCUAGCAUAUUAGAAAGAGCAUUUAUCCAUUUUCCCCCUUCUCUUGUAACAUGGACUGCUAAGAAAUCUAAUGUUUUGUUAUUGAUACGUGAGUUCAGUCUGAUUAUCUGUUGUGCAUACUGGACCGAAAGCAAACACAAAUAAAACACAAACAAGCAGAUUUACGUGGUUCCCCAAAACCGGGUACGUCCACGGAGGCAGCAGAUUGUAUAUUAUUGGAGGAAUGAUACAAACACUCAACUCAACCCAGUACAAUCCCACAAAACCCAGUGUUUCACUCUUACACUCGGUGUUUCUCUCAAAUCUGCACUCUUUCACUCUCACAGUUGCACUAUUUUCUUCUGCACACUUGCACUCACACUGCACUCUCUCGUUCCUCUCUUCUAUCUUCUAUCUUUCACACACAUUUACAGGAGAAAGGAAAGCAUAAAUAUAAUGGAUGAAAAGGAGAGGGUGGUUGAAAAGGAGAGAGUGGUUGAUGGUUGUUGAGAAAAAAUAUUGACAAUUAGCAAAUGUUGACAAUUUGCUACAAAUCUCCACCUUGGCAAGAUUUUUCCAUUCAAUCCUCGUGAACAAUCAAUGCUACCUCCAAUGCGUCAUAUGACGCUGCACCCUGAAGGUGCUCAACACCGAGAGAUGUUGACCAAGUCCAAACAAUGUUGGAACUUGAUCCCUGAGACACAUUUUGUGAGCAUGUCAGCUGGAUUAUAUGCGGUACCAAUCUUCUGUAGCAGAAUAUCCCCUUCAUCCACAAUUUCUCGAACAAAAUGAAAUCGAACAUCGAUGUGCUUGGUGCGGGAAUGAUGAACCUGAUUCUUUGCAAGACAAAUAGCACUUUGACUAUCACAAUGGACAUCCACGUGCUCUUGAACAAUUCCCAAAUCUUCAAUCAACCCAUGUAACCAAAUAGCUUCCUUGAAAGCUUCCGUUACUGCCAUGUACUCUGCCUCAGUUGUUGACAAAGCUACUGUUGAUUGUAACGUUGACCUCCAACUUACAGGCCCUUUAGCAAGUGUAAACACGUAGCCUGUUGUGGAACGACGUUUGUCUAAGUCACCAGCAUAGUCCGAGUCCACAUAACCAACUAAAUUUUGCCCAAGUCUAUCAUCCCUCUCAAACUUCAAACCAAUAUCAGUUGUGCCAUGAAUGUACCGUAGAAUCCACUUAACUGCCUGCCAGUGACCCUUUCCCGGAUCAUGCAUAUACCUGCUCACCAUACUGACAGCAUGUGAAAUAUCUGGUCUCGUACAAACCAUUGCAUACAUUAAUGCACCAACUGUAUUUGCAUAAGGAAUUUGAGCCAUAUGCUUGCGCUCUUCCUCUGUGCGUGGAGACAUUGAAGCACUUAGCUUAAAAUGAGGAGCUAAAGGUGUGCUUACAGGCUUGGUCUUACCAUCUACCCCAAAUCUCUGUAGAAUUUUCUUCAAGUAUUGGGUCUGUGUCAAACAGACUGUGCCUUUUCUUCUGUCUCUCUGAAUCUCCAUGCCAAGAAUCUUCUUAGCUUCUCCAAGGUCCUUCAUUUCAAACUCAGUGCUCAGUUGAGCUUUCAGUCUAUCAAUCUCCACCUUGCUCUUCGAUGCGAUCAACAUAUCAUCCACAUAUAAGAGCAAAUAGAUGAAAGAACCAUCAAGAAGUUUGCGAAAAUAUACACAGUGAUCAAACUGACUCCGUGUGUAUCCAUGUUCUGCCAUGAACUUAUCAAAUCGCUUAUACCACUGGCGAGGAGAUUGUUUCAAUCCGUAUAAUGACUUCUUCAGUUUACAAGCCCAAUUCUCUUUCCCAGUGACUUUGAAACCAUCUGGCUGAGACAUGUAAAUUUCCUCUUCCAAAUCUCCAUGUAGGAAGGCAGUUUUCACAUCAAGUUGGGCUAACUCCAAAUCAAACUGUGCAACCAAGGCUAACAGAAUACGGAUUGAUGAAUGCUUAACAACUGGAGAGAAUACCUCAUUAUAAUCUAUCCCCUCCUUCUGAGCAUAGCCUUUUGCUACCAAUCUCGCUUUGAAUCGGAUGUUGUCUUUUCCAGGAUUACCUUCCUUCUUGGCAUAUACCCACUUGCAACCAAUUGUCUUCUUUCCUUUAGGGAGUUGUACCAAAUCCCAAGUCUGAUUCUUAUGGAGAGAUUUCAUCUCUUCAUCCAUUGCCUCUUUCCAUUUUGCACUUUCUACACUCUGUACUGCUUCUUUGUAGGUGUAGGGGAUUCCAUCAUCAAUCACCGGAAGUGCAUAAGCCACCAUGUUACAAUACCGAGCAGGUUUCUUGAUAACCCUUUUUGGUUUACUCGUUGCAAUGGAUUCUUGUUGUGUGGUUGCUGGAGUUGUUGCAUCCUCUUCAUCUGAACUUUCAUCUGAAUCUCCUUCAGUAGAGAUUGUCUGAACAGUCUUUAUAGGGAUGACUGAAGUCUCCAACUCCACCUGUUGUGCAUCACCAGACUGUUUUUCCUUCUCCUGUGAUUUCUCUUGCUGUAACAUGCCAGACUCAUCAAAAGUGACAUCUCUACUCAAGAUCACUUUCUUUGAUUCAGAACACCAGAGUCUGUAGCCUUUUACUCCUCCACUAAAGCCCAAAAAUAUAGCUUUCUUGGCUCUAGGAUCUAGCUUGGACUCAGUAACAUGAUAAUAUGCUGAGCAACCAAAUAUACGCAUAGAGUCAUAAUCAUUUGCAGGAGAGCCUGACCAUACCUCUAAGGGGGUUCUUCCAUUUAAUGCUGCUGAAGGUAACCGGUUAACAAUAUGACGAGCAUAACUUAAUGCCUCGCCCCAGAACACUUUGCUUAGUCCCGAAUGUGAUAGCAUACAUCGGACUUUCUCCACCAAUGUGCGGUUCAUGCGUUCUGCUACUCCAUUCUGUUGUGGUGUUUUGCGAACAGUAAAAUGUCGCUUGAUCCCUUCAUUCUGACAAACUUCAAAGAAAGGAUCUGAAGUGUACUCACCACCAUUAUCUGACCGAAGAGUCUUAACCCUCCUUCCAGUUUGAGUCUCCACCAUUUUCUUCCAUUUCAGAAAGAUAUCAAGGACCUCAUCCUUGUGUUUCAUCAUGUACACCCAUACUCGUCUUGAGAAAUCAUCAAUAAAAGUAACAAACCAACGAUUACCUCCAAGAGAUUCAUUCUUUGAAGGUCCCCAUACAUCUGUGUGAACAUAAUCUAGGAUCCCUUUUGUGUUGUGUACUGCAGUGCCAAACUUGACCCUUGUCUGUUUUCCAAGAACACAAUGCUCACAGAACCCAUGCUUCCCAGUCUUGGCGCCUUUUAAUAGACCUUGCUUGACUAAUCCUUGCAAAGCCUUUUCACCAGCAUGCCCUAAGCGCAUGUGCCAAAGUCUGGAAUUAUCUGCUUCAUCAUCUUCUAUACUUUUGGAAACAGCUGCUGUACCAGUAACUGUAGAUCCAUCCAGGAAAUAUAAGUUUCUUAUCCUCGUGCCUCUUAAGACAACUAAUGCACCACGAAUUGCUUUCAGGACUCCACCAUGCAUGAUAAUCUUAUAACCACUGGAUUCUAGGACUCCAAGUGAGAAGAGAUUUUUCUUCAAGUCAGGUACAUACCGUACAUCUGUUAGUGUCUUGACUACCCCAUUAUGCAUCUUCAGAUGGAUAGUCCCAAUCCCUUUGAUCUCACAAACAUCAUCAUUACCCAUCAACACAACUCCUCCAUCGAACUCCUCGAGUCUCGAGAAUAAGUGCUUGUUAGGGCACAUGUGAUAGGAACAUGCAGAAUCAAGAAUCCAUUCACCAGAAUGGUUUUCUGGUGAUGAGACCAUGAAUGCAGAGUCUCGUUCAUCCUCAUCCCGUGCAACGUUCACAGUUGGUUCAUCUUUUUCCUUGUUGCCCUUGAUUGGACAAUCUUUCUUCCAGUGCCCUUUUUUGUGACAAAAGGCACACUCAUCUUUUGCAAGAUAUCGUCUGUUUGAUGAUUCUCCUCUGGAUUUUGAGCGAGAUCUCCCUCGCCCUCGAAAUCUUCUGGGGUUUGUUCUGCCUCUAACUGUCAAUGCUUCUGACGUUGACUCCUUGUGAACAAUCUGGUCCUUCUUUCGGUACUCAUUAUUCACCAAAGCAUUGGACACAUCAAUGAAUUUAAUCUUUUCUUUACCAUACAGUAAAGUGGUGACGAGAUGUUCAUAUGUGUCAGGCAGUGAAUUCAAUAAUAGCAGAGCUUUAUCUUCAUCAUCAAUUUCCACAUCUAAAUUCUUCAAAUCAGCUAUCAUUUUAUUGAAAUCAUUUAGAUGCUCAUUCAUAGAAGUACCUUUCUUGUGCUGAAAACGGAAGAUCCUUUUCUUCAGGUAGAGACGAUUCUCUAUACUCUUCUUCAUAAACUUGUCCUCCAGUGCUUGCCAUAAUUCCUUUGCAGAGUUUUGUUCUGAAAAGGCGUACUUCUGAUCCUUUACAAGACAAAGUCGGAUGGAACUGCAGGCCAACCGAUUUAUCCUUUCCCAGCUUUUAUCAUCCAAAUCCUCCGGUUGAUCUUCUAAAGUGAAAUCCAAAUUCAUUUGGACAAGCAUAUCCAUGACUUCACAUUUCCACAUGCCAAAAUUACCUUUCCCAUCAAACUUCUCCACCUCAAAUUUGGUAUUCGAUACCGGGAUGUAUUGUGGAGGUAUACUAGCAUUCCCCGCUGAUUUUUCUUCUGGAAUAUCAGCCAUUAGGACGUCUUUGGAUUACAAAUGGACUCCUGAAAUUGUUAAAACACGCACUUUUAUGCUCAAAAGAGCCAAAACAGUAACUUCGGUGUGCUGUUUCACAAAACGGACAUCACGGUUGCGUCCGGAAUGGUUGAAAAUGCUAGGAACCAACUUGACUCGGCCAAAAAACAGGUCAAAAAUCACUGAGUUGGCCAAAAAACCAAUCUGACCGAGUUGACUCAGGGAAGGAAUAUUCUGUCUCUGAUAAAGAAUAUUCUGUCACGGGAAUAUUCUGUUACUGGUAACGGAAUAUUCUUAUUCUGUCAAGAGAAUAUUCUGUCACUGUUAGAUGACAUGUCUGAUGACGUGGCUGAUGACAGGGCGAUGUGGACCCUCUGUUGAUGACGUGGAUGAUGACUCAGCGCCUACGUGUCGGAUGACGUGGCUGUCUUCUCAGGCGAGAAUUCCGGCAAUGACUGGUUUUUCCGGCAGAUUUCCGGCGAAACUUCGGCGAGCUCUACAGGGCUCGUUUCAACUCCGAUUUCGAUGAUCUUUAUAUCGCCGGACUCGUAUGGACGAGAGGAAUCUCCUCAGCUGGUCAAAAGCAAGAUCUGAGAACUUUGAAAAUUCUGCAACUUUGAACAGAGAGCUGAAAAACGUGUUUUUUCAGUGUUCUAGCUUCCCUAAUGCUCUGAUACCAAUUUGUUGUGCAUACUGGACCGAAAGCAAACACAAAUAAAACACAAACAAGCAGAUUUACGUGGUUCCCCAAAACCGGGUACGUCCACGGAGGCAGCAGAUUGUAUAUUAUUGGAGGAAUGAUACAAACACUCAACUCAACCCAGUACAAUCCCACAAAACCCAGUGUUUCACUCUUACACUCGGUGUUUCUCUCAAAUCUGCACUCUUUCACUCUCACAGUUGCACUAUUUUCUUCUGCACACUUGCACUCACACUGCACUCUCUCGUUCCUCUCUUCUAUCUUCUAUCUUUCACACACAUUUACAGGAGAAAGGAAAGCAUAAAUAUAAUGGAUGAAAAGGAGAGGGUGGUUGAAAAGGAGAGAGUGGUUGAUGGUUGUUGAGAAAAAAUAUUGACAAUUAGCAAAUGUUGACAAUUUGCUACAUUAUCUGCGUAAAAUAUCUCUGGAGAUGCUUUCGAUGGAGAUUAGGUCUCAAAACGCUAUGCCCACUGCCCCCAUGGAUCCAGAGCGUGAAAAUGAAGCCGAGCAUUGAAUUUCUAAACAUCAUUUCCUUUUGUUUUAUAUUUCGCAUUGUUACCAAACUCUUUUACAUUUUAUUGCUGCAUAUAUUGCUAUGUAUAUACCAUGCUUUAAUCAAAACCUAUAAUGCAGGAAUAUCUGCAGAUGGCCAUUCCCAAAGGGAAAACUAAUCUUCCCUAGAAUAUUACAAAGUGCCAUUUCUACAGUGAGAAUAGCGUUUCGUUUUGGUUGUUUUGUUGAUGAUAACUAGAUCUUAAAACUAAUCCCUGUACUUUUACAUGAUGCUAUAAACUGGUCCCUUUUAUUAGUAAAAUGUUGAGCCAGUCAAUUGAUUAUUUAAAAAUCUUGAGGGAUUAAUUUGUUUGUUUCACAAAAAAAGACACUGAUUAAAUAAAAAAAUUAUCAUCAUAUGCAUGAGUGUUUACUUGUCCAACAACAGUUUGCAAGGGGCAGAUCCUUGGAUGGAUAUUAGAGGUGAGCAAAAAAACCAAUAAACAGAUUAAACAAAGAAAACAAAAAACAAAUAACCGAAAAAACCGAACCGAAAAAAAACUGAAUUAACUGAUUAAAAAAUCACAAAAAAAUUCCGGUUCGGUUUGGUUUCGGUUUCUAAAGUCUGAAACAGAUUGAACCAAACCGGUUAAACCAUGCCAGCACUUAAAAAAAAAAAGUAUAAAUAUGAUGUUUUUUCUAACACUAAACCUAAAGUAACAUUCAGUCGCGACCCCCGCCCCCCCUUCCCUUUGCUCUCUACAUCUCUUCUCUUUGAUUUUUCUUCAUGCUCCACAAUUGUUACUUGUUAAGCUCCUGCUCCAUGCUCCUAAAGGUCCUAAACCAACGCCCCCCCCCCCCCUUCUCUGCCUCUCAUCAUCUUCUCACAACCCCUCCUUUUUUCUCCCUUUUUCUCUCUGCCUCUCAUCUCUCCCCGUAGCCCCCCCUCCUUUUCUCUCUAUCUCUCAUCUCUGCAUCUUAUCUUCUCCACUUCAAGUUUGUGGGCACUGGGCAGAUAAAAAAAAGAGAUGGCUUUUUGAUGAUUAAGAUUCUAACUCCACUUCAAGUCCAUCCCUGCAUCUUGUGGGUUUUUGCUUUUUUUUUAUUAUGCUAUAAUUUGCUUGUAGUUUGUGGGCAAAUAUGUUUUUCAAAUAUGUCUUGGUCAUGUAAAUUGGAAUAAGUUUCUGAAUAACAAAAAUGAGAUUUGCUUUUCGGUUUUAUCGGUUGUCAUAACCCAAUUUUUUACCCUUUUAUUUUAAUUUUAUGAUAAAAAGAAAAAAUGAUGAAAAAAUAUAUAUAUAUAAUAAUGAUGAAAAAAAUAAAAAUGAAAUAAAUGAAGAAUGAAUUAAAAUUUGGGUUAAUGGCAACAUGAUUGGACGCUUAAAGAUUUAAUUUUUGACUUGUCUAAUUAAUCAAAUCAAUUGUUUAAUUGGAGAAUUGAUAAGUUUUGGGACUUAAUUAAGCUUGAAAUUAAUUUAAUUAAUCCAAUCAAGGGUUUAAUUGGAGAAUUGAUAAGUUUUGAGACUUAAUUAAGCUUGAAAUUAAUUUAAUUCAUCCAAUCAAGGGUUUAAUUGGAGAAUUGAUAAGUUUUAAACUUAAUUGGACUUUGGAUUUAAUUAAAUUAAUGAAAUCAGGGACUUAAUUGAAGAAAUAGCAAAGUUUGGGGUUAAUUGGGAGUCCCAAUUGUGAAAUUAAAAUCCAAGGAUUACAUUGAAAAAGGCGCGCAAAUGCAGGGGGCCAAUUACAGUUUAAACCAGGGGUUUAAUUACAAGACUUUCAAAACUGCAUGGAUCAAAACGAAAAAUGGCCGAACGACGUCGUUUUGAAGAUGUUGUUCAUCUUCUUCUCCUUUAUGCCAGUGACCGUUUCCGCAGUAAUGGAGGGAGGAACAUUGCAGCAGUAAUCGUCGUCCGUUGGCUUCAGUUAUGAGCGCCUUAAUGGUGGCCGACUGUUAGCCUACCGCCCGUUAUCAACCCGCCAAGGCCUAUAUAAACCGAGCAGCACCGAAGAGGAGCGAGGUUAGAGGGAGAGAGAGAGAGAGAAAAGAAACCGAAAAGAAGAGAAACACAACCAAAGCACACAAUUUUUAGGUUCAUCUCCAGAACUCCCAUACCAGAACUAGGCUUCCCUCACCAGUUCUGACUUAAGAAAAACGAGAGAGAAAACCGGCCGAAAGAGAGAGAGACGGUGUUCUGAAAAACAGAGCAAAAGAAACGAAGAAAAAUAAACCAAAACAGAGACGCAGGAAAGGAAUACAACAUGAAAACCAGAAGGAGUAAGAAGAAAUUCGAAGGCAGAAGCGUCGUCCUCAGCAAUCACGAACAAAUUCCCUGCAAACGAACCAGGUAAGUCUUCUGCUCUGUUUCCCUCGCUUUGCCUUAUUUCAUUUUCGACGUCCGUGUUUAAUUCAAUAACAGGGCCAUGUACGCGUGAUUUAGAUCACGCGUGCCUAGUGUGGCCCAGCCAGGUCACUGGCUUGGGCCAGUGACCGGGCUGGGCUGGCUGGGUCUAGCCCAGCCCAUGUGGGCUGAGCUGGGCACAGCCCCAAAAACAUAAAAAAUAGAAAAAUAGAAAAAUAGAAAAAAAAUAAUAAUAAUAAAAAAAUAAAAAAGUAAAAAAGGUAGAAAAAAUAAAAAAUGUGUAUGCAUAAAUAAAAAUAAUAUGAAUUUAUUGGUGUAUUCAUUGACGCCAGAGUCAGGAAUAAAAAUACCGGUUUAAAUUUAUAUUAUUUUUAUUCAUUGUAUUUUAUUUUAUUUAGCUAGAAAAUAAAAAAAUAUGUGCAUGUGUAAAAAAUAAUUUUUUUUAUGUGAAUAUUCACUUGCGCCAGAGUCAGGAAUAUUAUAAGAAAAUUAUCAUAGCAUAAACUAAUAAAUAUUUAGCAAUUUAAGACAAAACUAGCAAUGCAGUCUGCCUCAGGCAGAACGUUUAAGGGGUGAUAAUAUCUUCCCUUUUACGUAAUCAAUCCCGAGCCAUAGAAUCUCUGAUGACCAGUUAGGGUUCCUAGUGACCGUAAUACUAGGUGGCGACUCCUUAUACAAGACCUUUUCCCCUAAAAGAACAAGAUGCCAGAAAUCUGUUCUUUUUUCACAAUCUAGAAUUAUUUGUGGGCCGCCGUGAUGUCGGGUGCGACAUCGGUUUUUGAACAACAAAAGUCGAACCGAACCGAACCGAAACCAAUAAAUUUGAACCGGUUUCGGUUCGGUUUUGAUUUUAAAUUUUAAAAUUAAUAAUGUCGGUUUGGUUAAUUUUUUCAUGUAAAAAUUGAACCGAACCGAACCGAAAAUGAUCACCCCUAGGGAAUAUGUCUUCUCUUGAAUUCUUGAACCUAUCAGGGGACAAUUUCUCUGGUCUUUUACUGCCUAGAUUCAGCAAUUCCUCAAAAUUGAGAUAUGUUUAUUUGUCUAGAAAUAAAUUGCAAGGACCAAGCGCAAUAAAAUUUUAUGAUUCCUUUGAGAUAUUAGCCUUAGAUCUUUCCCAUAAUGAUUUAACUAGUAGGAUUCCAGAAUGGAUUGACAGGUUAUCUAACUUGAGAUUUCUACUUUUGAUUUAUAACAAUCUUGAAGGUAAAAUCCCAAUUCAAUUAUGCAAGUUCGACCAAUUAACCUUGAUUGAUCUAUCUCACAAUUAUCUUUCUGGUAACAUCCUCUCUUGUAUGAUAUUUACUCAUCCUUUCCCUAUUCAAUACAAUUCUCGUGAUUUUGUGUCCUUAUCACAACAACCUUUCGAGUUUACAAUGAAGAAUGUAUCUCUUUUUAAUAGAGGCAACAUUAUCUGGAAUUUCACUGGAAUUGAUGUCUUAUGCAACAAUUUCACAGGAGAGAUUCCCCGUGAAAUUGGAAGCCUCAGCAUGAUCAAGGUAUUGAAUCAUUCCCACAACAUUCUAACUGGACCAAUUCUAUCAAUAUUUUCAAACUUAAAGGAAAUAAAGAGCUUGGAUCUUUCCUACAACAAAUUGGAUGGAAAAUCCCAUCUUGACUAUAGAAUUUUUCAGUGUGGCACACAAUAAUCUGUCUAGCAAGACUCUUGCAAGAGUUGCACAAUUUGCCAUGUUGAAGAGAAUUGCUACAAGGGCAACCCUUUUCUUUGUGGAGAACCGCUACCCAAAAUAUGUGGUGCAGCUAUGCCACCAUCACCAAUGCCAACUUCAACGAACAAUGAGGAUCAUGGUGGCUUCAAUAAUCUGUUUGAAGAGAGCUGCUACAAGGACAACCCUUUUGCAUGUGAGCUUUAAGGUUGCAUAGAUCAUGGUGUUGUUGGUGAUAGGUGCAAUUCUGUACAUAAAUUCAUAUUGGUGACAAGCUUGAUUUCACUUUAUUGAGGUGAGCAUCAAUAAUUACUAUUAUUUUCUUGUGGAGAAUCUUUCCAUUUUAUCUAAGUUUGGAUUUUCAUAGCCUUUUAUCUUGAUGGUACUAAGCCUUGGUGCAUUGUUUUGGAUUUUAGUUUCAAGAUUUAAAUAAGUUUAUAUUGAUUUUCAUAUGAGUUUUGUUUUUGUUUUUAGCUUCUAUGUGAUAUAUAAUAAUCAAGUUUUUUUUUUUUUUUAAAGGUUAUCUAAGUUUUUUUAGCUGUUUUUUUUAUGCUUUUUAGGAUUUUUUUUUUUGCUUUUUUCUUUAUUUUUUUUAAUUAAUUUUUUUCGUUUAGUUUAGUUUGUUAAUGUUAAAUUUCUUUCUAUUUAGUUAUUAGACUUUCAUGACACAUAUCUCGAGUUUCACGGGUUAACCUGGUUUCACGGGUGAACCCAGUUAAUUCCGGGUUGACCCGUCAAUUUUUUAUUAUUAUUAUUUUCAUAAAUAUUUUUUUUUAAUUUAGUUUGUUAAUGUUAAUUUUUUUUUAUUUAGUUAUCAGACUUUCAUGACACAAAUACUGGGUUUAACAGAUUAACAUGGUUUGACGAGUUAACCCGAAUUUUUUUUCUUUUUAAUUAAUUUUUUUUGUUUAGUUCAGUUUGUUAAUAUUCACUUUUUUUUAUUUAGUUACCAGACAUUCAUGACACAGAUCCCGGGUUUAACGGGUUAACUUGGUUUGACGAGUUAACAUGAAUUUUAUUUUAUUUUUUGCUUUUUUUUUCUUUUUAAUUAUUUUUUUUCGUUUUGUUUUGUUUAGUUUGUUAAUGUUAAAUUUCUUUCUAUUUAGUUUUUUUUCUUCUUAGAGGUUUUUUUUCUUUUAUUUGUUAUUUUUAAUUAAUUUUAUUUAAUUAAUUUAGUUUAUUAAUAUUAAAUUUUUUUCUAAGUAGUUCUCGACUGAUGCCUUUAGUUUUUUUUUUAUGCCUUUGACUGUGAACUGCACAGUGCAGUCCACUGUGAAAAGGCUGAUGCUUUUUUUUAAUUAAUUUUUUUUGUUUAAUUUAAAUUGUUAAUGUUAAAUUUUUUUCUAUUUAGUUAUCAAACUUUCAUUACACGGAUUCUGGGUUUGACAGGUUAACCUGGUUUGACGAGUUAGCCUAGUUAAUUCUGGGUUAACCCAUUAAUUUGUUUUUUUCUUUUUAACUAUCAAGCUUUCACGAUGCAAAUUCAAUGUAUGACGGGUUAACCUGGUUUGAAGGGUUAACCCAAUUAAUUCAUUUUUUUUUUCAUUAGUUUUUUUUUCCUGUUAGUUUUUUUUUAACUAAUUUAUUAAAUUAUCACACUUUUAUGACACAACCUUGCAGCCAGACCCAUGUCCAAUGUUAUUGGGUCUGGUAUUGCAAUCCAGACAUUUUUAUGCUAAGGGUUAACCCAAGUUUAAUGUUAUUAUUAAUAUUAUAAACAUUACUCUUAGAUCAGGCGUUGCAACCAAACCUGAGACUCUUGGGUAUAACUUUGUAAAAAAACCUAAUACUUUUAGAUCUUAACUAUUUUUAAAAUGCAAAAAAUAAUUGACCUGCGGCAUCGCGCGGGGCAUGUAACUAGUAGAUUACUAAAGGGGAUCGAUUUUGAUUAUGAUUUGGUGUGGGAAAUUCUCUGCGUGCCUACAUAGAGUGUGGCUUCUUGAAACUCCAAAAAAUAUAUAUAGGUGUUUGCCUAAACCAGUAUUGGGCAGAUAAAGAUAAGCCAGGAUUGCCGAGGAAGAGGCUGUUCAGGUAGUCCGAACAGGGAUCUAUAAUCAUUAGUUAUAUAAUCAACCCUAAUCAGAAUUUCCCAAGAAAGAAUUAACUAAAGACUUCAGUUAAUGCUGAUGAACACGAGUAAAGGAUUUGCUAAAGACAAAACCAUGUAUUUAAGAACCAUUGCUAAGCUACAGGUUCUGGAGCCACAAACCACUCACAUUUACUGGGGUUGAUCCCAAAUUGAGACAAAUCUAUUUGUCCGGUUCGGAGAACCUUCAAACAAAAAGAAGAGUUAAACCUUGUAAAAUUGACUAUAUAUCAUCAAAAGGACAAGAAACACACAGGAAACCUCAUAAUUACCUCAGAAUGCACCGACGUAAAACACACAGGAAAUCCCAACACAUCAUAAGACAACAAAAGAAAACAUAUAUUUAGCAGAAUAAAAAGGUUGUACAAUUCUUUCACAGCUUACAGUACGUAUAGAAUAAGCAUUAAUAAUUACCUUCAUCUGGAUCACCCGAACUACCUGCAACAUGUAUCAUCACAUCACGCGGGCCACCCUAAGUACAACAAACAAGGAUAUGGUCACUUGCACUAUCUAAGCAGAACACACCUCCAGCACCAAUAUUACUCAGGAUUCUUUGCAAGUCUUCCAAUUUCACUGGUUCUGAUGAAGAGUUUACAUCACUCAUUACUUCUGCACCAAGGUCUGGGACAACUGAGUUUCCAGUCCUGAGAGCGAUGAGCAAAAAUCUCAUCGGAAUAAAAGAAAAUGGCCACGUAAUAUAUACCUGGCCAUUUGUUUUUGGUAACAAAAGUGCUCCUUAACCUUUUUGAAGUUAUUUUAGAAUGAAUUACAAGCAUUAAACAUUUAUAUAUAUGGACAAACACCGAGUUUAUGCAAGUCUGUGCAAGGGCAAUAUGGGGUGAAGGAUUUGACAUGGGCUAAGGUGGGUGAGAUGUUUUUGUCAAGAAAUGAUUUUGGAAAAUUUCUUGAUAUUUCAUGAAUAAAUAAGAUAUGAGUCUUUAUCAAGGAAAGAACAUAGGCUCUCCAAGAUGAUUGACCAGAAGGAGAGAAGGGAGGCUCAUUCUGCUCCACUGACUCUUAGUCUCAAAGAACAAAAAAUUACAUAGCUCUAUAUCCUUACUCUUACUUGCUAUAUCAACUCUUAGAGUUGAAGUAUCAUCUUUGACUAUGCUUCUUUGUUAUAAUAAAUAUACCUUGAUGAGAUAUUAUCUUCAAGCAUGUCUUCAAAAACUUGGAAAGGAGUAGAAGCAUCAGGCUCUUCUUCAUCAACUACACCAAAUUGUUUGCAUUUAAGAGAUCGGGGGAGGGGGGCAGAAGAUUAGACUUUGCAUUUAAAUAUAAGCCAAGAUGAUUAGGAACAAAAUAAUGACGAGUAGCAUGGCUAACAAAGGACUCAAAACACAAAAUUGUUUACCAAAUGGACGAUUAAUAUAAUAGUUGAAAGAGCUACAUAAUUGUGAAUCAUCUUUAGCUUUUGGCUCCUGCAAACAUGUUACACAAUUUUCCAAAAUCAUGCAGCUAACAGCUGAGUCAAUGUUACACAUAAGAGAGUGAAAAACGCAGAAAGUGAACCUGACCUGCACCCAAAUGAAAAACUUUCGAUCAUCUGUAUUGAAUUUCAAGAUGUAAACUCUUCCCAAAGCUUGAUUAACCUGAAUAACCCAAGGAAUUAUGAAUCUAUGAUAUUACAAUCAAUUAUUAGAGUCAAAUAUCUUCCAUCUAAGAAAAAACUAGGAGAGAAAAGUGUACCUUCUCAAAAACAGCAUCUUCAGAAAAAAAUAAUAUGAUCCUGUCAAUCAACGCGUCAAGAAAAAGCUACCAAAGUUCUCACCUCAAAAGAAUAUUAACAAAACAAACAACAGAAAAAAAAAUAAAAACCAAAGUUGGAAGGGAGAAACAAAAUCCCCAGGCUCAAAAACAUAAUAAUAACUAGGAUACAUCUUCCACAGCAUUCAAAUUCCUAUCAAGCCACUGGAAAUGAAGCAAACCCUCAUCACCCUGGAACAAUUCAAAAAUUUCGACUUCAAACAGGAAACAAGAUGCUAGAAACACUCUAUCUAGUACUUAAGAUAAACCAAAACAAUAGAAUUAACUAAAAAUCUUUACACAGACACGAACUCUAUAUAACACAAAAAAAAAAAACCAAAAGACACCAGUUUACCCUUCCAAUGCGAACAAGUCCUUUUCGAGAAUCAGGAACAAACUUUUUUCCAACGAAAACCAUUUUACCAGCACGAAACUCCAACAUAAUUUCCUACCAACAAAACAACCACAACACCAUAACAUAACCCCACCAAGAAAAACAUACUUGUACAUCCAACAAAGCAAUUACAGGCUCUAAUUAAAAAGAAACAGAGAUUUUAAGCAAAACCCACAAUUUUAAAAGUGAUUUUAUUUACCUGCAUUGCUGAAAUAUCUACAGUUGAUGAAGAACCCAUUUUUCGCAUACUUCCUCUAAAGCUUCCUUUUUUUCAACACUGCAAAAAACAAAAAACAAAAAAAAGAAGGACAAAUCAAAUACCCAAAUCAGAAACAAUAACAGAAAAAAAAUAAAAGAAAAUCCAAAGCUGGAAGUUGUAAUCAGGAGGAGAACCAGACAAUUUCAGAUAGAAUGACAUUUUAUCAAGAAUUGAACUGGGCAUUCAGUUAAUUAAAUAGGUUGUAAUCAGGUGAGAGUAGUGUCAACAACAUGUUUAGUUUUCCUCUCGGAAGUGCCAUUCUGCACAAGUCAGUGUUUUAAAAAUAUUUUUAAAAAAAUUUUAAUUUGUUUUUUUAGUGGUUUUAAUUUAUUUUCAUGUAUUAAUAUUAAAAAUAAUUUUAAAAAAUAAAAAAUAUAUUAUUUCAAUUUAUUUUAAAAUAAAAAAAACUUAAAAAAUACUGUUAACACAGUAUUAAACAAACUCUAAUCCUAUAACCAGAUGAACAACGUUAAGAUAUUUGUUUUUUGUUUUUCUUUUUUUUGAUAAUGAGACUGUCGUAAACAAUCUUGCCUAAUGAUUGUUAAGAAAUGAAAGAGGCAAUGCAUGGCUAAACCAAUGGAAGCUAAAAAGCUAAUGUUAUCCCUAGUAAGCAAUUGUUGCCGCAAUGACAUAUGCCUCGUUAGAGAUAUAUUUGAAUUUACAUAUUAUUAUUAUCAUAUAUUUUGUAUUGUCGUUUAAAAAAUAAAUAUUUUCCUUAUAUAGAGUAGAAUGUUUUUAAUUUUAUCAUUUAAAAUUUAUAUAUUUUUUAAAAAAUUAAUACAAUAUACAGUUAAUUAAACAUCUAUAAAUUAAUAUCAUUGAGAACAUGAAAUUUAUUAAUUAAUUAAGAUGUUAUUUAGUAAAUAAAUUUAUACACUUAUACAUUAAUCAAUAAAAAAUUUUCUUUUUCAAAAACAUUGAACUCAAUACAUGCAUCGUGUAUAAUAUUAUCUAAUCAUCAAAUUAUGAAUUAUCAUAAUUCUAUAUAUUUAUUUAAAUAAAACAAGUUCAAGAAUUAAUGUAAUCAAUCUUAUUAAUUAAUAAAAUUCAUGUAUGUAUUAACAUACAAGCAAAAAAUCUAUAAAAAGAAUAUACAAGUGAGCCAAACAACAAUAUAUAUUAAAAACGAACAAGAGGUCGAAUUAAUAUCCAUUAACUAAUAGUAAAAUUAAGAAGAUGAUACCAAAGAGACACAAAAUCACAAAAAAGCAUUUAACAUUUCAGAGAAAGAAGCCUGCAACACCCAUUAAGGAAAAGAGAGAAGGGAAAGAAAUGUGGAUUAAUUCAUACAGAGGCUCACCUUGUUCCAGACCAGCGCGAGACUGUAGACGAACCAAGAGCAAAAAAUGCAGGAGAGAUAAUCAUGAGAGAAACAAAUUCAUAUAUCCACGAAUAUGUACAAUAUUUGAAACCUAUAAUGCAAGAAUAGCUGCAGAUGUACAUUAAUAUUUUUAAUUUAAAGAAUCAAUUAAUUAUUUAAAAAACUUGAGGGAUUAAUUUGUUUGUUUCACAAAAAAUAGACACUGGUUAUAUAAAAUUUUACUUAAAUUUUUAUCAUCAUAUUUUAAAAGAAACCAGUUUAUGUUUUGCGCAACACGAAAAAUCAUAUAUGCUUAAGUAACUAUUUGGCAUCUUAAACUCAAUUUAGUAAAUUAAUUUUAAUUUUUUUCUAUCCGGCUCUUUUCCUAUAUCAAAUUUAAAAUUAACCAACAUAAAAAUUAUCCUCAAAUGAUACAGUCAAUAUGAUAGGUUUACAAAAAUAUAUUAAAUUGAUUCUAAUUUCAUGGCUUAACUCUUCAAACCCACUACUCGAAUAAUAGACUCCAUCUAGUUGUAAUUAUUAUUUUGUUUUUUAAUUAUUUUUUAUUGAAUAAUAUGAUAACAAUAUCAAUUCAAAAUCAACUAAAUAUUAAAGGAUAAAAUAAAAAAAAUAAAAAAAAUUCAAUAGAAAAAAAAAGGAGAAGAAUGGUAGAGUUUAAAAACAAAUAAACAAUAUGACGUCAUUGUUAGAGCACCUGAAAUUACUGUUCCUUUUUACUAUAAUGAUGAAGUUUCCACAUAAUAUAAAACAUGCUUAUAAAUUAAUAACCGAAAUAAAAAUUAAAUUGAGACGACAAUCAAUUCUUUAACUUUAAAACGAUUUAUUAACAAUAGAAUUGAGAAGGCCCGCCACAGAUCAAGAGGACAGCUUCAAUGAAGCCAUCCCAGCCAAUGCAGGUGAUUACCCGUCGGUUGAAGUCUCAUCGCGCGCCUAGCACCAGCCAAACCGCCUCAAUCUGAACAUGCACCAGACAAAGUUCAUGAAAAGACGCCAGGGAGCCUCAGCAGCUGAGAAGAAAGUGCGGGAACACCCACCGCACGAGAAGAAACGUGAAAAGCAGAGAGGGAGCGCGGUAAAGAUUGUCAAGCCACGGGAUUCACACACAGUGCACCGAGUUUUAAUGAGCACUCUUAGUUUUUUUUUAUAUAUAUAUAUAUAAAAUUCUUUUAGUUUUAGUUUUAGUUUUAGUUUGUUAGUUAUGAACAGUGAAGCAGCACCAGAAUACAGUUCUUUUAGUUUGUUAGCGAAUCUGGAAAAGAAUAAAGUCAUCUGUCAAGCUCUGUUCACUUUGGUCCGACAUUCCUCACCUCUCCCCACCUGAGCUCUCUCUCUUUCCCUCCUCCGCUUUCAGAAACCGCCGCCGCCACCACCUCAACCAAUAAGGCUUCAAAUCUCACCCAGAUGCUUCCUUUUCUAUUAUGUUUUUGUUUUUUAAAAUUUACGUCUGCUUUUUCAUUUAUUUAAUUGAAAUUACUAUCCAGAGAGAGAAAUUCGAUUUUAAUAAGUAAAUUAAAAAGAUAUAUAAUCGAACCCGAUGAAAUCGCUGCUCGUGAACGCAACUCGAAGAAAGGCGCAAUCAGCCGACUAUACUAUGGGUGGAGCAUUUAAUAUGGUCAGGGUUAUUGUGUUGUCUAUUCAAAGAAAGAUGUGCCUGUAAAUUUGUUAAGUUGAUUCUUAUCAGUCUACUCUUUAGAGUUGAUGAUAACAUGAAAUACUCGUUGUUAAUGCUCGUUGUUUUCUUCUUCUUUUUUCCUAGAUUAAAACAUCCUAGACAAUCUCUUUGGGAUGGUUUAGUAUUUCUGGCCUCUUCAUCUUCUAUUUGUGCUAUGGUUUUUAGUCUGCUGAUAUUGUUGAUAUUCAUUGGGGAUUGAAAGGCCUCGUUUUAUGACUUUGUUUUGUCUUCUUCUUAUUUCUUUAUUCUUUUGGGGAUGCGGCAUUUUCCUCUUUCAGAGAAAUAAAUAUAUACAUAAAUAACAAGAACAGGACGGGAAGGAGAGGGGGUUUUGACAAUAAGUAUUUGCUUAGAAGGGAAUGCUUCUUUGGUUUAGAAGCACCAUGAAGAUUCAGGCCCAAAUCUUUGCUUAGAAUGCCCGAAAUAAAUAUAUCACACACUUCUUUUUUUGUUUUUUGUUUUUCAUCUUUUCAUGUGUUUCUCACAAGACGUCACUUUCUUGCUUUUCUUUCGAGAGAGUAUUUGAUCCUUUUUUUGUAUAAAAUAAUGCUGCCAUUCAUUGAAUUUCCAAACAUCUUACCUUUUGUUUUGUUUGUCGCAUUGUUAUCAAACUCUUUUCCAUUUUAUUGCGGCAUAUUGCUACGUGUAUGGCAUGCUUUAAUCAAAAAGUUGAGUAAUUGAUGAAUGUUAGGCAAGAAAAUUACAGAUUAUUUUUGUUUUCUGCCUCCUCCUUCUCUUUCCCCCACCCCGAAAAUUGUCAUAUUUUUUUUUCAGCCGCCUCUUCUUCCCCCAACCCUAAAAAUUGUUUAUAUUUGCUUUGGAAGCAUGGCAAACUUCACUGCCUCUCAGCUUAAGGAGAUUGCAGCAGGUCUCGAAGCUUCUGGGCAUCAAUUUAUCCGGGUAUUUAGAAGAAGAAAAAAAAGAGUCAAGAAGACAAGGAAGAUUGUUUACCUCAAGGAUUUGAGGAAAGAAUGGAAGGCAAAGGGCUAUUAUCAGAGGAUGGACACUCCAAGUUUUGAUUCUUGAUCAUGAAGCAAUAAGUGCAUUUGUGACUCAUUGAGGAUGGAACUCAACUCUUGAAGGCAUAAGGCCAAUAUGUGCUGAGCAAUUCUAUAAUGAAAAGUUGGUGACUGAUGUUUUAAAAAAUGGAGUUAAGGAAUGGCCUAGAGUGCAUGGAGAUCAUGUUAAAAGUGAAGCUGUAGAGAAGUCAAAUUAUGAUGGGUGAAGAAGCAGAGGAAAUGAGGAGUAGAGCAAAGAAGCUAGGAGAAACGGCCAGGAAGGCUGUUGAAGAAGGUGGAUCUUCUUGCUCUGAUUUCAAUGCUUUGAUCGAAUAACUGAGGUGGGGUCGCCAUUGAAACAAAGGCAGAAGUAAGUGUUGUCACUCGUGCAUAGAAUAUUUUGUUUCUACUUAGUAGUGGUUUUGGCAAUAUAGACAAGUCUUGAGAGUUGAAAGAGUAAUCACAGCCGAGUCAAUGACCAGUCCAAAUCAGUUCCCUUCCUACUAGUUCAGGAAUGACAAGUCCAGCUUAUAUAUUUAGCCCAAAUAACUAAUCAAAUAGAAAGGCUGAGCUUAGAGGCAGUACACUACAAAAUAAGUACCCAAUGUCUUAGAGACAAACAAUCAUCACAAACUAGGAAAGACCGUCUCCCCAGUAACAAAUUCACCUUCUGAAGUUGGAGAACUUGCGAAAACUAGCCACCACAAAAUAGUAGCAAGUAUCUAAAUUAUUUCCAGAGAGAUCUAACUGCUUCAAUUCACACCAACUUGUAUAAUUUAUCUCUAAACAGUCAAAAUAGUGUUAAAAGAAUCUUUUAUUGAUGAUGUGAUUAUAUUUGUUAAUUUACCUUGAGCGGGUAAAGUGACAUAGAGGUCACAUUCACCAAUAGACAAAACUUGAAGAGCAGGCAAUGCUCCAAUGUUAUGGAAAAAGUUUAUUAGGAGAGAAGUACGAUCUAGAUACAAUUCUUCAAGGGUGCUAGAAUUGAAGAAAGUCCCUGUAAAAAAGAAACAAAAAGAAAAAAGAUAUGAUGAAAAUGGUGGUGGUACAUAAUAGGCAUUCCAUUCAAUAUUAUUAAUUAAGAUUUUAAGAAACUAAACUAUGAUUAACCUUGAUUUAAAUUAGUAUCCUUGAGAGAAAGGGUCUUCAGGGAUGGCAAUGACUGCAGGAAGUCCGGCUUCCUUAAACCUAUGAUGUGUACAAUUGAAAACAGGCAAUCAAGAAAGUAGUGAAAUUAAGUGCUAUCUUGAUUGAGUUUUUAAACCUAUGAUAAAGAACUGAUGUUGAAUAGUGAGAUGAAUUUUGGAUAGAAACAACAAAUUGCCUGAAAAAUCCAGAGAUUUCACAACUUUACCAUAGACAGUCGUCGAUCCUAGCAACAUAUCGCCUGAUAAAUUUAAAGACUUGAGAUAAGAAAAUCCACGCAGAUGUGAUAAAAUGUUGUCGUUGAAUAUAUUAUAGCUCAGGUCUAGAUUCUCGAGUUUCCUCAAAUGAUAUAUGAUCUCAAAACCUGCAAGAGAAACUAAAGAUAAUUAGAAUUGAUGAGAUGCUGUUGUUCAAUUGAUAUAUGAUUCUCAAAUUAUACAUACAUAUACACACACACACACACACACACACACAUAUAUAUAUAUAUAUAUAUAUAUAUAUAUAUAUAUAUAUAUAUAUAUAUAUAUAUAUAUAUAAUUGAUAUUUAUAAAAGCAUUAACUGUAGAGGAAUAUUUGGUACUUUGUUUCCCAAUAAAAAAUAGAUUUUUCUGCAAAGUAGCACCAAAAAAAAAACUGUUCAAAACUUAUAUAAGAAAUUAUACAGUUAGCGAGUCACAGAUGAUGAAUCUUAAAAAAAAUUGGCAAUAAUAACAGUACUCUAUUGCUAUUAAUUAACUUAAAUAUUCAAAACUUAAAAAUAGUUUUUAAAUUUAUCCAUGCCAAUUUAUCUUAAGAGAGUCGCAAUCUGUGACUAGUUAAAUUAUAUUGUUUCUGUAAAUAAAUUUUGAAUUGUGUUAUUUUUUGUUCUAGGUGCUAUUUUGCAAAAAAAAAAAAAACCUCCAAAUAAAAUAAUAAGAUUAACGUUUAAGUUGUCUAUUGUUCUUGGAUUUGUAGGUAUAACAACAGAAGAUAGCAAUCAAAAGCGAUGGUGACAUGGUAGAGCUUUGAGUUAUUGCUGUGUUCUAAUGAUGAAGAUGUAGGAAAACGAUCUCCCUUCUGCUGUCUGGAGCUGGGCUUCCUCUCCCUGUAAGAACAAUCAACAUCUUAUCUGCGUUGUUGUUAGUGGCCACUUCAUCGACCCAUUAGUGGGUGGAUUUUAAGCUUAAAAAGGAUUUUUUUUAUAAAAAAAAAAAGGGAAGAGAGAGGGGGGGCGCAUCAUCACGUGAAAGCAAGGAGCUUGCCACCCAUUAUAGAGUGUGGGGCACUCUUGCAUCUAAGAAUAAAUGAUCCUGAGGUUGUUCUGGUGAUGGGUAUUGGCCAUUACAUAAAGCUUCGACAAGCCCUUUUAGCUGCCUGUUAUUAGAAUUUGUAUAAUGAGCAUUCAAACUUAAACUUCUUUAAAUGGGAUGAAAACGAGUGAAAAUCAAGAAGUUGGAGGUGUUCAUCUCUAAUGCAUAGCUAAAGAUCCUUUGUAAGAAAAUACAGCUAAAGACAGUGUGUGUGUGUGUACCAGAGAAAUUGUCGAUAAUAGCCAUCAUUUUCUUUGUCUCUUGUGUCAUAUCUUCCAAAAAUCUUAAAGUAAUUGAUGAAAAAGUGGAUACACCUCUUUGUCUUCUUUAUAGCACUGCUGGCCACUGUGAGUUAAAGCAUUAAAAGGUCGUGAACGCGGAUGCUUGACGAGCGAGUGUUUACUUGUUAAUUUUUUUAGAAGGAAUCUGGAAAAGAAUAAAGUCAUCUAUUUCACUUUGGGACAACAUUCCUCACCUCUCCCCGCCCUCCCUCCCUCCCUCUUCCGCCUCUCGGAAACCGCCGCAUCCAAUAAGGCUUCAGAUUUCUGCCAGGUGCUUCCUUUUCUAUCAUGCUUUUGUUUUUAAAAUUUAUGGGUGUUUUCAUUUAUUUUAUUGUAAUUAUUAUUCAGAGACAGAAAUCCAUUUUAAUAAGUAAAUUAAAAAAAACAAAUAAGCGAUCCGAUGAAAUCUCUGCUAGUGAACGCAAUUCGAUUUUAAUAUGUAAAUUAAAAAAGUAUAUAAUCGGAUCCGAUGAAAUCGCUGCUCGUGAACGCAAUUCAAAGAAACGCACAAUCAGCCGAUUCUAAUAUUUUCUUUUUCAACCCCACCCUAAUUUACAUGAUAUUAUCCGAUUUUUCUCACAGUUAUUGUUGUAAUAAUCAAGCCCUGAAUUCUUGAACCCAAAUUUAUUUUAUUUUAUUUUUUAGUUUUAUUUUUAAGUGGAGAAUAGAAAUCAAUUCAAAUCUUUUAGGCUCGAUCGAUAAUUUGUUAAUUAGUUUAUGCAGCAGCUGGAGUGGAAGAGAUAUUACUGCCGGAAUGGCCGAAAAAUGAGCUGUUUGGUUGAUUCUUCUUUUUUGGAAUUUACUGAAUUCUUCAAAAUUAUUGUGUUUUUAACAACAAUACGAUAUCCUUGGGUUUCAUGCUCGCUCACACAUGGAAAAAAGAAAGAAAGAACAGAACUUUAAAUUUUAUAAUUUGGUCAAGUUAAUGCUCGUCGUUUUCUUCAUUUUCCUAGCUUAAAACAUCCUAGACAAUCUCUUUGGGAUGGGUUAUUGUUUGUGGCCUCUUCAUGUUCUAUUUGCUGGGGUAUUUAGAGUACUGCUGAUUGAAAAGCCUUGUUUUAUUGCACGUUAGAAAAGUUAAUACAUACAUAAAUAACAAGAACAGGGGCCGGGGGGGGGGGUGUUGGGGUUUGACGGUAUGUAUUUGCUUGCGAGUAAAAAUUGGUAAGCACUUGAAAAAGGUCCUGUGCUGAAUCUAAAUUGGUAAGAUGUUAUAUACUGAUAUCUAGAAAGAUAACUUAAUCUAUCUAUUGAAGUAAAGCAUUUAAAUACGUAUACAAUGUUUUUGGAAUAUUAAAUAUCUAUUUGAUCAGAAUCUGUGAACCUCUAAAACCACAAUGAAUACAAAUGCAAGUUUGUCAUUGUAAACAUUGCAUCGAUGAUGUAUCACAAGUGUUGCUAGAAAACAUCAAGUUAAAAUUGAAGCACCAUGAGUUUCUCUAUGGCUUGGUUUACCAACACUCACCAUCUGUUGGUGCGGCAAGUUAUGAACUAGCUGGCUAGUUUUUUGCUUCCUUGGUUUUAGAAGCACCAUGAAGAUUCAGGUCCAAAUCUUGCUUAUAAUACCCGAAUACCCAAGAUCCUAGCACCUUGCCUUGAAUGGUCGUGUAUAUUUGUUAUGGCUGUUCAGAUUUUAUGCAUCCAUAUUUGGGAGAAUUCUUUAAUAAAGUACAUGCUAUUAGAUGGAAGUUCUCUUUAAAUCUAUUCAAGUCUGAAUAAACUGAUAUUCCAAUUUUCAUGACUUUGAUGUGCUCUUACUCUUCUGCUGUUCCUGACUUUCUUUUUAAGGUCUAUUCUAACGUGCAAUAUUAUUUAUUUAUUUAUUUAUUGUCAUGAUAGAAGUGAUUUUUUUUGGUUGGCCAAAACCCCUUGGAUGCCAAUAAUUGGAGGUCCACUGCCCCAGGCGGAGAACAUGUCAUUGACACGGGUGAUUGGAGAAUUCAAUUGCAGCCUGACUCACGGAAAAGAAUAGUCGACAAAAUGUAAGUACGUGUUUCCUAAUAUGUGCAAGUGCUGCAAAAUAGUAAAUUUUUUAUUUAUAUGAAAGAAAAGUAGAAGGGCAAAAGGUUAAUUAAAAUUAGCUGGACUGCCAUGAGGCAACCUCAAGUAUCACACACCUCUUUUUUUUGUUUUUCAUCUUUUCGCUUGUUUCUCACAAGAAGCAAACUUGAGGGAACGUAAAGUGCUGGGAAGUGAUUUUUGUUGGAACUUCUUGUGUAACAUCUUCUUUUGACGAUGACCUCUUGGAUGGCUGCAUGAAGCUUGUUCCGCUUUAAAUUUCAAGGUUAAUCUAUUGCUAUGAGCAUUGGUGUUUCAAUUUCAACCUUGAGUUGCAACUGAACUUAAAUGAAUAGUGUUGGAUUUGGGCCUUCUAUUUGCUUUAACUUCUACAGGAUUGAAAUGAUAGUGAUCUUAAAGUAGAAAAGCAGCAGACAAAAAUCAAUUAGCCACAAUAGUGUAUGGUUUCCUAGUUUCUCAGUAUAAAGUUGAAUGUUUUGGUGAUAUCUCCACAUCCAAAAUCAUAUAGACAGCUACUGUUGGCACUUGCAGUAGCCAAUGAGCACUGUAGAGUAUAUAUAUUGCAGCGUGAGAUAAGGUUAACUCAUUGCAUUUUCAUAAAUUAAAGGGAUUUCUCUUCUUUUCUUUGUCAAUUACAGUGCAUGUAUAAAAGUUUUCUACAGUGCACUGUAGAGUAAAUGCUAUUGUAAUGUUUUCACAGAGUUCCCCUGGUUUGCAACUAAUGCACUUAUAUAUCUUGGAGCAUAGCCAUAGCCAUAAAUGAAAGGUUCUUCUGGUUCAAGAAAAUUAACCAUGAAGCUCGUAACUAGAAUUUUAGACAGAAGGUUGGCCAAGUAAACUCUUACCUCUGGAAUAAUACGGGGAAACGAAGUAAAAAUAGAUGUCUGUAUUUUGAUGCCAUUUAUUACUUUACUAACACUCGGCUAUAUCAUUAUUUGUUUUUACUUUUUGCUAAUGAUUUUGUUGUAUACAUUUCUGAUAUUAGUGUGGUGUAUGAGUUCACAGUUUUUUCUCACUACUGCUAACUUCUCUAUACCUGCCUUGUCAUUAAAAAUUAAAUGCAAUGUUUUACAUGUGCAGAAUGGAGACAUUAAAGAGGCAUCUUCCGUUUUCUGGUCAGGAGGGAUUACAAGAACUCAAGAAAAUUGCCGUACGGUUUGAGGAAAAGAUUUAUACUGCCGCCACCAAUCAGGUAUUCGGCUAAUGCUAGGUUCAAUAAUUUUGAUAUUCUCUGGACAUGAAUAUACACAUGCAUAAGUUUGUGGAUUUAUGCAUGUACACGUGUGUGUAGUGUGUCCACACUUCCUCACUGGUCAUUCUGUAGAAGUUCUUAUCUUUCCGUUAAUUCUCUUGACAAGUGUUUUAUUUAGAGUGACCAAGGUCCUUUUCAAGUACAAGGGAAGUGUGCAAAAAGCAAAUAACGAAUCAAUACAUAAAUAAUUAAAUAAAAAGAGGAGACACAGAAGUAUAUCCUCACAGAAGAUGCAAAUACAGAAAGCCUAGCAUAUUAGAAAGAGCAUAUAUCUCUUUUCCCCCUUCUCUUGUAACAUGGACUGCUCAGAGAUCUAAUGUUUUGUUAUUGAUAUCUGAUUUCAGUCUGAUUAUCUGCGUAAAAUAUCUCUGAAGAUGCUUACAAUGGAGACCAAGUCUCAAAAUACCAUACCCACUGGCAAUGGUAACAAACCCCUGGAUCCAGGAGGUAAUAAUGCAGCCAAGCAUUGAAUUUCUAAACAUCCUUACCUUUUGUUUUAUAUUUUGCAUUAUUAUCAAACUCUUUUACAUUUUAUUGCUGCAUCCUUACUCUUUUACCAUUAGGGAAAUAAUUUCUAAAAAUUACAGAUUAUUUUUGCCCCCCCCCCCCCCCCCCCCCCCCCGCCAGCCCCAAAAUUGUCAAAUGGCACUUUUAUGCUUUGAGUCAAAACCACCUUAAUUAUUUCCCUCAUAACUUUAUGUGUGAACUGUCAUUGUUUCAUUUGUUUUUCUUGUUCAAUGCCUUCUUUUUUUCCUUUGACAUGGUUAUCCUUUUUGCCUUUUAUCUUGAACAGCAUCUCAUAGUAUGCCGCCUCAAGUUCACAACCAAGGGCAGUCGCUCCCUAUCUCAUUGUCCAGUAAUCAGCCUCAAGCACGUCAGCAGUUAUCACAAAACAUGCAGAAUAGUAUGUCAUCUAAUGGAGUUCAAAGUUCUGCUGGUUUACAAUCAGCAAUGCCUUCUGUCUCCAGUUUAACCCAGACUAUCGCAAACACUGUUGGACAGAAUGCUAACAUGCAGAGUAUCUCUGGUGUUUCACAGAACCCAGUUGGGAAUUUAAUGGGACAAGGGAUUCCCUCCAAUAUGUUUGUCAAUUCUCAGAGACAAAUGCCAGGCAGGCAACAGGUUGUUCCUCCACAGCAACAGCAGCAGUCCCAAAAUCCUCAGCAGUAUCUUUAUCAGCAGCAGAUACAACAACAGCUUUUAAAGCAGAAGCUUCAACAGGGAAAUCAUCCACACUCACUUGUGCAAUCUCACAUCCACCACCAGCAGCAGCAGCAAAACUUGUUACAGCCAAAUCAGUUGCAAUCUGGUUUGCAAACAUCAACUGUUAUGCAGCCUUCAAUGAUGCAAACCGUCUCUGGCCUUCAACAGAACCAACCAUCUUCUGUUCAACAGUCAACACAACCAAUGCACCAGCAACAUCCACAAUCAGUCCUUAGGCAGCAGCAGCAACAACCUCAACAGUCUGCUGGUAUUCAUCAGCAGCAAACACCAAUGAUGCAGCAGCCACUAUUGCCUCCACAACAGCAGCUAAUGGGGCAACAAUCAAAUACCACUAACAUGUCGCAAAAUCAGUUAAUUGGACAGCAAAACAUUGUUGGGGACUUGCAGCAGCAGCAGCAGAGAUUGCUAGGGCAGCAGAAUAACCUUCAAAAUCUGCAGCAGCAGCAGCAGCAGUUAAUGGCUCAACAAAAUAACCUCUCAAGUAUGCAUCAGCAACAGUUGGGCCCUCAAAGUAAUGUCACUGGUUUACAGCAACAGCAGUUGCUUGGAGCUCAGCCUGGUAACUCAAGCAUGCAAUCUAAUCAGCACUCUCUACACAUGCUGCAACAGCCCAAGGUUACGCUGCAGCAGCAAGCACAACAAAGUGGAAGUGCUUUGUUGCCGAAUCAAGGGCAGCAGUCACACUCACAGCUGCCACAGCAGCAAUUGAUGGCACAGAUUCAAUCACAGCCUGGACAGCUGCAACAGCAAUCAAAUCCAUUACAACGUGAUCUGCAGCAAAGGCUUCAAGCAUCAGGCUCCUUGCUUCAACAGCCGAAUGUGAUUGAUCAGCAAAAGCAGUUAUAUCAACCUCAAAGAGCCCUUCCAGAAACGUCCUCAAGUAAGUUUUUGUCAUCCUUGCAGCUUUCUAGCCUUGCUCCAACUUUAAUUUUGCAGCUUUGUGCUUUCAUGUUAGAUUAUAACAUAUUUAUUUAAAUUUCUUGAAAAUACAAUAAUGGUUCAAGUCAGUAAUGCUCUUUUUGGUAGCUUUAUGAGCUACGGCUGCCACUUAUGGCAUCAGAAAUGCCACUGCUAUUGGAGCCAUUGUAAUCACACAUACAUUUGUUACGACAUCAUGCCAUCCAGUGCAUUGCACCAACUAUUCACCUCUCAUAAUGGUUCAAGUCAGCAAUGCUCUUUUGGUAGCUUUAUGUUCUACUGAUGCCACUGCUAUUGAAACCAUUGCAAUCACACUCGUUUGUUACCACAUCAUGCCCUCCAGCUCAUCGCACCAAUUGUUCACCUCUCAUUUUGAAUUUAACAGACAUGAAUUUUAAAAAUAUAUGUAUAACUGGACAAUGCAUUUGACACUAGGGUAACUAAUCAUCAGCCAAUUGAUUUUUAUGGGAAGAAAGAAAUUAGCAAGUGGACUAACUCUGAGGCACUUAAGGUUUGGUGUGCUGAUAAAUCAUUGAGCCUUUUUUUUUAAUAUAUAAUGAUCACUUGUUGGGGGGGGGGGGGGGGGGGAAGCAUUUUAAAGGGUCUCUCUGUCUAUUUGAAUGAUUACAUAACGUUGAGAUGGAGUUCCUAGUACUCCAAGUCCAAAAAGGACUUGUAUUCCUAUGUAAGAAAAUACCAAUGGUCCUAUCUGGGAUAGGGAAAACCUAUUAAAGCUCCUUAUUCUUUAGGAACAAUAAAAUACUAAAUAGAAAUAAAACCAAGACCUACAAUAUUCCAUAAUUUUCAGCAAGUGUGAAAAUUACAGAAAUACCCUUGUGUGCAGAAAACAUUCAUAAAAUACAUGAAUUCUAAUCUUUUGUUGGCUGUAUCAAAAUUUUUGUAGCAUCCCUAGAUUCUACAGCAGAGAUUGGACAUGCAAAUGGUGCUGAUUGGCAAGAGGAGAUCUACCAAAAGGUAAUUUCUGUAGUUUACUGUUCAUUAGAUGAAGUUCAUGUAUGUCAUUGUCUUGCAAGAUUUCAAUGGAAAAGGUCUCCUGGAAUUUGGUACAAGGGAGUUUUAUUCAGCUAUGGUUGUGAUUAGUUAGGAAGCAUUGUAAGUUCCAUGAUUGCAGCAACUAAGAAACGAUAAAUUACUGAUAAGAUGAUUAAAGGUAAAUAAUCAGAUUUCUAGGUCAAGAGGGUUAUUUUCUUGGUACUGACACGACAAUUUUUUCUAUUGCAAAUCUCUCCCUUUCAAUUUUUUCCCUGUAUUUCCAUACAUUUAUUGUGUGGUGAAUUAUUAUUUUAUUAUUUCCAAUAAGUCCAAUUGACAAUACUUCUUACUGUAAUAGACAGACUUGAAAACAAGAGUGAACUGUUUCUGAAUAGUCAUCGUUAUAUUUGGUUAAGUGAACAGUUAUUUUCAGGAUUACAAUCAAAUUUGUUCUGAAACAUGUGACAAUGGAAGAAAGGAAAAUAAGUGGACCUAAUCCAUUGAAUCAUGACCAUGUCCAGUAUUGUUGAAUUUUAUAGAAAACGAGGUUGAAAUUCUGAAUCGUUUAAUGGCUGUAGUUGCAAUUCAUAACUGCAUAUUUGAUGAGGUCAAUUUUUUUGUGCCUGGGAGGGUACUAAAACGGGAAUAGGAGUGGUUGUUGAUAAUUAGGAUAUAAGGGUUAUAAAUCUAAAGUUAUAAGGCUAAGAAGUGUUUACCAAAGUCGUGACAUCCAUUGACUUGAGUUAGAACAAUAGAAAACAAUGGUGAGUAGUUUGCCGUGAGACAAAGUAACUGAACUUGACCAACCCCUGAAUCUUGUCUGAAGGGGUAACUACACAAUCCUUUGCAUGCAAUCAAUAACGAUAUUCUCUUUUGAGUUUUCGGCAUUGAUUCCACUUUGCUAUUUUUAUCUCAAACAAUAUAUGCUGUCCUCUGCCAUUUUAUUUAUUUAUUUAUUUAUCAAUUCUCUCAAGUUUGCUUAUGUUUCUUUCUGACUCUGGCACGUGAAGAAAUCAAGCAUAUGAUUGAUAAUGUCUUGCUGGUUAUAUGUACUUCCUAGAUCAAAGUUAUGAAGGAAACGUAUUUGCCUGAAAUAAAUGAAAUGUACCAGAGAAUUGCUACCAAGUUACAGCAGGUAAAUUGUCUUUGUAAUUUUUUCCGAUUUAUUUGCCCACACAUAUUCAUAAACCCCCACAGUUGAGCUUUUGUAUUAAUUUGUUUUCCCCAUCAGCAUUGCUUGUCACUGUAUCAUCUGCACUAAUUACCUCCCCCACCCCCAACCACCCCACAACCAUGCAUUGACACAGAAGAAUUGGAAUAGAAACAUUUUUUUCACUUAUGUUUUACUAGUUUUGCUAGAAAGGAUCAAUGCAAUUUUUAAUUCUCGUGUAUGUUAACUUUGCUUUCCAGCAUGACCCUCUUCCGCAACAACCGAAGUCAGAACAGCUUGAAAAGCUGAAGGUAUUCAAGGUCAUGUUGGAGCGCUUGAUAACAUUCUUACAGGUCUCUAAAAACAACAUCACACCUAAUUUCAAGGAGAAAUUGGGUUUCUAUGAGAAGCAGAUUGUAGGUUUUCUAAACCCAAGCAGAUACAGGAAGCCUAUUCCUAAUCUACAGCAAGGACAACCUCCCCAACCUCGUAUUCAACCUAUGCAGCAACCCCAAUCUCAAGUUCCUCAAUUGCAGUCCCAUGAAAAUCAACUGAUUCCCCAGUUGCAAUCAAUGAAUACGCAAGGUUCUGUACCACAGAUGCAGCAGAACAAUAUGUCAAGCUUGCUGCAUAAUUCCCUUUCAACUUUAUCUGGGGAUUCGACGUCACAAUCAAACAUGAUGAAUCCAAUACAACCAGGCUCCAAUUUAGAUUCUGGACAAGGAAAUGCACUGAGCUCAUUGCAGCAGACACCUGUAGGAUCUGUACAACAGAAUCUCGUGAGCAUUUCCCAACCAACCAAAGUUAACACAUUGUCAACACAAAGUGGGGGGAGUAUGCUGCAGCCAAAUAUUCCCCUUCAGUCGAAUUCCAAUAUGAUUCAACACCAGCAUCUAAAACAGCAGCAGCAGCAGCAGCAUGAACAACAGAUGCUACAAACACAACAGCUUAAACGAUUCCAGCAACACCAGAAUUUAAUGCAGAAUCAACAGAUGCAGCAGCAGCAAUUACACCAGCAAGCUCCGUCUCCUAUGCCAGGAGAUUCUGACAAACCAGUUUCUGGUAUUUCCUCACUCUUAGAUACUGGAAAUAUUGUACACCAACCAUCUGUUGCACAAGCACUGGCUCCAUCCCUUGCAAUUGGCACUCCUGGGAUAUCUGCAUCACCUUUGCUUGCAGAGUUUACCAGUCCUGAUGGUGCUCAUGGCGGUGCUUUGACAACUGUUUCUGGCAAGUCAAAUGUUACAGAGCAAUCACUUGAGUGCUUGAUUAAAGCGGUUAGUGAUGCUCUCCUUUUGGUUUUACUCCACCCCACCCUUAUUUUGGAGGUUUCUGAAAAAGAAAGAAACUUCUUUGUGAAUGAGAUGGUGAUGCUGCAAUUUUUUUUCCCAGGUGAAAUCUCUGUCUCCCAAAGCACUUAGUGCAUCUGUCGGUGACAUUGGCUCCGUUGUCAGUAUGAUUGACAGAAUUGCUGGUUCUGCAGCUGGUAAUGGAUCUAGAGCUGCAGCUGGUGAGGAUUUGGUAGCAAUGACAGGAUGUCAUCUUCUUUCGUUUUUGUCUUUUUUAUUUUUCACGUGUUUCUCACAAGAUGGGAACUCGAGGGAAUAAAAAGUGCUGGGAAGUAAUUUUUGUUGGAACGUCUUGUGUAACAUCUUCUUUCGAUGAUGACCUUUUGGAUGGCUGCAUGAAGCUUGUUCCGCUUUAAAUUUCAAGGUUAAUCUAUUUCAAUUUGAAACUUGAGUUGCAACUGAACUUAAAUGAAAAGUGUUGGAUUUGGGCCUCUAUUUGUUUUAACUUGUACAGGGUUGAAGUGAUAGUGAUCUUAAAAGUACAAAAGCAGCAGACAAAAAUCAAUUAGCCACAAUAUAUAGUGUAUGGUUUCCUACUUUCUCAGUAUAAAGUUGAAUGUUUUGGUGAUAUAAUCUCUACAUCCAAAAUCAUAUAGACAGCUACUGCUGGCACUUGCAGUAGCCAAUGUUAACCAAAAUCAUAUAAUCUUAAAGUUGAAUGUUGUAUUUUCAUAAAUUAAAGGGAUUUCUCUUCUUUUCUUUGUCAAUUACAGUGCAUCAUAAUAAGUUUUCUUACUCAGUAAAUGCUAUUGUAAUUUUUUCACAGAGACUCCCCUGUUUUGCAACUAAUUCACUUCUGAAUAAAUCUGGGAAACAGAAAGGCAAUCAACAAAGAGUAAGGCAUCUUCUGAAGAAACAAAGAAAUUUAAUACCAUAAACUAAGCAGCACGUAGAAGGCAAAAACUGAGCACAAAUUUUCAGGAAGGGACAAACGAAAAAAACCAAAAAGAAAGCAAAGAAAAAUACAGACUCAAAUUCACAACACCCAUUUUCUUUCCAUUGGAACACUUUAAAUAGUUUAUUAAAUUUAUAAUGAUCUGAUUUCUACGCAUAUAAAAAAAUCAACUAAAUGAUCAAUUCUCUAUAAUUUCGGCAUUACUAAAAACAUCCAAACUAAUAAACAAUUAGUUAUUUUACUCAUUUUAAUAAACAUUUUAGUUAUGAAUUCACCAAACAUUUUGAACAAUUCAUAUUGAUGAAUUAACAUUUAAAUUUUAGAUUUUUUGAUUUAUUAUUUCCUUCGUGAGUUACUUCUAAAGUAUGCUAUAUAUCUUUAAGCAUUUUUAUAGAAUAUAAUUCUAUCAAAUUCACUUUUACCCAAUGCAUAAUAUAAAGUAUUCAUGGCUUUAACAUCCAUAAAAAAUAACUUUUUAUCAUUGUCCGUAUAUUCCCUUUUAGUUUUAGAAAUCUCAAUACCAUUUUUAAUUUGAUAGGUCUAGGAGAUCUAUUUUGUAUGGAUAGCCACAAAUUAAAAUCAAUAAAUUGAUAAUAAAUUAUCAUUAAACAAUUUAUUACUUGCUCUUUGGUAAUAAGAAUGUGAUUGUAAUAUUAUUUUGUAUGGAUAGUUUUAUCUAUCUAUUAUCUCAAUAACAAGAUUAACUUUGCAAUUAUAUAUCACACUUAUAUAAUCUCAAAUAAUAUUAAUUAAAAUGAAUCACAAAAAUUUAACACAGUAAUUCUGCAAAAAAAAUAAAAACAAUUUAAUAAACAAUUUAACUUUGCAAUUAUGUUUUUAUUUGUUUGUUUUUCUAUGAGACACAAUGGAAUUUUCAAUAGAAACUACAACAAUACAAAUAAUUACAAAUAUUUUUCUUUCAACAUCAACAUAAAAAAACAUUAUGCACUUUUCGAUACUUACGUAAUUCUAGGAUUAAAGAAACAAUAACAUCUAAGGGGGGUGAAUUGGGUGUUGCACUAAUUAUAUCAAAUAAUGGUGUUGCACUAAUUAUAUCAAAUAAUGCAAUAAUUAACAAUAUAAUUAAAGUGUUUAAAGUAAAUAGAUAAGGAAAUAGAUAUUACAAACUCGGUUUUUAAUGUGAUUCGGUAAGCCUACAUCUACACCUCAAGUACUAACCGUACUUGAGUAUUGUACUCUUUUACCAAUCCAAGUGAAAUAUACAAAUGCCCUUGAUAAAUCCACACCGAGAAAUUAUACCACUUGAAGUUUUUUCUCUUGGUGACAAUACAUCACUAAUGCUAGGAGUUUAUCCAAACUCACAAAUGUUUACAAUUAUAAUUUGUUUGCAACAAGAUUCACUCUCUCAUAAAGUAAAUUGUACAAUUGAAAACUAUAAUCUUUAUAACUCACUCGAUAGCACUCAAGAUGAUUGAAAGUGUGUAAAUAUAAUGAGUGUGAGACAUUAUACUCAUGUGUUAGAAUAUAAAGAUUUAAUUUAGCACAACUUAAAAGCAUGUUAUGAUUGAUGAUUUCUAAUUGAUUUUUUUUUAAAAUAACUUCUAUGUUAUAUAUGUUUGGAAUCUCUCUUUUAUUUGUUAUAUAUAUAUAUAUAAACUAAUUGUUUAUAGUUGUUGAGAUGUCUCUAACAGCUAAAGUAAUCUAUAUGCAACUUAAACAAAAGAAUUCCAAUUAAAUGGAAUUGCACUUAACAUGUAUUAUUUCAAAUGCAACAAUUGCAUAGAUAACAGACAACAAGGAAUUUAACAGAAGAUAUAUACACUUUACUUUUCCUACUAAAAUUAAACUAUUGGAAUUUAACAUAGUCAUAAUCAAUUUGUUCUUGUGAGAUUAUCUAUUACAUGUAUAACAAAUAUAUUAGAAAAUAAAUUGUUUUAAGAUUGUUAGAACACCUUAAAUAGUUCAUAAAAUUAUUGUUCCAUUUUACUAUAAUAAUCAAGUUUCCACAUAAUAUAAAUCAUGCAUAUAAAUUAAUAAUCAAAAUAAAAAUUAAAUUAAGAUAACAAUCAAUUUUUUAACUUUAAAAUAAUUUAUCAUCUAUUUUCUAAUACUAAUAGUAUGAUUGUAAUAUUAUUUUUUAAUUUAUUUAAUAAUUUAAUUUUGAUAGCACAACCAAAAAUAAAUAAUGAACCAAAAUUUAUAUGAUAUUUUUUAUAAAAAAUUUGAUAAAAAAAAUAUAAAAACAAAAAUAAUGUCUCAAUUAGAAUAAUUUUUUCAUUAAUGAGAAGGCCCACCACAGACCAAGAGGACAGCUUCAAUGAAGCCAAUGCAGGUGAUUACCCGUCGGCUAACAUCUCCUCGCGCGCCUAGCACCAGCUAAACCGCCUCAAUCUGAACAUGCACCAGACAAAGUCUAUGAAAAGACGCCAGGGAGCCUCAGCAGCCGAGAAGAAAGCACGGGAACACCCACCGCGCGAGAAGAAACGCGAAAAACAGGAGACGGAGCGCGGUAAAGACUGAAGCCACAGGAUUCACAUACAGUGAAGCACUCUUAGUUUUAUAUAUAUAUAAUUCUUUUAGUUUGUUAGUUAUGAACAGUGAAGCAGCACAAGAAUACAAUUCUCCUGUUUGUUUGCUGGAAAAUAGUUUUUUUUAGAAAGUGAAUUAUUUUCCGAUGUUUGGUAGUGUAAUGGAAAAUAAGUUAGAAAACAUUUUUCAGUGUUUGGUUAUGUCAUGGAAAAUGAGUUGGAAAAUAACUUAUUAAUAUUUUAUUUUUUUCAAUUUUAUUAAAAUAAUAAAGAAUAAAUCUUACAAAUUAAAAAGUUGAAUGAAAAUAAAAUUGAAAAAAAAUAUAAUUUCAUAAAUUAUCUUAAAUAAAAUAAAUAAUAAUCAAAAUAAUAAAAAUCAAAUCUAAAAAAUAAAAAAUUUGAUCGCUUCAUUAAUUUCUCGUUAGGAAAAUGUUGAGCUUCUCAGCAAUAUUUCCUUACCUUGUGCCGCUAACUUGACGGUAAAAUGUGAUUAAAGGAUCAAUUAAUUAUUUAAAUCAACUUGAGGGAUUAAUCUGUUUGUUUAACAAAAAUACAGACACUAGUUAAAUAGAAUUUAACUCAAAUUUUAAUCAUCAUAUGCGUGCGUGUGCGUGUGCGCACGCGUGCGAGCGAGGGUUUACUCGUUAAUUUUUUUAGAAGGAAUCUGGAAAAGAAUAAAGUCAUCUAUUUCACUUUGGUCCAACAUCCCUCAAAGGCGCAGCUGUGCAUCUAGUUAGGAAGAACAUUUUAUAACUCACCUCAAGGUCGAGCAUGGUCAGGGUUAUUGUGUUGUCUAUUCCGAGGAAGAUGUGGCGUUCAAUCCAUGUGAAUCGCACGACUUGUCCAUAUCUUUCUUAUUGAUUACAAAUAGCAUUGAGAAUUAAAGAAUAUUAUCUUAAUAAGUUCCAAUUUAUUCUACAAAACUAUAUAUAAAGAUGUGACAAAAAGAUGUAUACAAAUUAGUUAUUUAUUGUUUGUAAGUAUUAUUGUAUUGCAAAGACAAAAAUAAGAUGCAACUUAUGGCGUGGUCGUCCAACCUGGUUCUGGUUUUGAUCCUGUUCAAAAUCUAUUUUGUUGAAUUGUUGAUCUACUUGUGAGUUAUUGGGUUAACUAGAUCAAUUUUUUAAACAAAACAAUGCCAUUUUAAAAAAAAAAUUGGUUCUGACAUAGAAAUAUAAUAUUAGAAACUUAAACCUUAUUGAUUAGCAAAAACUCAAUGGGAAAUUUAGUUUUGAAAUAGAUUGUUGUAAAAUCAAAUAUGAAUUGAUAACCAGAAAGUUUGCUUAAAAUUGCAAUAACCUUAUAGAAGAAAGCAAACAUAAAUAGAAUUAUUAAAUUCAAUGGAGUUCAUAUAACCAGGAUCACGAGUUUAGCGAGUUAAGCCAUGAAACCCUAAUCGAUCAAAUAUGUCGCCGUUUCAAUUAAAAAAAAUACAUCUUAAAAAGAAUUAAGCUAAACCACGUUUCUACCUAUUAUCUGGGUUGUCUUUAGACUUGUCAAGUCGACUGAGCCAUAUUAGGACAACUUCCAUAUAAUUAAAUUUGAAACUCGAGCUAGAUAAGAAAUCAGGUCAGGAAAUUUUAAUAUUGAUUUGUUGAAUCGGAUUUAAUAACAAUGCCAAAGAUCUGAAUAUUUAUUUUUUACUCAAUUUUUUUUAGGUCCUGUUUGUUUGAUGGAAACAGUUUUUUUUUAGAAAGUGAAUUCCUGUAAAGUGAAUUAUUUUCUGAUGUUUGGUAGUGUGAUGGAAAAUAAAUUAGAAAAUAUUUUCCAGUGUUUGGUUAUGUUAUGAAAAAUGAGUUGAAAAAUAGCUUAUUAAUAUUUUAUUUUUUUUCAAGUUUAUUAAAAAAACGAGGAAUAAAUCUUACAAAUUAAAAAGUUGAAUGAGAAUGAAAUUGAAAAAAAUAAUCUAAUUUUAUAAAUUAUUUCAAAUAAAAUAAAUAAUAAUCAAAAUAAUAGAGAUCAAAUCUAACAAAUAAAAAAAUUGAAAGAUGAUGAAAUUAAAAUAAUAAUAAUUACAAUUUCAUAAAUUAUUUCAAAUAAAAUAAAUAACAAUUAAAAGAAUAAGGACCAAAUUUGAUAGAUAAAAAAUUUCAAUUAAAAAAAUGAUAAGACAAAAGCAAAUAACAAUCAUAAAAAUAAGGACCACAGUUAAUAUAAAAAUCAAAUUAAAUCAAAUUUUAAGGAAGGAAAUUAAAAAAAAAGAUUCAAACAAAAUAUAUAUCAAUUAAAAGUUUGAAGACUAAAUUUGAUAUAAUCAGCAAAUAAUAUGAUAUUUCUAAAUUUUUCACAACUUCUGGAAAAUGUUUUCCGUCCAAAAUAAAAGGAAAAUACUUUCCUGAAAAUCGAGUUAAAUUUUUCUUUGACUGUAAAGUGUUUUCCAUUGACCAACUUUUUUAAUGACAAACAAACACAUGAAUGUUUGGAAAGUGGUUUCUAGAAAAUUAUUUUCCAGGCAAACAAACACCCCCUUAAUUCAAUCACUAAAGAGUUAUCCAAGAAUAAUUAUUCUCCACUAGCAGUUGUUGCAUACUAAAUUUUUUUUGUCAAAACAUACAUGAUAGGUGGCUUCAAUAUCAAUCCACCAUUUUUUAGGAUUUUCCAUGAAGUUUACUUCUAAUAUAACUACAACAAGCUUAGUAGCUUUCUCAUCAACAUUCUCAAUCAUAUGCUAAGAAAUCAUGGUUUUGUUGAGCUUUGUUAUCAUCAUAGGCUUGAUGAUGGAAGGAUUAUUGCUUCAUCAUGCUUUAUAUUUAAGUUCACGCCACUCAAAUUAUUUUGGUUUUUUCCCCACAUGAAGAAUGUUUAGGAAUCGGGUUUGCCAUCUAAACCACAAAGAUUACUAGGUUAACAAGUACAUCGAAAUCAUUAACAAUAGUUUUAUCCAUCUAUUAUCUCAAUAAUAAAAUUAACUUUGCAAUUAUAUAUCACGCUUAUAUAAUCUCAAAUAAUAUUAAUUAAAAUGAAUCACAAAAAUUUAACACACUAAUUGUGCAAAAAAACAAUUUAAUAAACAAUUUAACUUUGCAAUUGUGUAUUUAUUUAUUUGUUUUUCUAUAAGACACAAUGUAAUUUUCAAUAGAAACUAUAACAAUACAAAUAAUUAUAAAUAUUUGUCUUUUGACAUCAACAUAAGAAAACAUUAUGCACUUUUUUAAAGUUACGAUAAAAACAAAUCUGAUUGAUACUUAUGAUAUUCUAGGAUUAAAGCAAUAAUAACAUCUAAUAGAGAUAAAUUAGGUGUCAAACUAAUUAUGUCAAAUAAUACAAAUAAACAUGCUAAACACAUAUAAUAUAAUAAUCAACAAUAUAAUUAAAAUGCUUAAAAUAAAUAGAUAAGAAAAGAGAGAUUACAAACUCGGUUUUUAACAUGGUUCAGUAAGUCUACAACCACAUCUCAAGUACUAAUCGUAAUUGAGUAUUGUAUUCUUUUACUAACCAAUAAUAUAUUAUUUCACCAGUAAUUAUUAUCCAAUAUGCAACUUUUUUUUCCAAUCUUCUGUUUUUUUUUUCCAUAUCAAUCCAACAAUAAAGAAAAUAACAUGUAACAUAAAAUUUCUUUCCCCGUAGAAUCAAUGCAACAAGUAUACAGAUACCACACAACAAACAAUUUAACAAGUCAUGUAAUUUAACAGAAGAUAUAUUUACUUUGCUUUUCCUACUAAAUUUAAACAACUUUUUUGUAAUCUAUGUCAACAUAUAAAACAUAUAUAUAAAUCAAUAAAAAAAAUAAAAAAUAGGUAGAGGUAAUGAUUAAUUUUUUAGCUUUAAAAUUUUUUAUCAUCGCCUCUUUAUGCUAGUAAUGUAAUUGCAAUAUUAUUUUAAAUUAAUUUAAUAUUUUAUUUUUGAUAACAUAACCAAAAAUAAACAGCGAACCAGAAUUUAUAUAGAGUUUCCUAUAAAAAUUUUGAUAAAAAAAAAUAUAAUAGAAAUAAGUUUAUAAAAACAAAAACAAUGUCUCAGUUAGAAUAAUUUUUUCAUUAAUGAGAAGGCCUGCCACAGACCAAGAGGAGAGCUUCAAUGAAGCCAUCCCAGCCGAUGCAGGUGAUUACUCAUCGGCUGACAUCUCCUCGCAUGCCUAGCACCAGCCAAACCGCCUCAAUCUGACAUGCACCAGACAAAGUCGAUGAAAAGACGCCAGGGAGCCUCAGCAGGCGAGAAGAAAGCGCGGGAACACCCACCGCGCGAGAAGAAACACGAAAAACAGAGACGGAGCGCGGUAAAGAUUGUGAAGCCACAGGAUUCACACAUAGUGCACCGUGUUUUAAUGAGUUAUAUGUAUAUAUAUAUAUAUAAUUAUUUUAGUUUAGUUUUAGUUUGUUAGUUAUGAACAGUGAAGCAGCACCAGAAUACAAUUCUUUUAGUUUGUUAGCGAAUUUGGAAAGAAUAAAGUCAUCUGUCAAGCUCUGUUCACUUUGGUCCGACAUUCUUCACCUCUCCCCACCUGAGCUCUCUCUCUUUCCCUCCUCCGCUCUAGGAAGCCGCCACCACCUCAACCAAUAAGGCUUCAAAUCUCCACCAGGUGCUUCCUUUUCUAUCAUGUUUUUUAUUUUUAAAAUUUACAUCUGUGUUUUCAUUUAUUUAACUGAAAUUCUUAUCCAGAGAGAUAAAUUCGAUUUUAAUAAGUAAAUUAAAAAGAUAUAUAAUCGGAUCGAUGAAAUCGUUGUUCGUGAACGCAACUCGAAGAAAGGCGUAAUCAGCCGAUUCUACUGUGGGUGGAGCAUUUAGUAUGGUCAGGGUUAUUGUGUUGUUUAUUCAAAGAAAGACAUGCCUGUAAAUUUGUUAAGUUGAUUCUUAUCAGUCUGCUCUUUAGAGUUAAUGAUAACAUGAAAUAUUCAUUGUUAAUGCUCGUUGUUUUCUUCGUCUUUUUCCUAGACUAAAACAUCCUAGACAGUCUCUUUGGGAUGGGUUAGUGUUUCUGGCCUCUUCAUCUUCAAUUUGUGCUGUGGUGAAAGGCCUCGUUUUAUGACUUUGUUUUGUAUUCUUCUUAUUUCUUUAUUCUUUUGGGGAUGUGGUGUUUUCCUCUUUCUAUUACACUAUUUACUCCCUACAAUAUUUAUUUUUUCAGAGAAGUAAAUAUAUGCAUAAAUAACAAAAACAGGAGGGGAAGGGGAAUGGGGUUUGAUAGUAAGUAUUUGCUUAGAAGGGAAUGCUUCUUCGGUUUAGAAGCACCAUGAAGAUUCUUUGCUUUGAAUGGCCGAAUACCCAGGAUCCUAGCACCUAGGCCUGAAUGUUUGUGUAUAUUUGUUAUGCAUCCAUAUUUGGCUGAAUUCUUUAAUAAAGUACAUGAUAUUAGACGGAAGUUCUUUUUAAAUCUAUUCAAGUCUGAAUAAACUGAUAUUCCAUUUUUCAUGUUCUUGAUGUGCUUUUGCUCUUCUUGUCGUUCCUGACUUUCUUUUAAGGGUCUAUUCUAACAUGCAAUAUGAUUUUUUUUUUCUUUUUGGUUGGCCAACUGUCCUAGGCGGAGAACCUAUCAUAGACACGGGUGAUUGGAGAAUUCAAUUGCAGCCUGACUCAUGGAAAAGAAUAAGCGACAAAAUGUAUGUGCAAGUGCUGCAAAAUAGUAAAUUUUUUUAUUUAUAUGAAAGAAAAGGAGAAUGGCAAAGGGUUAAUUAAAAUCAACAAGAUAGCCAUGAGGCAACCUCAAGUAUCACACACCUUUUUUUUUUUUCAUCUUUUAAUGUGUUUCUCACGAGAAGAAAACUUGAGGGAACAUAAAGUGAUGGGAAGUAAUUUUUGUUGGAAUUUCUUGUGUAAUCUCUUCUUUUGAUGAUGACCUCUUGGAUGGCUGCAUGAAGCUUGUUCCGCUUUUAAUUUCAAUUUAAAACUCGAGUUGCAAUUGAACUUAAAUGAAUGGUGUUGGAUUUAGGCCUUCUAUUUGUUUUAACUUCUACAGGGUUGAAAUGAUAGUGAUCUUAAAGUUGAAAAGCAACAGACAAAAAUCAAUUAGCCACAGUGGUGCAUGGUUUCGUAGUUUCUCAGCAUAAAGUUGAAUGUUUUGUUGACCUCUCUACAUCCAAAAUCAUAUAGACAGCUACUUCUGGCACUUGCAUUGGUCAAUGAAUACUGUAAAGUAUAUAUUGCAGUGUGAGAUAAGGUUAACUCGUUGCAUUUUCAUAUAUUGAAAAGAUUUGUCUUCUUUUCUUUGUCAAUUACAGCAAAUGUGUAGAAGUUACUCAGAGUAAAUGCUAUUGUAAUGUUUUCACAUACUCCCCUGCUUUGCAACUAAGUCACUAAUAUAUGAAGCUCGUAGCUAGAAUUUUUAGAUAGAAGGGUGGCCAAGUAAACUCCUAUAAUAUGUACCUCUGGAAUAAUACAGGGAAAAGAUGUCUAUGUAUUUUGAUGUCUUAUAAUACUUGACCAACUCUUGCUUAUCUUGUUGUUACCCAUUUUUUAGUUCACAUAAAAAUGAGAAAAUACAAAAAACAAAUAUCAAAAGAAAUCCAAAAAAUAAUAGGAGCGAGAAAAGGAUUGCUGGAAUGCCGAAAAAAAAAUGCCAAAAUUGGUUGAGGAGAUUCAAAAAUGCAAAAGGUUGAAAUUUGACAGUGAGAGUCCUGUUGAUGAGGAAAAUUCAAUUUGAGAAAGAAAAGUCCAAAAUCAGAUGUUUAUGGACUCAAUUAAAUUUUAUCCAAGGUUUAAUUGAAUUUAUAGAGGGUUUGAUUGCAAGAAAAUUGAUUUUGUAAGUCAAUUUAGGCUUUUAUCGGAAGAAAUUAAAGUUCUGGGGUCCAAUUAUAAUUUUAAAGAGUUGAUUUGGUCAAAUCAGGGGCUUAAUUGCAUAAUUAUUGAAGUUUGAUGGCCAAUUAGGGACUUAAUUGAAAUAAUUUGAGACCAAGGAUCAAACCAGAAAAGGCGCUAACAUUAAGGGAUCCAAUUACAAUUUUGUCAGGGGGGUUUGAUUAUAAAACAGCGAAAACUUCAAGGGCCAAAUUAGAAGAACCCAAGCGGCGCCGUUUCCACCAUUAAUGGUCUUCAAACAGCUGUGAAUCGGUGACGAUAAUGGAAGGAGACGUUAGCAGCAAUUAUGGAAAAUAUUCUCAAUUCAAUGGGGCUGGUAUCGCGGCUGACAUCCCUCGUCACCGUGAUGGGCGCCGGCUUACCAAUAUUGCUGGCGUCCUCUGGCUAUAAAAGCCAGAGGAAGAGCUGCACCAAAAAUAAAAGGAGGUGAGAGAGAGGAGAGGCUACAGUGAAGAAAAAAAAAGGGGAGUGAGACAGUUUAUGAGAACGUAAGAAAAGUGAGAGGGUGGAGAAAUAGCGAGCAAGCAUAAGGGAGAGAAGAGGAAGGAGAGAAAGAAGCAAACCGAACGGGAACAGAGGACACGGUGAAGCAGAGAACCCAGCACCACCAUCGUCUUCGUCUUCUCAAAAUCAGGUAUGUUCGAUGCCCUUCUCCGUUUCCUUGCAAAAUGAGAUGAUGCAUGUUAGUAUGUAAAAUACAGAAAGAAAAUAUAAGGAAACCGACACCAGAAAUCGCCAGUUACAAUGCUCUGUUUUGUUUUCCUUUUUCAUUCUCGCACUGCAACAAAGAUGGUUAACAGAGCGAAGGUAAUUUAAUUACCUUCGCCCUGUUCAUACAAGCCUAAAUAUAUUAUGGUGCCAUUAGAUAAAAAUAUGCCUUGCAGUCUAGAUGGUCAGCUUACCUGGCUCUCAUCCGAGAGACCCGGUUUCAAGUCCCAACAAGGGAAUUCCUUUUUGAAGGUGGUCACUGGCAUGGGCCAGUGACCAUGCUGGGCUAGCUGAAUCCAGCCCAGCUACGCAGGUUGGCUGGGGUCCAGCCCAGCCAUAUGGGCCGGGUUGGGCCCAGCAAUAAAAAAUAAAAGAAUAAAAAUAAAUAAAAAUUCAAAAAAAUUAUUUAAAUAUCUGUGAUUUUCCGUCAAUUUUUACUGCAUUUUAAUUAAUACGGUUUGUAUUUUUAUACUGUAAAGAUACAAAUCCGGUAUUAAAAUACCAUAUUUUGGUCCAAACAUUAAAAAAGAAGUUUUGUUUUCAUACAUACGGCUAAGUCUCUCAAAAAUAAAAAAUCAUAUUGUAUUUUCAUACAACAAAGAAAAUUUCAAAAAAUAUGUAUUAGCAUGCAUUUUGGCUUUAAUAACCAGUUUAUUAAAGUCACGAGAACUAGGCCAAUAUUUCAAAAAUUCUAAAAAAUUUAUUUUGUUUUCUUUUAAUAUCGGGGGCCGGGUUAUGAUCUUAUACGUAAGACGUGUUCCAGAUAUUAAAUUUUCUUUGUUGGCAUUAGACCGGUUAGGUUUUACCCGAUAAGAUAAGGAUCUCUUUACCGAAGAGAACUUUUCUUAAACCAUAAACGGACCAACAAAUAGAAAGCACAACAUGACCUUAGAUUUUAUCAGACAAUAAAACAAUGCAGCUUACCUUAGGUAGGGCGUAUUUGGGGUGCUAAUACCUUCCCUUUACGCAACCAAUCCUCGUACCCGAUCUCUGAGACCAGUUAGGGUUCCUAGUGACCAAAAUACUAGGUGACGACUUUCAUUCUAUUUUUUCACUGAUAAAAGACAAGAAUACCUUGUCUCCACACAUUUGCCACAUUUUUAGAUAAGAUAAGAUAGAAUUCGAGGGUGGAUGUUUUCGCCGCGACGCCGCACACGUGCGACAUAUCUCAUUAUUUGUUUUUACUUUUUGCUAAUGAUUCCACACAUUUCUGAAAUUGGUGUGGUUUAUGAGUUCAGGGUUCUUGCUUGCUGCUGCUAACUUCUCUAUACUUGCCUGGUCAUUAAAAAUGAAACGUAAUGAUUUGCAUGUGCAGAAUGGAGACAUUAAAGAGGGAUCUUCUGUUUUCUAGUCAGAAGGGAUUACAAGAACUCAAGAAAUAUGCCAUACGUUUUGAGGAAAAGAUUUAUAUUACCGCCACGAAUCAGGGUUCAAUAAUUAUGAUAUUCUCUUGACAUGAAUAUACACAUGCAUUUAUGCAUGUACAAAUGUGUGUGUAGUGUGCCUCCACUUCCUCACCGUGCAUUCUGUAUGCAAGGCUGAUUGGGAGUUCGCAUGUUUUUGUUAAUUCUCUUGACAAGUGUUUUAUCUAGAGUGACCAAGUUCAAGUACAAGGGAAGUGUGCAAAAAGAAAAUAGCAAAUCAAUACAUAAAUAAUUAAAUAAAAAGAGAGGAAACAGAAGUAUAUCCUCACAAACGAUGAAAUGAUAGAGCAUAUAUCCAUUUUCCUCCUCUUGUAACAUGGAUUGCUCUGAGAUCUAAUGUUUUGUUAUUAAUAUAUGAUUUCAGUAUGAUUAUCUGCGUAAAAUAUCUCUGGAGAUGCUUUCAAUGGAGAUCAGGUCUCAAAAUACCAUGCCCACUGCCCCCAUGGAUCCAGCAGGUUAUAAUGCAGCCGAGCAUUGAAUUUGUAAACAUCUUACCUUUUGUUUUGUUUGUCGCAUUGUAAUCAAACUCUUUUACAUUUUAUUGCGGCAUAUUGCUAUGUGUUUAGCAUGCUUUAAUCAAAAAGUUGAGUAAUUGAUGAAUGUUAGGCAAGAAUAUUACAGAUUGUUUUUGUUUUCUGCCUCCUCCUUUUCUUUCCUCCACCUUGAAAAUUGUCAUAUUAUUUUUGUUUUCAGUCGCCUCUUCUUCCCCCAUCCCUGAAAAUUGUCAGAGGACAUUUUUAUGCUUUGAAUCAAAUCCAUCCUAAUUUUUUCGCUCAUAACUUUAUGUGUGAACUGCAUAUGUUUCAUUUGUCUUCCUUGUUCAGUGCCUUCUUUUUUUCUGUGACAUGGUUUUCCCUUUUGCCUUUUAUCUUGAACAGCAUCCCAUAGUAUGCGCCCUGAAGUUCAGAAUCAAGGGCUGUUUCUCCCUAUCCUAUUGUCCACUGAUCAGUCUCAAGCAUGUCAGCAGUUGGUAUCACAGAACAUGCAGAAUUGCAUGGCAUCUAAUGGAGUUCAAAGUUAUGCUGGUUUACAAGCGGCACUGCCUCCUGUCUCUGGUGUAACCCUGACUAACCCCAACACUGUUGUCCAGAAUCCUAACAUGCAGAGUAUCCCUGGUGUUUCACAGAACUCAGUGGGGAAUUCAAUGGGACAAGGGAUUCCCUACACUAUGUUUGCCAAUUCUCAGAGACAAAUGCCAGGUAAUGCUCUUUUUGGUAGCUUUAUGUGCCACUGCUUCCCUUUAUGGCAUUAGAAAUGCCACUGCUAUUGGAACUAUUGCAAUCACACAUGCAUUUGUAACCACACGAUGCCCUACAGUGCGGUGCACCAACUGUUCACCUCUCAUAAUGGUUCAAGUCAGCAAUGCUCUUUUAGGUAGCUUUAUGUGCCACUGCUGCCACUUGUGGCAUUAGUAAUGCCAUUGCUAUUGAAACCAUUGCAAUCACACACGUAUUUGUUACCACAUCAUACCCUCCAGUGCAUUGCACCAGCUAUUCGCCCUCUCAUUCUGCAUUUAUAUGAUCACAUAACAUUUAUAUGAAGUUCUUAAUACAAAAAGGACUUGUAUUCCUAUAUAGGAAAAUACUAAUAGUCCUAUCUAGAAUAGAAAAAACCUAAUGAAGCUCGCUAUACUUUGGGAAUAAUUAAAUACUAAAUGGAAAAUAAAACUGAGACUCGUAAUAUUUCAUAAUUUUCAGCAAGCGUUAAAAUUAUAGAAAUACCCUUGUAUAUGGAAAACACACAAAAAUACAUGAAUUCUAAUAUUUUGUUGUCCGCAUUGAAAUUUUUGUAGCAUCCCUAUAUUCUACAGCACAGACUGGACAUGCAAAAGGCGCUGAUUGGCAAGAGGAGAUCUAUCAGAAGGUAAUUUCUGUGAUUUACUGUUCAUUAGAUGGAGUUCAUGUUUGCCAUAGUCUUGCAAGAUUUCAAUGGAAAAAGGUCUCAAGAAAAUAAGUGGGACUUAUUCCAUUGAAUCAUGACCACAUCCAGUAUUGUUGAAUUUUACAGAAAAUGAGGUUGAAAUUCUGAAUGUCUCAAGUCAUAGCUGCAUGUUUAAUAAGGAGAUUUUUUUUUUGUGCUUAGGAGAGUUUUAAAACGGGAAUAAGAAUGGUUGUUGAUAAGGACAAUUUUUUUUGUGCUGAGGAGACCAAUAUUUGCUGAGCAAUUCUAUAAUGAAAAGUUGGCGACUGAUGUUUUAAAAAUUGGAGUUAAGGAAUGGCUUAGAGUGCAUGGAGAUCAUGUUAAAAGUGAAGCUGUAGAGAAGGCAAUCACUCAAAUUAUGAUGGGUGAAGAAGCAGAGGAAAUGAGUAGCAGAGCAAAGAAACGGCCAGGAAGGCUGUUGAAGAAGGUGGAUCUUCUUGCUCCGAUUUCAAUGCUUUGAUUGAAUAACUGAGGUGGGGUCGCCCUUGAAACAAAGACAUAGAACAUUUUGUUUAUACUUUAGUAGUGGUUGUGGCAAUUUAUUUUCGGACAAGUCUUGAGAGUUGAAAGAGUAAUCACACCCGAGUCAAUGACCAAUCCAAAUCAGUUUCCUUCCUAAUGAUUCAGGAAUGAGAAGUCCAGCUUAUAUAUUUAACCCAAAUAACUAAUCAAAUAGAAAGGCUGAGCUUAGAGAUAGUACACUACAUAUUGCCAAUAACUAGAUAAACAAUCAUCACAAACUAGGAACGACCGUCUCCCCAAUAACAAAUUCACCUUCUGAAGUUAGAGAACUUGCGAAAACUAGCCACCACAAAAUAGUAGCAAGUAUCUAUGCAGUCUUCGAUGAAGUACAACCACCUGCGUCGCCAAUAUGGAUUGAUGUAGAGAACUGCUGCAAUCGUCAUCACCACAACUGUGUAACAUACACCGAAACUGAUGUAGAAAAACUCCAUAUCUAUGAAACCAUCAUCUCCUUGUUCAUCAUUAGGCACUGGCUGUGACACCACUGCCUUCUCACUACAAUUGUUUGGCAAUGGAGGUCCACACAAGAAAGGAUUUCCUUCGUAACAGCUUUCAUCGAAGGUCCCAAACUGAUAUAUUCUCUCGGGUGUCUUGCCUGACAAGUUAUUGUGCGCCACACUAAAAACUUCCAGUGUGGUAACUUCAGUAAAUUGUGGAGGGAUGGCACCAUUCAAGUUGUUGUAAGAAAGAUCCAAACUCUCAAUAUGCAUUAGGUUUGAGAAUGUUGCAGGGAUAGAUCCAGUGAGAUUGUUGUGUGAUAAGUUUACUGACAGUAUCUUACUUAAGUUUCCAAAUUCUGGUGGGAUUGCUCCGAUGAAGUUGUUAUUGGAGAGAUCAAUACCAAACAUGUAGUUGAGAACUUUCCCCUUGUACCCAUAAUACAUAUUUUUAGUUGUAAAUUCUGUCACUUCUUCUGUAAAGUUAAACAAAAAAAAAUUUCUCAAGUUGUCCACACUAUCCACUAGUGGUGGGCCCAUUAUUUCAUAAUAAGCUUUUUCUAUGGACUCUGAUAUAAAACCAUAUGCGACUUCCAAUAUCGCUUUCUUGUCACUUUUCUUGAAAGUAAGAUUGCCUAAACAGGAGGGUAGUGGACCAGAGAGCUGGUUGUGUGAAACAUCCAAAAUGCUUAAUUGUUCUAACAAGCAUAACUGAAUAGGGAGCUCACCAUCAAAGUGAUUAGCCCUCAGAAGAAGAACACUCAAUGAUGAAAGAUUGCCAAUCCAAUUUGGAAUGGAGCCGGUGAAGCUGUUUUCUCGAAGAUCCAUCGUAACCAGGUAAGAGCUGUUAAAAAAUGCAUAUGUUAAUGGACCGCUCAGUCUAUUUUUCGAUAGAUGCACAUGGGUUAUUUGUGGUGGACUAAAACAAGAUGGUAUAUAUCCAGACAAGUUGUUCUCAGAAAGGUCCAAAUAUUCAAGCUGGUCAAACUUACAAAAAUCUCUUGGGAUCGGACCCUUAAAAUGGUUUCCGGACAAAUCAAUUACUCCAAGGAUCGAAAAAUUAACGAAGCUCCUUGGAAGCAUGCCCGAAAAUUGAUUGUUACUCAAAUCUAAUACAUUCCAUACAUUCCACCUAUAUAAUGGAAAAUCUGAUAUCUGACCCCAAAAGUUGUUACCAUUUAGGUAAAGAAAAUUCAGGCGAGAAGAAUUGAACACCGAGGUCGGUAUUUUCCCACCCAAAUUGUUGUUUGACAGCUUGAGAACCCAUAUUGUUGUUAGUUGUUCUAGUUUUACUGUAGACAAUUGAUUGUUGGAUAAAUCUAAAAAUGAAAGAGAGCUAAUAUUUCCUAAACAGGAAGGAAUACAACCUGUGAAUCCAUUCUUAGCCAUCCUUAAGGUGUGUAGAUUUGGAAAGAUCAAACAAAUAUCUUUUGGAAUUUGACCGUUCAUGUUGUUGUUGGAUAUAUCUAAAUUGGUCAUAUUCGGAUGGAGGUGAUCUUGCAACUGCAAAGCACCAAUAAAGGAGUUGUCGCUCAGAUAUAGUUGUUCCAAUCGUGUAUUGUUCUUAAGCAACCACGAUGGAAACAUUCCAGUGAUGUUGUUGUGGGAGAGAUCAAGGGCUCUUAAGUCUAAUUGGUAAUAGAGGAAGUCGGGAAUUACAUUGAGUGCUUCCGAUGUUGGACUACUUGACAAGCGGAAAAAGACUAGUUGGAACUUUGGAAUCAAAUUAUCAAAGGCAGCAGGUUCUGUUACUAGCUUGUUGUUCUCACUGGAGAAGAACUUGAGGCUUGAGUGGUUCAUAAAAGGCUUUAUUGAAAUGGGAACUUCAAAGAGGUUAUUUGAUAGUGAGAGGAAUUCAAGGGAUAUGAGGUUGGUAAGAGGACCGAAAGCAAUAUUUCCAGUAAACUGGUUUUCAGAAACAUCUAAUAGUUGUAAAGAUGACAUGUUCCCCAAACAAUCUGGGAGUGAACCUCCUAAAUUAUUUCUAGAGAGAUGUAACUGCUUCAGAUUCUUCAAUUCACACCAACCUGUACAAUUUAUCUUGAAAUAGUCAAAAUAGUGUUGGAAGAAUCUUUUGUUGAUGAUGUAAUUAUAGGCGGAUGGAGAGUUGUUAAUUUACCUUGAGCAGGUAGGGUGCCAUGGAGGUCACAUUCACCAACAGACAAAACUUUAAGAGCAGGCAAUGCUCCAAUGUUCUGGAGAAAGUUUAUUGGGAGAGAAGUAUUAUCUAGAUGCAAUUCUUCAAGGGUGCUCGAAUUGAACAAAGUCCCUAUGAAAAAGAAAGAAGAAGAGAUAUGAUGAAAAUAGUGGUGGUACAGAAUAUAUAGCCAUUCCAUUCAAUAUUAUUAAUUAAGAUUUUAAGAAACUAAACUAUUAACCUUGACUUAAAUUAGUAUCCUUGAGAGAAAGGGUCUUCAGGGAUGGCAAUGAACACAAUGACUGUAGGAAGUCCAGCUUCCUUGAACCUAUGAUGUGUAGAAUUGAAAACAGGCAAUCAAGUAAGUAGUGAAAUUAAGUGUUAUCUUGAUCGAGUUCUUAAAGCUAUGAUAAAGAACUGGUACUUUUGUAGUGAGAUGAUUUUUUGAUAGAAACAACAAAUUGCCCAAAUAAUAGAAGAUGCCAAGAGAUAUUCACAACUUUACCAUUGACAGCCGUCGAUCCUAGCAACAUAUUGCCUGAUAAAUUUAAAGACUUGAGGGAUGAAAGUCCACUCGGAUGUGAUAAAAUGCUGUCGUUGAAUAUAUUAUAGCUCAGGUCCAGGUUCUCGAGUUUCCCCAAAUGUGAUGAUAUGAUCUCAAAACCUGCAAGGAGUUGUUUCUAAGAGUAAGUCAUAAUUAUGAGCUCACGAUAUGCAUAAUAUAUAGAAACUAAAGAUAAUUAGAAUUGAUGAGAUGUUGUUCAAUUGAUAUAUGAUUCUCAAAUUAUACAUAAAAAGAAUGAUAUAUGAACGCAUAUUUAAUUAUAUAAUAGAUUAAGAAAUAAUUUAUGGAUAAGAUCAAAGCUCCAUAGAUAUUAAUCUUCAUAGAUGAAAUUAAAGCGCAAUCAAACAUGAUGAAAUGCUAUCGUUGAUUUUUAAAUAUAUAUAAAGUCCUCAAUUUUCUUGAUAAACAGAAUGCAACUUACUAUUGAUAGAUCCUGUCAGCUGAUUGUUUGACAGAUCCAAAGACUUGAGAGAUGAAAACCCAGUUAGAGAUGGAAAAAUGCUAUCGUUGUAUUGAUUCCGUCUUAGAUGAAGGUUCUCAAGCUUUUUCAACCUUGAUGACAAGACUUUGAGACCUGCAUGAUGUUCCUCAAAAGCAUAGAAAUGAUACAUGAACGCAUAUUUAAUUAUAAAAUAGGUUGUGCACGCUUCUAAGAUUAAGAUACAAUUUUUAAAUAUCAUUCUAAUUUUGAUCAUUGGAAAAAAAAAAACAAUUUACGGUUAUAAAGUCGCUAAAGAUGGAAGCUAAGUUAUGAUAGACUUACAAAACAAAAUAAAGAAACUUAUAAUUAAGAUCUCAUCGGUAAUUAAAACAAGAAUAAUAAUCGAUCCAUGUAAGUUCAAAUAUUGCCUAAUUUUGAAAAACUAAUUAAUUAGUUAUGAUAGUUUCAAAAACUAACUGCCUCUGUAAGAUGCUAAAUGCCUCUCUCGUUGGCUGUCUAGUGAUUUGUAUUGGAUAGUUUUUUUUUGAAUUGAUGUUAAGAUCCAAGUUUUAAUAAUUACAAUUUUCUUAAUUAUAUAUAAUAUUAUAGGAGAGAGCUUCUUAUUAUGUUAUUCAAAACCCAUUCAAACUCAAAUUCAUAAAAAAAAAUACUUAGAGUUGUGUUCGACUAAGGAUCUCAAGACAGAAAAAACAUAUAUAAAAAUAUAUUUAUUUAAAAAGAUAAAUAUAAAAUAUAUAUUUAUAGGAGAGUUUUGAAGUGAACUUCUGAUUGCUAAUUUAAUCUAAAUAUUACAACACUUUUGGCAUAAAAGGGCCAAAAUAAGAAUAAAAUAUAUGCCUCUUUACGUAGAUAUAAAGUUCUCAUUUUUGUUGAUAAAGAAACAAUAUAAUUAAGAGAAUGUCAUGUGAAGCAUUUAGGUAGAAACUGUGUAUUAUACCUGAUCCUGUCAACUCAUUGUACGACAGAUCCAAAGACUUGAGGGAUGAAAAUCCAGUAAGAGAUGGAAAAAUGCUAUCGUUGCAAUGAUUCCAACUUAGAAGAAGGUUCUCCAGCUUUUUCAACCUUGAGGACAAGACUUUGAGACCUAAAUAGCAGCUACCUCCUGAUCAUUUAAAUGCGUAGAAAAAAAUGAUAUGAGAAGGAGAAAAGAAAAGGUUUCGAAGCUAAAUAAUUAAAAGGUUACCAUAGAAGCUACCUCCUGAUCCAGCUGUCAACCCAUUCUCUGAUAGAUCCAAAGACUUGAGAGUGGAAAGGUUACCAUUGAAACAUGACAAAAUGCUUUUAUCAUUAUUAAAUCCGUUAUAACUUAGGUCAAGUUUCCUCAGUUUUGAUGAUAGGACUUCGAAGCCUGGAAAGAGCAAGAUAAUUGACAUUAAACACCAACCAACCUUCAUUUAUUUUAUGAUUAUAUUUAAGUGCACAAACAUUGAACUAACCUUCAUUCUCCAAGCAACCAACCAAUCCAUUACCUUCCAAUUCAAGACUUUGCAAUUCUUUAAAAGGCUGAAACAAAGAUGCGUUGAGAACCCAAUCGCCCAAGCUCUCGUCCCUUGAUCCUCUAAGAGAGAGUUGGAUCACUCGCCUUGUAGUGUUAUCACACUCGAUCCUAUGCCACUCACAACAAUUACUACCGUCCACCCAAUCUCUCAAGGAAACGCCAUCUGGGUCGAUCGAAGAUUGGAUCUCCAAGAGACCAAUCCUCUCUUCCUCCAAACACCCAUAACAACGACCAUACCAUUCGCCAACCAAAGUCAAUAAUGCUAGCAACAUCCAACUCCCCAUUCUUUUCAUCAUCAUCUACGUAGAAUAUUGUUGUUUGUUAUGUGUCUUUGGGCAACCAUAGAGGUCCUAUUUAUACUACAAUUUUGGCCAUUUCCAUGAUUUUAUCUGCAUAUCUUAUGCAGGUUCUAUGUUUUGAGAUUUGAAUAUUAUUUUAUUUCCUUUUGGAAUAUUCUUGGAUUCGAAUAUUAUUUUAUUUUACUGUUUAGCACUUAGUCUAUUUGCAUUUAAUUAUAUUUUGGUUACUAAUUAUCCAAUUUUAAAAAAAUAAAAAAUAAAAAUUGUUGCAACAUUUCAAUUUUUUUAUCGACAUUCAUGUGUGAUUUCACGUAAGAUCUUUUUAAAUUUAUAAUUGUACUUUUCUCGUUAUAAUUUAGAAUUAUUUAGGAGCCUACUUGCAUGGUGUCAUCACUAUUAUAUAUAAUUAAAUACAUAAAUUAUCAAUAAUAAUAAAUUCGGAAUAAUUAUAAAUCUUAUCCCUGUGGAUUGUGUGGCUACAGUAUGAUAUACAAAAACUUCAAAUAUAUAUAAAUAAAAGAAUGCUAAAAGUGACAUUCUCUUGGGUGACCACCACAAGCCCAUCUAAAACACACAAGCCAUAUAAAAAUCACACGACAGCCAAUUACCUUAUCUUGUGAGAAAAAAGAUUAAAAAAAAAAAAAGCAUUUUCUUGGGUGUGCAAUGACUGCCAAUCUUUCUCGUUAUGACAUUCAAUGCUCUGUAAGAAGUUGCAUGAUGCUCUUCUCAUGGGGAGCAAAAAUCAGUAGCCUCCCAUGGAAUCCUCAUAAACCUUUCUCUAUGCUCUUCUAAGAUAUUAAAAAUGUCAAACAUACAUAAAUAAUAAGAAAAACAAUAAAAAAAGAAAGCUAUACAAAUAGAGCUUCCAACAAAAAGACUAGGAAGUUGUUUACUGAAAAUUGAGAUUCAUAAUUUGUUUUGAUUUGUUUUGAUUUGUUUUGAGUUAUUAUGGUCUCAUGACCCGGGUCACAGAUUUAAAGGUUAAUCUAGAUUGACCCGGGUCGAUUAAUCCAAUAUGUUGUUGUUUCGAUAUACUUUUUUUAAAAAAAUAUGUCAUCUUGAUUUUUUUCAAGUGAAACUAUAUUUUUACCAGUCGUCCAGACAAUCUUUGAGCCCAUCGAAUCGAUCGGGUUAUAUCAAUUUAACUCUUAUUUUUUUAUUUAUAUUUGAAAUUUAAAUUGCAUAAUUUUUUACUUAUUUUUUUAUAUAGGUGGUUAUGAGUUACAAAAAUUAAGCAAUUUCGAGUAUAUUGACAUGAGAAUUAAUGGUUUCGAUAACAAUAUUCUAUCAUUUGUAGAGGGAUUUUCAUCUUUUAAAUCACUAUAUUUAGAUUAUAAUAGACUGGAAGGGUUAAUAGAUUUAAAAUGUUAGUUUUUUUAUAUACUUAUUUUUUCUCUAUUAAAUUUAAUUUCAAAAGAACACAAUUUUCGAUAACAGUAUUCUAUCAUGCAAUUUUUGUUUUGUUUCAAAAGAACACAAUCGCCCAAGCGGAAAUCCCUUGCAUAGAAAAGAGAGAGUUGGAUCACUCGCCUUGUACGUAGUGUUAUCACACUCGAUCCUAGGCCACUCACAACAAUUACUACUGUCCACCCAAUCUCUCAAGAAAAAGCCAUCUGGGUCGAUCAAAGCUUUGAUCUCCAAGAGACCAAUCCUCUCUUCCUCCAAACACCCAUAACAACGACCAUGCCAUUCGCCAACCAAAGUCAAUAAUGCUAGCAACAUCCAACCCCCCAUUCUUUUCAUCAUCAUCUACGUAAAAUAUUGUUGUUUGUUAUGUGCUUUUGGGCAACCAUAGAGGUCCUAUUUAGACUACAAUUUUGGCCAUUUCCAUGAUUUUAUCUGCAUAUCUUAUGCAGGUUCUAUGUUUUGAGAUUUGAAUAUUAUUUUAUUUCUUUUUGGAAUAUUCUUGGAUUUGAAUAUUAUUAUUAUUUUAUUGUUUAGCACUUAGUCUAUUUGUAUUUAAUUAUAUUUUGGUUACUAAUUAUCCAAUUUAUAAAAAAAAAUAAAAAAUAAAAUAAUUGUUGCAGUACUUCAGCAUUGUUAUCGACAUUCGUGUGUGAUUCCGUAUAAGAUCUUUUUAAUUUAAUUGUACUUCUCUCGUCAUAAUUUAGAAUCAUUUAGAACCCUAUUUGUGUUAUGACUAUCAUAUAUAUAAUUAAAUACAUAAAUUAUCAAUAAUAGUAAACUCAGAAUAAUUAUAAAUCUUAUCCCAGUGGAUUGUGUGGCUACAGUAUUUUAUACUUCAAAAUAUAUAUAUAUAUAUAAAAGUUAGAGCUGCUUUUGUUUUUAUGUUCGGAAAGGUAUUCUUGACUUGUUUUUAUUACAUUUCAAUAUUAUUAUUUUUUUUCAAUCGAGUCAAAGAUAUACCAUUUAUAUUAGAAUGAGAAGACUAAUCAAUUUCUCUAGUUUUCUCCCUAUUUAUAAAAUACAUCUGGUUUUUGAAGUCCAGAUUUUAGGAUAAAAGGAAUUUAUUUCUUGAAAUUAAUGCAUUAAACAAUAUAAAGAUAUUUUUUAAAAAUUAAAAUAGUAGUAAAAGUAAAUUUAGUUUUUGAUUGAAGUGUAAACUAGUGGUAAAUGAACAAAAAAAAAAAACUUUCUUGAUUAUCUAAUGGAAACUCCGCCUAAUAUAUAUAUAAUAGCAAUCAUUUUCUUAUCUCUUGUAUCAUUCAUAUCUUCCACAAAUCUUAAGUAAUUGAUGAGAAAGUGGAUAUUGCCAAGAAAGGUCGUGAACGCGGAUGCUUGACUUGCUGCGUGGCAUUUUGAUUUUUAAACACAACACUACUUUCUUUGUGGAAAUAACGCUACUUUGCAUGAAGAUGAUGGAUAUAGAAGACUUGCUACUUGUUUUAUGGAAAUAACGUAUGGAAAAUUAUGCUUUAAUUUUAAUGAUGAUAGCAAAAUCAAACAGUAUUGUUGAUAAAAUGAGCCAUAAAUAAUAUUAUUUCUAUUGUCAUGACAAUAAGUUUUUUUUUUUUUUUUUCUAAAGAGUCUAUUUUUCCUCUAGGAGAGGCCGCGAGACGUCCUCUUCCAACCAUCAUGCAUUUUUUCUACGAGAUGGGUUCAUGGAAAUACUUUGGUUUAAUUGGGAAUGCUGUUAUUGAUUGAAAUAUUUUUAAUUAAAAUAAAUUUGAUUAUUUGAUUGGAAAAAAAAUAUUGUAACCAAGUAAUUUAUUUAUUUAUUUUAAUGAAAUAUAAAAUAGUUUUAAAUCUUGUGGUAUAUUUCUUGUCUUUAAGAGCUAUGAACUUAUAUCUCAAAACUUGAAAACUAAUAUAAAGAUAUUAAGUGAUCAUUGAGUGUGUGUGUGUGUAUAAUCCUUUUCAAAACAAAAAGGAUUUUGAUGGAGAUUAGGACAUUGCAACAAAUUAUCCACCACUAGAUGGGUCAAUGAUACCAUUGUCAUCAUGCAAUUUUUCCCACGAGAUGGGGCCGUACGCUUGGGGCUCUAAAAGCUAUGGUUUUAAUUUCAUUAUGUCACAUCUAGAAUGGCAGGUAUAUUUUAUUUCAAUUUAAACAAUGGAAUAAAUUAGAAGAUAUUUCAUCUCGCUUAAAAUCUUAUCUUCUUAUAUGAUUUCACCUAAAUUCUGGCUGGAAUGUUUAAGUUAUAUUCUAGCUAUUCUGUUAUGGCCAAAUGAUAUUUUGUUUUACUUUUAUAAAAAAUUAAAAUAUAGUUUAGUUUUUGUAUUUAUUUUCUGGUUAUAUUUAAUUUGUCAUCAAUAUUCAUAACGUAAAUUGCUAUGCAUUUCGAAUCUUGAAAGGAUUGAAAGAUGGAAAACAGAAAAGAAAGAGAGACCCCCAGUUCAAAAGAAAAAGAAAAAAAAACAAUAGUAAAAGAAAGAGAAGAGAACAAAAGUGAAGCAGUUUUUACUAACUAUAUAAAUUUUAUAAUUAUUAAUAUUAAAUUCAAAAUAUGUACAUAAUGCAAAUAUGUAAACAUAUCAUGUGGUUUAAAGAAAUGAUUUUUAUAAAGAUAUAUGUCUUAACAAUAUUAAUCAACUCUUAAUAUUUUUCAUUUUAUAAAUAUUAAAAGUAAAUAUUAAAACCUAUUAUAUUAAUUUGUGAAGGUAUUUACUCGGAUGCGAAUUAUAUUUCUAAUUUUUUAUUAAAAAAAAAUUCUACAUACUACAACUAGCCUAAGAAAGUCAUUUUCAUCUAAAAAAAAGUAGAAAAAAUUGAAUUGCAUAAAAGCAUCACUAUAAAUGUUAUACUCCGAAAAUAUCUUCUUUCCUUGAUAAAAUUCCCUAAACUACUGUAUGUCUCUAACAGUGAAAAUAUCACUAUAAUUUACAGUCACCUUAUUUAAUCGAAAGAAAACUUUAAAGAUGCACCUCCAUCUAGUGUAUUUAAAAAGAUUUAACAAAUUACUUUACACGUGCUAUGCUACAAGUUACAUAUUUUUUCAAUGUAAACAAAAAUUAUAUAGGUAUUUUUAACAUUUUUCUAUUAAAAAAAACUAAAACAUAUAAAAAUUAACCAAUUUAUAAUUAAUUAAUUAAUUGAGAAUUUGAGCUCCUUAGAAAAGUUGUUUAUGGACUUUUGUUUUCCGGAGAAAGCUCCUUUAAAACCCUUGAGCACCACCUUCUUUAAAACUUCUAUCUUUGCCAUAACUGAGGGGCUCUGUAUUUUUUUUAAGGUGAAUUAACAAGUUACAACUCAACUCUGUAUUUUUUUUUUUAGUUUAAUGUGGGUGUCUGGGUCAACUUACGCGUACCUCGACUAAUUCCACGGGCCCUGAAAUUAAUGACCAUAUAAACCUACAGUGGCCAUCAUAUGAACAAUCACAGGACUAGGGCUCGAACUUGAGACAAAAAAAAAAAGCAAAUUUUUUAAUCUUAAAUUCUUACCACUGGAUCACUAUCUAAAUUGUUACCUUGUAUCUAAUCUAGAUGUGUCUGUGACUGUGCUUGAUGUUCUCAUAACCAUUAAGAUGGUUCGAACCCAAAUAAAUAGAAACAAAUUUAUUUUCUGUUAUUCUCCGAAUUCCUAGAUAGAAUUUGCUUGGAAAUGAUGAGCUACCACUCCCUUUUGACUUUGCUGGCCUCCCAAAUAAAUAAAGAAUUCCGCUUGAUAGAAUUUUCUUGGAAAUGAUGAGAAUAUUUUAUAAUUUUCUGGUUGACGCCAGCUGUCAACAACUGUCUUACAUUCCCUUGGCAUCGUGUUCCAUGCCCUUGCAAAAUAUUAAAGGCUCCAAUGCCUCUCUCGCAAUAAGAUUAUUUUUUUUAUUUGUCCCCGAAUACAUGUGUCAUUUAUCGAAAUAAUUAAUUUAAUCACACACAUAAAAAAAAAAAAAAAUUUAAAUAGGCGGCUUUAGAAUCAGCAAGCAGUGAAUCACACGGGAAGAUUGAAAGAAUAAUUAAAGUGAUUUUACUAACAUUGUAAAAAAAAUUGAAUUGCAUAAGAGUAAUUAACCGACAGGUUGACCCAAAGUCAAAGUCUUCUGUGGAAAAACAUGAAUAGAAGAUUGAUGGGCGUUGCGUGAUAGCAAAAGAUUUGAGAUCUGCACAGCAGGUUUUGAAUUCGAGUCAGGGCGUGCAUCUCUUGUAAAAGCUUGGGAUAGCCGGGAUUUUACUGUCUCAUCUGGGCCCAUAAAGUGCGCUUUCCAAGGAAAUGAGGUUCCCUCGAAUCCAUAAAAAAAAAAAAAGUAAUACCAUUGCUAUCAAGCGUUUUUUCUACGAGAUGGUCCGUUCCCCCAUUUCCCCUCAAGCUUGAGAAGGGAUGAUAUAUAUAUGCUUUAAUUUCAACUUGUAUAAAAAAUAAAUCUUAAUGUAGUGUGUUAGAAUGCAACCACCGAUUCAUUAUUUUUAAUGGCUGGUCAUUUAAACUUGGGUGUUUUUUCGGUAUUAAUAUAUAUAUUCCUCAAUUAUCAUAAAAAAAUUAAGAAAAAACUAAUAAUAAGAUUAAAAAUAAAUGUUUUAUUUAUCGAAAUAAUUAUUAAAAGUAAGGUAUACUCAAGGUAUAUGUGGGACGAUAAAAAAAUAACAAAAAAAUCAAUUUACAAAAAAAAUCAUAGAUUUAGUUUUCCUAAAUUUUAAAUGUAGUGCAACAUUAGCCUUUCAAGAAAUAGAUAAUCUUCCUCUUUGAAGGAAUUAAUUAGUGGGUUGGAAAAAUGUCGUCUUUUGCUCUAAUAUUUUCUUCGCUUUCUCUAUAGUUUUACCAUACACUAAUAUUGUCAGAAAAUGAUACAUACUUCUUGUGUUAUCCUUCAAGAAUUCAAUUGAAAAGGAGGGUUGUAAAAAAUUUAAUUUUUAUAAACAUACCCUUAACUUAAUUUGGAUGUGGAUAAUUGUUUGCAAUAUAUUUACAUCCAAUAUAAACAAUUCAUCAAUGAUCAAGUAGGCAGUGGUUAGCUAAAAUAUUGAAAAUACUUACUCUCUUUGUUUUUUAGUCAUGCAGUUCCACUAUUGUAUGUUAUUUUUGUUUAGCUAAAAAUAUCAAAAAAUAUUAAUUUGGAGUAAAAAAAAAAAAAAAAUUUAAUUUUUUUAAAAAUAUUUUUGAAACAUAAAAACAAACAGUGCUAAAAGACAUAGAAACAGUUACCCAAAUCAAUUUAUUUUUUUAAAAAAUAAAAAUAGAAUACUAUACAAAUGGAGCUUCCAACAAAAAGAUAUGGGAAGUUCGAGGGAAAAAAUGAUUAGUUAAUUCAAAACACCAGGAGUAAGUAAUAAUUACAAAACACGAUACCGAAACCAAAUUGAAAAGUGAGCAAAAUACAAAACUGGUUACAUGUAUCGAAAGGAACUGGAACCAAUUUCUCCACCACUGGAUGUCCCUUUUGUUCAGUCUAUGUUUGGUGCAAUCACCUAAAGCUAGAAACAAAAACAGCGCCUUAGUCUAUGUUUGGUGCAUUUUUUCCACGAGAUGGGUUCGUGGAAAAACUUUGGUUUAAUUGGGAAUGCUGUUAUUGGUUAGAAACUUUUUAAUUAAAAUAAAUUUGAUUAUUUGAUUGGAAAAAUCCUUAAAUGUUAUUAACACAUGAAAUCAAUUUAUUCUCUUAAGAAAAAAAUAGUUUUACAUCUUGUGGUAUAUAUGUCAAGCAUUUUUUUUCCCUCAAGAUGGGUUCGACAGACAAUCACCAUCAUGCAUUUAUGAGUCCAUGAGACCAUUGUCAUCUGCACAUUGGUCCCCUAUAGCGUUGCUUUUCCUCAAGACCAUUUCCAUCAUGCAUUUAUGAGUUAGUGAGACCAUUUCCAACUGCACAUUGGUCCCUGAAACCGUUGCCAUCAUGCAUUUUUCCUCGAUGAGAGGUCGUGAGACGUCCACUUCCAACCAUCAUGCAUUUUUUUCACGAGAUGAGGCCGUACGUUUGGGGCUCUAAAAGCUAUAUAUAUUAGAAAUAUUAUUUGAAAAUAAAUUAUUUUUUAUUUUUAAAAAUAAAAUUCUUCUAUACAAAAGAUUUUUAUAAGUAUAAUUUAAUUUAUUCAGUUUUUUAAAUAAAGUUAAUCUAUCGCAAGAGUACACGAAAUAAGUAUUUUUCCGUCAUGCAUUUUUUUUCCUCAAGACCAUUUCCAUCAUGCAUUUAUGAGUCUGGGAGACCAUUUCCAUCAUGCAUUUAUGAGUUGCUGAGACCAUUUCCAUCUGCACAUUAGUCUCUGAGACCGUUGCCAUCAUGCAUUUUUCCUCGAGGAGAGGCCGUGAGACUUCCUCUUCCAACCAUCAUGCAUUUUUUCCACGAGAUGGGUUCGUGGAAAAACUUUGGUUUAAUUAGGAAUGCUGUUAUUGAUUGGAAACUUUUUAAUUAAAAUAAAUUUGAUUAUUUGAUUGGAAAAAUCCUUAAAUGUUAUUAACACAUGAAAUCAACUUAUUCUCUUAAGAAAAAAACAGUUUUAAAUCUUGUUGCCGUCAUGCAUUUUUUUUUCCUCAAGAUGGGUUCGACAGACAAUCACCAUCAUGCAUUUAUAAGUCCAUGAGACCAUUGUCAUCUGCACUUUGGUCCCCUAUAGCGUUGCUUUUCCUCAAGACCAUUUCCAUCAUGCAUUUAUGAGUCCAGGAGACCAUUUCCAACUGCACAUUGGUCCCUGAGACCGUUGCCAUCAUGCAUUUUUUCCACGAGAUGGGUUCGUGGAAAUAAUUUGGUUUAAUUGGGAAUGCUUUACUGUAUUUGUUUUCUGGUUAUAUUUAAUUUUUCAUCAAUAUUCCUAAGCACGUAUUUUGAAUCAUGAAAAGCACGUGGAAAAGAGAGGGAUGGUGAAAAUGACAUGUAAAGGGACUGUUUGGCAGUGCGCAUAGAAAAGGGAAAGUGUCAUUGCCAUUUUGAGUGGUGUGUUUGCAUUUGAUUUGUUAAUUUCGAGUUUUGUCAAAGAGUGAUUACUAGUCAUCAAGCAUUUUAUUAAUUUAAUUUAUCCUGUCAAGUGAAGGGCCAAACCUGUCAUUCAUUGCCAGUCACAGUCACAAGUCUUGGUCUUACCAUUUUACUAUCUAUUAAUUAAUUAAUUGUUUGAUUAAUCAACGAAACUGUGCGUUUCUCUUGUGAUUUCUCGAAGACGGCCAUGAAUAUAUAUAUAUAUAUAUACAACUUUUCAAAACAAAAAGGAUUUUGAUGGAGAGGACAUUGAAACAAAUUAUCCUCGUGAUACCAUUGUCAUCAUUCAAUUUUUUCCACGAGAUCAGGCCGUAUGCUUGGGGCUCUAAAAGAUAUUAUUUCUAAUUUUAUUAUAUCACAUCUAGAAUAACAAGUAUAUUUUAUUUCAAUUUAAAAAAUAGAAUAAAUUAAAAGAUAUUUCAUUUUUAAAAUUUUAUUUUGUUUUAUGAAUUUCACCUAAAUUCUGACUAGAAUAUUUUGAUUAUAUUCCAGCCAUUUUAUUAUGAUAAAAUAAUAUUUUGUUUUGCUUUUAUAAAAAAAAUAUAAUCUAAUUUUACAGUAUCAAUCAUAUCUUUCAAUUCGACUGCUGGAUUGGACUAAAAUUUUACGAGGAAUCUCCUAACAUAUAUUUAUAUCGCAAAUUAAAAUUUUAAGGCAAUCAGAGUUUAGAAAAAUUUUGCGAAAUUACCGAUGAUAUUUUCAUAAUUUUAUUUAAAUUCAUAAUUUUGUUAGGAAAUAUUAUUUUUUGUUUCUUUUUUAGAUUGAAUUAUUUCUAAAGUACUUCUUGUCAUUGUCAUGACAAUAAAUCUUCUUCUUUUUCUUUUUAAAAAGUCUAUUUUUUGUAACACAACCAACAUGUAAGAUGGAUGGGAAUUUGCAGUGUGAGAUGGGUUUGUGAGACUUUGGCCAUCUCCAAUUUUUUCCACGCCAUUGAGAUGGUCUAUAAGACCAUUGCCCCGUAAGCAUUUAUGAGUUCGUGAGACCAUUUCCAUUUGCACAUUGGUCCCUGAGACCGUUGCCAUCAUGCAUUUUUUACACGAGAUGGGUUCGUGGAAAUACUUUGGUUCAAUUGGGAAUGUUGUUAUUGAUUGGAAACUUUUUAAUUAAAAUAAAUUUGAUUAUUUGAUUGGAAGAAAUCCUUAAAUGUUAUUAACAAUAGAAAUCAAUUUAUUUUCUUAAGAAAAAAAUAUUGUAACCAUAUAAGUAAUUUAUUUAUUUAUUUUAAUGAAAAAUAAAAUAGUUUUAAAUCUUGUGGUAUAUUUCUUGUCUUUAAGAGCUAUGAACUUAUAUCUCAAAACUUGAAAACUAAUAUAAAGAUAUUAAGUGAUCAUUAAGCGUGUGUGUGUGUAUAAUGCUUUUCAAAACAAGAAGGAUUUUGAUGGAGAGGACAUUGCAACAAAUUAUCCACCACGAGAUGGGGCUGUACGCUUGGGGCUCUAAAAAACUAUGGUUUUUAAUUUUAUUAUGUCACAUCUAGAAUGGCAGGUAUAUUUUAUUUCAAUUUAAACAAUGAAAUAAAUUAGAAGAUAUUUCAUCUCGUUUAGAAUGUUAUCUCAUUUCAUGAAUUUCACCUAAAUUCUGGCCGGAAUAUUUUGGUUCUAUUCCAGCCAUUCUAUUAUGAUCAAAUAAUGUUUUGUUUUGCUUUUAUAAAAAAAAAAUAUAUAGUUUAGUUUUAUGGUAUUAAUUAUAUCUCUCAAUGCAAUUAUUGGAUUAGACUAAAAUUUUACAAGGAAUCUCUUAACAUAUAUUUAUAUCGCAAGUUAAAAUUUUAGAACAAUUAGAGUUUAAAAAGACUUUGUGAGAUUGCCGAUGACAUUUUUAUAAUUUUAUUUAAAUUCAUAAUUUUGUUUCAUAAGGUCAUUUUUUGUGUCUUUUUUUAGAUUGAUUUUUUUUUUUCAAUUUCAUAAUUCAACAAUAGAUUUAUUAAAAAUUAAGAUUCAUAAUUUGUUUUUAUUUGGGAUUAUUAUGGUCUCAUAAUCUGGGUUACGGAUUUAAAAGAUUAACCUAGAUUAACCUGGUUCGAUCUAAUAUGUUGUUGUUUCAAUAUUUUUAACAAAUAUAAUUUUAAUUGAUAUUUAAAAAUAAACUAACUUGAAAUUAUAUAAUUUAAAUUUCAAAUAUAAGUAAAAAUAAAGAGUUAAAUCAAUAUGACCCAAUUGAUUUGAUGAGUCCAAAAUAUAUAUAAAACAAUCCAAACGACACGUCAAAAUACUCAAAAAUCAAAAUAUAUUGUUACAAUUAAAAAAAUAAAACACCAAUUAAAAUGGAAUUGACGACCUUGCUUGAUAUAAGCCUAAACUCCUCGCUGCCAUUUGCAAGAGAUAGUUACUUAUACCAGUAGCAAUUUAAUAAUGAUUGGUCAAAUUUUAUAUUAAGAUGGGGCUAUUAAUUCAAAUGUUGAUGGCGUUAGUAGCAAUGAUUUUCUUGGAAGCAUGGUUGCCUCUUGGCUGCUUGAAAAUAUAUGGUUUUUUUAAUGUCGCAUGUGUGCUGCGUCAUGAAAAAAAAAUUCACUCUCAAAUCCUAAAUAUUGGUAUCCUGGAAAAAUUGGGAAAAAUAAGGAGACAAGAAAUUCUUGUCUUUUAUUAGUGGAAAAAUAAAAUGGGAGUCGCCACUUAGUAUUUUAAUCACUAGGAACCCUGAUUGGUCUCAGAGAUUGGGUACGGAGACUGGUUGCGUAAAGGGAAGGUAUUAGCACCCCAAAUACGCCCUACCUAAGGUAAGUUGCAUUGUUUUAUUGUUUGAUAAAAUCUAAGGUCUUGUCGUGUUUUCUAGUUAUUGGUCCGUCUAUGAUUUAAGAAAAGUCUUCAUCGAUAAAGAGAUCCUUAUCUUUUCGGGUAAAACCUAACCGUUCUAACGUAAACAAAAGAAUUUAAUAUCCGGAAUACAUCUUACGUAUAAGGUCGUAACCCCAGAUACUAAAAGAAAAUUUUUUUUUUGGAAUUUUUUAAAUAUUGGCCUAGUUCUUGUGACUUUAAUAAACUGGUUUUUAAAACCAAAAUGCAUGUUAAUACAUAUUUUUGUUGUAUGAAAAUAUGAUAUGAUUUUUUUCUUUGAGAUACUUGGCCGUAUGCAUGAAAAUAAUUUUUUUUUUAAUUUUUCAAUGUUUUGACGAAAACUAGGUAUUUUAAUACCAGAUUUGUAUCUUUACAGUAUAAAAAUACAAACCAAUACUAAGAAAAAUUUAGUAGAAAAAUAUAUGGGAAAAUUAUAGAUUUUUUGAAAUGAUUAUUUUUGAAGAAUUGUUUUUUACUGGGCCGGACCCGACCCAACCAUUUUGGGCGGGCCGGCACUGUCCGGGCUGGAAAACUAAAACAAACAAUGGAGAGACUCUCCACUGUUCACAUGCAACGUGAACAGUGGAGCGGCCUGGAGAAGACAAAGAAGAAGAGGAGGAAGAGGAAGAAGCAGACCUGCGGCCUAGCGGUGCUGCUAGUGGCGGUGGACGGUGUUGCGGUUGCGGAGUGUUAGAAAUAAUGUUCAGGACUGCUGAGCUGGAAUUUUAUUCUUUCUUAAUUUUUGAUUUAGUCAAUUCUGUUCCUAUUCUCUUGUUCUUGUUGCUACUUCGCAGCUCUGUUAUUUCCAUUAUCAAUUGAUCAUGGCUUGAAUGUAGUACCAUGAUCGUAGGAGUUUGUUAUGUAUCAGCUCUAUAAAUUGAGCUGCAGUUAUGAAUAAAGUAUUCAAGCUUUUCAUUCAUCAAUCUCUUCUUAAACACAAGCAUUAUCCUUUGUUAUUUUUGUUGUUCAGAAUCACUGCAACAACGACAAUUGGUAUCAGAGCAUCUUGAUUUAAAGGGAUCUGUGUUGUAACCCAUGGAGACAGAAGUAAGAUUCUCAUCAAUUGCUCCACCAGUGUUCAAUGGUGACAAUUACCAGUUUUGGGCAGUACGGAUGGAGACAUACUUAGAGGCUCUGGAUUUGUGGGAGGCAGUGAAAGAAGAUUAUGAAAUCCCUGCACUUCCAAAUAAUCCCACCAUGGCGCAGGUCAAAUCACAGAAGGAGAAGAAGACAAAAAAAUCAAAGGCAAAGGCGUGCUUGUUUGCUGCAGUAGCAUCCACCAUUUUCACUCGAAUCAUGUCUCUGAAAACAGCAAAGGAGAUAUGGGAGUUUAUCAAGACUGAGUAUGAAGGGGAUGAAAGAAUUCAAGGUAUGCAAGUGUUGAACUUGAUGCGUGAUUUCGAGUUGCAGAAGAUGAAGAAAACUGAAUCCAUCAAAGAGUACUCUGACAGGCUGCUUAAUAUUGCAAGCCGAAUCAGUUUACUUGGCUCGUCCCUGCCUGAGUCAAGAAUUGUUCAAAAAAUUCUUGUAACAAUUCCUGAAAUCUUUGAGGCUACAAUUACAUCCUUGGAAAAUACCAAGGAUAUGUCAAAAAUUACUUUGACAGAAAUGCUAAAUGCAUUACAAGCUCAGGAGCAAAGGAGGAUCAUGAGACAAGAAGAUGAGAUUGAAGGAGCUCUAUUCGUCAAGCAUAGAGAAAAAGGAAAGAAUUACAAGAAGAAUGGAAGCAGUCAAGCAUCAUCAGGUGAUUCCAGGAAUUUCAACAGGAGCAACACUGGAAACAAAAAAGGACCUUUUCCUCCAUGCCAGCAUUGUAAAAGGAGAUCACAUCCACAUUUUAAGUGUUGGAGAAGACCAGAAGCUAAGUGCAACAAAUGCAAUCAAAUGGGCCACGAGGCUGUCAUCUGCAAAAACAAAAUUCAACAGCAUGGUGAAGAAGCUCAAAUUGCUGAUCAAGAAGAAGAAGAUCAAUUGUUUGUGGCCACUUGCAUUUCCAGAAAUGACUCAAGUGAAAGCUGGCUCAUUGAUAGUGGUUGCACCAACCACAUGACACAUGACAGAAACAUAUUCAAGGAGCUGAAACAAACAACUUCAAAGGUUCGAAUUGGAAAUGGAGAAUACCUUGCUGUUGAAGGAAAGGGAACCGUGGCAAUCUUGACUUGCUCAGGUACUAAGUUCAUCUCUGAUGUAUUGUAUGUCCCUGGUAUAAAUCAAAAUUUAUUCAGUGUUGGUCAGCUUAUUGAGAAGGGUUAUAAAGUAGUGUUUGAAAACAAUUGCUGCUUGAUCAAAGAUGUGAAUGGUCAUGAUAUUUUCAAAAUAAUCAUGAAAGGGAAGAGUUUUGCUUUAAAUCCAUUAGAGGAGGAGCAUAUUGCUUUCCCAAUUAAAGAAAAUAUCACAGAUAUUUGGCACAAGAGGCUCGGGCACUAUCAUCAUAGAGGGCUGAUGCUUAUGAAAUCCAAGAUGAUGGCUAAGGAUUUCCCAGCACUUGAUGAUCACAUAUCCAGCUGCAGAACUUGUCACACUGGCAAGCUAAACAGGAAGCCCUUUCCAGAAGCCACAUGGAGAGCAACAAGGAAGCUGCAAUUGAUUCAUACUGACAUUGCAGGACCAUAAAGGACACCCUCUCUAAAUGGGAGUCUGUAUUAUGCUGUCUUCAUUGACGAUUACAGCCGAAUGUGCUGGAUUUUCUUCUUGAAGCACAAGUCAGAGGUAGCACAGGUGUUCUGGAAUUUCAAGGCCAAAGUUGAAAAUGAAAGUGGCUGCAAAAUUCAAGCCCUCAGAUCAGACAAUGGCAAGGAAUACACUUCCAAUGCCUUCAACAUUUUUUGUGAGGAGGCAGGCAUUCAUCAUCAGCUAACAACUCCGUAUACUCCUCAACAAAACGGAGUUAGUGAGAGGCGAAACAAGUUCAUAUUGGAAAUGACAAGAUGCUUGCUACAUGAGAAGAAUUUACCAAAGAAAUUCUGGGCAGAGGCUGCAAACACUGCUGUGUUCUUGCAAAACCGACUGCAUACAAGAGCCUUGAAGGAUCAAACACCCUUUGAGGCAUGGUAUGGUUACAAACCAUCUCUGAAUUUUCUUAAGGUAUUUGGAUGUUUGUGCUUCACCCUUGUUCCACAGGUCAAGAGGGAUAAACUUGACAAGAAAGCACUUCCAGGCAUUUUUGUUGGCUACAGCUUAGUUUCAAAGGCUUAUAAGAUUUUCCAACCACAAACUGGAAAAAUCAUUAUAAGCAGAGAUGUCCAAUUCCUGGAAGAUGAAGAAUGGGACUGGAACGAUGCAAUCAAAGAAGAUUCAACCUCUCCAAAAGGCAAUUAUCUUGUUUCAGACACAGAUGAUCAAAGCAUGGAAGAUUGGGACAUCAACAUGACAGAUGACACUCCUGUUACAGGCACACGGUCACUCCUUGAUGUGUAUCAAAGGCGCAACAUUGCUGUGUGUGAACCAGCAGACUUUGAAGAAGCCAAGCUAGAUCAAAAUUGGCUUGCUGCGAUGAAGGAGAAGCUUCUCAUGAUCAAGAGAAACAACACGUGGGAGUUGGUUGACAGACCUCAAAACAGAAAUGUAAUCGGUGUAAAAUGGGUGUAUCGAACAAAACUCAACGCUGAUGGCUCAAUCAAUAAGCUCAAAGCCAGGCUAGUGGUGAAGGGUUAUGCACAAAUCUUUGGCGUGGACUACUCAGACACGUUUGCACCGGUAGCAAGACUUGACACUAUCAGGCUGCUACUUGCCAUUGCAGCACAACUGAAUUGGAAGGUGUAUCAAAUGGACGUCAAGUCAGCAUUUUUAAAUGGUGUUUUGCAGGAGGAGAUCUAUACUGAGCAACCAGAAGGCUUUGCAAAUGAAGGAGAGGAGGACAAAGUCUGUCUUCUUAAGAAGGCACUAUAUGGAUUGAAGCAAGCUCCAAGAGCUUGGUACAGCCGAAUCGAUGAACAUUUGCAGCACUUGGGAUUCACUAAAAGCCUCUCUGAAUCGACUCUUUACAUCAAGCAAAAUGGUGAUAACAUCCUUAUCAUCUCACUUUACGUUGAUGAUUUGCUUGUAACAGGAAAUAACAACAAUAAUGUGGAGAUAUUCAAGCAAGAGAUGAUGAGUGUAUUUGAGAUGACAAAUUUGGGUUUGAUGUCCUUUUUUCUUGGAAUGGAAGUUAAGCAAGUUGAACAUGAAGUGUUCAUAUGUCAGAAGAAGUAUGCCAAAGAAAUCCUCAAAAAGUUCAAACUUGAAGAUUGCAAAGCAGUAAGCACUCCUAUGAAUCAAAAGGAGAAGCUAUGUAAAGAAGAUGGAGCCGAGAAGGUUGAUCAAGCACAAUUCAGAAAAAUUGUUGGAUGCUUGAUGUAUCUCACUGCAACUAGGCCUGAUAUUUUGAAUGCUGUGAGUAUCUUGUCUAGAUUCAUGCAUUGUGCUAGUGAAUUGCAUUUCAAGGCUGCUAAAAGAGUGAUAAGAUAUGUCAAAGGAACCUGCAAUUUUGGCAUAAGAUACACAAGAAGUAGAGAGUUCAAACUGGUCGGGUACUCUGACAGUGAUUGGGGAGGCUCAAUUGAUGACUUGAAGAGCACAUCAGGCUACUGUUUCUCUUUAGGUUCUGGUGUGUUUUCAUGGAAUUCAAAAAAGCAAGAAACCGUAGCCCAAUCCACUGCUGAAGCUGAGUUUGUGGCUGCAACAGCUGCUGUCAAUCAAGCUUUGUGGCUGAGGAAAAUUUUAUCUGAUCUUAACCUGGAGCAAAAGGAAAGCACAGAAAUUCUAGUUGACAAUCAAGCUGCCAUUUCCAUCUCUAAUAAUCCUGUGUUUCACGGGAAAACCAAGCACUUCAACAUCAAAUUAUUCUUUUUGAGAGAGGUGCAGAAAGAUGGGAGUAUCAUUCUUAUUUACUGCAAAACUGAAGAACAAGCAGCUGAUAUUUUCACCAAACCACUGCCAGUCAACAAAUUCGAAUUUCUGAGAACAAAGUUGGGAGUUUGCAGCUCCUAAACAAGGAGGAGUGUUAGAAAUAAUGUUCAGGACUGCUGAGCUGGAAUUUUAUUCUUUCUUAAUUUUUGAUUUAGUCAAUUUUGUUCCUAUUCUCUUGUUCUUGCUGCUACUUCGCAGCUCUGUUAUUUCCAUUAUCAAUUGAUCAUGGCUUGAAUGUAGGACCAUGAUCGUAGGAGUUUGUUAUGUAUCAGCUCUAUAAAUUGAGCUACAGUUAUGAAUAAAGUAUUCAAGCUUUUCAUUCAUCAAUCUCUUCUUAAACACAAGCAUUAUCCUUUGUUAUUUUUGUUGUUCAGAAUCACUGCAACAACGACACGGACCGUGGCGCUGACUGGCGGGUGGUUCUUCUUUCUUUCUCUGCGUUUCCCUUCUGCUUUUUUUCUAUUCUGCUCUGUUCUUCCUCUUGUUCCCUGUUUUAUUCUUUCUCUCCCUCUCUGGUCCUCUCAAACGUCCCUUGGAGCUGCUGCCUGAAGAUGAAGACGAAGUUGAGGGUGAUCAGUGCUCUGAUCGGGCGACGUUUCUUUCUUUCUUCUGCUACUGUUUUCGUUUCUGAUUCUCCUCGUUCAAUUCUUAUUUGCACUCUUCUUCUUCUUCGUCUCUGGUUUUUGAAAUGACGAAGACGAUGGCAACGCUGGUUCUAAUCUCAACGAUUUCCUCUUCUUACAUUCUUUCCUUUUGCUCGUUUCUGUCUCCCUCUCGUGCUGCUCCCCACUUUCUCUCUUGUCCUGCUCGCUCUCCCUCCCUGUCUCCUCUUCUUUUUUUUUUGUUGUCCGUCUCUCCUCUAGCUUUUUAUAGCCAGAGGAUGCAUGCUUUUCGGGAUUUAUUGCAGGAAGGUUGUAACGGCCGGCGUGCAUCAUGGUGGAGAGGGAUAUCAGCCGUGAGACGUGCUCCCCUGAUUGAAGCAGCUCCACCACUAACGUCUUCACUUCCUUUUACUGUAGAAACCGUUGUUGAUGAAGAAGGUAAUGAACAGUUGUCAAGGAAAUGGUACCGUUUUAAAAUUCAAAAUGAAUAUUUCCGAUUUGGUCAUUGGAUUUUUUGCAAUUUUGUAAUCAAGCCCCCGAAUAAAUUGUAAUUGGAUCUCUGGAUUUUAGCCCCAUUUACAAGACAAUCUUUGGUUCUGGAUUCAUGCGAUUUGACUCUCAAUUGAUCAAUAAACUUCUAAUUUCUUUAAUUUAGCCCCUGACUUGGUCAAUUGCAGCCCUUAUAUUUACACGCCUUUUCCGGUUUGAUCCUUGGUUUCGGAUUUUUUCAAUCAAGUCCCUAAUUGCCCAUAAAACUUUAAUAAUUAUGCAAUUAAGCCCCUGAUUUGACCAAAUCAACUCUUCAAAAUUAUAAUUGGACCUUAGAACUUUAAUUUCUUCGAAUAAAAGCCUAAAUAGACAUAAAACUCAAUUUUUCUUUCAAUCAAACCCUCCAUAAAUUCAAUUAAACCUUUAAUAAAAUUUAAUUGAGUCCAUAAACAUCUGAUUUUAGAUAUAUUUUUUUAAAAUUGAAUUUUCUUUGUCAACAGGGCUCUCAUUAGUCAACGAUAUACUGUCAAAUUUCAAUCUUUAUAUUUUUUAACCUCCUCAACCAAUUUUUGGCCAUUUUGAGCAGUCCGACAGCUUUCACUGUGACAUAUAUAUUUUUUUAUUUAUAUUAUUUAAUUAAUUUAUUAUUAUUUAUUUAUUUAAUUUUUUUCAACUCUUACUUUUUGUAUUUUCUUCUUUUUUGUGUGGGGUCCCAAAAAUGGAUAACAACACUUAAGUUCAAAUCUAUUAAUAAAAAUAUAGUUUUAUUGACUUUUUUAUAUACUUUUAUUAGAGAAAUCAAUGUAAACAAAUUUAUGGACAAACAUUAGUUUAUCAAGUACUUAAAUAGAAAAAUAAAAUCAAUUAGAGUACUUGAAUAAAAAAAAUAUAAAUUAUAAGCAUUUUAUAUAUCUUUAUUGUUCAUAAAUUAAAAAUAAAAUAAAAUCAAUCCAGACUAAUCUAAAAAGAGUUAACUAUGACAUCAUCAUUUUGAUAGUAAAACUAAUGAAGAUAUUUUAUUGAUUAAAUUCCGUGAAUAUAAGUAUUCAAAUUGAAAAAAAAAAACAUUGAUACAAGAUUUUAAAUAAAAAAAUUAUAAAAUACAUAUAAUUUGUACUUCUCAUUGUCUCUUUUGCAUUGCUAACACUUAACAAAUUGAAUAUAUAAUUCUCAUGUCAAUAACGUCAGAAUAAAUUUAGCUACAUGACAUAAUAAUACCUGUUUAUUUUUGUAUUUUAAAAAUAUUUUAAAAACAUUAAAUUGUUUUAAAUAGAUAACUUUUGAAUCAUCAAGUAGUGAAACACAGGAAAAGCGAAGAAAGUGAAGAAUAAUCAAAGUGGUGCGUGUCCACAUCAAUUUUUGUCCAUGUUUUUGGUAUUAAUCUCUUCAUCUAUUUACAGCUGGAGAAAAGAACAUCACCUACUACUUUUCUUGUCUCUUCUUACUUGGAAGAUCAGGUAUGUGAAUCUUUGAGUGCCACUUAUUUUAGUACAUAGACUUAGUUAUUUGACCACAACUUCACCACAAGUUAAAUUGUUUUAAUUAAAAAAAUUUAUAUAAAGAUUUCUUCAAUAAAUUUUUUAUUUAAAAAAUUUCUAAGUGAAAAUUAAAAAACUUAUACACAAAUAUAGUUAAAUAAAUCAAGAAUUAUGUGUGUUAAUAAGUGAAAAAAACCAUAAAUGAUGACUCAAAAUAAAAACUGAAAAAAUCAACUGAUAAAUGUAGAUCAAAAUAUUUAAUUUCACAAGACGUGAUAUUAAUGCAGUUGUGUUUUCUAAAAUUUUUAAUUAAAAUAAUUUUUUAAUUUGAUCAAACGAUAAUAAAAAUAGACACACAUAUUAUAAAUUGAUUGAAUAAAAUAAAAAAUAAUAAUAAUAUGCUAGGCUUUAUAUAUUGGAAAUAUUAUUUAAAAAUAAUUUUUUUUAUUUUAAAAAAUAAAAUUUAUCUAUUAAAAAAAUUUAUAUAUUAAAUUCAAAAUAAAUAAACUUUAAAAUAAUUUGCAAGGCUGCACAUAACCCCUUUAAAAGGAAAGUGAUAUAACAAACGUGGAACAAUUUUUAUUAACUAAAUAAACUUAAUAACUAUUAAUAUUAAAUUCGAAAUAUAUAUUAAAACCUAUUAUAUUAAUUUUUGAAUUUAUCAAUUCAGAUGUGAAUUAUAUUUCUAAAAUGUUAUAAGAAAUUUCUAUAUACGACAACUAGCUUAAGAAAGUGAUGUUCAUCAAAACCAUAGAGUACAGAAAAAGAAUUGAAUUGCAUAAAAUUAAGUAAUUAACGGAAACUUAUAUUCCUUCUUAAAACGUUGACCCCAAGUCAAGUUUAUUUAUUAUUAUUUUUUUUGAAAAAAACAUGAAUAAAAGUUAAUGCUAGGCACAUGGGAUAUAGAAGACUUGCAACUUUCUUUAUAGAAAUUACGUGUGUAAAAUUUAGGCCUUGAAAAAAAAUUAAAAAUAAAAUACUAUUAAUCGUGUUGAUAAAAAUUAAUAUAGAGACUUUAUUGAUAAAAAUUCAUAAGAGCAAGUAUUCAAAUUACAAAAAAUAAAAAUAUUUCUUCAAAUUUUCAAUAAAAUUUAUUUCUUGAAAUUAAUGCAUUAAACAAAAUUAAAAUAGUAGUAAAAGUAAAUUUAGUUUUUGAUUGAAGUGUAAACUAGUGGUAAAUGAACAAAAAGAAACUUUAUUGAUUUCUCCAAAAACAAUAUAUAUAUUAUUGAAUAUCUAAUGGAAAGGAUUAUGAAACUCCGCCUAAUAUAUAUAUAUAUAUAACAGAGAAAUUGUCGAUAAUAGCUAUGAUCUAAGUAACUGGACCACGACGAAGACAUAUACAAGAAACAAAAAAAAGAUACUUCACUAACAAUUGGGGUUCUUCAUAAGCUUCAAUAGAAUUGAUAGAGGGUCGAAACAAAAAAGAGAUGAAGAGAGAGGAGGGAAUGGAAAGAAGGGAAAAGAGAACUCUUGCGAUCUGUUGAAUAAGACUCAGUAUAUAUAUAUAUAUAUAAAAUAAAAAAAACUCAAGUUAGCGCAUCAAAUCUUCGACUUGGAUUAUGAGAUCGGGAUAAGAAAACUUAAUAUUUAAAAAUAAAAUUAAAGAAAAAAACUAUAAAAACAUAUAUGGUUUAACAAUAUUAAUCAAUUAUUAAAAUCUUUCAUUUUAUAUAUAUUAAAAAUAAAUAUUAAUAACUAUUAUAUCAAUUUGUGAAUGUUUCAAUUAGGAUGCGAAUAAAUGUUUUAUAUAUGACAUUUUUCUUAAGAAACCAAAGUUAUUAAGCAUGUUUAGAUUUAAUUACCAAAUGAGAGUGAGGGUUGAGGUUAUAGAUUGACCUAAUUAAUACUCAGAUCAAGAUUUAGGUCCUAGAUCGGACAAAUUAGCUUAUUGACUAGUGUUAAUAAAAAAUUGUAUCAUUUUAUGAUUUUUGUUAUAGAAAAAAUCAAAAUGGUGUUGUUAAAAAAAGUAAAACUAGGUUUUAACUGAGUUGACUAGGUUGUGGGUUGAUUUAUCUGGUCAACUAGGCUCAAUUGAGUCAACUCUCACUUGGUUUUUUCUAAACCUAAAUAGGGUUAGGUUCCAGAUUAAAAUGUAAGGCUUGAAUUAAAUUUAAUAACAUUGAUUAAAACCACAAUGUAGGAAAAAAAAUUGAAUUCAUAAAAGUAAUUAACCGAAAACUUGAAUUCCUUCUUAUAAAGUUGAACCCAUGUCGGUUUUUUUAAAGGAAAAGUAUGAAUCAAAGGUUAACGCUAGGCUGCUCACUUUGCAUCACAAUGACAGAUAUGGAAGGCUUGCUACUUUCUUUAUGGAAAUAACGUGUGGAAAAUCAUGCAUUAAUUUUGAUGUUGAUGGCAAAAUCAAACAAUAUCGUUGAUAAAAUGAAUGACAAAUGAUAUUAUUUUUAAAAUACUUCUUGUCAUUGUCAUGACAACAAGUCUUCUUUUUUUUCUUUCUAAAGUACUUGUCAGUCUAUUUUUAUGUAACCCAAUCAACAAGUAAGAUGGAUAGAAAUUUGCAGUGUAAAAUGGGUCUGUGAGACUAUGUAUCGCCAUCUGCAUUUUUCCACGAUCUAGGCCAGUGGGAUGGUACAUGAGACCAUUGCUAUCAAGCGUUUUUUCUACGAGAUGGGUCCAUGAGACCAUUGCCCUGUAAGCUUGGGAAUGGAUAAUUAAUAUGCUUUAAUGUCUAUUUAGUUUGCAAAAAAAAUAAUUAAAUGCUUAUGAAUAAAAAAUAAAUCUCAAGUGUUAAAAUGCAACCACCGAUUAAUUAAUGGACAAUGGACCUUAGAUUAAUACAUGACGCAACUUUCAAUGGAAUUAUAUUUGUGGAGGUAUUUACUCGGAUGCGAAUUAUAUUUCUAUUUUUUUAUUUAAAAAAAUUCUAUACUACAACGAGCUUAAGAAAGUCAUGUUCAGGGGCGGAGCUAUAAUUAUUUGUUAGGAAGAUCAAAAUUAAUAUAAUAAGAUAUAAAAUUUAUUUUAAUUUAUUAUACAUGAGUUCUAAAACAAAACCUGUAUAAUUUAGUUUUAUUCAAAUAACUUACUACAAACAUAUAAUAACCUUUGUGAAGUAUAUUGGGACUGCUCAACCAUAACUUUAACAUUACACAUUGGAGUUGGUUCACUAGGCUGUGAGUUAUCAAUAUUUUUUAUUUUUCUUUUUCAAAAAAAAAUCAAUUCUUCUUAUUUUGUUCAUGGUUCAACCUAAAAUCAAAACAUAUAUCGUAAGAAAAAAUUGAUAAUUUAGUGACUCUGCUAAAAAUAAAACAUAAAACAAAUCCAAGCAUAAUCAAAACAAAACCAAUAAAAUAUAUCUAAUUAAUUAGAAAAAAAAUCAUUAUAAUAAGAAUUCAAAAAAAAAUGGUAAAACUAGCAGAUCUGAGAAAAAAAAAGAGCAAAAAUGAUAGAAAUAUAAAAAAAAUCUCAUCAAAUUAUUAACAAACAUCUCAAAACAAAACAAAUAUAGAUUUUAAAUUUAAGUUACUUUGUUUUGUUUGAUGAAAGAUAAAUUAAUUGGUGGCUCUGCUUCAAUCUUUUUGUAGAAACAUUUUGCUCACAAUUUGUAUUUUUAUUUCUUUGUUUGAUCGGCUGCAGGAUUUAUAUUAGGGUAAAUUAAUGGUUUUGUUUUUUAUUUCACAAAGUAAUGCCUUAAUAUUGUUUUCUUCCAUCUAGGUCAAGAGUAAAUUAAAAGGAAAUCAAAAGUAAAGUCAAUAAUAACCCAAAGUAAUGCCUUAAUUAUUUGAUGUCACAAAGUAAUGCUUUAAUAACCCAAUAAUAAAAAAACAAAAUGUCUUGAGGGGGGCUCGGGCCCCUGCUUGCCCCCUACUUCCACCCUUGGUCAUGUUCAUCGAAAAAAAAAAUUAUAUUUACUCGGAUGUGUUUUUUCUACGAGAUGGGUCCAUGAGAACAUUUCCAUCUGCAUAUUGGUUCUUGAGACCGUUACCAUCAGGGGCGGAGACAGAGGGGCUGGCAGGGGCCCCGGCCCCGGCAAGGAAAAAGUUUUUCCAGCCCCUCCCUUAACAAUAUUUAUAUUUUUAGUUUAAAUAAUAAAACAAUUAAUAUUUUGAUCCCCUUUAAUUUUAUUUUCUGGUUCUGCCCCUGGUUGCCAUCAUGCAUUUUUCCUCGAGGAGAGGCCAUGAGACGUCCUCUUCCAACCAUCAUGCAUUUUUUCCACGAGAUGGGUUCGUGGAGAAACUUUGGUUUAAUUGGGAAUGCUGUUAUUGAUUGGAAACUUUUUAAUUAAAAUAAAUUUGAUUAUUUGAUUGGAAAAAAUCCUUAAAUGUUAUUAACACAAGAAAUGAAUUUAUUUUCUUAAGAAAAAAAUAUUGUAACCAUAUAAGUAAUUUAUUUAUUUAUUUUAAUGAAAUAUAAAAUAGUUUUAAAUCUUGUGGUAUAUUUCUUGUCUUUAAGAGCUAUGAACUUAUAUCGCAAACCUUGAAAACUAAUAUAAAGAUAUUAAGUGAUCAUUAAGUGUGUGUGUAUGUAUAUAAUCUUUUUCAAAACAAAAAGGAUUUUGAUGGAGAUCAGGACAUUGCAACAAAUUAUCCACCACGAGAUGGGUCACUGAUACCAUUGUCAUCAUGCAAUUUUUUCCCACGAGAUGGGGCCGUACGCUUGGGGCUCUAAAACGCUAUGGUUUUUAAUUUCAUUAUGUCACAUCUAGAAUGGCAGGUAUAUUUUAUUUCAAUUUAAACAAUGGAAUAAAUUAGAAGAUAUUUCAUCUCGUUUGGAAUCUUAUCUCAUUUCAUGAAUUUCACCUAAAUUCUGGCCGGAAUAUUUUGGUUCUAUUCCAGCCAUUCUAUUAUGAUCAAAUAAUGUUUUGUUUUGCUUUUAUAAAAAAAAAAAUAUAGUCUAGUUUUACGGUAUCAAUUAUAUCUCUCAAUUCAACUGUUGAAUUAUACUAAAAUUUUACAAGGAAUCUCCUAACAUAUAUUUAUAUCGCAAGUUAAAAUUUUAGAACAAUUAGAGUUUAGAAAGACUUUGUGAGAUUGCCGAUGACAUUUUCAUAAUUUUAUUUAAAUUCAUAAUUUGGUUUCGUAAGGUCAUUUUUUGUGUCUUCUUUUAGAUUGUUUUGUUUUUCCAAUUUCAUAAUUCAACAAUAAGUUUAUUAAAAAUUGAGAUUCAUAAUUUGUUUUUAUUUUGGAUUAUUAUGGUCUCAUAAUCUGGGUCACGGAUUUAAAAGAUUAACUUAGAUUAACCCGAGUCUAUCCAAUAUGUCGUUGUCUCAAUAUUUUUAACAAACAUAAUUUUAAUUGACAUUUAAAAAUAAACUAACUUAAAAUUAUACAAUUUAAAUUUCAAAUAUAAGUAAAAAUAAAGAGUUAAAUCGAUAUGACCCAUUUGAUUUGAUGAGUCCAAAGUAUAUAUAGAACAAUCCAAAAUGACACAUCAAAAUACUCAAAAACAAAAAUAUAUUGUUACAAUUAAAAAAAUAAAACACCAAUUAAAAUGGAAUUAACAUCCUUGCUUCAUAGAAGCCUAAACUCCUCGCUACCAUUUGCAAGAGAUAGUUAUACCAAUAGCAAUUUAGUAAUGUUGGUCAGAAUUUAAUAUCCUUCUCGAUAAGAAGAUCCUUAUCUUAUCGGAUAAAACCUAAUUGUUCUAACGUCAACAAAAGAAUUUAAUAUUCGGAAUACAUCUUACGUAUAAGGUCGUAACCCAAAUACUAAAAGAAAAAAAAUAAUAUUUUUGGAAUUUUUGAAAUAUUGGUCUAGUUCUCGUGACUUUAAUAAACUGGUUAUUAAAACCAAAAUGCAUGUUAAUACAUAUUUUUGAAUUUUUGUUGUAUGAAAAUAUGAUAUGAUUUUUUUUCUUUGAGAUACUUGGCCAUAUGCAUGAAAAUAAAAACAUGUUUUUUUUUUAAUUUUUCAAUGUUUCGACGAAAACUGGGUAUUUUAAUUCCAGAUUUGUAUCUUUACAGUAUAAAAAUACAAAUCAAUACUAAGAAAAAAUCAAUAGAAAAAUACGCGGUAAAAUCACAGAUUUUUUAAAAUGAUUUUUUUUUGACCGGGUAGGCGUUGUUCGGGUCAGAAAACUAAAACAAACAGUGGAGAGACUCUCUGCUGUUCACAUGCAACGUGAACAGUGGAGCGGCCUGGAGAAGACUAAGAAGAGGAGGAGGAAGAGGAAGAAGCAGACCUGCAGCCUAGCGGUGCUGCCAGUGGCGGUGGACGGUGUUGCGGUUGCGGACCGUGGUGCUGACUGGUUGGUGGUUCUUCUUUCUUUCUCUGCGUUUCCCUUCUGCUUUUUUUCUGUUCUACUCUAUUCUUCCUCUUGUUCCCUGUUUUAUUCUCUCUCCCUCUCUGGUCCUCUCAAACGUCCCCUGGAGCUGCUGCCUGAAGAUGAAGAUGAAGUUGAGGGUGAUCAGUGCUCUGAUCGAGCAACGUUUCUUUCUUUCCUUCUGCUACUGUUUUCGUUUCUGAUUCUCCUUUUUGUUCAAUUCUUAUUUGCACUCUUCUUCUUCUUCGUCGUCUCUGGUUUUUGAAAUGACGAAGACGAUGGCAACGCUGGUUCUGGUCUCAACGAUUUCCUCUCCUUACAUUCUUUCCUUCUGCUCAUUUCCGUCUCCCUCUCGUGCUACUCCCCACUUUCUCUCUUGUCCUGCUGGCUCUCCCUCCUUGUCUCCUCCUUUUUUUUUUUCCUGUCCGUCUCUCCUCUGGCUUUAUAUAGCGAGAGGAUGCAUGCUUUUCGGGAUUUAUUGCAGGAAGGUUGUAACAGCCGGAGUGUAUCAUGGUGGAGAAGGAUAUCAGCCGUGAGACAUGCUCCCCUGAUUGAAGCAGCUCCACCGCUAACAUCUUCACUACCUUUUACUGUAGAAACCGUUGUUGAUGAAGAAGGUAAUGAACAGUUGUCAAGGAAAUGGUACCGUUUUAAAAUUCAAAAUGAAUAUUUCCGAUUUGGUCAUUGGAUUUUUUGCAAUUUUGUAAUCAAGCCCCCGAAUAAAUUGUAAAUGGAUCUCUGGAUUUUAGCCCCAUUUACAAGACAAUUUUUUGUUCUGGAUUCAUGCAAUUUGACCCUCAAUUGAUCAAUAAACUUCUAAUUUCUUCAAUUUAACCCCUGAGUUGGUCAAUUGCAGCCUCUCUAUUUACGUGUCUUUUCCGAUUUGGUCCUUGGUUUCGUAUUUUUUCAAUCAAGUCCCUAAUUGCCCAUAAAACUUUAAUAAUUAUGCAAUUAAGCUCCUGAUUUGACCAAAUCAACUCUUCAAAAUUAUAAUUGUACCCUAGAACUUUAAUUUCUUCCAAUAAAAGCCUAAAUCGACAUAAAACUUAAUUUUUCUUUCAAUCAAACCCUCCAUAAAUUCAAUUAAACCCUCAAUAAAAUUUAAUUUAGUCCAUAAACAUCUGAUUUUGGAUAUAUUUUUUUUAAAAAUGAAUUUUCUUUGUCAACAGGGCUCUCAUUAGUCAACGAUAUACUAUCAAAUUUCAAUCUUUGUAUUUUUUAACCUCCUCAACCAAUUUUUAGCUAUUUUGGGCGGUCCAACAGCUUUCUCACUACGACAUAUAUUUUUAUUUAUUUAUUUAUUAUUAUUAUUUAUUUACUUUUUUUCGACUCUUACUUUUUGUAUUUUCUUCUUUUUUGUGUGAGGUCCUAAAAAUGGGUAACAAUACUUAAGUUCAAAUCUAUUAAUAAAAUAUAGUUUUAUUGAAUUUUUUUAUAUACUUUUAUUAGAGAAAUCAAUGUAAACAAAUUUACGGAAAAACAUUAGUUUAUCAAGUACUUAAAUAGAAAAAUAAAAUCAAUUAGAGUACUUGAAUAAAAAAAAUAUAAAUUAUAAGCAUUUUAUAUAUCUUUAUCGUUCAUACAUUAAGAUAUUUUAUUGAUUAAAUUUUGUGAAUAUAAGUAUUCAAAUUGAAAAAAAAAACAUUGAUGCAAGCUUUUAAAUAAAAAAAAUUAUAAAAUACAUAUAAUUUGCACUUCUCAUUGUCUCUUUCGCAUUGCUAACACUUAACAAAUUGAAUAUAUAAUUCUCGUGUGAAUAACGUCAGAAUAAAUUUAGUUAUAUGACAUUAUAAUACCUUUUUAUUUUUAUAUUUUAAAAAUAUUUUAAAAAAAUUAAAUUGUUUUAAAUAGAUAACUUUUGAAUCAUCAAGUAGUGAAACACAAGAAAAGCGAAGAAAGUGAAGAAUAAUCAAAGUGGUGCGGGUCCACAUCAAUUUUUGUCCAUGUUUUUGGUAUUAAUCUCUUCAUCUAUUUACAGCCGGAGAAAAGAACAUCACCUACUACUUUUCUUGUCUCUUCUUGCUUGGAAGAUAAGGCAUGUGAACCUUUGAGUGCCACUCAUUUUAGUACAUAGACUUGGUUAUUUGACCACAGCUUCACCACAAGUUAAAUUGUUUUAAUUAAAAAAAAUUAUAUAUAGAUUUCUUCAAUAAAUUUUUUAUUUAAAAUUUUUUUAAGUGAAAAUUGAAAAACUUAUACACAAAUAUUGUUAAAUAAAUCAAGAAUUUUGUGUAUUAAUAAGUGAAAAAAACCAUAAAUGAUGACUUAAAAUAAAAACUGGAAAAAUCAAUAAACAAAUGUAGAUCAAAAUAUUUAAUUUCACAAAACGUGAUAUUACAGUUGUGUUUUCUAAAUUUUCUAAUUAAAAUAAUUUUUUAAUUCGAUCAAACGAUAAUAAAAAUAGACACACAUAUUAUAAAUUGAUUGAAUAAAAUAAAAAAUAAUAAUAAUAUGUCAGGCUUCAUAUAUUGGAAAUAUUUUUUGAAAAUAUUUUUUUUAUUUUUAAAAAUAUAGUUUAUCUAUUAAAAAAAUUAUAUAUUAAAUUCAAAAUAAAUAAACUUUAAAAUAAUUUGCAAGGCUGCACAUAAGCCCUUUAAAAGGAAAGUGAUAUAACAAAAGUGGAACAAUUUUUAUUAACUAAAUAAACUCUAUAACUAUUAAUAUUAAAUUCAAAAUAUAUAUUAAAAAUAAAUAUUAAAACCUAUUAUAUUAAUUUGUGAAUUUAUCAAUUGAGAUGUGAAUUAUAUUUCUAAAAUGUUAUAAGAAAUUUCUAUAUACUACAACUAGCUUAAGAAAAUCAAGUUCAUCGAAACCGUAGAGUACAGAAAAAAAAUGAAUUGCAUGAUUAACCAAAACUUAUAUUUCUUCUUAAAACGUUGACCCCAAGUCAAGUUUUUUUUUUUUUUUGAAAAAAACAUGAAUACAAGGUUAAUGCUAGGCACAUGACGAUGAUGGAUAUACAAGACCUGCUCCUUUCUUUAUGGAAAUUACGUGUGGAAAAUUUAGGCCUUGAAAAAAAUUAAAAAAAAAAUACUAUUAAUCAUGUUAUUUGCAUUAUGGCAAAUAUAGAGACUUGAUUGAUAAAAAUUUAUAAGAGCAAGUAUUCAAAUUUUAAAAUAAAUAAAUAAAUCAAUUCAAGUUUUUAAUUAGAAAAAACAAGAUACAAAUACUCUGUGUAAGUGCCACUAACUCUUUGUAUUUUCUAACUAUUAAAGAAUUGAAUAUAUAAUACACGGGUGAUAAACAUCAAAAUAAAUCCAAUUGUAUAAUUUACUAAGAUUUUAAAAACUAACACUACAUAGAAAAAAAAAUCUUAAAAUAAAUAACAGAAAACUUGUAUUCCUUCGAGGGGUGUUUGAGAGUGUGGUAGCGGUUGCUUUUCAAAGUUUUUUCCCUUAAAAAUGCAUCAAAAUAAAUUUUUUUGAUUUUUUAAAAAUUAUUUUUAACAUCAUUAUAUCAAAAUGAUCUAAAAAUAUUAAAAAUAUAUUAAUUUAAAGCAAAAAAUAUAAAAAAAAUUAAAAAAUUUUAAUAAUACUUUUAAAAUACUAAAACAAACAAGAUAUUAAAAAAUAUACUACAAGUCAAAGUCUUUUUGAAAAAAAACAUUAAUAAAAGGUUAAUGGCAGGUAGCUUAUUUUCUGCCCUAAUAAAGCUCAAGGUCUGUUCAGAAAACUAAGUACGUAGGCAUACACCCAAUCCAAGCACCAUCAAAUCAUUUUUUAUACAUAGGGAUAGGAACGCUAGCUUCACAUGAUAGAUAAAAAAAAUUAAAAGAUAAUAAAAUUAAAAAAAUAAUUAUAAUCUUAUAUAUUAUUUUAAAUAAAAUAAAUAUUGAUUAAAAAAACCAAAUAUAAUAAAUUAAAAUAUUUAAUUUAAAAAAGAUAAGAGAAAAGUAAAUGAGAAUUAAAGUUGAUAUAAAAAUUAAAUUAUAAAAUAUAAAAUUCAAAAAAAAAAUAAAACCAAUUUUUUUUUUCUAAAAGAUAAUAUUCAGAUUAAAAGCAUUAUAAAAAGAAUAGCUCCUUGUUUCUUCCUUGUUUCAAUUUCAAGAUAUUAAGAUUAAAACCCAAUCGUAUAGCUGGUUGGGUUGAGAAGAAAGGUUUGCUUUUGUAUUACAAAUUAUUUAGAUUAGUUUUUUUUUAAAAUUAAUCAAAUUAGUAUCAUUUUGGUUCUCCAUCGAAGAAAAUAGAAAACAUAUUUAGUAAUAAGGUGUUGUUUAAUUCCUUAUAUUAUUAAUAUAAUCAUGGCAUCAUCACUGUAACAAUAAGUCCUCUUACUUGUAUUUUCACCGUCCCAACCUCUUUACAUGGCGUCACCGUAGCAAUUAUAUAUCUCUUGAUCAAUCAUAAUUAAAUUACUGUAAUAAUAUCUUUUUUUAUUCUUUUAUAUGAAGUCUUAAUUUAUUUUUUUAUAUAGGUAGUUAUGAAUUACAGAAAUUGAACAAUUUAGAGAUCUUUGACUUAGAAUCUAAUUGUUUCGAUAACAGUAUUAUAUUAUAGAGGGAUUUUUAUCCCUUAAAUUAUUAUAUUUAGAUUAAAAAAUAAAAACUAAUUAGGAGUCAAUUAAAUAAAUAAAUAAAAACCCUCAAAAGAUAAAAGAAGAAAACAUAAAAAGUACACUACCCAACCAAUAAUUGACCUGAAUCACAUGUUGUCCACUGCCAGAACUUAUUAGCAAUCUGCUUACAACAGCAAAUUGAUCAAUAAGAAAGACUUAAAUUCCAAAUUUAAAAACCAACUCAAUUGAGAUCCUUAUUAUUCAUUCAAUUAGUUGCUUCUUGCUAACUCUUUUAUUUCCUUUAUAAUUUUAAUUCAUUUUAAUAUAAUUUCUUGAUUGUGGCAAGCUUCCUUUAUCUCAAGAACUUGGAAUACUUGGAUUUCCCAAGAAAAAAUUAACUUAAGACUUUAGUUAAUGCUAUGAACACGAGUAAAUGAUAUGCUAAAGAAAAAACCAUGUAUUUAAGAACCAUUGCUAAGCUACAGGUUCAGGAGCCAUAAACCACUCACAUUUAGUGGGGUUGAUCUCAAAUUCAGACAAAUCUACUUGUCCAGUUCGGAGAACCUUCAAACAAAAAGAAGAAUGAAACCUUGUAAAAUUGGCUAUCAUCAAAAGGACAAGAAACAGUACAAGAAGGAUCAGCCUCGCAUUUCUUGCAUAAGUAAAAGAAUCCACUUGUUAAUGGAAAGGAGGACUCUGCAACAAGUCUAAAAUAUCCUCUGGAGUUCAGUGACCCUACAACCUUAUAUUUACCUCAGAAUGCACCCACGUAAAGCACACAGGAAAUCCCAACACAUAAGACAACAAAAGAAAACAUAUAAUUAGCAGAAAAAAAAAGGUUGUACAAUUCUUUCAUAGCUUACAGUACGUAUAGAAUAAGCAUUAUCAAAUCAGGCUAACAUACCUCAGGUAAGUGAGAUGUUAAUCCUUCUUCAAGCGGCAAUGUCUCAAUCAAUGACAUUAUCAAAUCAGGCUUCAGUAUAUCCCCUAAUCCCAAGCCUAGGACAACAAAAGAAAACAUCAUGAAAAAAAAUGAUUUUACAGUAAUGCACCCAGUGCCAGAGCAUAUAAUUAGCAGAAAUAAAGGUUGUACAAUUCUUUCACAGCUUACAAUACGUAUAGAAUAGGCAUUAAUAAUUACCUUCAUCUGGAUCGGCCAAACUACCUGCAACAUCUAUCAUCACAUCACGGCGCGGGCCACCCUAAGUACAGCAAACAAGGAUAUGGUCAAUUGCACUAUCUGAGCAUAACACAGAUAUUACUCAGGAUUCUUUGCAAGUCUUCCAAUUUCACUGGUUCUGAUGAAGAGUUUACAUCAUUCAUUACUUCUGCACCAAGGUCUGGGACAACUAAGUUUCCAGUCCUGAGAGCUAUGAGCAAAAAUCUCAUCAGAAUAAAAGAAAAUGGCAACGUAAUACUGGGCCAUUUCUUUUUUGUAAUAAAAGUGCUCCUUAACCUUUUUGAAGUUAUUUUACAAUGAAUUACAAGCAUUAAACUUGUAUAUACAUGGACAAACACCAAGUUAUGAUUCUAAAUUUCCAUAUAAAAGAUGCCCCAAGUUUUAAAAUUUACCCCGAGGGCAAGUCUGUGCAAGAGCAUAAGGGGAUGAAGGAUUUGACAUGGACUAAGGUGGGUGAGAUGUUUUUGUCAAGAAAUGAUUUUGGAAAAUUUCUUGAUAUUUCUUGAAUAAAUAAGAUAGGAGUCUUCAUCAAGGCAAGAACAUAGGCUCUCCAAGAUAAUUGACCAGAAGGAGAGAAGGGAGGCUCAUCCUGCUCCACAGACUCUUAGUCUCAAAGAACAAAAAAUUACUUGGCUCUAUAUCCUUACUCUUACUUGCUAUAUCAACUCUUAGAGUUGAAGUAUCUGAAAGGGUUUAUUUUUAGUAUUUGAAUAAGUCCAUGAGUCCCUAGUCUUCAGGAAGAUAUACAUGGUCAAGAUUAAAUUAAGGAUUUUAGUUGCUUAUUUUUCGUUAUUUCAUGUGCCACGUUACUGUGAACGUGAGCUAUUUUUCAGUCUUAUUAUUAUUCCUGUAAGGCUAUUUAUUAGCCAUUUCCAUUCAGUAAAAGCAAUUCAUUCAAUUCAAAUACUGUGCACUUUUGUUCUUAUUCUUUACAAUUGGUAUCAGAGCUAUUACAUCUGACCUGUUACGAAGAAAUAGAUACAAAAGGAAGACAUAUUUUUGAGUGACUUCAAACUUAGAGUGAGUGAGUGCUUGAGUGCUUUUAAACACAGAGUGAGUGAGUUUGAGUGUUUUUUAAACACAGAGUGAGAAAGAGAGUUCUUGAGGGUCAAUUUCAACAAUGGCAGCAGAGUCCAGCAAUUUUGUAUCACCUUGCAUCCCGAAAUUUGAUGGAGACUACGAGCAUUGGAACAUGCUAAUGGAGAAUCUCUUGCAUUCCAAAGAGUAUUGGAACGUUAUUGAGACAGGAUAUGUCGAGCCUGCAUCAGGGGAAAUUCUGAAUAAUGCACAGAAAAAGACAUUGGAGGAGACAAAGCUGAAAGAUUUAAAGGUUAAAAAUUACCUUUUUCAGUCCAUCGACAAAUCCAUUCUGAAGACUAUUACUCAAAAAGACACAGCAAAACAGUUGUGGGAUUCCAUGAAGAUCAAAUACCAAGGAAAUACAAGGGUUCGGCGUGCUCAACUUCAAAUCUUUCGCAGGAAUUUUGAAGUGCUGGAAAUGAAACAAGGAGAAACUGUCACAAGUUAUUUUGGAAGAGUUAUGCUGGUGGCAAAUGACAUGCGAAAUCUGGGAGAAAGCAUACCUGAUGAGAAGAUUGUAGAGAAGAUUUUACGCACACUUACUGAGAAGUACAAUUACAUAGUGUGCUCCAUUGAGGAGUCUAAAGAUAUUAAUCAUCUUUCAGUUGAUGAGCUGUAGAGUUCAUUACUUGUUCAUGAACAGAAAUUCAAAAGGCAUGACACAGAUGAUCAUGCCCUGAGAAUCUAUGAUGACAGAUUCUGUGGCAGAGGUCGUGGCAGAAACAAUUACAGAAGCCGAGGCCGUGGGGGCAGAACACAAACAUUCAAUAGAGACAUGGUGGAAUGUUUCAGGUGUCACAAACUUGGACACUUCCAAUACGAGUGUCCAACCAUGAACAAGGCAGCUAAUUAUGUGGAGCUAGAUGAUGAAGAUGAGAUGCUGCUAAUGUCCUAUGUUACAUUAGCUAAGACAACACGGAAUGAUGCAUGGUUCCUGGAUUCAGGAUGUUCUAAUCAUAUGUGUGGUUAUAGAGGUAUGUUCUCCUACUUGGAUGAAAAUUUUCAGCAUUCAGUCAAACUUGGAAACAAUAGCAGAAUGGCAGUAGUUAGCAAAGGCAGAGUAAAAUUACUAAUCAAUGGUAUUAAGCAUGUUGUUAAUGAUGUCUAUUAUGUACCAGAGCUUAAAAAUAAUUUACUGAGCAUAGGUCAACUACAAGAAAGGGGCUUAGCAAUUUUAAUUAAGAAUGGAGUUUGUAAGAUUUACCAUCCUGAGAAGGGUUUGAUCAUUCAAACCAAGAUGAGUGCAAAUUGGAUGUUCAUCCUACUUGCACAGACUCAAGCUCCCGUACAUGCACAGACUCAGAAUCAAGAGAAUUGUCUUCUCACCGGUUCUCAAAAUCCCUCAGUGCUAUGGCACAGACGGUUCGGUCACUUAAGCUACAAAGGCUUAAGAACCUUACAAUGGAGACAUAUGGUACAUGGACUGCCCACCUUCUCGACUCCCACCAUCACCUGCACAGAUUGCCUCAAUGGCAAGCAACACAGAGAGGUCAUGCCCAAACACAGCAAAUGGAGAGCAAAUCAGAAAUUGGAAUUAAUUCAUGCAGACAUUUGCGGUCCUAUUUCCCCCGAAUCCAAUAGUGGCAAAAGGUACAUAUUAUGUUUCAUUGAUGAUUUCAGCCGAAACUAUGGGCAUUUCUUUUAGCUACAAAAUCCGAAGCUUUCAUUUAUUUUAAGAAAUUCAAAGCUAUGGUGGAAAAAGAAACCCUAUUGCAUGUGAAGUGUCUAAGGACUGACAGGGGAGGAGAAUUUACCUCAAGUGAAUUCAACGAAUUCUGCAGCCAACAAGGUAUCAAACGGCAGCUCACCACGGCGUACACUCCACAGCAAAAUGGAGUUGCAGAGAGAAAAAAUCGAACCGUGAUGAACAUGGUCCGAUCAAUCCUCUCUGGUAAAGGGAUUCCAAAACCCUUCUGGCCAAAGGUAGUGAACUGGGCCUUCUAUGUGCUCAAUCGGUGCCCAACUUAUGCUUUGACAGACAUCACUCCUCAUGAGGCAUGGAGCGGAACUAAACCAUCAGUAGACCAUUUCAGGGUCUUUGGGUGCUUGGCCCAUGUUCACGUUCCAGAUGUGAAACGGAGUAAGCUUGAUAACAAAAGCUUUGUGUGUGUACUGUUGGGUAUGAGUGAGGAGUCAAAGGGGUACAAGUUGUUUGAUCCUUUAAACAAAAAAAUCGUGGUUAGCAAAGAUGUGAUCUUUGAGGAGGACAAACAGUGGGAUUGGGAUGUUGCUUAUGAAGAACAAAUCUUGACAGAUUUGGUUUGGGGUGACAGAGAAGGAACACGUGAAGAUGGUGAUAAUAGUGAUGACAAUCACGGGGAUGAGAGUGGUGAACGUGAGGCUGAAAUCAAUGGGGAAGAAGGGGAAGAAAACGAAGAACACAGACACAUUGUCUGUGAAGAUGAUGAAAAUGCUGAGAGAGAAGAAGAAGAAGCUGAGUUAAAUGAUCUUACGGUGUGUAUGCUGCCAGUUGGAAGAAUAGGUGAGCAGGUCAAUCCUACGGCAUGAACGCGGCCAAGUGAACAAAGGGAGAUGACAGAUGGCAAAAUAGAUGUUAAUCCAACGGUGAGAAUUCAGUCUGACAGGGAGAGUGAUUAGAUGACAUGUGGCGUACAUCCAACGGCACAAAACAUGGCAGACGGAGAGAAUGAGCUGCUGACAAGUGGAGACAAUCCAACGACUGACAUGCAAUCUGACGGGGAGAGUGGCCUGCUGACAAGUGGAAGAAGAGAAAGGGGUCCUCCGGUGUGGAUGCAAGAUUAUGUUACAGGGGAGGAUUUAUCUGAAUAUGAGUCCAAUAUGGCACUAAUUAUGUCUUCUGAUCCCAUUUAUUUUGAAGAUGCUGUGAAAGUUAACACUGGAGACUUGCUAUGGACAGUGAAAUUAAUGCAAUAGAGAAGAACAAUACCUGGACGCUCAACGAGUUGCCGGAGGGAGCAAAAAAAAUUGGAGUCAAAUGGGUCUACAAAACAAAGUACAACGAACAUGGGGAUGUUGAUAAAUACAAGGCAAGGCUAGUUGCCAAAGGGUACUCGCAACAACACGGAAUUGACUAUACAGAAGUCUUUGCACCAGUGGCAAGGAUGGAUACAGUAAGGAUGAUUAUUGCUCUCGCCGCUCAAAAAAACUGGAUUGUUUAUCAGUUGGAUGUCAAAUCGGCUUUUCUGCAUGGGGAAUUGCAUGAAGAUGUUUAUGUUGAUCAACCAAAAGGGUAUGAAAAGAAGGCUAGCGAACAUCUAGUUUACAAGCUGCAUAAAGCGUUGUACGGGUUAAAACAAGCUCCAAGAGCUUGGUUCAGUCGAAUCGAGGGUCAUUUUUUCAAUGAAGGCUUUCUACGGUGUGAAAGUGAGCAAACUUUAUUCACAAAGAGAAGCAGGGAAGGAAAGAUUAUCAUUGUAAGUGUUUACGUUGAUGAUCUAAUAUUUACUGGCGAUGAUACACAUAUGUUGUCUGAAUUCAAAAACUCCAUGAUGAGGGAGUUUGACAUGUCAGAUUUGGGGAAGAUGCGGUAUUUCUUGGGAAUCAAAGUAUUACAGCAUUCAGGUGGCACCUACAUAUGUCAGAAGAAAUAUGCACUAGAGGUGUUGAAGAGGUUUGGUAUGAUGGAAUGCAAUGCGGUGAAAAAUCCAAUAGUUCCCGGAUGCAGAGUCAACAAAGAUGAAGGCGAAGCUAAAGUAGAUGAAACAUAUUAUAAGCAGUUAGUGGGCAGCCUAAUGUAUCUCAUAGCAACAAGACCAGACAUGAUGUUUGUUACUUGUCUCAUCAGCAGAUACAUGGCCAAACCUACGGAACUUCAUCUACAAGUAGCAAAAAGGGCACUUAGAUAUCUAAGAGGGACAAUAAAUUUUGGAAUUUAUUACAAGAAAGGGGGAAGUGAUGAACUACUCUCAUUUACGGAUAGUGAUUAUGCUGGAGAUAUGGAGGAUAGAAAGAGUACAAGUGGAUAUGUUUUUUUGUUAAGCUCAGGAGCAGUCUCAUGGAGUUCGAAGAAGCAACCAAUAGUGACUCUUUCUACAACUGAAGCAGAAUUUGUAGCAGCCGCAAUGUGUGUAUGUCAAGCUCUUUGGAUAAAAAGAGUCUUGAAGGAAUUGGGACACUCAAAUAAUGAGUGCACACAAGUGAAAUGUGAUAACAGCUCAACUAUUAAAUUGUCCAAAAAUCCAGUGAUGCAUGGACGCAGUAAGCAUAUCGAUGUAAGAUAUCACUUUCUGAGAAAUCUUACUAAAGAAGGUACAAUUGCAUUAGUUCAUUACGGAAGUCAGGAUCAGGUGGCAGAUUUAAUGACCAAGCCUUUAAAGCUUGAUGCAUUUCUGAAACUAAGAACACUGUUGGGAGUCCAAGAAAUUACUGAUGUAAACUAACUGCAUACUGCAGUAAGUUUAAGGGAAGGAAUGAAAGGGUUUAUUUUUAGUAUUUGAAUAAGUCCACGAGUCCCUAGUCUUCAGGAAGAUAUACAUGGUCAAGAUUAAAUUAAGGAUUUUAGUUGCUUAUUUUUCGUUAUUUCAUGUGCCACGUUACUGUGAACGUGAGCUAUUUUUCAGUCUUAUUAUUAUUCCUGUAAGGCUAUUUAUUAGCCAUUUCCAUUCAGUAAAAGCAAUUCAUUCAAUUCAAAUACUGUGCACUUUUGUUCUUAUUCUUUACAGUAUCAUCUUUGAGUAUGCUUAUUUGUUAUAAUAAAUAUACCUUGAUGAGAUAUUAUCUUUAAGCAUGUCUUCAAAAACUUGGAAAGGAGUAGAAGCAUCAGGCUCUUCUUCAUCAAGGAACUCUGCCAGGCAAUAAGAUAAAGUAGCGACGUUGCUGAUGGAAAAACUUCACUCUUGAAUGAGUGCUGAAGUUAUAAGCCAGGUCAUUAGUUUGAAGGAGUAAAACUGGUUAGUAAAAUUUUAGGAAAACCAAUUCACACAUACGGAGUGUGUAACUAAAAUAAAUAAACAGGAAGUAGAAAACAGGAAAUCCAAUUAGUCUAAUAUGAUAUUUCUGUGAAAUAGAGGUUUUCUUUAUGAAAUUGUGGAGAUGAGAGGAGAUAAAUGCAGAUGCAAGAUAAAAAAAAACAAUAAAAAAAAACACAAAAGUAGCAUGGCUAGCAAAGGACUCAAAACACAAAAGUAUUUACCAAAUGGACGAUUAAUAUAAUAGUUGAUAGAGCUACACAAUUGUGAAUCAUCUUUAGCUUUUGGCUCCUGCAAACAUGUUACACAAUUUUCCAAAAUCAUGCAACUAACAGCCGAGUCAAUGUUACACAUAAGAGAGUGAAAAACACAGAAAAUGAACCUGACCUGCAUCCAAAUGAAAAACUUUCAAUCAUCUGUAUUGAAUUUCAAGAUGUAAACUCUUCCCAAAGCUUGAUUAACCUGAAUAACCCAAAGAAUUAUGAAUCUAUGAUAUUACAAUCAAUUAUUAGAGUCAAAUAUCUCCCAUCUAAGAAAAAACUAAGAGAGAAAAGUGUACCUUCUCAAAAACAGCCUCUUCAGAAAAAAAAAUCUGAUCCUGUCAAUCAACACGUCAAGAAAAAGCUACCAAGUUCUUACCUCAAAAGAAUAUUAACAAAACAAACAACAGAAAAAGAAAUAAAAACCAAUGUUGGAAGAGAGAAACAAAAUCCCCAGGCUAAAAAACAUAAUAAUAACUAGGACACAUCUUCCACAGCAUUCAAAUUCCUAUCAAGCCACUGGAAAUGAAGCAAACCCUCGUCACCCUGGAACAAUUCAAAAAUUUCGACUUCAAACAGGAAACAAGAUGCUAGAAACACUCUAUCUAGUACUUAAGAUAAACCAAAACAACAGAAGUAACUAAAAAUCUUUACACAGGUACGAACUCUGUAUAACACAAAAAAACCAAAAGACACCAGUUUACCCUUCCAAUGCGAACAAGUCCUUUUCGAGAAUCAGGAACAAACUUUUUUCCAUCAAAAACCAUUUUACCAGCACGAAACUCCAACAUAAUUUCCUACCAACAAAACAACCACAACAUCAUAACAUAACCCCAUCAAGAAAAACAUACUUAUACAUCCAAAAAAGCAAUUACAGGCUCUAAUUAAUAAGAUACAAGAUUUUAAGCAAAACCCACAAUUUUAAAAGUGAUUUUAUUUACCUGCAUUGCUGAAAUAUCUACAGCUGAUGAAGAACCCAUUUUUCGCAUACUUCCUCUAAAGCUUCCUUUUUUCCAACACUGCAAAAAAAAAAAAAGAAGAACAAAUCAAAUACCCAAAUCAGAAACAAUAACAGAAAAAAAAUAAAAGAAAAUCCAAUGCUGGAAGUUGUAAUCAGGAGGAGAACCAUACAAUUUCUGAUGGAAUGACAUUUUAUCAAGAAUUGAACUAGGCAUUCAGUUAAUUAAAUAGGUUGUAAACUUGUAAUCAGGUGAGAGUAGUGUCAACAUGUUUAGUUUUCCUCUCGGAAGUGUCAUUCUGCACAAAUCAGUGUUUUAAAAAUAUUAAAAAAAAAAUUUAAUUUGUUUUUAAAUUUGUUUUUUAGUGGUUUUCAUUUAUUUUCGUGUAUUAAUAUUAAAAAUAAUUUUUAAAAAAUAAAAAAUAUAUUAUUUCAAUUUAUUUUAAAAUAAAAAAAAAACUUAAAAAAAAUACUGUUAACACAGUAUUAAACAAACUCGAAUCCUAUAACCAGAUGAACAACGUUAAGAUAUUUGUUUUUUGUUUUUUGUUUUUUUUGAUAAUGAGGAUGUCCUAAACAAUCUUGCCUAAUGAUUGUUAAGAAAUGAAAGAGGCAAUGCAUGGCUAAACCAAUGGAAGCUAAAAAGCUAAUGAUGCCCCUAGCUAGUAAGCAAUUGUUGCCGCAAUGACAUAUGCCUCAUUAGAGAUAGAUUUGAAUUUACAUAUUAUUAUUAUCAUAUAUUUUGUAUUCUCGUUUAAAAAAAUAAAUAUUUUCCUUAUAUGGAGUAGAGUGUUUUUAAUUUUAUCAUGUAAAAUUUAUAUAUAUUUUAAAAAUUAAUACAAUAUACAGUUAAACAUCUAUAAAUUAAUAUCAUUGAGACCAUGAAAUUUAUUAAUUAAUCAAGAUAUUAUUUAGUAAAUAAAUUUAUACACUUAUCCAUUAAUCACAAAAAAAUUUCUUUUUCAAAAACAUUGAACUCAAUACAUGCAUUGUGUAUUCUGAUUAUAUGAAUAUUAUCUAAUUAUCAAAUUAUGAAUUAUCAUAGUUCUAUAUAUUUAUUUAAAUAAAACAAGUUUAAGAAUUAAUGUAAUCGAUCUUAUUAAUUAAUAAAAGUCAUGUAUGUAUCUAUUUUUGCAAAUUGGAUGCAUACUUAAUUAAUAUUAAGUCAAGAACAAAACCAAAAAAAGGAAUAUACAAGUGAGCCAAACAACAAUAUUAAAAACGAAUAAGAGGUUGAAUUAAUAUUCAUUAACUAAUAAUAAAAUUAAGAAGAUGAUACCAAAGGACACAAAAUCACAAAAAUUCGUGAAACUACAUAAGGCGGUUUGUUCAAUACCAAGAAAUUAAAUAUUUAAAAAAAAACUAAAUGAAUUGUUUAAAAAGUUAAAAGAAAAUAAAUGCACUUUUGUCCACGUCAACAACAACUAUAACAAAAUGCUGGGCUGUAGAAGAUUUUCCACAGCAACCUGAAAAAAUCAUAUAUGCUCAAGUAACUAUUUGGUAGAGCGUAUUUGGAGUGCUAAUAUCUUUUCUUUAUGGAAUCAGUCCUCGUACUCGAUCUCUGAAACCAGUUAAGGUUCUUAGUGACCAAAAUACUAGGUAGCGACUCUCAUUCCAUUUUUCCACUAAUAAAAGACAAGAAUUCCUUGUCUCCCCAUAGAUGCCUGAUAGAUAAUACAUUUUGAGAGUGGAUAUUUUCACCGCAACAUCGUAUACGUGCGACAUUAUGUAUACAGGUAUUUCACGAGAUGAUGCGGAGUGUUAAAUAUAAGCUUUGUGUUUAAAUCUGUUUUUUUAUGUAAUAUCUUUUGUUUUAUAUGUAAUUUGUAUUAUAUGUAGAUUUUAAUAUAUGAAUCCUAAAGAUAUUUGCUUUUGGUAUUUAUACAUUUAGAAUGUAUGAGUAAGGAACUAAUAUUAGUAAACUAUUUGAAAAGAAUACUUAAUAAUUAUAAUUAUGCAUGUUUAAAAGAUGGAUGCAUGUUAACGUAAUAAUUAGUUCAAUAUGAAUCCUUUGAGUUUAUAUUUGUAUGCAGUUAAUGUUUUAUUUUAAGAGAAUAUAAUUGCUAUGUUUUAUUUUUUUAUGAUGUAAGGUUGAGAAAGCACAACAAAGUAUUGCUAUGUGAAAUAUUGUAUGAUGAGAUGGGAUAUGAUCCAGGAUGGUUGAAUUGAAAUAGAAGAUUGAGUAUUGUGAUUGAAUGAAGUCUAGUCGAUAACUUGGUAACAUAAAAAAACAAAAGAAACUCUGCCGAAUUUUCUGUAGAAAAUUAGAUUUAUAUAAUAACUAUUACUUUGAUGAUAUAACUUUGAGAGUGAUACAUCAAAUGUGAGAUAUGUUAGACAAUAACCGCAAGACAAUAACGGUUCAAGACGUAGACAAUAACAAUUCAAAUUUCGGUAGUCCUCAUAUGAAUACCAUAUAUAUAUAUAUAUAACUUUACUCUGUUUUUCAGUUGCAUGAUAUUGUUAUUUUAUCCCGAUUGAGGGGGUGUUAUAAUUAUGGUCUUAUGAUCCGAGUCACUGAUUUAAAAGGUUAACCUAGAUUGACCCGGGUCGAUCCAAUAUGUUGUUAUCUCAAUAUUUUUUAAAAAAAUAUUAUCUUGAAUUUUUUGAAGUAAAACUAUAUGUUUAUCAGUCGUCCAGACUAUCUUUGGACUCAUUGAAUCGAUUGGGUCAUAUCGAUUCAACUCUUUUUUUUUAGUUAUAUUUGAAAUUUAAAUUGUAUAAUUUCAAAUUGGUUUGUUUUUAAAUGUCAAUUAAUAUAUAUAUAUAUAUAUAUAUAUAUAACAAUCCAAAAUGACAGGUUAAAAUACUAAAAAACCAAAACAUAUUGUUACAAUUAAAAAAAUAAAAUACCAAUUAAAACGGAAUUAAUUGACAACUUGCUUGGUAGAAGCAUGAAACUCCUCGCUGACAUUUGCAAGAGAUAGUUACUUAUACCAGUAGCAAUUUAGUAAUGAUUGAUCAGCAUUUAUAGUAAGAUGGGGCUAUUAAUUCAAAUGUUGAUGGCAUUAGUAACAAUGAUUUUCUUGGAAGGAUUGCUUCCUCUUGGUUGCUUGAAAAUAUACGGUUUUUUUUUAGUUCAAAUCUAUUAAUAUAAAUAUAGUUUUAUUGAAUAUUUUUUAUAUAAUCUUAUUAGAGAAAUCAAUGUAAACAAAUUUAUGGACAAACACUAGAUUAUCAAGUAUUUAAAUAGAAAAAUAAAACAUUGAUACAAGCUUUUAAAUAAAAAACAUUUAUAAUAAAUAUAAUUUGUACUUGUCAUUAUCUCUUUUUCAUUGCUAACACUUAACGAAUUGAAUAUAUAAUUCUCAUGUGAAUAACGUCAAAAUAAAUUUAGUUGCAUGACAUAAUAAUACCUAUUUGUUUUUUGUAUUUUAAAAAUAUUUAAAAAAAUUAAAUUUUUUUAAAUAAAUAACUUUUGAAUCAUCAAGUAGUGAAACACAGGAAAAGUGAAGAAAGUGAAGAAUAAUCAAAGUGGUGUGGGUCCACAUCAACUUUUGUCCAUGUUUUUGGUAUUAAUCUCUUCAUCCAUUUACAGCCGGAGAAAAGAGCAUCACUCAGUGCUUUCCUUGUCUCUUCUUGCUUAGAAGAUAAGGUAUGAGAACCUUCGAGUGCCACUCAUUUUAGUACAUAGACUAGAUAUUUGACCAUAACUUAACUGUUAGUUAAUUGUUUUUUCAAUUAAAAAAAUUUAUAUAUAGAUUUCUUCAACGUAUUGUUUAUUUAAAAAAUCUUAAGUGAAAAUUAAGAAAUUUAUACACAAAUAUAGUCAAAUAAAUUGAGAAUUAUAUGUGUUAAUAAGUGAAAAAAAAACCAUAAACGAUGACUCAAAAUAAAAACUGGAAAAAUUGAGAGACAGGUGCUGAUCAAGAUAUUUAAUUUCACAAGACGUGACAUUUAUGCAGUUGUGUUUUUAAAAUUUUCUAAUUAAAAUAAUUUUUUAUUCAAUCAAACGAUAAUAAAAACAGACACACAUUAUAAAUUGAUUGAAUAAAAUAAAAGGAGAAAAAAUAAUAUGCAAGCCUACACAUAUUAAAAAUAUUAUUUGAAAAUACAUUUAUUUUUAUUUUCAAAAAUAAAAUUCAUCUAUACAAAAGAUUUUUAAAAAAUAUAGAUUAAUCACAAAAACCUCCUCAAAAAUUAAAUGCAUAAUUAAAAAAUAAUUAUCAUUUCAAAUAGGCUUUCUAAAUAAUAUAAAAGAGAGAAGGGAUAUAAAUAUAAAUAUAAAUAAGAUUAAGAUUAAGAUUAAUUUAAAAAAAUACAAACAAAAAAAAAGAAAAUAUUUUUUCUUAAACAAAAAAAAGUGAACAAUGUCGUUCACAGUAAAACUUGUGGGGUGAACUCGAACUCAACCGAGUUUAAUAUUUUUCCUCUUAAAUUUAUAACAAACCUAAAAAAAGUAAACAAUGUCGUCCAUUGUAAAACAUGAGGAGGUGAAUAGUGCAACUACACAGUGUUCACCUUAUAUAUUUUUCCUCUUAAAUUUAUACCAAAACCGUAAUAAAAAAAGGUGACCAAUGUUGUCCAUAGUAAAACGUGAGGGGGUGAACAACGCAUCUUCAUAGUGUUCACCCCGCACACCUUAGCUUAUUUAGGGUGAACCUGAAUCAUGAACUCAAUCGGGUUUAAUAUUUUCCCCUCUUAAAUUUAUAGCAAACCUAAAAAAAAGGUAAACAAUAUAGUCUAUAAUAAAAUAUGAGGGGAUGAACAAUACAGAUGCACAAUGUUCACCUCACAUAUUUUUUUCCUUAAAUUUAUAGCAAAACCUAAUAAAACAAAUAGUGAAUAGUAUAUUCAUUGUAAAACGUGAGAGGGUGAACAAUGUGGCUAUAUAAUAUUCACCCCACAUGCUUUAGAUUAAACGUGAGAUGGUUAUUUUUUAAAAUAAAAAAAAAUUAAUAAGCAGGCUAUUACAAUGCGCUUUUUAAUGAUGACGAUAUUUGUAGCAAAAAUUUCAAAGGAUUUAAUACAAAUCCAAGCCAAAAUAUUUCACUAGAUUACUAUUUUACGAUCUUCUUAAAACUUGGGUUCGAGCUUGUCAUGUUGAAUCAUCUCUUCUAGAAUCCUUUUUACCGUCUAAUGACUGCCGCUUAUGUUUGUGCAAUUUCUUGUUUACUAGUAAAAUUGUACAGACGUGGGCUUGAAGCUGUUAACUUUCCCUGGACUGGUUAUGUAAUAUAUUUAUAGGUCUAACUGUAUACUAUCACUUGGUCCAAGAGGCAAUAUUGCAAGAUUCCAACGAAAUCUACUGUAAUCUACUGUCCUGGGACAAGAGUUCCAAAAACAUCUACUCCAAAUUUUGUUCUUUUUGAAUCUUUAGUUAUUUUUAUUUUUUCUCAUCAUUUUUUAAAAUAAAAAAUAUAAAUAAAUUACUACAAAAUGAAUAAAACAAAACCAGAAUAAAAAAGUAACAUUAAACAGCAGCCAUUUCAUCAGCUUUAAUUUUAGUAUAACACAAUAAUAUGAACCAACCUUGAUUCUCGAAGGCACCCAACUAAUUCAUUAGCCUUCAAAUUGCCAUCACCUAAUUUCACGAUCCAUGACCGACAUAUAAACAAGGGUCCUCUCCAAGUUCCCAUACAUAUACGAAUCCAAAUAUACAUAGAAACUUAUCUUUUAAAUAAGUCAAUUAGAGUUCAACACAAUAUUAAUAACAAAAUUAAUUAAAUAAGUCAAUCAGAGUUCAACAUAACAUUAAUAACAAAAUUAACUUCAUAAUAUAAUUUGAUUGUCUUAAUACAAAAAUUAAUACAAAGUUCGUAGUUGUGGAGCACUAUCUAGACAUAAAAAAAAUCAUAACAAAAACAACAAGGGAGGGGGUUUGAUAGUAUGUAAUACAACAACUAGAAAUAUAUAUAUAAUUAUGGCUUUAGGUUUUUAUAAAAACGUUUUUUAAAUAGAUCAUAUAAGAACAACGGAGGAGGGGGUUUAACGGUAUGUAUUUGCCUGCUAGUAAAAAUUGGUUAGCACCUAAACAAGGUCCUGUGCUAAAUCUAAAUUGGUAAGAUGUGAUAUGCUAAUAUCUAGAAAGAUAACUUAAUCUAUCCAUUGAAGUAAAGCAUUUAAAUGCGUAUACAAUGUUUUUGGAACAUUAAAUAUCUAUUUGAUCAGAAUCUGAUGGGGCAAUAGGUGAUGCAGGCAUAAACUAGAAAGACAACAAACAAACACAAAGAAAAAAGAUUUGUUAAGCAAACAGGGUUGCAAACUUAAACACUAAAUUCGCAAUUUAUUAUUCUGAAAAAAGUCUAAUGAUGUUUGCCUCUCAAAGAGGUUUCUAAAACAUUUAAAUAUGCUAAAAAACCUAUCUCUAUUGGAAAAAAAAAAUUCAGAAUCCAAAAGAAUAAACAAAAACUACAUAAAAUCUGAAAUAAAACAAUAAAUAUGAAAAAAAUCAAGGAAAAAUAGCUAAAUUGGCUCAAAACAGGAUCUUAUGAACCUAAUUUCAGGGGAUCCGAACAUCAAAUGAUCAACAAAGUAUGUUUCCAAUUGAGAUGGGCCUUAGAAAUCUCCUAUAAAAAUUGAGAUCUAAGCAAAUUAAGUGAUAUUUGUUUGAGACUUCGCUAACUACAUAUAAAGGAAUUAAAAAUAAAUUAUGAUGAUCAAUUCAAAAUCAACAAAAUAUUAAAGUGAAAUUGGAAGCAAAAACAGGGCAAAAAUCAUUAAAUCAAAAGAAGAAAAAAUUAGAAGAUAGAAUUUAUUUAUUUUUUUUAAAAAAGGGGGGAGGAUAUGAAUAGUGAAGUAGGAGGGAAAAACCUAAUUUUUUUAGUAUAAUAAAUAAUUUUUAAUUAAAUUAAAAUCUUCAUCUCAUACAAUUAGACCCAAAAAGAGUUAAAUAAAAAAGGGAAGAAAAUUUCUAAAGAUAUAAGGACCAAUUUAAAAAAAUAAAAGGAAAAAAAAAUGAAAAAACACCAAAUCAAGAAACGAAAAAAUAUAAGGACCAAUUUAAAAAAACAAUAAAAAAUAUAAAGAGUGAAGGAGGUAGAGAAACAUAAGUUUUUUAGUAUAGUAGUUUAUUUCUAGUUAAAUUAAAAACUUUAUCUCAUAUAAUUAGGCCAAAAACAAUUUUUUAAAAAAAAUAAGGACUAAUUUGUAAAAAAAGAAGAGAAAAAAACAGAAUCAAAUCAAAAGGGAAAAAAAACUAAUUUAAAAAUAAAAAUAAAAUGCUUCAUUAUUCAUGUAAAAACAAAACAUCAUUAUAGUAUCCAACUAGACAAGUGACCUACACUACGGGCUAUCCUAAUUUUUUUAAAGCAAAAUUUUUUUUUAGCAUUAUUAGAUGUGAGAAAAUAUUUUUUAAAAAACAUACAUGUGUACAAGAUAGGAGAGAUUUGGUUUGAGAAUGCAUGCUAAAAAUCUAAACAUGAACUAAAACAAAGUGGAAUUAAAAAAAAAAAAAAAACUUAAAAGAGAUCAGUGAUUCAUUAUAGACUGUGAGGUAAAACACUGUAGAUUAGCAUAAUAUAUUUAUUUUUUGACCUUCUCUACGUAAAAUAAUUGCCUUGCUAACAGGGUAAAGUUGUUAUUUUCAAUGGAUCUAAAGGUUAUUUGUAAAUUGAUUGGGAAUAAUUUAGUAGGUUAGCUAUUUUAUUUGCGUAGUAAAAUGACGUCAAUACCCUUGAGAGUUCAAAAAUAUUGACCUUGACAAAGGCAUUUUUUAGUCUUUUCCAUGUUUUGUAUACUGUAAAAUGACAAAGUUAACCUUAGAAUAAAAAAAUCUAAAGCUGGUCUGGGAUAGCAUUUUCAUCUUUGCAAUAUAGCUUUUUUGUAAUAUUUAGAUGCUCUUAUGAGCUAUUUAGCAAUUUAAAGUAUUGAAAUAUUAAUAAAUCAAUAAACAAAGGCUGACAUGUGUGUAGCACGUGUCAACACGUGAUAGUCCACCACGUCAUUUGGGAGGCGUGUGAUAGUCCAACAUGUAAUAUGGAGGUGUAGUUGAUGACGUGGCGUGUCGUCAUAUUUGUAGUGGUUUAAUGGUGAUAAAAAAAUUUUCCCGUCCCCCUCUUUUCUCUCUCUAAGGCUUUAGUAUUCACGCCGAUGCUUUAAAAUUUCACUUGUAUCCUUUGGAUUGUAUUUAUAUUAAGUUUGAUUCUUAUUAUUUUAAUUUCUAUUUAUUUUGAUUUUAGUGUUUUUUAAAGAAAAAAAUUUCAAUUUCAUUCCUCAACAUUUUAUUUCAUUUAAUUUUUAUAUUAAACUUGGUCCUCAUUCUUUUAAUUACUAUUUUCUAUCCUUUACUUAAUUUUUUUAAUUUUAUUUCUUAUUAUUUUAUUUUAUUUUAUUUUGUUUGCAAUUGCAGUUCUUUUUUUUUUUUAUCCCUAGUAAGCAAUUGUUGCCGCAAUGACAUAUGCCUAGCAAGAGGAAAAAAAAAAAAAAAAAGAGACGCUUGAAGGUUAGAGAAGGCACCUCUGAGUGGAAGGAGGCUGAGGUGCGCUAUUUUUGAAGUAUGUGAAAAUCAUAUGUUUCAAUGCUACUUCUUGCAAGAGUCUCCUUAACCAACCUAGAGUGUUAUAUUAGACUGCUAACGUAUUUUAUAAAAAUAUUGAUAAAAAUAUUUUUGGAUAAUUUUUUUUAUUUUAUUUGAAUUUAUUUCUUAAAUAAUUUAAAUUAAUAAGAUAAUUACAUAAAAGAUAAUGUUAGUCAAGUUAUCUUUUUACCAACCAUAAAAAGAUUUUUACUAAUCCAAGCCAACAAAAUAACAAUUACAUGUAUAAAUUGUCAUAUGUUGGAAAAAGGAGUUAGCUCAUAUUUUAGGGAUUAUAUUAAAGUGUUAGCAUCUUGCCUGGUUAGAAAUAGAAUUGAAUUUACAUAUUAGUAUUAUCAUAUAUUUUGUAUUGUCGUUUAAAAAAAUAAAUAUUUUCCUUAUAUGGAGUUAAGUGUUUUUAUUUUUAUCAUGUAAAAUUUAUAUAUUUUUUAAAAUUAAUUUUUCUAAUCAUCAAAUUAUUUUUAUUUUUUAAAAUUUAUAUAUUUUUUAAAAUUAUUUCUUAAAAAUAAAUUUAUUUUUCUAAAAAAUUGAACUUAAUACAUGCAUAUUAUCUAAUCAUCAAAUUAUGAACUAUCAUAAUUCUAUAUAUUUAUUUAAAUAAAACAAGUUCAAGAAUUAAUGUAGAUCAAUCUUAUUGAUUAAUAAAAUUCAUGUAUGUAUCUAUUUUUGCAAAUUGGAUGCAUACUUAAUUAAUAUUAAAUCAAGCAAAAAAUCUAUAAAAAGAAUAUACAAGUGAGCCAAACAACAAUAUUAAAAACGAACAAGAGGUCGAAUUAAUAUCCAUUAACUAAUAGUAAAAUUAAGAAGAUGAUACCAAAGGACACAAAAUCACAAAAAAGCAUUUAACAUUCAGAGAAAGAAGCCUGCAACACCCAUUAAGGAAAAGAGAGAAGGGAAAGAAAUGUAGAUUAAUUGAUACAGAGGAUCACCUUGUUCCAGACCAGCGCGAGACUGUAGAAGAAUCCAGACGAACCAAGAGCAAAAAAUGCAGGAGAGAUAAUCAUGAGAGAAACAAAUUCAUAUAUCCACGAAUACGUACAACAUUUGAAACCUAUAAUGCAAGAAUAGCUGCAGAUGUACAUUAAUAUUUUUAAUUUAAAGAAUCAAUUAAUUAUUUAAAAAACUUGAGGGAUUAAUUUGUUUGUUUCACAUAAAACAGACACUAAUUAUAUAAAGUUUUACUCAAAAAACAGACACUAAUAAUCAUAUGCGUGAGUGUUUACUUGUAAAUAUUUUGGAAGGAACUGGUUUAUGUUUUGCGCAUCAUGAAAAAAUCAUAUAUGCUUAAGUAACUAUUUGGCAUCAAUCUAGUAAAUUAAUCUUAAAUUCCUUUUAUCCAACUCUUGCCGUUUUAAAAUUAAUCAAUGUAAAAGUUAACCAAACAUGAUAAAAUCAAUAUAAUGGGUUUACGAAUACAUAUUAAAUUAAUCUUGGUUUUAUAGCUUAAUUUUCUAAACUCACUACUCAAAUAAUGAACUACAUCUAGUUUUAAUUUUUUUUAUUUAAUAUUAUAAUAACAAUACCAUUUCAAAAUUAACCAAAUAUAUAUAUAUAUAUAUAUAUAUAUAUAUAUAUAUAUAUAUAUAUAAUAGAGUUUAAAAACAAAUGAACAAUAUGAUAUUGUUCCAUUUUACUAUAAUGAUGAAGUUUUCACAAAAUAUAAAACUUAAAUUAAAUUAAGGCAACAAUCAAUUCUUUAGCUUUAAAACGAUUUAUUAUUUGCUUUCUAGUGGUAGUAGUAGGAUGAUUGGAAUAAUUUUUUUUCCAUUAACAAUAGAAUUGAGAAGGCCCGCCACAGACCAAGAGGACAGCUUCAAUGAAGCCAUCCCAGCCGAUGCAGGUGAUUACCCGUCGGCUGACAUCUCCUCGCGCGCAUAGCACCAGCCAAACCACCUCAAUCUGAAAAUGCACCAGACAAAGUCAAUGGAAAGACGCCAGGGAGCCUCAGCAGCCGAGAAGAAAGCGAGGGAACACCCACCGCGCGAGAAACACGAAAAACAUAGAGGGAGCGCGGUAAAGACUGUGAAGCCACAGAAUUCACACAUUGUGCACCGUGUUUUAAUGAGCACUCUUAGUUUAUUUUAUAUAUAAUUCUUUUAGUUUUAGUUUUAGUUUGUUGUGUUAUGAACAGUAAAGCAGCACAAGAAUACGUCUGCGUCAAGCUCUGUUCACUUUGGUCCGACAUUCCUCACCUCUCCCCACCUUAGCUCUCUCUCUUUCCCUCCUCUGCUUUUAGAAACCGCCGCUGCCACCUCAACCAAUAAGGCUUCAAAUCUCACCCAGGUGCUUCCUUUUCUAUUAUGUUUUUGUUUUUUAAAAAAGAUUUACGUCCGCGUUUUCAUUUAUUUAAUUGAAGUUACUAUCCAAAGAGAGAAAUUCGAUUUUAAUAAGUAAAUUAAAAAGAUAUAUAAUCGGAUCCAAUGAAAUCGCUGCUCGUGAACGCAACUCGAAGAAAGGCGCAAUCAGUCGAUUCUACUGUGGGUGGAGCAUUUAGUAUGGUCAGGGUUAUUGUGUUGUCUAUUCAAAGAAAGAUGUGCCUGUAAAUUUAUUAAGUUGAUUCUUAUCAGUCUGCUCUUUAGAGUUGAUGAUAACAUGAAAUAUUCAUUGUUGAUGCUUGUCGUUUUCUUCUUCAUUUUCCUAGCUUAAAACAUCCUAGACAAUCUCUUUGGGAUGGUUUAGUGUUUCUGGCCUCUUCAUCUUCUAUUUGUGCUGUGGUAUUUAGUUUGCUGAUAUUCAUUGGGGAUUGAAAGGCCUCGUUUUAUGACUUUGUUUUCUUCUUAUUUCUUUAUUCUUUUGGGGAUGUGAUAUUUUCCUCUUUCUAUUUACACUAUUGGCUCCCUACAAUAUUUUUUCCUUCAGAGAAGUAAAUAUAUACAUAAAUAACAAGAACAGGAGGGGAAGGGGAGGGGGGUUUGACAAUAAGUAUUUGCUUAGAAGGGAAUGCUUCUUUGGUUUAGAAGCACCAUGAAGAUUCAGGCCCAUAUUUGGCUGGUUUCUUUAAUAAAGUACAUGAUAUUCCAUUUUUCAUGUCCUUGAUGUGCUUUUACUCUUCUUGCCGUUCCUGACUUUCUUUUUAGGGUAUAUUCUAACAUGCAAUAUGUUUUUUUUUUGUUGGCCCACUGUCCCAGGCGGAGAACCUGUCAUGGACAUGGGUGAUUGCAGAAUUCAAUUGCAGCCUGACUCACGGAAAAGAAUAGUCAAAAAUUUUUUUUAUUUAUAUGAAAGAAAAGGAGAAGGGCAGAAGGUUAAUUAAAAUCAGCAGGAUUGCCAUGAGGCAACCUCAAGUAUCACGCACCUCUUUUUUUUUUCAUCUUUUCAUGUGUUUCUCACAAGAAGCAAACUUGAGGGAACAUAAAGUGCUGGGAAGUAAUUUUUGUUGGAAUUUCUUGUCUAAUCUCUUCUUUUGAUGAUGACCUCUUGGAUGGCUGCAUGAAGCUUGUUCCGCUUUAAAUUUCAAGGUUAAUCUAUUGCUAUGAGCAUACGUGUUUCAAUUUAAAACUCGAGUUGCAACUGAACUUAAAUAAAUGGUGUUGGAUUUGUGCUUUCUAUUUGUUUUAACUUCUACAGGGUUGAAAUGAUAGUGAUCUUAAACUAGAAAAGCAGCAGACAAAAAUCAAUUAGCCACAAUGGUGUAUGGUUUCUCAGCAUAAAGUUGAAAUGAUAGUGAUCUUAAACUAGAAAAGCAGCAGACAAAAAUCAAUUAGCCACAAUGGUGUAUGGUUUCUCAGCAUAAAGUUGAAUGUUUUGUUGACCUCUUUACAUCCAAAAUCAUAUAGACAGCUACUGCUAGCACUUGCAGUGGUCAAUGAAUACUGUAGAGUAUAUAUUGCAGUGUGAGAUAAGGUUAACUCAUUGCAUUUUCAGAUAUUGAAAGGAUUUCUCUUCUUUUCUUUGUCAAUUACAGGACAUGCAUCGAAGUGUUCUUACUGAGAGUAAAUGCUAUUGUAAUGUUUUCACAGAGACUCCCCUGCUUUGCAACUAAGUCACUAAUAUAUCUUGGAACAUAGCCAUAAAUGAAAGGUUCUUCCAGAUCAAGAAAAUUAACCAUGAAGCUCGUAGCUAGAAUUUUUAGACAGAAAGGUGGCCAAGUACGCUGUACCUCUGGAAUAAUACAGGGAAAGGAUGUCUAUGUAUUUUGAUGUCUUAUAUUACUUGACCAACUCUUGCUUAUCUCAUUAUUUGUUUUUACUUUUUGCUAAUGAUUCCACACAUUUCUGAUAUUGGUGUGGUUUAUGAGUUUAGGGUUCUCGUUGCUGCUAACUUCUCUAUACUUUGCCUGGUCAUUAAAAAUCAAACGUAAUGAUUUGCAUAUGCAGAAUGGAGACAUUAAAAAGACAUCUUCUAUUUUCUGGUGAGGAGGGAUUUCAGGAACUCAAGAAAUUUUCCAUACGUUUUGAGGAAAAGAUUUAUACUACCGCUAACAAUCAGGUAUUUGCCUAAUGCGAGGUUCAAUAAUUAUGAUAUUAUCUAGACAUGAAUAUACACACGCAUUUAUGCUUGUACAAAUGUGUGUGUAGUGUGCCUACACUUCCUCACCGUUCAUUCUGUAUGCAAGGUUGAUUGGGAGUUCACAUCAUUUUGUUAAUUCUCUUGACAAGUGUUUUAUUUAGAGUGACCAAGUUCAAGUACAAGGGAAGAAUGCAAAAAGCAAAUAACGAAUCAAUACAUAAAUAAUUAAAUAAAAAGAGAGGUAACAGAAGUAUAUCCUCAUAGAAGAUGAAAUGAUAGAGUAUAUAUCUAUUUUCCUCCUCUGGUAACAUGGAUUGCUCUGAGAUCUACUGUUUUGUUAUUAAUAUCUGAUUUCAAUCUGAUUAUUUGCAUAAAAUAUCUCUGGAGAUGCUUUCGAUGGAGACCAGGUCUCAAAAUGCCAUGCUCACUACACCUAUGGAUCCAGCAGGUAAUAAUGCAGCCGAGCAUUGAAUUUCUAAAUAUCUUACCUUUUGUUUUUCUUCUCGCAUUGCUAUCAAACUCUUUUACAUUUUAUUGCUGCAUAUUGCUAUGUAUAUCGCCUUGCUGGAAAAAUCUCAUGAUCACCUCCACGAUGAUAAUUUUGUAAUGCAUGUGAAGUGUUUCAUCCUUAACUUGUUAAGGAACAAGGACUGUGAUGCAUGGUAUUUUAUAUUUUAUGAUUGAGAUGGUAGAUUUUAAAGAUUUUCAUGUUAAGGAGAUAAGACGUCACUUUCUUGCUUUUCUUCCGAGAGAGUAUUUGAUCCUUUUUUCAUAUAAAAUAAUGCUGGCAUGCAUUGAAUUUCCAAACAUCUUACCUUUUGUUUUGUUUGUCGCAUUGUUAUCAAACUCUUUUACAUUUUGUUGCGGCAUAUUGCUAUGUGUAUGGCAUGCUUUAAUCAAAAAGUUGAGUAAUUGAUGAAUGUUAGGCAAGAAAAUUACAGAUUAUUUUUAUUUUCUACCUCCUCCUUCUCUUUCCCCCACCCCGAAAAUGGUCAUAUUAUUUUUUUUUUCAGCCACCUCUUCUUCCCCCAACCUUGAAAAUUGUUUAUAUUUGCUUUGGAAGCAUGGCAAACUUCACUGCCUCUCAGCUUAAGGAGAUUGCAGCAGGUCUCGAAGCUUCUGGGCAUCAGUUUAUUUGGGUAGUUAGAAGAAACAAAAAGAGUCAAGAAGACAAGGAAGAUUGUUUACCUCAAGGAUUUGAGGAAAGAAUGGAAGGCAAAAGGCUAUUAUCAGAGGAUGGGCACUCCAAGUUUUGAUUCUUGAUCAUGAAGCAAAAGGUGCAUUUGUGACUCAUUGAGGAUGGAACUCAACUCUUAAAGGCGUAAGGCAAAUAUUUGAUGAGCAAUUCUAUAAUGAAAAGUUGGUGACUGAUGUUUUAAAAACUGGAGUUAAGGAAUGGCUUAGAGUGCAUGGAGAUCAUGUUAAAAGUGAAGCUGUAGAGAACGCAAUCACUCAAAUUAUGAUGGGUGAAGAAGCAGAGGAAAUGAGGAGCAGAGCAAAGAAGCUUUCAGUGCUUUGAUUUAAUAACUGCAAAAAAUGAAAGGUUGUUGAAGAUGGUGGAUCUUCUUGCUCCGAUUUCAAUGCUUUGAUUGAAUAACUGAGGUGGGGUAGCCUUUGAAACAGAGGCAUAGAAUAUAUAUAUAUAUAUAUUUUAGCUUUUUUAGUUUAACGUGGGUGUUCGGGCCAGCUUGCGCGCACCUCGACUAAUCCCACGGGCCCUGAAGUUAACGACCAUGUAAGUCUCCAGUGGCCAUCAUAUGAGCAACCACAGGGCUCGAACCUGAGACCACAGAGGGAGCAAACCUUUUAGUCCCAAGCUCUUACCACUGGGCCACCACCUAGAUGGUUAAGGCAUAGAAUAUUUUGUUUCUACUUAGUAGUGGUUUUGGUAAUUUAUUUUCAGACAAGUCUUGAGAGUUGAAAGAGUAAUCACAGCCGAGUCAAUGACCAAUCCAAAUAAGUUCCCUUCCUAAUGGUUCAGGAAUGACAAGUCCAGCAUAUAUAUUUAGCCCAAAUAACUUUUCAAAUAAAAUGGCUGAGCUUAGAGACAGUACACUACAAAUUAAGCACCCAUUAGCUAGACAUACAGGACAAACAAUCAUCACAAACUAGAAACGACUGUCUUCCCAGUAACAAACUCACCUUCUCAAGUUGGAGAACUUGCGAAAACUAGCUACUACAAUAUAGUAGCAAGUAUCUAUGCAGUCUUCGAUGAAGUACGACCACCUGCGUCGCCAAUAUGGAUUGAUGUAAAGAACUGCUACAAUCAUAAUCACCACGACUGUGUAACUUACACCGAAAUUGAUGUAGAAAAACUCCAUGUCUAUGAAACCAUCAUCUCCUUGUUCAUCAUUAGGCACUGGUUGUGAUGGCAUUGGCUGUGAUGGCACUGGCUGUGAUGGCACUGCUUCUUCACUACAAUUGUUUUGCAAUGGAGGUCCACACAAGAAAGGAUUUCCUUCGUAACAGCUUUCAUCGAAGGUCCCAAACUGAUAUUUUCUCUCGGGUGUCUUACAUGACAAGUUAUUGUACGCCACACUAAAAACUUCCAGUGUGGUAAUUUCAGUAAGUUGUGGAGGGAUGACACCAUUCAAGUUGUUGUAAGAAAGAUCCAAACUCUCAAUCUGUUUUAGGUUUGAGAAUGUUGCUGGGAUAGAUCCAGUGAGAUUGUUGUGUGAUAAGUUUAAUGACAAUAUCUUACUUAAGUUUCCAAAUUCCGGUGGGAUUGCUCCUACGAAGUUGUUAUUGGAGAGAUCAAUACCAGACAUGUAGUUGAGAGUCUUCCCCUUGUAACCAUAAUACAUAUUUUUAGUUGUAAAUUCUAUCACUUCUUCUGUAAAGUUAAGCAGAAAACCCUUUCUCAAGUUGUACAUACUCUCCACUAGUGGUGGACCCAUUGUUUCAUAAUAAGCUUUUUCUAUGGACCUUGAUAGAACACCAGCUCCGAGAUCCGUGAAUGCUUUCUGGGAACUUUCCUUGAAAGUAAGAUUGCCCAAACAGGAGGGUAGUGGACUAGAGAGCUGGUUUUGUGAAACAUCCAAAAUGCUUAAAUGUUCUAACAAGCAUAAUUGAACAGGGAGCUCACCAUCAAAGUGAUUAGCCCUCAGAAGAAGAACACUCAAUGAUGAAAGAUUGCCAAUCCAAUUUGGAAUGGAGCCGGUGAAGCUGUUAUCUUGAAGAUCCAUCGUAACUAAGAAAGAGCUGUUAUAAAAUCUAUAUGUUAAUGGACCGCUCAAUCUAUUUUCGGAUAGAUGCAUAUGGAUUAGAGUUGAUGGACUGAAACAAGAUGGUAUAUAUCCAGACAAGUUGUUCUCUGAAAGGUUCAAAUAUUCAAGUUGAUCAAGCUUACAAAAGUCUCUUGGGAUCGGACCCUUAAAAUGGUUUUUGGACAAAUCAAUUGCUGCAAGAAUCGUAGAAUUAAGAAAGCUCCUUGGAAGCAUGCCUGAAAAUUGAUUGUUACUCAAAUCCAAUACAAUCCACAUUUUCCACCUAUAUAAUGAAAAAUCUGAUAUCUGACCCCAAAAGUUGUUACCACCUAGAUAGAGAUAUUCUAAGGUAGAAGAAUUGAACAACGAGGUCGGUAAUUGCCCACCCAAAUUGUUGUUUGACAGCUUGAGAAACCAUAUUGUUGUUAGUUGUUCUAGUUUUACUGUGGACAAUUGAUUGUUGGAUAAAUCUAAAAUUCCCAAAGAGCUAAUAUUUCCUAAACAAGAAGGAAUACAACCUGUGAAUCCAUUCUUAGCCAUCCUUAAGCUCUUCAGAUUUUGAAAGAUCAAACAAAUAUCCUUUGGAAUUUGACCGCUCAUGUUGUUGUUGGAUAUAUCUAAUUCGGUCAUAUUUAGAUAUGGGUGAUUUGGCAACUGCAAAGUACCAACAAAGGAGUUCUCACUCAAAUAUAGUUGCUCCAAUCGUGUAUUGUUCUUAAGCAACCACGAUGGAAACAUUCCGGUGAUGUUGUUGUGGGAGAGAUCAAGGACUCUUAAGUCGUAUUGGUAAUAGAGGAAGUUGGGAAUCUCUACAUUGACUGCUUCUAUUGUUUUUGACAAACUAAAAAAGACUAGUUGGAACUUUGGAAUCAAAUGAUCAAAGGCAGCAGGUUCUGUUACUAGUCUAUUGUUCUCAUUGCAGAAGAACUUGAGGCUUGAGUGGUUCAUAAAAGGCUUCAUUGAAAUGGGAACUUCAAAGAGGUUAUUUGAUAGUGAGAGGAAUUCAAGAGAUGUGAGGUUGGUAAGAGGACCAGAGGCAAUAUUUCCAGUAAACUGGUUUUUAGAAACAUCUAAUAGUUGUAGAGAUGACAAGUUUCCUAAACAAUCUGGGAGUGAACCUUCUAAAUUAUUUCCAAAGAGAUCUAACUGCUUCAGAUUCUUCAAUUCACACCAACCUGUAUAAUUUAUCUCGAAACAGUCAAAAUAGCUAAAUAAUUAAAAGAUUACCAUAGAAGAGGAUGGAGUGUUGUUAAUUUACCUUGAGCGGGUAGGGUGCCAUGGAGGUCACAUCCACCAACAGACAAAACCUUAAGAGCAGGCAAUGCUCCAAUGUUCUGGAGAAAGUUUACUGGGAGAGAAGUACGAUCUAGAUUCAAUUCUUCAAGAGUGCUAGAAUUGAAGAAAGUCCCUGUGAAAAAGAAAGAAGAAGAGAUAUGAAGAAAAUAAUGGUGGUACAGAAUAGCCAUUCCAUUCAAUAUUAUUAAUUAAUAUUUUAAGAAACUAAACUAUGAUUAACCUUGACUUAAAUUAGUAUCCUUGAGAGAAAGGGUCUUCAGGGAUGGCAAUGACUGCAGGAAGUCCAGCUUCCUUAAACCUAUGAUGUGUAGAAUUGAAAACAGGCAAUCAAGUAAGUAGUGAAAUUAAGCGUUAUCUUGAUCGAGUUUUUAAACCUAUGAUAAAAAACUGAUAUUGAAUAUACUUUUAUAAUGAUAUGAUUUUUGGAUAGAAACAACAAAUUGCCUGAAAAAUCCAGAGAUUUCAAAAGGUAUUGUUAAAAAAUGAAGUAAAUAAUAUUCACAACUUUACCAUUGACAGUCGUCGAUCCUAGCAACAUAUUGCCUGAUAAAUUUAAAGACUUGAGAUAAGAAAAUCCACGCAGAUGUGAUAAAAUGCUGUCGUUGAAUAUAUUAUAGCUCAAGUCCAGGUUCUCGAGUUUCCCUAAAUGUGAUGAUAUGAUCUCAAAACCUGCAAGAGUAAGUCAUCAUGAGCUCACGAUAUGCAUAAUAUAUAGAAACUAAAGAUAAUUAGAAUUGAUGAGAUGCUGUUGUUCAAUUGAUAUAUGAUUCUCAAAUUAUACAUAAAAAUAAUGAUACAUGAACGCAUAUGUCAUUAUAUAACAGGUUGUGCACACUUCAAAGAUUAAGAAACAAUUUUUAAUCAUUCUAAUUUUGAUCUUAUUGGAAAAAAAAAAAAAAUUUAUGGAUAUAAAGUCGUUAAAGAUGGAAACUAAGUCAAACAUGAUAAAUGCUAUCAUUAAAUUGAUCAUUACAUAGAUAUAAAGUACUUAUUUUUUAUGAUAAUGCAUGUAACGAGUAUUAUUGAUUAUUGUUCUUGUUUUAAUUACCGAUGAGAAAUUUUGAACAAUCAUUUGAUUUUAUUAGUUUUGAAUAAUAUAAUAUUUUUGAAGAUUAUAAAAUGUUAUGUAUUUUUAAAUAACUUGUUUUUUUGAUAUGUUUGUUAUGAGGCUUAGCGUAGGUGGGGUGUCCUUUCGAUACAGCUCCUGCGUUGCCAGUAAUAAACUUGAGACUCGAGUGGUGACAAAAUUGAUCUUUACAUGGAUAUAAAGUUCUCAUUUUUGUUGAUAAAGAAACAAUAUAAUUAAGAGAAUGUCAUGUGAAGCAUUUAGGUAGAAACUGUGUAUUAUACCUGAUCCUGUCAGCUGAUUGCCUGAUAGAUCCAAAGACUUGAGGGAUGAAAAUCCAGUUAGAGAUGGAAAAAUGCUGCUGUUCAACUUAUUAAACGAUAGAUCCAAAGACUUGAUCAGGGAUGAAAGCCCACUCAGAAUUGAUAAGAUGCUGCUGUUCAAUUGAUUGAAACUCAGGUCAAGGUUCUCUAACUUUCCCAGCCUCAUCGGUUGGAGUUGAAAACCUACAAGAUAUACAUAAAAAAAAAUAUACAGUGCAUAGAUUAAGGAAGAAGAUAGAUUGCAAGUAUCCAUUCUAUACAUGUAAUUUUUAAUCAUCCUAGUUUUGAUCAAGUUGUGUCUUAUUAGAAAAACAAUUUAUGGAUAAGAUCAAAGCCCCAUAGAUAUAAAUCUUCAUUGAUGAAAGCUAGCGCAAUCAAACAUGAUGAAAUGCUAUCGUUGAUUAAUUAUUAAAUAAAUAUAAAGUCCUCAAUUUUCUUGAUAAAGAAACCGUAUAAAAGAAUGUCACGUAAAGCAGUUAGGUAGAAAUUAUAUAUAACUUACUAUUGAUACCAGCAGAUCCUGUCAACUCAUUAUAUGAUAGAUCCAAAGACUUGAGAGAUGAAAAUCCAGUUAGAGAUAGAAAAAUGCUAUCGUUGUAUUGAUUCCCACUCAGAUAUAGUUUCUCCAGCUUUUUCAACCUUGAUGACAAGACUUUGAAACCUGCAUGAUUUUUCUCAAAAAACAUAGAAAUGAUAUGAGAAGGAGAAAAGAAAAGGUUUUGAAGCUAAAUAAUUAUAAGGUUACCAUAGAAGCUACCUCCUGAUCCAGCUGUCAACCCAUUGUCUGAUAGAUCUAAAGACUUGAGAGCGGAAAGCCCAUUGAAACAUGACAAAAUGCUUUUAUCAUUAUUAAAUCGGUUUUCACUUAGGUCAAGUUUCCUCAGUUUUGAUGAUAGGACUCCGAAGCCUGGAAGAGAAACAUCAAAGCAAGAUAAUUGACAUUAAACACCAACCAACCAACCUUCAUUUAUUUUAUUAUUAUAAUUAAGUGCACAAACAUUGAACUAACCUUCAUUCUCCAAGCAACCAACCAAUCCAUUAUAUCCCAAAUCAAGACUUUGCAAUUCUUUGAAAGGCUGAAACAAAGAUGCGUUGAGAACCCAAUCGCCCAAGCUCUCAUCCCUUUCUCCACUAAGAGAGAGUUGGAUCACUCGCCUUGUAGUGUGAUCACACUCGAUCUCAGGCCACUCACAACAAUUACUACUGUCCACCCAAUGUCUCAAGGAAAUGCCAUCUGGGUCGAUCAAAGAUUGGAUCUCCAAGAGACCAAUUCUCUCUUCCUCCAAACACCCAUAACAACGACCAGACCAUUCGCCAACCAAAGUGAAUAAUGCUAGCAACAUCCAAGCCCCCAUUCUUUUCAACAUCAUCGUAGAUAAUUCUAUGAACUACUACGUAGAAUAUUAUUGUUUGUUAUGUGCCUUUGGGCAACCAUAGAGGUCCUAUUUAUACUACACUGGCCAUUUCCAUGACUUUGAGAUGUUUUCUUUAUUUAAUUUCCACGACUUUAUCUGCAUAUCUUGUGCAGGUUCCGUGUUUUGAGAUUUGAAUAUUAUUUUAUUUCUUUUUGGAAUGUUCUUGGAUUUAAAUAUUAUUUUAUUUUAUUAUUUAGCACUUAUUCUAUUUGCAUUUAAUUAUAUUUUGGUUACUAAUUAUUCAAUUUAUAAAAAAAAUAAAAUAAAAAAAUUGUUGCAGUACUUCAACAUCGACAUUCGUGUGUGAUUCCACAUAAGAUCUUUUCAACUUUAUAAUUGUACUUCUCUCGUUAAAUACAUAAAUUAUCAAUAAUAAUAAACUCGAAAUAAUUAUAAAUCUUAUCCCUGUGGAUUGUGUGGGUACAGUAUUAUAUACAAAAACUUCAAAUACAUAAUAUAUAUAAGUCAGAAAUAUUUUUGUUUUUAUGGACUUGUUUUUAUUACAUUUCAAUAUUAAAUAUAUUUUUUUCAAUCGAGUCAAAGAUAUACCAUUUAUAUUAGAAUGAGAAGACUAAUCAAUUUCUCUAAUUUCUCUAGUUUUCUCCCUAAUUAUAAAAUACAUCUGGUUUUUCAAGUCCAGAUUUUAAGAUAAAAGGAAUUUAUUUCUUGAAAGUAAUGCAUUAAACAAUAUAAAAAAAAUUUAAAAAAUUUAAAAUAGUAGUAAAAGUAGUUUUUGAUUGAAGUGUAAACUAGUGGUAAAUGAACAAAAAGAAACUUUAUUGAUUAUCUAAUGAGUUACUUCUCCAGAAAGAAUAUAUACAAUAUUAUUGAUUAUCUAAUGGAAACUCCGCCUAACACACACACACACACACACACACACACACACACAUAUAUAUAUAUAUAUAUAUAUAUAUAUAUAUAUAUAUAAGUUAGAGACACUUUUUGUUUUUAUGUUCGGAAAAGUGUUCUUUACUUGUUUUUAUUACAUUUCAAUAUUAAAUAUAUUUUUUUCAAUCGAGUCAAAGAUAUACCAUUUAUAUUAGAUUGAGAAGACUAAUCAAUUUCUCUAGUUUUCUCCCUAAUGUAUAAAUUUCUCUAGUUUUCUCCCUAAUUAUAAAAUACAUCUGGUUUUUCAAGUCCAGAUUUUAGGAUAAAAAGAAUUUAUUUCUUGAAAUUAAUGCAUAAAACAAUAUAAAAAUAUUUUUAAUAAAUUAAAAUAGUAGUAAAAGUAAAUUUAGUUUUUGAUUGAAGUGUAAACUAGUGGUAAAUGAACAAAAAGAAACUUUAUUGAUUAUCUAAUGAGUUACUUCUCCAAAAAGAAUAUAUAUAUUAUUGAAUAUCUAAUGGAAAGGAUUCAUGAAACUCCGCCAUAUAUAUAUAUAAAAGAGAAAUUGUCGAUAAUAGCAAUCAUUUUCUUAUCUCUUGUAUCAUUCAUAUCUUCCACAAAUCUUAAGUAAUUGAUGAGACAGUGGAUAUUGCCAAGAAAGGUCGUGAACGCGGAUGCUUGACGAUUAUGAUUUUUAAACACAACCAUAUAGUGAUUUCCUUAUGCAUACUGGUGAUCCUCCAGAAUCUUGUAGGAACACCACAAGCCAAUCUAAAAGAAUGCUAAAAGUCAAAACACACAAGCCAUAUAAAAAUCACACGACAGCCAAUUACCUUAUCUUUUGAAAGAAAGAUAAUAAUAAUAAUAAUAAUAAUAAUAAUAAUAAUAAAAGCAUUCUCCUGGGUGUGCAAUGACCGCCAAUCUUUCUCAUUAUGACAUUCAAUGCUCAGUUAGAAGUUGCACGAUGCUCUUCUCAUGGGGAGCAAAAAUCAGUAGCCUCCCAUGGAAUCCUCAUAAACCUUUCUCUAUGCUCUUCUAAGAUAUUAAAAAUGUCAAACAUACAUCAAUAAUAAAAAGACAUUAAAAAUGUCAAACAUACAUCUAAGAUAUUACGCAAAACGAGGUUUUUUUCUGCAAAAAAAUAAAAAUAGAAUGUUAUACAAAUGGAGCUUCCAACAAAAAAGAUAUGGGAAGUUCGAGGAAAAAAAUGAUUAGUUAAUUCAAAACACCAGCAGUAAGUAAUAAUUACAAAACACGAUACCGAAACCAAAUUGAAAAGUGAGCAAGAAUACAAAAAUGGUUACAUGUAUCAAAAGGAACUGGUACCAAUUUCUCCACCACUGUAUGUCCCUUUUGUUCAGUCUAUGUUUGGUGCAAUCACCUAAAGCUAGAAACAAAAACAGCGCCUUACUCUACAAGUAGCUCAUCAAAGUAUAUGUUGUAAAUUGCAAACACGUGCUAACAAUAAAUUGUGGCCAGAGGAUUUGCUUCGAUCCCAGAGGCCAUUGAGGAUAUUCGUCAAGGAAAGGCUCAUGCACCCUCUUGAUUUGAUGAUUCUUUGCAUUUAGUUAUUGUUGUUGAUGAUGAACAAAUUAAGAGAAAAUGAGGGGGGCCUUAUAAUGGCAGCGUCAAAGGCAACACCAGAAGCUAUGGCAUUUAUUGUCAAGCAUGGGACUGGUAUAGUGUGUGUGAGCUUCCAUUAAUGGUAACUCAUAAGGAGAAUGAGGAAAACUGUGCACUGCAUUUACUGUAUCAGUGGUACGUCAUUAACUUCUCCAUUUAUAUUAUCUAAUGGAUAUGAUCUUUUCAAGAAACCUUUAUCUUGGUUUGAUUUUAAAGUGCUAAUUUAAUUGCGGAUUCUGUCCCAGAUGAGGUCCGGUUUCCUGAAAUCAAAGAUGUCUACACUGUCCCGUGGACUUAUAGUUCAGUUGCUCAAUCAGAACUGAUGACAUCUGCACAUUCGGCGACUCCAGCAUUAAUUGUGGCCUUGACAGAUUGUGAGAGGCCAGAUGGGAUGGAUUAGAUGCGUCUGAGUUUGUUGGAGAGGAAGACUUGCAGAAUAAUUUUGAGGGAGUGGGUGGCAGUUCGAUGGAGCGGUUCCUGUUGGUGCAACGCCGAACACAUGCCACGCAGGAUAUAUAGAAAUGCUAGUCAGCUUAUGAAAUCCGAGGUUGAUACGAUACUUAUCUUCAUAGAUUGUGAAUGUUGUUCUUUUUUCUACAAACGAUCCGUUAUGCAAAGCAAAUUCCAAGACCAGAAAAAUAAUGUUUAGAGUUAAAAGACAAUGUCUUAGCAGCAAGGACCUAUUCCAUCAGGAGAUAUGUGAAUUCUCAAGCCUUUGCAAUGCUUUUAAAUUAAUGAAGGAUCAAAAUGAAAAUGUUAUAUUCAUAACUAUACUGCAAUUUUGCCCAUAAUUCUUCUUUAAUUCUGUCCAGAAUCUUGGAUUAUGCUCCAGGGACCAAUCUGGAAUUUUAGUAGAUUUUUAAGGGUCAAAUUGUAAUUUUAUCAAAUUGAAGGACCAAAAUAAAAAUGUCAUAGAUUCAUAACUAUACUGGAAUUUUGCUUGUAAUUCAUCUUUAGUUCUGUCCAGAAUCUAGGAUUAUGCUUCAGGGAUCAAUCUGUAAUUUUUUCAAAGUUUGGGGAUUAACUUAAAUUUUCACAAAUUGAGGGACCAAAUUGAAAUUUUAUUAUCUUCAACCUCAAACCCAGAUUUUUCAUAGAUCACCUACUGAUAUAUCAAGAUUUCGAACUCAAAUUCAUCAUUUAAACAAACUAUAACUCAAAAUCAUCAUUUUUACCUAAAAUUUUCAAAAAUCAACUAAAUAACUCAUUACCCAUAACAGUCAUUCCGCUAAAUUAUUUCUACUUCUGCUUCUUCUUCUUCUUUUUUAUAAUACUCGAGUAUUAUUAUAGAAAGAUGCUUGAGCCAAAAUUAGAGGCUAUCUAGCAUAAAAGAAAAACAGAGGUAUAUACAGGACAGAGAGGAAGUAAUAACAUUAUAUAUAUAUAUAUAUAUAUAUAUAAAACUUGAGUUAACCCGUCAAGUCUAUGACCUGGAUUAUGAGAUCGGGAUAAGCAAACUCAAUAUUAAAAAAUAAAAUUGAAAAAAAAACAAUAAAAACAUAUAUGGUUUAACAAUAUUAAUCAAUUAUUAAAAUAUUUCAUUUUAUAUAUAUUAAAAAUAUAUAUUAAUAACUAUUAUAUCAGUUUGUGAAUGUUUCAAUUUGGAUGCAAAUAGAUGUUUAAUUAUCUAUGACAUUUUUUUUAAGAAACCAAAGUUAUUAAAUAUGGUUAGAUUUAAUACCUAGAUAAGGGUUUAGGUCAUAGAUUGGCUUAAUACUCGGAUCAAGAUUUGAAUUAUAGAUCGAACAAGUUAGCUUAUUGAUUGAUGUUAAUAAAAAAUUGUAUCAUUUUAAGAUUAUUUUUUAGUAAAAACCAAAAUCAAGUAGUUAAAAAAAGUGAAAGUAGUUUUUGAUAGGGUUGACUAGGUUGUAAGUUGAUUUAUCUAGUCGAUUAGGCUUGAUUGAGUCAACUCUCACUUGGUUUUUUUUAAAUCUAAAUCGGGUCAGGUUCCAGAUUAAAAUGUUAGGCUUGAAUUAAAUUUAAUAACGCUGAUUAAAAUCACAUUGUAGAAAAAAAAUGAAUUGCAUAAAAGUAAUUAACCAAAAACUUGUAUUCCUUCUUAUAAAGUUGAACCCAUGUCAGUUUCUUUUUUGGAAAAAUAUAAAUCAAAGGUUAACGCUACUUUCAUGACGAUGACGGAUAAAGAAGACUUGCUCCUUUCUUUAUGGAAAUAACGUGUGGAAAAUCAUGCCUUAAUUUUGAUGGUGAUGGCCAAAUCAAACAGUAUCGUUGAUAAAAUGAACCACAAAUGAUAUUAUUUCUACAAGACUUCUUGUCAUUGUCAUGACAAUAAGUCUUCUCCUUUUUCUUUCUAAAGAGUCUAUUUUUUGUAACACAAUCAACAAGUAAGAUGGAUAGAAAUUUGCAGUGUGAGAUGGGUCUGUGAGACUAUAUAUUGCCAUUUGUAUUUUUUUCAUGAUAAAGGCUAAUUGGAUGGUCCUAUCAAGCGUUUUUUUUACGAGAUGGGUCCAUAAAAACAUUUCCAUCUACACAUUGAUCCCUGAAACCUUUGCCAUAAUGCAUUUUUUCCACGAGAUGGGUUCGUGGAAAUACUUUGGUUUAAUAGGGAAUGCUGUUAUUGAUUGGAAACUUUUUAAUUAAAAUAAAUUUGAUUAUUUGAUUGGAAGAAAUCCUUAAAUGUUAUUAACACAAAGAAAUCAAUUUAUUUUCUUAAGAAAAAAAUAUUGUAACCAUAUAAGUAAUUUAUUUAUUUAUUUUAAUGAAAUAUAAAAUAGUUUUAAAUCUUGUGGUAUAUUUCUUGUCUUUAAGAGCUAUGAACUUAUAUCUCAAAACUUGAAAACUAAUAUAAAGAUAUUAAGUGAUCAUUGAGUGUAUGUGUGUGUGUAUAAUCUUUUUCAAAACAAAAAGGAUUUUGAUGGAGAGGACAUUGCAGCAAAUUAUCCACGAGAUGGGUCGGUGAUACCAUUGUCAUCAUGUAAUUUUUCCCACGAGAUGGGGCCGUACGCUUGGGGCUCUAAAAGCUAUGGUUUUUAAUUUCAUUAUGUUACAUAUCUAGAAUGGGAGGUAUAUUUUAUUUCAAUUCUAAAAAUGAAAUAAAUUAGAAGAUAUUUCAUCUUGUUUAGAAUAUUAUCUCCUUACAUGCAUGAAUUUCACAUAAAUUUUGACCAGAAUAUUUCGGUUCUAUUCCGGCCAUUCUAUUAUGUCCAAAUAAUGUUUUGUUUUGCUUUUAUAUAUAUAAAAAAUAUAAUUUAUUUUUAUGAUAUCAAUUAUACAUUUCAAUUCGACUAUUGGAUUAAACUGAAAUUUUAUAAUCUCCUAAUAUGUAUUAUAUCACAAGUUAAAAUUUUAGAUCAAUCAGAGUUUAGAAAGACUUUGUGAAAUUACUGUUGAUAUAUUUUCAUAAUUUUAUUUAAAUUCAUAAUUUUAUUUUGAAAUGUUUUAUUUUUUGUGGUUUUUUAGAUUGAUUUUUUUUCAUUUUAUAAUUUAACAAUAAAUUUAUUAAAAAUUAAAAUUCAUAAUUUAUUUUUAUUUAUUUUAUUUAAAAUUAUUAUAUUAUCAUUACUCAGAUCACGAAAAAAAAACCUUUGCUUUAAUUGGGAAUGCUGUUACAAGUAAUUGGACUCCGUGGGAUGGGAGACCGUUGCCAUCAUGCAUGUUUUUUCCACGGCAUGGGUCCGUAAAGUCCUCUAUAAAAGCUUAAACCUCCUUACUAUCCUCUAUAUCAAUUGAUCAGCAUUUAUAAGAUGGGGCUGUCUGUUCCUUCUGAUGUUGAUGGUUUUAGUAAUGAUGGUUUCUUGCAAGGAUGGCUGCCUCUUGGAGUAUAUUGACUUGAGAAUUAAUUGUUUUGAUAACAGUAUUUUAUUAUUUGUGGAGUUAUUUCUAUUUUUUAAAUUAUUAUAUUUAGAUUAUAAUAGAGUGAAAGAGUUAAUAGGUUUAAGAGAUUAGGAAAAAGCUACUAUUAAUUAUAGUUAGGGACCAAACUGGAAUUUUUGCACAUUUUUAAGGGUCAAAUUGUAAUUUUAUUAAAUUGAUGAAGGACCAAAAUGAAAAUAUCAUAUUUAUAACUAUACUGUAAUUUUGCCCAUAUUUCUUCUGUAAUUUUGCCUAGAAUCUCGGAUUAUGCUCUAGGGACCAAUCUGUAAUUUUUUUCAAAGUUUGGGGAUUAAACUGAAAUUUUCAUAAAUUGAGGUACCAAACUGAAAUUUUUUCAUCUUCAACAUCAAACCCAGAUUUUUCACAAAUCACCUAUUGAUAUAUCAAGAUUUUUAACUAGAUGAGGGUUUAGGUCAUAGAUUGGCCUAAUACUCGGAUCAAGAUUUGAGUCAAGUUAGCUUAUUGACUAGUGUUAAUAAAAAAUUAUAUUAUUUUAAGAUUUAAUUUAAUUAAAUAGAUCCAACUACCAUGCAAUUCCACAAUUAAUUUAUUUUAUUAUGAUUUAGUGUUAUGUUAACCAGGCAACAUUUAAUUACCAUGAUAUAAAAUACAAAAAUAGUGGGAACAUAAAAAAACAUGCUUUUAUAUAUUUUUUAUUUUAAAAGUAUAAAUUUUACUUUAAGACUAUUGUAAAAAGAUAUUUAUUUUAAAUUUAUUUAUAUUUUUAUAAUUCAAAAAUUAAAAAUAAAACAGAAUUAAUCCAUACUCAUCUAAAAACAAUUAACUCUAACAUCAUUAUUUUAUAACAAAACUAGCAAAGAUAAUUUAUUAAUCACUAAGUUUUCUGGUUAUAAAUACAUUAGUAAGUGUCUUUGUCUCUUUUGUAUUUCUAACUAUUAACGAAUUGAAAGAAUAAAUUUAGAAUCACCAAUUAAGCAGUGAAUCACACGGGAAGAUUGAAAGAAUAAUUAAAGUGAUUAUACUAACCGACAAGUCGACCCCAAGUCAAAGUCUUCUGUGGAAAAACAUGAAUAAAAGGUGGACGCUGGGCAGCUCACUUUCCAUGAAGAUGAUGGAUACAGAGCCCUCCCUUCUAUCUUUAUGGAAAUCACGUCUAGAAAAUCAUGCUUUAAUUUUAAGCUUGAGAGGGGAUGAUAUAUAUAUAUAUAUAUAUAUAUAUAUAUAUAUAUAUAUAUAUAUAUAUAUAUAUAUGCUUUAAUUUCAACUUGUAUAAAAAAUAAAUCUUAAUGACUGGUGAUUUAAACUUGGGUGUUUUUUCGGUAUUAAUAUAUAUAUUCCUCAAUUAUCAUAAAGAAUUAAGAAAAAACUAAUAAUAAGAUUAAAAUAAAUGUUUUAUAUAUCGAAAUAAUUAAAAGUAAGGUUUACUUAAGGUAUAUAUGGGAUUAAUUUAAAAUAACAAUAAAAUCAAUUUAUUAAAAAAAAUCAUAAAUUUAGUUUUCCUAAAUUUUAAAUGUAGUGUGAAUGCAUUCCGCAAGAAAAAAACAGUGCAAAAUUAGCCUUUCAAGAAAUAGAGAAUCUUCCUCUUUGAAGGAAUUAAUUAGUGGGUUGGAAAAAUGUCGUCUUCUGCUCUAAUAUUUUCUUCACUUUCUCUAUAGUUUUACCUUACACCAAUAUUGUCAGAAAAUGAUACAAUAUACUUCUUGUGUUAUCCUUCAAGAUUUCAAUUGAAAAUUAAGGAGGGUCGUAAAAAAUUUAAUUUUUAUAAACAUAUCCUUAACUCUGUAUCUUCUCUAGAUAUGUCUGUGACUGAGCUCCAUAAAGAAUUCCUAUUUAACAUUAAUCUGUCCAUCAAGUUUUUGAUCCCCGAUUAAGGCCAUCUUGAUAAAUGAGAUUUUACUCUGUAAUUUUAAUGUAUAGCUGUCAAUGACCUGAAACAUGCAAAUUAAAAUUCAAAGUGUGAGCAUUGAAUUUCUUGUCAGUUUACACCCUUCUGUGGUGUUUCCUCUUUCCAUUGAUUGAAGAGCGUCCAAGAGGAAAAACUGAAAAGGCAAAAGUUCUAUUGUACAGUGAAAAAGAGCAUGAGAAAUACACAGAAGCAGAGAUGCAUGAAUCCUUCUCCACUAGCAGCUCUCGUCCAUAGGAUCAUUGUGGUUUCAAGAUUGAUGCCCAAUCAUUUCCCUCUUUGUUCGAUUCCUCAGACCUUUUGGAAACUGUACAUUCCGGGGGAAAGUCUGUGCAAGGGCAAAAGGCGACGGUGGACUUGACAAAGGGCUGAGGGGUGGGUGAGAUGUUAUGUCAAGAAAUGAUUUUGGAAAAUUUCUUCAUAUGUGUUGAAUAACUAAGAUAAGAUAGGAGUCUUGAACAAGGCAAAAGCAUAGGCUCUCCAAGACGAUUGACCAGAAGGAGAGAAGGAAGGCUCUAUAUCCUUAGCACGUCAAACACUCCUUUGCACAUUAGAGAAAUUGUCGAGUUAUUCCUGCUUCUUCUUCUUCUUCCUUUUUUUUUUUUUUAUUUAUAAUAGUCCAGUAUUAUUAUAGAAAGGUGCUCGAGCCAAAAUUAGAGACUAGCUAGCAUAAAAGAAAAACAUAGGACAAUAUAUACAAGACAGGGGAGGAAGUAAUAACAUAACAUAAUAUAUAUAUAUAUAUAUAUAUAUAUAUAUAUAUAUAUAUAUAUAUAUAUAUAUAUUAAAAAAAACUUGAGUUAACGCAUCAACUCAACGACCCGAAUCAUGAGAUCAGGAUAAGCAAACUCAAUAUUAAAAGAUGAAAUUUAAAAAAAAAACCUUAAAAACAUAUAUGGUUUAACAAUAUUAAUUAAUUAUUAAAAUCUUUCAUUUUAUAUAUAUUAAAAAUAAAUAUUAAUAACUAUUAUAUCAAUUUGUGAAUGUUUCAAUUUGAAUGCGAACAAAUGUUUUAUAUAUGACAUUUUUCUUAAGAAUGUCUCUUUCAUUAAAACCAAAAUUAUUUAACAUGAUUAGAUUUAAUACCCUGAGAGUUUAGGUCAUAGAUUGGCCUAAUACUCGGAUAAGAUUGAGAUCAUAUAUCAGACAAGUUAGCUUAUGUUGAAUGGUGUUAAUCUAAAAUUGUAUUAUUUUAAGAUUUUUUUUAGAAAAAAUCAAAAUUGCGUAGUUAAAAAAAAUAAAACUAGUUUUUGACUGAAUUAACUAGGUUGUGGGUUGAUUUAUUUAGUCGAUUAGGCUUGGUUGGGUCAGCUCUCACUUAGUUUUUUCUAAACCUGAAUUGGGUUAGGUUCCAGAUUAAAAUGUUAGGCUUGAAUUAAAUUUAAUAAUGCUGAUUAAAACCACAUUGUAGAAAAAAAAUUAAAUUGCAUAAAAGUAAUUAACCGAAAACUUGUAUUCCUUCUUGUAAAGCUGAACCCGUGUCAGUUUUAUUGAAGGAAAACUAUGAACCAAAGGUUAAUGCUACUUUCAUGACGAGAAGACUUGCUACUUUCUUUAUGGAAAUAACGUGUGGAAAAUCAUGCCUUAAUUUUGAUGGCGAUGGUAAAAUCAAAGAGUAUCGUUGAUAAUUAAAUGCUUAUGCAUAAAAAAUAAAUCUCAAGUGUUAGAAUGCAACCACUGAUUAAUUAAUGGACAACGGACCUUGGAUUAAUACAUGACGCAACUUUCAAUGGAAUUAUAUUUGUGGAGGUAUUUACUCGGAUGUGAAUUAUAUUUUUAUUUUUUUAUUUUAAAAAAAAUUCUAUAUACUACAACUAGCUUAAGAAAGUCAAAAAAAUUUAAGUGAAAAAAAAUAUAUAUAUAUUUAUAUACACUCACGCACACACAAAAAUAUAGUCAAAUAAAUCAAGAACUAUGUGUGUUAAUAAGUGGAAAAAAAAACCUUAAACGAUAACUCAAAAUAAAAACUAGAAAAAUCAAGAGACAAGUGUAUAUCAAGAUAUUUAAUUUCACAUGACGUGACAUUUUUUUUUUUGGAUUCGACGAAACCUCACCCCUCCGAAAAGCACACUUUGUGGGCCCAGGUGAGGGAGUAAAACCCCGGCUGUCCCAGGCUCUUACAAAAGGUGCACGCCCUGACUCGAACUCGAGACCUGCUGUGCAGAUCUCAAACCCUUUGCCAUCACGCUACGCCCCUUGGGGACAACGUGACAUUUACGCAGUAUUGUUUUCUAAAUUUUCUAAUUAAAAUAAUUUUUUAUUUGAUCAAACGAUAAUAUAAACAGACACACACAUUCUAAAUUGAUUGAAUAAAAAAAAAAUAUAUGCAAAGCUGUAUAUAUUAAAAAUAUUAUUUGAAAAUAAUUUGUUUUUCAAAAAUAAAGUUCAUCUAUGUAAAAGAUUUUAAAAAAAUAUAGAUUAAUCAAAAAAACCUCUUUAAAAAUUAAAUUCAUGAUUAAAAAAUAAUCAUCAUUUCAAAUAGGCUUUUUAAAUAACUAAAAAGAGAGAAGGGAUAUUAAUAUAAAUAUAAAUAUAACUAAAAUUAAGAUUAUUUUAAAAAAAUAGAUAAAAAAAAUUUUAAGCGAAAAAAAGUGAACAGACACGGUGAACUUAACUCAUAAACUCAACUGAAUUUAAUAUUUUUUUCGUUAAAUUUAUUAUAAAUAUAAAAAAAAACAAAAUUAAUAUCAUUCACGGUAAAACAUAAAUAAAAAACAGUACAACCGCAUAGUAUUCACCUCAGGCAUUUUCUUUUAAAUUUAUAGCCAAACCUUAAAAAUAAACUUUUGUGCUCAGUAUCUUUUUAAGGUGAAUUAACAAGUUUCAACUCAUCUCUGUAUCUUCUCUAGAUACAGAGAAUUCCUAUUUAACAUUAAUCUGUCCAUCAAGUUUUUGAUUCCCAAUUAAGACCAUCUUGAUAAAUGAGAAUUUACUCCGUAAUUUUAUUGUAUAGCUGUCAAUGACCUGAAACAUGCAAAUUAAAAUUCAAAGUGUGAGCAUUCAAUUUCUUGUCAGUUUACACCUUUCUGUGGUGUUCCCUCUUUCCAUUGAUUGAAGAGCGUCUAAGAGGAAAAACUGAAAAGGCAAAAGUUAUGUUGUACAGUGAAAAAGAGCAUGAUCAGAAAUACACAAAAACAGAGAUGAAUGAAUCCUUCUCCACUAGCGCUCUCGUCCAUCGGAUCAUUGUGGUUUCAAGACCGAUGCCCAAUCAUUGCCCUCUUUGUUCGAUUCCUCAGACCUUUUGGAAACUGUACAUUCCGGGGGAAAGUCUGUGCAAGGGCAAAAGGGGACGGUGGACUUGACAAAGGGCUGAGGGGUGGGUGAGAUGUUAUGUCAAGAAAUGAUUUUGGAAAAUUUCUUCAUAUGUGUUGAAUAACUAAGAUAAGAUAGGAGUCUUGAACAAGGCAAGAACAUAGGCUCUCCAAGACAAUUGACCAGAAGGAGAGAAGGAAGGCUCUAUAUCCUUAGCACGUCAAACACUCCUUUGCACAUUAGGGAAAUUGUCGAGUUAUUUCUGCUUCUGCUUCUGCUUCUUCUUCUUUUUAUAAUAGUCGAGUAUUAUUAUAGAAAGGUGCUAGAGCCAAAAUUAGAGGCUAGCUAGCAUAAAAGAAAAACAAUGAUUAAUUGCAAGAGAUGGUUACUUAUACCAGUAGCAAUUUAGUAAUGAUUAAUUAGCAUUUAUAUUAAGAUGUGGCUAUUAAUUCAAAUGUUAACAAUGAUUUUCUUGGAAGGAUGAUUGCCUCUUGGUUACUUUAAAAUAUACGGUUUUUUUAGUUCAAAUCUAUUAAUAAAAAUAUAGUUUUAUUGAAUUUUUUUAUAUACUUUUAUUAGAGAAAUUAAUUUAAACACAUUUAUAUACAGACACUAGUUUAUCAAGUACUUCAAUAGAAAAAUAAAAUCAAUUAGAGUACUUAAAUAAAAAAAAAUAUAAAUUAUAAGCAUUUUACAUAUCUUUAUUGUUUAUAAAUUAAAAAUAAAAUAAUAUCAAUCCAGACUAAUCUAAAAAAAAAUUAACUAUGACAUCAUCAUUCUAAUAAUAAAACUAAUAAAGAUGUUUUAUUGAUUAAAUUUCGUGAUACAGGGUUGAAACAAAAAAGAGAUGAAGAGAGAGGAGGGAAUGGAAAGAAGGGAAAAAAGAACUCAUGCGAUCUGUUGUUUGUAAGUUUUUUACAUAAUAUAUAGGAAGGUAUUUUAAUUAUUUUGUUCAAAUUAAAAAUUUUCAUUGACUAAAAAGCGUAAUUAUCUAAAACAUAAAAGCAAAGUAAAAAACUCAAAUGCUUCAUUAAAAAACUCAAUUGAUUCGGUGCUUUAUUAGUUUCUAUAGUAUGGUGUCUUAUGCAUUUUGUUCUAAUCAUAUAUGGGAAAGUGUUUGGUUGAUUAACGUAUAUCAUGACUUUGUAUGGGUCCUACCACAAACUCUCUCUUUUGAAAUAUUAAUUAAGAAAAAGCUAUAAUUUAUAGUUUUUUUAAAUUUAUUUUUUCAAAUUACAAUCAUAUAAACUACUAUAAUAUCAAAUACAUAUUUGAAUAAGACUCAGUAAAAAUUUUCUUCUUCUAAAUACAAAGUGGAAAUGAGUUACUUUCUCCAAAAAGAAUAUAUACAAUAUUAUCGAUUAUCUAAUGCAAACUCCGUCUAACAUACACAGAGAAAGAGAGAGAACCUUAACUAUGUUUAUUUUAUGCACUUUAAUUAAAAAUAAAUUUUGGAUUGUACGAGAGACUUUAAUUAAAUUUCAAUAUUAAAUUUAUGCACUUUAAUUAACAUACACAGAUCAACUAUUAAUAUAUCAAGACUUUUAACUCAAAUUCAUUAUUUAAACAAACCAUAACUUAAAAUUAUUAUCUUUAUCUAAAAUCUUUAAAAAUCAAUGAAAUAACUCAUUAUUCAUAAUAAUUAACCUGCUAAGUUAUUUCUGCUUCUUCCUUUUUAUAAUAGUCGAGAAUUAUAUAUUAUAGAAAGGUGCUAGAGUUAAAAUUAGAGGCUAGCUAGCAUAAAAGAAAAACAGAGGUAUAUACAAGACAGGGGAGGAAGUGUGCGUGCGUGCGUGUGUGUGUGUGUGUGUGUGAUCCCUUCUCAAGCUUAAAAGUAAAGCAUGAUUUUCUAGACGUGAUUUCCAUAAAGAUAGAAGGGAGGGCUCUGUAUCCAUCAUCUUCAAGGAAAGUGAGCUGGCCAUCGUCAACCAUUUAUUUAUGUUUUCAACCAUUUAUUUAUGUUUUUCCACAAAAGACUUUGACUUGGGGUCAACUUGUCGGUUAAUUACUUUUAUGCAAUUCAAUUUUUUAAAAAUAUAUAUAUAUAUGCUUUAAUUUCAACUUAAGUUAUAUACGGGACGAUAAAAAAAUAACAAUAAAAUCAAUUUAUAAAAAAAAUCAUAGAUUUAGUUUUCCUAAAUUUUAAAUGUAGUGUGAAAGCAUUCCGCAAGAAAAAAACAGUGCAAAAUUAGCCAUGACAAUAAGUCUUUUUCUUUCUAAAGAGUUUAUUUUUUGUAACACAAUCAAUAAGUAAGAUGGAUGGGAAUUUGCAGUGUGAGAUGGGUUUGUGAGACUAUAUAUUGCCAUCAGCAUUUUUUCCAUGAUAUAGGCUUGUAGGAUGGUCCAUGAGACCAUUGCUAUAUAUCAAGCGUUUUUUCUACGAGAUGGGUCCAUGAGACCAUUACCUCGUAAGCUUGGGAAUGGAUAACAUGAUUUAAUGUUUAUUUAGUUUAAAAAAAAAUUAAAUGCUUAUGCAUAAAAAAUAAAUCUCAAGUGUUAGAAUGCAACCACUGAUUAAUUAAUGGAUAAUGAACCUUGGAUUAAUACAUGACGCAACUUUCAAUGGAAUUAUAUUUGUGGAGGUAUUUACUCGGAUGUGAAUUAUAUAUAUAUAUAUAUAUAUAUAUAUAUAUAUAUAUAUAUAUAUAUAUAUAUAUAGGGGCACACACAAAUAUAGUCAAAUAAAUCAAGAAUUAUAUGUGUUAAUAAGUGAAAAAAAAAAUAUUAAACUAUAACUCAAAAUAAAAACUAGAAAAACCAAGAGACAAAUGUAUAUAAAGAUAUUUAAUUUCACAAGACGUGAUAUUUACGCAGUAUUGUUUUCUAAAUUUUCUAAUUAAAAUAAUUUUUUAUUCGAUCAAACGAUAAUAAAAAUAGACACAUACAUUAUAAAUUGAUUGAAUAAAAUAAAAGGAGAAAAAAUAAUAUGCAAGGCUGUACAUAUUAGAAAUAUUAUUUGAAAAUAAAUUUCUUUUUAUUUUCAAAAAUAAAGUUCAUCCAUGUAAAAUAUUUUUAAAAAAUAUAGAUUAAUCAAAAAAAUCUCUUUAAAAAUUAAAUGCAUGAUUAAAAAAUAAUCAUCAUUUUAAAUAGGCUUUUUAAAUAACUAAAAAGAGAGAAGGGAUAUUAAUAUAAACAUAAAUAUAACUAAAAUUAAGAUUAUUUAAAAAAAAUAGAUAAAAAAAUUUUAAGCAAAAAAAAGUGAACAGACAACUUAUAAACUCAACUGGAUUUAAUAUUUUUCCUGUUAAAUUUAUUAUAAAUAUAAAAAAACAAAAUUAAUAUCAUUCAUGGUAAAACAUAAAUAAAUAAAUAAAUAAAACAGUACAACCGCAUGUUAUUCACCUCAGGCAUUUUCUUUUAAAUUUAUAGCCGAACCUUAAAAACAAACUUUUGUGCUCUGUAUGUUUUUAAGGUGAAUUAACAAUUUUCAACUCAACUCGGUACCUUCUCUAGAUAGAUCUGUGACUAUGCCUUGGAUUUUCUCAAAACUACUAAGUGUGUGCUUGAGAGGGUGAUUAUAGUUGUUUUUUAAAGUGUUUUUCACUCAGAAAAACAUGUCAAUAAUAUUUUUUUAUAUUUUAAAAUUUAUUUUCGAAAUCAGCACAUCAAAAUGAUUUAAAAACAUCAAAAAUAUAUUAAUUUAAAGUAAAAAAAAAAUUCAAAUUUUUGCGGAAGUGCUUUUGAAAAGCACUCCCAAACACUCCCAUGGUUGGAUACCAAGUAAAUAGAGAUAAAUUUAUUUCCUGUUAUUCUCCGAUAGUAUCUUCGUCCCUUGAUAGAACUUUCUUGGAGAUGAUGAGCUACCACUCCCUUUUGACUUUGCUGGCCUCCCAAAUAUAAAUAAAGAAUUCCUCUUGAUAGAAUUUUCUUCGAAAUGAUGAGAAUAUUUUAGAAUAUUCUGGUUGACGCCAGCUGUCAACAACUAUCUUACAUUCCCAACGCAUGCCUUUGCAAGAUGUUAAAGGCUCAUCUAAAAACAAUUAACUCUGAUAUCGUUAUUUUAUAACAAAUUAGCAAAGAUAAUUUAUUAAUCACUAAGUUUUCUGGUUAUAAAUACAUUUGUAAUUGUCUUUAUCUCUUUUGUAUUUCUAACAAUUAACGAAUUGAAUAUAUAAUAAAUACCGACUGAAAGAAUAAAUUUAGUUUAAAUGUGCUAAAGUUUAAAUAGGCGACUUUAGAAUCACCAAGAAGGCAGUGAAUCACACGGGAAGAUUGAAAGAAUAAUUAAAGUGAUUUUACUAACAUUGUAAAAGUAAUUAACCGAAAAGUUGACCCCAAGUCAAAGUCUUCUGUGGAAAAACAUGAAUAAAAGGUUGACGCUGGGCAGCUCACUUUCCAUGAAGAUGAUGGAUACAGAGCCCCCCCUUCUAUCUUCAUGGAAAUCACGUCUAGAAAAUCAAACAUUAUUAUUGCCAUCUGCGUUUUUUCUUAGAGAUGGGUCCGUUCCACCAUUUCCCCUCAAGCUUGAGAUAUAUAUACGUGACACGAUUUAAUUUCAAAUCUUAAUGUAGUGUGUUAGAAUGCAACCACCGAUUGAUUAAAUUUAAUGGCUGGUCAUUUAAACUUGGGUGUUUUUUCGGUAUUAAUAUAUAUAUAUAUAUAUAUAUAUUCCUCAAUUAUCAUAAAAAAUUAAGAAAAAACUAAUAAUAAGAUUAAAAAUAAAUGUUUUAUUUAUCGAAAUAAUUAAAAGUAAGGUUUACUUAAGGUAUAUAUGGGAUGGUAAAAAAAUAACAAUAAAAUCAAUUUAUAAAAAAAAAUCAUAGAUUUAGUUUUCCUAAAUUUUAAAUGUAGUGUUUAUAAUUAAUUAAUUAAUUGAGAAUUUGAGCUCUUCUAAAAGUUGUUUAUGGACUUUUGUUUUCCGGAGAAAACUCCCUUAAAACCUUUGAGCACUUCCUUCUCUAAAAUAUAUGUUUUUGCCAUAACUCAGGGGCUCUGUAUCUUUUAAGGUGAAUUAGGCUUUAUAUCUUUUUAAGGUGAAUUAACAAGUUUCAACUCAUCUCUGUAGAUACAUAGAAUUCCUAUUUAACAUUAAUCUGUCCAUCAAGUUUUUGAUCCCCAAUUAAGACCAUCUUGAUAAAUGAGAUUUUACUCUGUAAUUUUAAUGUAUAGCUGUCAAUGACCUGAAACAUGCAAAUCAAAAUUCAAAGUGUGAGCAUUGAAUUUCUUGUCCGUUUACACCUUUCUGUGGCGUUUCCUCUUUCCAUUGAUUGAAGAGCGUCUAAGAGGAAAAACUGAAAAGGCAAUCACUAGCGGCCCUCGUCCAUCGGAUCAUUGUGGUUUCAAGAUUGAUGCCCAAUCAUUGCCCUCUUUGUUCGAUUCCUCAGACCUUUAGGAAACUGUAUAUGAGAUGUUACAGAGUGACGGAGGACUUGACAAAGGGCUGAGGGGUGGGUGAGAUGUUAUGUCAAGAAAUGAUUUUGGAAAAUUUCUUCAUAUUUGUUGAAUAACUAAGAUAGGAGUCUUGAACAAGGCAAGAACAUAGGCUCUCCAAGACGAUUGACAGAAGGAGAGAAGGAAAGCUCUAUAUCCUUAGCACGUCAAACACUCCUUUGCACAUUAGAGAAAUUGUCGAGUUAUUUCUGCUUCUGCUUCUGCUUCUGCUUCUUCUUCUUUUUAUAAUAGUAGAGUAUUAUUAUAGAAAGGUGCUAGAGCCAAAAUUAGAGGCUAGCUAGCAUAAAAGAAAAAGAAAAACAGAGGACAGUAUAUACAACUAUACAAGACAGGGGGAGGAAGUAAUAACAUAAUAUUAAUAACUAUAUAUAUAUUAAAAAAACUCGAGUUAACCCAUCAAGUUUACGACCCGGAUUAUGAGAUCGGGAUAAGCAAACUCAAUGUUAAGAAAUGAAAUUAAAGAAAAAAACCAUAAAAACAUAUAUGGCGUAGUGUCUUAUCGAUUAAGUUUGAUUGGGUCAACUCUCACUUGGUUUUUUCUAAACCUAAAUUGGGUUAGAUUCUAGAUUAAAAUAUUAGGCUUGAAUUAAAUUUAAUAACACUGAUUAAAACCACAUUGUAGAAAAAAAAAAUGAAUCGCGUAAAAGUAAUUAACCGAAAACUUGUAUUUCUUCUUAUAAAGUUGAACUCAUGUCAGUUGUUUUUUAAGGAAAAAUAUGAAUCAAAGGUUAAAGCUAGGCAGCUCACUUUGCACGACAAUGACGGAUAUAGAAGACAUAACGUGUGGAAAAAUCAUGCCUUAAUUUUGAUGGUGAUGGCAAAAUCAAACAGUAUCGUUGAUAAAAUGAACCACAAAUAAUAUUAUUUCUAAAACACUUCUUGUCAUUGUGAUGACAAUAAGUCUUCUUCUUUGCAGUGUGAGAUGGGUUUGCAUUUUUAUUUUCCACGAUAAUUAAUUAAUUAAUUGAGAAGUUGAGCUCCUUAAGAAAAGUUGUUUAUGGACCUUUGUUUUCCGGAGAAAACUCCCUUAAAACCCUUGAGCACCACCUUCUCUAAAACAUCUAUCUUUGCCAUAACUGAGAGGCUCUGUAUCUUUUUAAGGUGAAUUAACAAGUUACAACUCAACUCUGUAUCUUUUUUAGAUAUGUAUGUGACUGUACCUUGAUGUUCUCACAACCAUUAAGAUGGAGACAAAUUUUCUUUUCUGUUAUUCUCCGAAAAUAUCUUCGUUCCUUGAUAGAAUUUUCUUGGAAAUGAUGAGCUUCCACUCCCUUUUGACUUUGCUGGCCUCCGAAAUAAUUAAAGAAUUCCUCUUGAUAGAAUUUCCUUGGAAAUGAUGAGAAUAUCUCACAUUCCCUUGGCAUCGUGUUCCAUGCCUUUGCAAAUUAUUAAAGGCUCCAAUGCAUGUGUCCUUUUAUUCAUGUUUUUCCACAAAAGACUUUUGACUUGGGGUCAACUUGUCGGUUAGUAAAAUCACUUUAAUUAUUCUUUCAAUCUUCCCGUGUGAUUCACUGCUUAAUUGGUGAUUCUAAAUUUAUUCUUUCAAUUCGUUAAUAGUUAGAAAUACAAAAGAGACAAAGACAAUUACUAAUGUAUUUAUAACCAGAAAACUUAGUGAUUAAUAAAUUAUCUUUGCUAGUUUUGUUAUAAAAUAAUGAUGUUAGAGUUAAUUGUUUUUAGAUGAGUUUGGAUUAAUUCUGUUAAUUUUAUUUUUAAUUUUUGAACUAUAAAAAUAUAGAUAAAUUUAAAAUAAAUAUCUUUUUACAAUAGUUUUUUAGUAAAAUUAGAGUAAAAUUUGUACUUUUAAAAUAAAAAUAUAUAAAAACAUGUAUUUUAUGUUCCCAUUAUUUUUGUAUUUUAUAUCAUGGUAAUUAAAUGUUGCCCGGUUAACAUAACACUAAAUCAUAAUAAAAAAAUAAUAAUUAUGGAAUGGCAUGGUAGUUGGAUCUAAUUUUUUUAUGGAAUGGCAUGGUAGUUGGAUCAUAAUAAGAGUAUUCAAAUUAAGAAUAUUUAAAUGAGUGUUAAUUGGGUUUAAAAGACUUACAAGCAAAAUAUAAGUUGUUUGUUAGAAUUCUUAUGGAUCCGAUAGAAAAUUAAUACUUCAUUCAUAUACAUUACAUGAGCAUAUAUAUAUUUCUUUUAUCAACAUAAUGAUAUGUUUAUUUAUGUAACAGGUCCAUCAAAUAUCCAUGGAGAUCAUUAGUUUAGGGCUCUACUUUGUCAAGCUUAUGUAAAUAUUUAACUUAAGCAAAAGGGAAUUAACGCAUUUAUGUAGUAUGCUUUUGUAUAAACCUUGAUGUAUUUAUAAAAGUUCAGCUUAGCAUGUAGUACUUUAGUUAUCUUGUAAUUAACCCUUCUGAAAUAUUUAAAAACACUUAUUAUGUUGUAAAUGCUUUAUUUACAUGUUAGUAUUCCUUUUUCUUUUAAUUUUAUGAUAUGAUAUAUGGGCUAUGUUCAUAUUGAACUUGCUCAUAGGAUAUAUAUAAAUAUAUAUUGUGUGGAUUAUAUGAGGUGUUGAAUUAUGAUGAUUAAUAUAAGGUUCGGAAUUAUGGGACCUUGUGAUGAUGGAUUGAUUGUGUAAAUUAAUAGUAGUCGAUAACUUGGGAUGUUCUAAAUACAAACAAAACUCUGCUGAAUUUUUGGUAGAUUUAAAAAAAAAAAUUACCCUCAAAUUAAAAGCAUAUGUUGAGAUCUUUUAACAUUGAUCAAGUCGUAUAGUUGGUUCUGUUACAUGUUAGGUAUACAAUGUCUCUGUGAUAUGGACAUAAUGAUUUUUGAUGUGUCAAAUUCUUACUAUUUCACUCUUAAGAGUAGAAAGAUCUACUUCGUUGGACAACCACCAAGGCUUAACAACAAUAAUGAGAAAAUAAGCAUGUGAAAGGAAAAAGACUUAAUCUUAUAAGCCCAAAUGAUUUUGAGAAUCAGGUUCAUGAAGAGUUUGUUGCAUUUGCUUUAGUGGCUAAGAAAGUUUUAGAGAAAGCACUCGAAGAAAUAAGUGUAGUUUUGAAAGAAUUUCAAGAUGUUUUUCCUCUCAAAGUUCAUAAUUCCUUACCCCAUUAUACGUGACAUUCAACACGUAAUAUUUUAUCCCUAGUUACCUCUUGGUUUCAAGCAAGAAACACACUUCAAUAUCAUUAUGCGUUACUGUAUUCCUAAUAGAUGCCCUCUUAGCAGACAUACCCAACCCACAACUAUUCCAGAAUAAAAUCUUCAUUGAUAAAUGAUUUUAAACCUUACCAAGUUAUACUGCAAAAUGGAAUUAUUCCCAAAACCCAAAGCAAAUAACAUCCUCUGCGCCUCAUCUUCAACAAUACAUUCUGCUGUUGCAGCAGAACUGUAAGUUAUCAUAUAACGAAGAUUCCCUUUUCUGAUUCUAGAAUCCAGUGAACCUGGUGAUUCCACCUCACGUUCAUCCUCCACCCGCUGAAGACUACCAUUGAAAGAGAAAAGCUCCACCUUUGGGUGUAAACUGGAUUGAUUGCAUCCCAUCUGAAUCACGUGGGCUUAAUGGAAGGAACGAACAAUUGUCGGUUUUAAAAGUUUGGUUUGUAACAAUCAUUGUAAUUCCAAAUUUCCAUACUCCUUCCAUUUAAGCAAUUAAUAAUAACAGAGAAUAUGUAUAAAUCUCAAUGUUGUUUUAAAUUUUAUGUAAGAUAGUACAGUUUCAUUCAAAAAAUGAGAAAGAACAAUAAAAAUCCUCAAAUUCUACCACCUUCAAUUCUCAUUCAUCAACAACAGCAUACAUUCAAACAAGUGAUCAAUAGUGUUGAUGAAAAAUAAAUCAUUAGCGAUCAAGUGACGAGGACUAUAGUAAGAUUGGCGCCAUUGUAAGCUUGACAAGCUUUGCCUACUCUAAUUAACAGCAACGAAAGAUUCAGUGCCUAAUCUCUGGACGGAGAAGGGGACGCCUUUGUUAUGUACAUGGUUGCCCUAAAUGGUUCGAUGAUGCUCAUUUUAAACAUUUUUUGUCAAGGUUGUCAAUUUUGCUCCGUUUAGUGUUUCAUUUUUUUAAUUGAAACGGUAUGUUUUGGUUUCGGAGCAUUUCAGUGUGUUGUUUCAGGAUUAUAUAUAUAUUAACUCAAUUAAACAUAAUUUAAAUUUAAAUUUAAAGAUAAAUUAACUUGAAAUUAUGCAAUUUAAAUUUCAAACACAAGUAAAAAAGUGAGAGACUGAUAUGACUUGAUCGACUAGAUGGGUCCAAAGACAACCUUUACGACUGGUAAGAAUAUAGUUUGACUCAAAAAAAUUUAAGAUGAUAUUUUUUAAAAAAUAUAUUGAGAUGACAACAUAUUAAAUCAACCUGGGUCAACUCGAUCGGAUUAACUUUCUAAAUUCGUAAUCCAGGUUAUGAGACCAUAAUAACCUAAAAUAAAGCAAAUCAAAACAAAUUAUAAAGCUGAAUUCUCAAUAAACAUGUUAUUGAAUGGUUAAAUUGGAAAAAUUUUAAUAUAAAAAAAGACACAAAAAAAUGACCUUCAGAGACUAUUGUCGUCACCAGAAUGUUUUGCCCGCCACACAAGCUUCACAUAUCUUUUGCAACUCAGAUUUGGAAACUUUAGAGUACCUUUUUAUAUACUGUAACUUUUCUAGGAGUGUUUGGAUGAAAGUUUUGGAUUAGUGGGGUAUCUAAUGUUGUUGUCGAGCACUUUAGACUCGCUACUUCUACAACAACAUGGAAUGGUGCAGGGUAAAUUCCAAAGAUUAGCUUGGAGACUAAUCUCUAGUAGUAUUACUCGGGGUAUUUGGUUGUUGAGGAACAAAAUUGUUUGUGAGGAGAGAACUAUAAGUUUGUUUGAUUGUUUCUCUAUCAUCCUUUAUCAGGUUGCUAUUUAGUUGUAUACUCUGUAUUCAAACUUUACUUAUACAGGAAAUGAUCUCUUAAGAUCUUUUGAUGAUAUCAAAUUGUGGUGUAAUAAGAAAUCUUAGGUAGUUUCUUUGUUUUUUUGUUGUAGCAAAUCAGUUUUGUUUUCUUUUUUUCCCCCUUUUUUCUUUUUUUUUUUGUCCUAUGAGACUAUUGUCAUCUGCAUUUUUUCCAUGAUAUAGGCCAGUGGGAUGGUCCAUGAGACCAUUGCUAUCAAGCGUUUUUUGUACGAGAUGGGUCCACGAGACCAUUGCCCUGUAAGCUUGGGAAUGGAUAAUAUGCUUUAAUUUCAAUUUAGUUUACAAAAAAAUUAAAUUAAAUGCUUAAGCAUAAAAAAUAAAUCUCAAGUGUUAGAAUGCAAUUACCGAUUAAUUAAUGGACAACGGACCUUAGAUUAAUUAAUAUAUGAUGCAUCUUUCAAUGGAAAUGUAAAUGCUUUACUAGAAUAUUAUUUUUUUUUGUAUUUGUUUUCUGGUUAUAUUUAAUUUUCAUCAAUAUUCCUAACAUAAAUUGCUACGUAUUUUGAAUCUUGAAGGAUUGAAAGAUAGAAAACAGAAAAGAAAAGGAGACAAGGCAGUUCAAAAGAAGAAGAAAAAAGUACGAUAGUGAAAGAAAGAGAAGAGAAUAAAAGUGGAGCAGUUUUUAUUAACUAUAUAAAUUUUAUAAUUACUAAUAUUAAAUUCAAAAUAUGUACAUAUUACAAAUAUGUAAACAUAUCAUAUGGUUUAAAAGAAAUGGCUUUUAUAAACAUAUAUGGCUUAACAAUAUUAAUCAACUCCUAAUAUUUUCAUUUUAUAUAUAUUAAUUAAAGUAAAUAUUAAAACCUAUUAUAUUAAUCUGUGAAGGUAUUUACUCGGAUGCAAAUUAUAUUUCUAAUUUAUUAUUAAAAAAAAUUCUAUAUACUACAACUAGCUUAAGAAAGUCAUGUUUAUCAGGAUCAUAGAGUAAAAAAAAGAAAAAAUUGAAUUGCAUAAAAGUAUCACUAGCUUAAGAAAGUUAUGUCAUCUGCAUCUUUCCUCGAGGAGAGGCAGUGAGACGUCCUCUUCCAACCAUCAUGCAUUUUUUCCAUGAGAUGGGUUCGUGGAAAAACUUUGGUUUAAUUGGGAAUGCUGUUAUUGAUUGGAAAAUUUUUAAUUAAAAUAAAUUUGAUUUUUUGAUUGGAAAAAAAUCCUUAAAUGACAUUAACACAUGACUCCACUUUAUUUUCUUAAGAAAAAAAAUAUUGUAACCAUAUAAGUUUCAAGUUUAAAGGGUUUUCAUUUGAAGGGGUGUGUUAGAGAAUAAUAUAAAUCAUAUCUUAGAAUCUAACCUAAUAGCUUAAGCUUUUGGGUUGAAUCGGUUCUUUGACAUGGUAGCGGAGCCUUGAUGACCAAGCGAUCACGAGUUCGAAUCUCAUCAUCCCCAUUUAUUAGAUAAAAAUUAAACACAAGGUAAUGUGGAUCUGUACAAGUUUCAAGCCCUUCUAUUGGGUUAAGAUGGUAUCUUGAGGUCUCACCUAACAACUUAAACUAUUGGGUUGAGAUGGUUCUUCGACAGGCUACCAGAUGGUGCGGCGCUACACCUCUGUUCUUGCUUUUCUCUGCUUGUUUUCUCUUCUUUUUUUAUUUCUCUUGUUCCCUUUGUCUCUCUCUGUAUUAUCUAUGUUUGUUCAUUUUUCGUCUAUGUCUUUUUGUAUUAUCUGUCUGUGGUUCUCCCCUUCUAUGUGGCUUUUCUUUGUUUGUCUUGAUUUCUCUGGGUUUGUAUUUGGUUGGUUCAACAACCUACGGUGAGGGGAAGUUGAAUAUUAAAGGCUCCCAUGCCUCUCUAGCAAUAAUAUUAUUUUUUAUUUAUCCCCAAAUACAUGUGUCAUUUAUCAAAAUAAUUAAUUUAAUCACCAAAAAAAAACAAAUAGAUCCAACAACCAUGCCAUUCCACAGUUAAUUUUUUUUAUAUUAUGAUUUAGUGCUAUGUUAACCGGGCAACCUUUAAUUACCAUGAUAUAAAAUAAAAAAAUAAUGGGAACAUAAAAUAAAUGUUUUUAUAUAUUUUUUAUUUUAAAAGGAAAAAUUUUACUCUAAUUUUACUCAAAAACUAUUGCAAAAGGAUAUUUAUUUUAAAUUUAUCUAUAUUUUUAUAGUUCAAAUAUUAAAAAUAAAAUAGAAUUAAUCACUAAGUUUUCUGGUUACAAAUACAUUUGUAAUUGUCUUUAUCUCCCUUGUAUUUCUAACCAUUAACGAAUUGAAUAUAUAAUAAAUACUAAUUAACAAAAGAAUAAAUUUAGCUGUAUAAUGUACUAAAGUUUAAAUAGGUGACUUUAGAAUCACCAAGAAGGCAGUGAAUCACACGGGAAGAUUGAAAGAAUAAUUAAAGUGAUUUUACUAACCGACAAGUUGACCCCAAGUCAAAAGUCUUUUGUGGAAAAACAUGAAUAAAAGGUUGACGUAAGACCAUUGCUAUCAAGCGUUUUUUCUAAGAGAUGGGUCCGUUCCACCAUAUAUAUGCUUUAAUUUCAACCACCAUAAAAAAUAAAUCUUAAUGUAGUGUGUUAGAAUGCAACCACCGAUUGAUUAAUUUUAAUGGCCGGUCAUUUAAACUUGGGUGUUUUUUCAGUAUAUAUAUAUAUAUAUAUUCCUCAAUUAUCAUAAAAAAAUAAGAAAAAACUAAUAAUAAGAUUAAAAAUAAAUGUUUUAUUUAUCGAAAUAAUUAAAAGUAAGGUUUACUGAAGGUAUAUACGGGAUUAAUAAAAAAUAACAAUAAAAUCAAUUUAUAAAAAAAUAAAUCAUAGAUUUAGUUUUCCUAAAUUUUAAAUGUAGUGUGAAUGCAUUCCGCAAGAAAAAAAACAGUGCAAGAUUAGCCUUUCAAGAAAUAGAGAAUCUUCCUCUUUGAAGGAAUUAAUUAGUGGGUUGGAAAAAUGUCGUCUUUUGCUCUAAUAUUUUCUUCACUUGGUCUAUAGUUUUACCUUACACUAAUAUUUUCAAGAUUUCAAUUGAAAAGGAGGGUCGUAAAAAAUUUAAUUUUUAUAAACAUACCCUUAAUUAACUUAAUUUGGAUGUGGAUAAUUGUUUGCAAUAUAUUUACAUCCAAUAUAAACAAUUCAUCAAUGAUCAAGUCGGCCUUGGUUAGCUAAAAUAUUGAAAAUACUUGCUCUCUCCUUUUUUCUUUUUUGGCCAUGCAGUUCCUAUAUAUAUAUAUUAGUUGAAAUUUUAUGAUGUCUAUUAAUCCUUUUAAAUUAAAGUCAAGUUAUUAAUUAUAUCCUAUAGAUUUCUAGAAAAACUAAUUCUCUCAAAUUUCGUACAUUUUACUUACAAACUAUAAAAGGUGAUUGCUACAAACUAAAAUUUCAAACAAGGAAGCUUAAAUCUCUUUUAUCUACAUUUGAAAUUUACAAAAAAUAAAAUUAUAUUGGAUUAAGCCUAAACACUAUAUAAAAUUCUUGAACAACACAUUAAAAACAAAUCAAAGAUACUUUUCAAAAUAUCAAAUCAUUAAAUCUUACAUAUCAAAUAAAUCAAGUUAUCAUAUAUCAAAUUAAAAGGAAGAAUUAAAUGAUUGUUUUAUUUUUUAUAAAAAUAUUUUAAAUAGAAAUUAUAAUGUGGAUCAUAUGGCUCAAUGCAAAUUAAGGUCUCACAUAUAGCCAGCUAUAGCAUGGGAUAGCCAGCGGUCAUUCCAUCAGGAGAUUUGUGAAUUCUGAAGCCUUUGCAAUGUGCAUGGCAUGUGUCCAAGAACCCACCAGGAACUCCAUUUUGACUGGGAAACCUUUGACGAACUGUAUUAUAUGUGAUUUGCUCCUGGUAUUAUAAAUUAGAAAGUGUAAAUUGUAAAUCCCAACCAAUAAGAUAUCUACAUAAGAGUCUGUAAAUGUUACAGAUGAUUUAAGUUUGUUUAGCAAAUUUUUCAAGAACAUGUUUGUCUUUGAUAGCUUAUUGUCAUAGCUGUGAACUCUGAAGAAAAUUGAUGUAAGAAACCAAAGUCCAUUUUGUUCUAGAUUGUAGAUGGAUAUAAGCUUGGUGAUUCCCGAUUCUUUUAUUAAUUUCAUUUUAUACAUUCCCUGUGAUGUGUUCUUAAUUUAUAUACCACACCGAUGUCUGUUAGGUUCUGAUUCAAUCGAAUUGGAGCCGAUCAAAAUUGUAAUGACUCAGUUUCUUUUAUGACCUGGAUUGGGCUUCACAUGCCCUUGAUUAUGCCCAAGAAGAAAACUAAAUAAAUAGUAGAUGAGUAGUGUACUGAAAAUAAAUAUUUUCAGCAUAUUACAUAGAUCUAAAACAAUAGCACACAGGAAUUAAAAAAGAGGAGGGAUCGCUAGGGAUACAAGAUUUGCAGCCAAAACUAUGACCUGACAUGUUCAGGAAACAGAAGGGAACUAUGACCUGACAUGUUCAGGAAACAGAAGGGAGGUGUUUCUUUUAAACACAAGGCAGAUUUUUAUGAUCUUAUUCCUUUUGGUCAUUAAAUUUUCUUAAAAGGAGCUUUGGUUUGAUUCCUACAAGCUGGGGGCAAAUCUUCAGCGUUUCGACAGUCAGCCUCAUGAGCAAAAGAAAGACAAUGUGCGACCACUCCAAGCUUCUCGUUGCUCCCCUGUUCCGAUUAGAAAUGGAGAUUCAAGAAGCUAUGCUACUGUCCUGAGACAAGAGUUCCAACGAAAUCUACUGUAAGUUCCCAAGACACUCUUUUAUAACACUUUGGUCAUUUCCAUGACUUUAUCUGCAUAUCUUGUGCAGGCCAGUUCCAUGUUUUGAGAUUUGAAUAUUAUUUUAUUUUAUUGUUUAGCACUUAGUCUAUUCGCCAGGUUGGGAAAAAUAUUCAAAUUAGUUUUGUUGGCAUGUAACCUCACCAAACAAUUUAAGACUUCACUAAACAAUUUGCGUAGACCGUAUUGACUGGGAGUCAACUAUUGUCGUAGUGCUUUUUUGCACUAUCUGUGUGCGUGAAUGGAAAGAAAAGCAGGGUGGCAACUGGGGUGAGAAAAUGAAUAGAAAACUCCAACAAGGGUGUGAAAAUGAGUUACUUCUCCAAAAAGAAUAUAUAAAUUAUUGAAUAUCUAAUGGAAACUGUCGUGAACGCGGAUGCUUGACUUGCUGUGUACCAUUUUGAUUUUUAAACACAACCAUGCCGUAAUUUCCUGGUGAUUUCCUUAUGCAUACUGGUGGUCUUCCAGAAUCUUUUUCCAAACAAUCCUCGUUAGACCCUGCUCGGGGAUUAACCUGGAGUAAGAUUUGUAUCAUGGUUUUUUAUCAUGUUCCAGGUCAACUUGGAUCAACUAAAUUUUAUGAGUAUGUCAAAACGACAUUGUUUUUUAUAUAUAAACAUAAAUAUGAAUCUUGAGCUCUUUUAUAAUCUUAAGACGAAGUAUAUUAAUAGUUGAACCAUUAUCCACCAAGAUACAAUUCAUCAUCUUUUCAUCGAUAUAUCUUUUAAUAAAAAAAUAUCGUUUAUGGAGUUUUGAUUCAAGCAACAGGUCUUCAUCGUUAAAGAAUAUCUAUGUAGUGUAUACACCUUGAGACAAGUCGAAAGAGUUAGUCAUGACAGGUUUAGUAGGAGUUUUCUUUAUAGUUUUCUCAUUUUUUAUGUUAAAUUAGGAAGAGAUCAAUAAGAAACUGAACUUGAAGAUGGACUAUAUCAUUGUUAACUUCUUGAUCCGAAUACUCCAACAUGAUGGUUAGUGCAAAUUUUUUUUUUUUUAAAAAUAGCAAAAACAAAGUAAUUAAACAAGACAGACUUAGGAUUCCACAGAUAAAUAUAUGGCCAUAUUUGUUUCCCGGAAUUCACUUUCCGGGAAGCCACUUUCCAAACUUUCCUGUGUUUGUCUGCCAUUAGAAAAGUUGGUCAACGGAAAACACUUUCCAGUCAAAGGAAAAUUUAGCUUGGUUUCCAGGAAAGUGUUUUCCUUGAAAAUUUAUGCGGAAAACACUUUCUGAAAGUUGUGAAAAAUUUAAAAAUGUCAUAUUAUUUGCUGAUUAUAUCAAAUUUGGUCCUCAAACUUUUGAUUGCUAUAUAUAUAUAUAUUUUUGUUUUGAAUAUUUAUUUUUCAAUUUCAUCUCUUAAAAUUUAAUUUUUAUAUUAACUUUGGUCCUCAUUUUUAUAAUUGUUAUUUGCUUUUCCCUUAUCAUUUUCUUAUUGAAAUUUUUUAUCUAUCAAAUUUGGUUCUCAUUCUUUUGAUUGUUACUUAUUUUAUUUGAAAUAAUUUAUGAAAUGUUAAUUAUUAUUAUUAUUUUAAUUUCUUCAUCUUUCAUUUUUAUUUUAUUUUUUAGAUUUGAUUUUUAUUAUUUUGAUUAUUAUUAUUUAUUUGAGAUAAUUUAUGAAAUUAUAUUUUUUUUCAAUUUCAUUCUCAUUCAACUUUUUAAUUUGUAAGAUUUGUUCAUCAUUAUUUUAAUAAACUUGAGAAAAUAAAAUAUUAAUAAGUUAUUUUCCAGUUCAUUUUCCAUGACAUAACCAAACACUGAAAAAUAUUUUCCAACUUAUUUUUCAUUACACUACCAAACAUCGAAAAAUAAUUCACUUUCCUGGAAUUCACUUUAAAAAAAAAACUACUUUCCAGCAAGCAAACGGGCCAGUUUCAACACUUCUCUAUUGAAACGUUCAACAAUAAGGCUAAGCUAUGAGGUCAACCCACUAAAAAGCACCCAUUAGCUGGACACAUUCAAGAAAAUUGCCGACAAGUUUCGAACUAACACAAUUUUGGGCCGAGAAUGCAAGAAGCAAACCACUGAUUCCCCCACCAGCAACCACAACAAAUUCAGUGCUCCCAUGCUAAGAUCCUCUGAUGUUGGAGAACUAGCGAAAUUUAAUACAAGGCUUCAACACUCCGAAGCCUGCUAGAGAAAUAUUAAAGCAAAAUAAGUAGUAGCAUUAAACAACAGCCAUUUCAUCAGUUUUAAUUUUAGUAUAACACAAUAAUAUGAACCAACCUUGAUUCUCAAAGGCACCCAACUAAUUCAUAGCCUUCAAAUCAAGACUUUGCAAUUCUUUAAAAGGCAGAAACAAAGAUGCGUUGAGAACCCACUCCCCUAACCCCCAAUCCCCAGCACCCCCAAGAGAGAGUUGGAUCACUCGCCUUUCGGUGGUAUCGCACACGAUCCUAGACCACUCACAACAAUUAUUGCCCAGGUAUUUCAACAGUUAUGGCUUGUGUGGGUUUUGGUUCACGAUGGAGAUGAUGGAUACAAUAAUGUAUUUCGACAACAAAACUUUCAAUGCUUGUGAAUGGCUCUCCAACUAAAGAGUUCUUUAUCGAAAAGGGAUUGCGACAAGGGGACUCUUUAUCAACAUCUCUUUUCAAUAUAGCAACUGAGGGUCUUAGUAGAAUGCUAAGAAGAGAUGUGGUUUGGGACUUAUAAAAGGUAUUUGUUUUGGUCACUUUCAAGUUUGUAGAUGAUACACUCAUCUUCAGUUCAUAUGAUUUUCCAUCUCUUCAAAACAUCAAAAUAACCAUGUGAUGUUUUGAGUUGAUUUCUAGGCUGAAGGUUAAUUUCCACAAGAGCUCAAUCACGAGAACUAUUGUUAUUUCUUCAACUGCUAGCAAUCUAAUAUGUAGUAUGGAGGGGAUGCCAUUUAAGUAUUUGGGCCUGCCUAUUUGUGCAUCUUCAUCUCAUGUGGAAAACUAUUGUUAAUAGAAUCAAUAGCAAGUUGGCACUUACCUAUUGGUGAGAGAGUGUGCUUGCUUAAAUCAAUUAUAAAUAAUCUUCCUAUCUACAACCUUUCUUUAUUUCCUAUCACAUCCAUUGUUGCUACCAAAAUUGAGAAACAUAUCAUAUCUUUCUUUGGUUCUUAGGAGGAAGGAGGGAAAAAACUAUGCAAUGUUAAAUGGGCAUCGGUGGUUCCUCCAAAAAAAAACAAAAAGGGCUGGGUAUAGACUACAUUAUUGAUAAAAAUCAUGGGUUACUAACACUUCCAUAGCAAAGAGAUAUGUAUUUUCCCUAUUAAUUUCUCAAGUUACCAUAAUGAGAGUGUGAUGUGACUCCAAUAAAUGUAGGAUAUGUUAAUUAGGUAUACAAUGUCUAUGUGAUAUGGACAUAAUCAUUUUUGGUAUGUCAAAUUCUUACUAUUUCACUCUUAAGAGUAGAAAGAUCUAGUUAGUUGGACUGCAUUCCGAUCUGCAAUCUUCCUAUAUAUCCCAAUUGUUGUAUUUGCUUUAGUGGCUAAGCAAGUUUUAGAGAAACCACUUGAAGAAGUAAGUGCGGUUUUGAAAGAGUUUCAAGAUGUUUGUAAUAGAUUUGAUCCCUAGUGUUAUAUUGACCUCUUGGUUUCAAGCAAGAAACACACUUCAAUAUCAUUAUGCGUAAUUGUAUUCCUAAUAGAGUUAUGAUGUAAGUUAUGAUGUAACGAAGACUCCCUUUUCUCAUUCUAGAAUCCGGUGAUUCCACCUCACGUUCAUCCUCCACCCGCUGAAGACUUAUACCAUUGAAAGAGAAAAGCUCCAGCUUUGGGUGUAAACUGGAUUGAUUGCAUCCCAUCUGAAUCACGUGGGCUUAAUUAAUGGAAGGAACGAACAAUUGUCGGUUUUAAAAGUUUGGUUUGUAACAAUCAUUGUAAUUUCAAAUCUCCAUACUCCUUCCAUUUAAGCAAGUAAUAAUAACAGAGAAUAUGUAUAAAUCUCAGUGUUGUUUUACAUUUUAUAUAAGAUAUUACAGUUUCAUUCAAAAAAUGAGAAAUAACAUUAAAAAUCCUCAAAUUCUACCACCUUCAAUUCUCAUUCAUCAACAACAGCAUACAUUCAAACAAGUGAUCAAUAGUGAUCAAGUGAUGAGGACUAGAGUAAGAUUCGCACCAUUGUAAGCUUGACAAGCUUCGCCUACUCUAACUGUAACGAAAGAUUCAGUGCCUAAUCUCUGGACGGAGAAGGGGACGCCCUUGUUAUGUACACGGUUGCUCUAAAUGGUUCGAUGAUGCUCAUUUUAAACAUAUCAUGUCAGGUUGUCAAUUUCGUUCUGGUUAGUGUAACGGACCCGACUGUACGACUUGAUCAAUGUUAAAAGAUCCCAAUAUAUUCUCUUAGCCUGAGGAUAAUUUUUUUUUUAAUCUAUCAAAAAUUCAGCAGAGUUUUGUUUGUAUUUAGGACAUCCCAAGUUAUCGACCACUAUCAAUUUACUCAAUCAACCCAUCAUCACAAGGUCCCAUAAAUCCGGACCUUAGAUUAAUCAUCAUAAUUCAACACCUUACCCAAUCCACACAAUAUAUAUCCUACGAGUAAGUUCAAUAUCAACAUAACCCACAUAUCAUAUUAUAAAAUUUAAAAGAAAAGGAAAUACUAACAUGCAAAGAAAGCAUUACAACAUAAUAAGUGUUCUUAACCAUAUCAAAAGGGUUAAUUACAAGAUAACUAAAAUACUACAUGCUAAGCUGAACUUUUAUAAAUACAUCAAGGUUUACACAAAAGUAUACUACAUAAACACGUUAUUUCUCUUUUGUUUAAGUUAAAUAUUUACAUAAGCUUGACAAAGUAGAGUCCUAAAUUAGUGAUCUCUCUGGAUAUUUGAUGGACCUGUUAUAUAAAUAAACAUGUCAUUAUGUUGAUAAAAGAAAUAUAUAUAAGCUCAUGUAAUGUAUCCGAAUGAAGUAUUAAUUUCUAUUGGAUCCAUAAGGAUUCUAACAGACAUCUUAUAUUUUGCUUGUAAAUCUUUUAAACCCAAUUUACACUCAUUUGCAUAUUCUUAAUUUGAAUACUCUUAUUUAUUUGCAUGAACCGGGUGACCUUGCAAAGUCUAUUCUUGUAAUCCAUUUCCCAGCAAUCAUAUCACGAAUACCAUUAGCCGAAGCAAAUCUUGUAAUUCAUCUCCCGGCAAUCAUAUCACGGAUGACAUUAGCCGAAGCUAAUCUUGAGAUUCAUCUCCCUGCACUCCUAUCACGGAUGCCAUUAGCCGAAGCUAAUCUUGCAAUCACGGAUGUCAUUAGCCGAAGCUAAUCUUGUAAUUCAUUUCUCAGCACUCCAAUCACGGAUGCCAUUAGCCGAAGUUAAUCUUGUAAUUCAUUUCCCGGCACUCCUAUCACGGAUGCCAUUAGUUGAAGCUAAUCUUAUAAAUACACUAGACUUUAUUUACAUUGAACACGAUAUUUAUUAUAAUUGCAUUCACUAGAGGAAUUUUAAAUUGUAUAAGUACAAAUAGGAGGGAAAAAUCACGCACCUGCUUCGCCUGUUUCGUGACCUCCUCUAACAGAAGAUCCAAUCCUGGUUGCUCCUCCUGAAUCACAAGGAAGUUUUUGGUUAUGAUUCCUUCAAGCUGAUAUUAUAGAGGCUCCAUAUUCAUUCAUUACUCAUAUGUUACUUUCUAUGCAUGUUCAUUUCCUUAUAAUAACAAACAUACAUAAAUCAAGUAUAUUUUCAAAGUUAGUAUCUCAAUGUGCAAGUGUUCGUAUGACUCAAUUCUUUUAUAUUCUUACAUAUAAUAUUCACGUGAAAGUCUACUAUUACUAUCUAACUUUGAACUGUUACUGUCCAACGGUUGCUGUCCAACAGUUGCUGUUUGAACAGUUGCUGUUUGAACUCUUAUCAGAUUUUUAACUAUAUCUAGAGUUCUAGAACUCCAUUUUAAGUGAGAUUGAUCUUGUUGGAAAGCUAAGACACGAGGCUACAAGUUCUCUAAAGGAAGGAGAACCCAGUUCUGCCUCCAGGAUAGUCAAAAUUGCUCAUCAACCCAUCAAUCCUACUGCUCUACAAAAUCAGUCACGACUCAGUCUUGGUUGGUAACCCAUAACUGGAGUUAUACAUCUCCAAAUUGAGCAAGAUUAAUUUCCUUGGUUAGCUAACAUCCAAAUCUACAAUUUCUAUAAAGGAAUCUGAUCCUAAUUCCCUCAUCCUCCUACCCGAAAUCUCACCAAAAGUUAGGAGACAAGUUUGUCCAGAUUCGUUUGCCCCUCCCCUUCACACAAUACUUUCAUAAACUACACACCACACACAUGAAUUAACUUAAUCUUAAUAAUAAGUACUUUUUCUCCAAUUCAUGUCUAAGAACCCUAACCUAUGAUUCAAUAUCAAGGCAUCAAUUCAUUAUCGAUUUGAAAUGAAUUUUUUUAAUAUCAUGUUUAGAACACCUUACCCAGUACAAAUUAAGAUUUUGAUCUCCAACCAGUUGAAGAUUUUCAACUCCCUCCUUUCUUUUCUUCUUGUUUAAUUUCUUGGUAAUCCCUUGCUCUCAAGUGUUUAUCCCAUCUAUAAACCCUUAAUCUUGGAUGGGUUCUCGAAAUUUUAGUGUUUCUCUCUUGAUUUCGCAAGAAUGGGUAUAAAACUCCUUAUUUUCUCUCAUUAUCGUUCCUGCAGAUUUUUGGUGAGGAGAGAGUAUUUAUACUCUAUAGUUUCCCUUAUUUGUAUUUAGGCCCCAUUUCCUUUAAAUUUCUGAAUUCUUGUCUUUUAUUUAACCAUACGCAUGAAUUUCUUGACUUUUAUUUCUCAUAUAGUUAGUUUUCAAUUUAAGCAACCUUUAUUUUUUUAUUUUUUUUCUGAGGUUUACAGUUAGUGUUUCAUUAUUUAAUUGAAAUGGUAUGUUUUGGUUUCGGAGCAUUUCGGCGUGCUAUUUCAGGAUUAUACUGUUCAUACUAUUCAUAUAUAUAUAUAUAUAUAUACAUACUCAAUAAACAUAAUUUUGAUUCAAAUUUAAAGAUAAACUAACUUGAAAUUAUGCAAUUAAAAUUUCAAACACAAGUAAAAAAAGUGAGAGUUGAACCAAUAUGACCCGAUCGACUAGAUAGGCCCAAAGACUACCUGAAUGACUGGUAAGAAUAGAGUUUGACUCAAAAAAAUUUAAGAUGACAUAGUUUUUUAAAAAAUAUUGAGAUGACAACAUAUUAGAUCGACCGGGUUCAACUCAGGUUAACCUUUUAAAUCCGUAAUCCAGGUCAUGAGACUAUAAUAACUCUAAAUAAAACAAAUCAAAACAAAUUAUAAAGCUCAAUUCUUAAUAAACCUAUUAUUUAAUAGUUAAAUUGAAAAAAAAUAAUCUAAAAAAAGGACACAAAAAAAAUGACAUUUCAAAACAAAAUUAUGAAAAUGUCACUAGCAGUCUCGCAAGGCCUUUCUAAACUCCAAUUGCUCUAUAAUUUUAACCUGAGAUAUAACAAUAUGUUAGGAAAAUCUUCAUAAGAUUUCAGUCUGAUCCACCAAUCGAAUUGAAAGAUAUGAUUGAUAUCGUAAAACUAGCUAAUAUUGUUUUAGAAAAAAAAAACAUUAUUUGGCCGGAAUGGAACCGGAACAUUCGAGCCAGAAUUUUGGCGGAAUUUAUGGAACGGGCUAAGACUCUGAGCAAGAUGAAAUUUGUUUCAGUUUGUUUUAUUUUUUAAAUUGGAAAGAGAUAUACCAGUCAUUUUGAAUGGAACAUAACAAAAUUGACAACCUUGUAUCAUGGUUGAUUAGAGUUUUUUUUUUUUUGUCUUUUUUUUCAAAAAUUUUUCCAACAUUGAGUUGAUUGGUAAUCGAGCUUCAUAAUUUAUAUGUUAACAUGCCAAAUUCAUGACCUGAGUCAUGAGACUAUAAUAACCUCAUAAAAGUAUAUUGAACAAAUUACAAAGCAUAAUUCUCAACCACCAGUGUUUAAAAAUGAAAUUGAAAAAAUAACAUAAAAAAUGACUCAAGUCAACUCAAGAACCUGCCAAAUCCGUGAUCCAGGUCACAAGACCUAGAUAACCUCAUAGAAAGCAAACUGAAAAAAUAAUUCGGGUCAACCUAGGUUACCCUGCCAAACACGCAACUCAGGUCAUAAAACUAGGAUAAUGCUAUAUAAAGCAAAUAGCAACAAAUUUUAAAGCAUAAAUCUCAAUCAACUUAUUUUAAAGCAUAAAUCCCAAUCAACUUAUUACAAUUCACUCGCAUUGUUCACUUUAGUGAACAGUGCUACAGUGGAGCCAUGCUCCACUGUUGAGGUUUCUCCCAGACGAGAAGCAAUAAAACGUUUAAGGAAAUAAAUGUUGCUUCUCCAAAACCUGCGGUGCCAUAUGGGUCCUACGUGCUGAAAGCACUUUUAUUUUCUUAACCAAACGUUUAUUAGCGUGGCUGCGGGUGAACCUCACCCGCAACCACGUUACCAAACGAGCACUUAGUCUCAAAGAAGAAACAAUUACUUGGUUCUAUAUCCUUAGCACGUCAAACAUGAGGGUAUGAACAGUAACCAUUGUGUCCACUAUAAAAUAUAAGGGGGUGAACAGUGCGGCUACAAAGUAUUCACCCCACACACUUUAUAUUAUAAGUAACUAGUUUUUGUAUUGGCACUCCGCGGCGGGGUGGUUAUUUUUUUAAGUAAAAAAAUAAUAAUAAGCAGGCUCUUACAAUGCACUUUUUAAUAUAAUUUUUUUUCAAUCACAAAUCAAAAUGCCUAUACAUAUAUUUAGUAAUUAGAUCGAUAUUUGAUAAAUAGGUAACUAAGAUUAAGAUAUUUGAUAUCACGACAUGAAUCAUGUGCUUAGUUGUGUUUAACAAUUAUGUUUCCUAGAGUUUUUUUUUAUGAACCAACCAUAUAUUCCGAUAAAAGGUAACAAAAAAUUCAUACCAAUAUUGAAUGAAGAAACUAAAAAAAAAAACCAAUAAAAAAAAGACUGUAUAAAUACACUAAUUUAUUGACCAUAUUGACAAAACAAGUCAAAACUGUAUAAAUACACUAAUUUAUUGACCAUAAGUAAAUGAUUGAGAUAAUAAUACGAAAAGAAAAACUUUUUACCGGACAAUGAUCAAUCCUGGUGAUGUCCAAAGUGUAAAUCAAACAUUUUAUAUCUUGCCAUGAGAAACAAAUAUAUCACAACUUGUUUUUAUUGUAUUCUAUUAUGACUUGUUUUGUGCCUUACAUUAUUUAAUAUAUUAAAAUAAAUUUAAUAAAUUAUACUGAAGCAAGAUCUAAUAUUAGAAAGUUAACGGAAAUAAUAAAUAUAUUUUUAAAUAUAUUUACAGUUCGGUCCCUUAAUUAACUUUUUGUUUGUAAAAUGUGGAGCUGUCAGCAAUAUUUCCUUAGUUUGUGUCGCUAACUGUGAUUAAAGGAUCAAUUAAUUAUUUAUUUAAAUCAACCAGAGGGAUUAAUCUGUUUGUUUAACAAAAAUACAGACACUAAUUAAAUAGAAUUUAACUCAAAUUUUAAUAAUCAAUAUUUUUAGAUGGAAUCUUGGUAGAAAAUUUAAUCAUCAUAUCCUGGGUAUUUUGGAAACAAAAUUGGAAACUUUGAAUGAUUUCACUAUUACUGCUAUAUGGGGUCGUCAUCCUAGGGCUUGGUAUGCAGUUCCCUCAUUAGGCCUUUCGGGGGGAUAUUAUGUAUAUGGAAUCCGAAUCUUUUUUGUGUCUCUAGCUGUUCUGUUGCUAUGAAUGGCUGUAUUUUGCAUAUUGAAGGCACCUUCACUCGGUCCAAUCUAGAUUGCCUAGUCUCUUUUGUAUAUGCUCCGAAUGUUGGGAACCUGAAGAAUGAGCUGUGGACUUAUCUUGUUACAUUCAGGGAUAGUGUUAGCAUGUCGUGGUGUCUUGCAGGUGAUUUUAAUGAAACCUUAUUCCCAUCAGAUAGGAAAGGCGGCUCACAAAUAACAUCUUCCAUGACAAGAUUUCAAAAUUGCAUUGAUGGUUGUAAUCUUAUGGAGCUCCCCUUAAAUGGGAGAAAAUUUACAUGGUCUCGAGGUAAUGCGGCGAGCCGUAUUGAUAGAAUAUUUUUAUUGGGGGAUUGGUUGCAGGCUUUCCCGUCCUCUACUUUAUUCGGUCUCUCAAAAUAUUCAUCUGAUCAUAGGCCUCUGCAUCUGUUGCUAGACUCUACAAAUUGGGGCCCGAAACCUUUUCGCUUCAUGAAUUGCUGGUGGCUUGCGUCUGAUUUCAGGAUUAUGAUUCAGAGCUUUUGGAGAUCACUCACGGUUUCAAAAUCUGGCAUAAGGAAAAUGGUCCCAGCUCUAAAGAUGUUGAAAGAGAGAUGUCGGCAGUGGAGUAAAGCUACUGUGGGAAACAUGAAUAACAGAAUUGAAGAACUGGAACUUGAAGCUGACUCAAUGGAUCAUCAAAAUGAGUGCAGGGUUUUGACUGCUGAUGAACUGAUUAGAAGUAAUUCCAUUGCCUCCCGGCUCAAAAUCCUGUAUAGAGCUCAAGAGUCUGCCUAGCAUUAGAAGUCAAGAAUUCAGUGGUGUAAGCUUGGAGAUAAAAAUACCCGAUUCUUUCAUUUAGCUGCAACAACAAGACAGAAAAAGAAUCAGCUUGCAUGCCUAGAGGUUGAUGGACAGAUCCUAUCUAAACCAAGCGAUGUGAAUCUAGCUGUCUUUCACUUUUUCCGCAACCUAUACUCCCAUCAGAACAGACCUAGAGCUUCAUGUUCAAACCUGGAAUUCUCAAGGCUGAAGCAUUCAUCCUCGGCUGCUCUUGAAUUGCCAUUUUCUGCAGAAGAGAUUACAGCAGCUGUGUGGGAUUGUGAUGGAAAUAAAGCUCCAGGUCCUGAUGGUAUUAACUUCCUUUUCAUCAAGAAAGCAUGGAACAUUAUAGGUGAGGACAUUAUCCAGAUGGUUGAUGAAUUCUAUCGGACUAAUCUCCUUCCUGCAGGUAUCAAUAGCACCUUUGUUACUCUUAUUCCGAAGAUUAAAGGUGCUAACAAGCUAUCAGAUUUCAGACCUAUUAGUUUGGUGGGCAGCCUAUACAAGAUCUUCUCAAAGAUUCUAGCAACUAGGUUGAAACAUGUUAUGCCAGAGGUCAUCUCUCAUCAUCAAAAUGCUUUCAUCAAAGGGAGGCAAAUUUUAGACAGCGUCUUGAUUGCAAAUGAGGUUCUUUCUUUCAUCAAGAAGAAAAAGGGUAAAGCUUAUCUUUUCAAAUUAGAUUUUCAUAAAGCCUUUGAUUCGGUGUUAUGGGAAUAUAUUAAUGAAAUCAUGGCUAGUAUGGGCUUUGACCUGGUUUAUGCAAUGCAUAUCAACGGCAAAAAUGUCUGUGCUUGUUAAUGGGUCUCCCACGGAGGAAUUCUGCUUAGCAAAAGGCCUACGCCAAGGAGACCCUCUCUCUCCGUUUCUCUUCAACAUUGCAGUCCAGGGCUUGAGUUGUAUGUUGCAGCGUGGCUGUGAUUUGGGUUUGACUUCGGGUAUAAACAUCGGCAAUACAGGGCUUGUCAUAUCUCACUUACAGUUUGCGGACGACACCCUUAUGUUCAGUUCAGACUCUUUACAUAGCAUGCAGAACAUUAAACGUAUCCUAUUAUGCUUUGAACUUGUCUCGGGGCUGAAGGUCAAUUUUUAUAAAAGCAGCAUUGUGGGUGUGGGUGUAGCAGCUCAUACAUGUAACUUCACGGCUCAGCUUCUCAGAUGCAAGCAGGAUCAGCUGCCUCUCAUGUAUCUUGGGCUCCCCAUUGGUGGAAACUUGGGCAGAGCUACAAUGUGGAAUCCUAUUUUGCGCAAUAUCAGUUGCCGAUUGGCUUCGUGGAAAGGCAGGUUCUUAUAUAUUGGGGGCUGUUUGUGCUUGAUUAAAUCUGUGCUCAGUAAUCUCCCCAUCUACUACCUAUCUAUGUUCCCCAUGCCUGUUACGGUAGCCUCCAAAAUUGAUCAGAAACUUCGAUCCUUCCUCUGGUCAGGAAAUGAGGAAAGGCACAAAAUAUGCAAUGUCAGCUGGGCCACUGUUACUCUUCCAAAACAUGCGGGGGGUCUUGGGAUUGGUUCCUUAAGGGACAAAAACACAGCUCUGCUAUUUAAAUGGUUAUGGAGGUUUGGGUUAGAGGAAUCAAGUAUGUGGAAGGAUGUGAUCAAAAGCAUCCACAACACCAAUUGCUCUAAACUGCUGCUGCAAGCUCCUAUUCCAGGAGCUGCAACUACAUGGUCCCGGAUUGUUAAUCAUUGUGUGAGAAAUAAUAAGCUGCAGGAUAUUGUGAAUGAGCAAUCUCUGGUUCUUAUCGGAAAUGGCAAGAAGACUAUGUUUUGGCUUGAUUGCUGGCUUAAUAACCACUGUUUAGCAGAGCACUUCCCUACUCUUUUCCAAUUAUCCAAUGACAAAGCUGCCAGCAUUGCUAAGAUGGGAAUAUGGGAAGGGUAUAAGUGGAUUUGGGUUUUUUCCUGGAUACGUCCACUACGGGGGCGAAACAUUGGCUUGCUCGAUCAACUAUAUGCAAUCCUAUCGACAGUAUUGGUAAGCCAUGGCCAUCUUCUUGGUAUGUUCUCUGUUCCAGUUGGUAUUUUAGACUCUAAUAUUGCUGAGUUAAGGGCUAUUGUCAAAGCCAUUGAACUAUCAGCAUCUAAUUGUCUCCUCCACCAUCAACACCUCAUCAUAGAAUCUGACUCUGUCAAUGUUAUUAGCUAGAUGAAUAAGCCUCACAGCCGUCCCUGGAAGCAUCAUAAUUUGUUCUCCUUUGUUAAUAGACUGAAACCAUAUUUUGGUUCAAUCACCUUCUCCCAUAUCUUUCAUGAAAGUAAUUGCAUGACAGAUUGCAUGGCUAAACAAGGAGUGCGGAGAUCAAGUGAAUUUGUUGCCUGGCUUUGACUCCACCAUUUUUCUGUGGCCUUGCUCUUGUGUCUUCUGCCAUUAUGUCUUUGAGUUAUUUCUGUUAUGUUUUGUAGAGGAAUGUUUAGCUUUGAGCUCAUUCGGAUGGAUAUUCUAUGGUUUUCUUUGCUUUUGUUUAUCUUAGUCUGCGCUUUAUCCUAUAUAUGGCUUUUUGCCAUAGUAAGAUAAUGUGUAGCUUCUGUACUACUCCCGCCAGACUUUGGCGUUUAAUAAUAUACGCAUCUUUCAAAAAAAAUCCAUGUGAAUCGCACGACUUGUCCAUAUCUUUCUUAUUGAUUACAAAUAGCAUUGAGAAUUAAAGAAUAUUAUCUUAAUAAGUUCCAAUUUAUUCUACAAAAACUAUAUAUAAAGAUGUAUACAAAUUAGUUAUUUAUUGUUUGUAAGUAUUAUUGUAUUGCAAAGACAAAAAUAAGAUGCAACUUAUGGCGUGGUCGUCCAACCUGGUUCAGGUUUUGAUCCUGUUAAAAAUCUAUUUUGUUGAAUUGUUAUCUACUUGUGAGUUAUUGGGUUAACUAGAUCAAUUUUUUAAACAAAACAAUAUCAUUUAAAAAAAAAAAAUUGGUUCUGACUUAGAAAUAUAAUAUUAGAAACUUAAAUCUUAUUAUUAUAAAAGACUCAAUGGUAAAUUUAGUUUUGAAAUAGAUUUUUGUAAAAUCAAAUAUCAACUAAGCACCUGGAAAUUUAUUUGAAAUUACAAUAACCUUGUAGAAAACAAACAUAAAUAGAAUUAUUAAAUUCAAUGGAGUCCAUGACCUGAAUUACGGGUUCAACGGGUUAAGCCACGAAGCUCUGAUCGAUUUAAAAUAUUGUCGUCUUAAUAUAAAAAAAAAAUACAUCUUAAAAAAAAUAAAUUAAGCUAGACUACGUUUUUACCUAUUAUCUGGGUUGUUUUUAGGUUCAUCAUUUCGACUGAGUUAUAUUAGGACAACUACUACAUAAUUUAAUUUAAAAUUAAAGCUAAACAAGAAAUUAGGUAAAGAGAUUUUAAGAUUGAUUUGUUGGAUUGGAUUUAAUAACAAUACAAAAAAUCUAAAUAUUUCUUUUUUAUUAAAAAAAAAUUCAAUCCAACUCUCAUCGUAACGCAGUAUAGUAAGAUAAAUAGAUAUAAAUAUUUUGAUGGAUACUCGGGAUAAAAGAUUGUUUGAGGACAUUUUGCUAAUUUCUUUUGUUAUCUAAUCAAUCAAGCUCAUAGUGAAUAAGUAUAUUAAUAUAUACAAUUAAAUUAAAUAACAUAUAAGAGAAAAAUGGUCGCAAGCUAAAGCUAAAGUGAUGCGACGUUGAGCCACUAGUCGAUAGUUGUAACGUCAGUUUGUUGGUUCGUCGUUCGUUUCUCGGGCGAGUUUGGUUGUGCUAAACACAAUGAACCAAUAGAGUGCUUUGCUUUCUUACUUGGAGAUUCUGGAGCCUUGGAUUUUUUGAUAUUUAGGUUAUCUGUUUCUAGAAAAGAAAGAAAGAAAUAUUUAUAUUAUCAAUGCAAUGCAAUGAAACGACUAAAUAACAUUUAAUUAUUAUCAUAGCUUUGUCCUCGUACCUAAGGAAGUAUACUACGUCUUUUUCUCCAUUGUUUGAGUUUGAAAUUAUAUCUGUGAACCCAUUAAUUUAUCUAGAAAAAACAUUUAUUGGGUAAUUGGAUCAAUCAUUGAGGUCGUCAUAUCAUAUAUAAACCAAUUAUUUUAAUUAAAACAAUAUCAUUUUAUUUAAAAUUAAAUUUAUAAUACUAACUGAAUCCCUAAAAACACAAUUAGACCAAUCAAGUUUUAGCAAGUUAAUUUUUUUUUUUAAUUUUUUCAUAUUUAACUUGAAAUUCAAUCCAAAUUAAAUUAUAAAUUAUGGGUUUCUUAAAUUAACACAUGUUGGGUCAGGUCUACCAAUUAUGAUUGGAAUCCAGGGUUAAUAUCUAGAAGAAUUUAUUAAAUUUCUGUAUAAUUAGUCAAUCGAUGAGGGAAUUUAGUUUUGAUUGAUGGAGAAAUUAAUUUAAAGAUACCAUGCAAGAUAUAUAUAUAUAUAUAAACAUUUAAAGGGAAACGGACCCACCAUCAAUUAUUGUUAUUCGUUUAAUUAUAAAUAGAAUGAAGAGAAUGAUGCUCGCUGCACUUUUAUCAGCGACUGAUAAACCCCAGAAGGAGAACACUCUACAGAAUUAUUCCAUACUUUUUCGUAAAUUAUAAAUUAAAAAGAAAUUGGUUAUAACAUGGUUAACGAACACAGCACAAAAAUAAACAGGUGUAUUUCUUACAUAAAUUCUUAUUGUUUUGUUUUUCCAUUGGUUUCAUGAAAUUCUCUCAACAAUUGAACAAAAAACACUACAUCAUAGCUCACAAACAUACAUUUUAUAAGUCAAUUAAACCUCUUGUUUUUCUUAUGUGUCUUUUUAUUGUAAUCUCUGCAAGGUGACACCUGACAGAGCAAUCUGUUGAUAGGUCCAAUUCUGCUUUAUGUUGUGUUUCUUGCUGAGCAAAUAAAGGUCAUGGGUUUUCUUUCUUUCUUUUUCCCUUAUAAAAAUGGUCAUGCGGCCACAGACAGUUGCGAAAAAAAAGAAGCACUUAAUUAUCACUUAUUUGGUAAGUAGCGUACUUAUCAGAUGACCCUCAACCAUCAGUACCCAUUAUAAAUUAAUGUCGACAAGAGUAAAAUUAGGAGUUACCGUGACUUUCCAACAUCUAUCAUUAUAAAUUAAGUAUCAACAACGAUUAAGACUAAUUGUUUUACCAAGAUUCUCAACCAUUGUAAAAAUAGAUUUGAAAAAAAAAUCAUAGCAAAAAUUCAAAAAAAUAAAAAUUGCAUUGCUUUCCAUAUAUAUUUUAGUUUUUCUUAUAAUAAUAAUAAUAAUUAUAGUCUCUCGUGUCUCACAACUGUAUGUGUUUUUUCUUGAAUAAGCGCUAAUGUUCUUUGAGGGGUCCAAGCACCAUAUACUGAAAGAAAGAACUAGUUCAAAUUGAAGCACCAUGAGUUUCUCUACGGCUUGGUUCACCACCUGCUGGUGCGGCAAGUUAUGAACUAGCUGGCUAGUUUUUUGCUUCCUUGGUUUUAGAAGCACCAUGUGUUCAAAGAAUAGUCAACAAAGAAAAAGAAAAAGAAAAAGAGAAGGGCAAAAGGUUAAUUAAAAUCAGCAGGACUGCCAUGAGGCAACCUCAAGUAGUGAACUUGAAGGAAUAAAAAGUGCUGGGAAGUAAUUUUUGCUGAAACUUCUUGUGUAACAUCUUCUUUUGAUGAUGACCUCUUGGAUGGCUGCAUGAAGCUUGUUCCGUUUUAAAUUUCAAGGUUAAUCUAUUUCUAUGAGCAUUGGUGUUUCAAUUUCAACCUUAAGUUGCAACUGAACUUAAAUGAAUAGUGUUGGAUUUGGGCCUUCUAUUUGCUUUAACUUCUACAGGAUUGAAAUGAUAGUGAUCUUAAAGUACAAAAGCAGCAGACAAAAAUCAAUUAGCCACAAUAUAUAGUGUAUGGUUUCCUAGUUUCUCAGUAUAAAGUUGAAUGUUUUGGUGAUAUCUCUACAUCCAAAAUCAUAUAGACAGCUACUGCUGGCACUUGCAGUGGUCAAUGAAUACUAUAGAGUACAUAUUGCAGUUUGAGAUAAGGUUAACUCGUUGCAUUUUCAUAUAUUGAAAGGAUUUCUCUUCUUUUCUUUGUCAGUUACAGAACAUGCAUAGAAGUGUUCUUAUUCAGAGUAAAUGCUAUUGUAAUGUUUUCACGGACUCCCUUGCUUUGCAACUAAGUCACUAAUUAUCUUGGAACAUAGCCAUAAAUAAAAGGUUCUUCCAGUUCAAGAAAAUUAACCAUGAAGCUAGUAGCUAGAAUUUUUAGACAGAAUGGUGGCCAAGUAAACUCCUAUACUCUGUACCUCUGGAAUAAUGCAGGGAAAGGAUGUCUAUGUAUUUUGAUGUCUUAUAUUACUUGACCAACUCUUGCUUAUCUCAUUAUUUGUUUUUACUUUUUGCUAAUGAUUCCACACAUUUUUGAUAUUGGUGUGGUUUAUGACUUCAGGGUUCUUACUCGCUACUGCAACUUCUCUAUACUUGCUUGGUCAUUAAAUAUGAAACGUGAUGAUUUGCAUAUGCAGAAUGGAGACAUUAAAGAGGCAUCUUCUGUUUUCUAGUUAGGAGGGAUUACCAGAACUCAAGAAAUUUGUCGUACAUUUUGAGGAAAAGAUUUAUACCACCGCUACCAAUCAGGUAUUUGCCUAAUGCGAGGUUCAAUAAUUACGAUAUUAUCUAGACAUGAAUAUACACACGCAUUUAUGCUUGUACAAAUGUGUGUGUAGUGUGCCUACAUUUCCACACCUUUCAUUCUGUAUGCAAGGCUGAUUAAGAGUUCGCAUCUUUUUGUUAAUUCUCUUGACAAGUGUUUUAUUUAGAGUGACCAAGUUCAAGUACAUGGGAAGUGUGCAAAAAGCAAAUAGCGAAUCAAUACAUAAAUAAGUAAAUAAAAAGAGAGGAAACAGAAGUCUAUCCUCACAAAAGAUGAAAUGAUAGAGCAUAUAUCCAUUUUCCUCCUCUUGUAACAUGGAUUGCUCUGAGAUCUAAUGUUUUGUUAUUAAUAUCUUAUUUUAGUCUGAUUAUCUGCAUAAAAUAUCUCUGGUGAUGCUUUUGAUGAAGAUCAGGUCUCAAAAUGCCAUGCCCACUGCCCCCAUGGAUCCAGCAGGUAAUAAUGCAUUCGAGCAUCGAAUUUCUAAACAUCUUACCUUUUGUUUUUCUUCUCGCAUUGUUAUCAAACUUUUUUACAUUUUAUUGUUCCAUAUUGCUAUGUAUAUCGCCUUGCUGGCAAAAUGUCAUGAUCACCUCCACAAUACUAAUUCUGUAAUGCGUGUGAAGUGUUUCAUCCUUAACUUGUUAAUGAACGAGGACUAUGAUGCAUGGCUAUUUUAUAUUUUAUGAUUGAGAUGGUAGAUUUUAAAGAUUUUCCUUUUUAGGAGAUAAGACGUCACUUUCUUGCUUUUCUUCCGAGAGUAUUCGAUCCUUUUUUCGUACAAAAUAAUGAUGCCAUGCAUUGAAUUCCCAAACAUAUUACCUUAUGUUUUGUUUGGUCGCAUUGUUAUCAAACUCUUUUACAUUUUAUUGCGGCAUAUUGCUAUGUGUAUGGCAUGCUUUAAUCAAAAAUUUGAUUAAUUGAUGAAUGUUAGGCAAGAAAAUUACAGAAUAUUUUUGUUUUUUGCCUCCUCCUUUUCUUUCCCCCACUCCGAAAAUUGUCAUAUUAUUUUUGUUUUCAACCGCCUCUUCUUCCCCCAACCCUGAAAAUUGUUUAUAUUUGCUUUGGAAGCAUGGCAAACUUCACUGCCUCUCAGCUUAAGGAGAUUGCAGCAGGUCUCGAAGCUUCUGGGCAUCAAUUUAUCCGGGUAGUUAGAAGAAACAAAAAGAGUCAAGAAGACAAGGAAGAUUGUUUACCCGAAGGAUUUGAGGAAAGAAUGGAAGGCAAAAGGAUGGAUACUCCAAGUUUUGAUUCUUGAUUAUAAAGCAAUAGGUGCAUUUGUGACUCAUUGAGGAUGGAACUCAACUCUUGAAGGCAUAAGGCCAAUAUUUGCUGAGCAAUUCUAUAAUGAAAAGUUGGUGACUGAUGUUUUAAAAGUUGGUGCUGUCGUUGAAUAUAUUAUAGCUGUCAAGGUUCUUGAGUUUUCCCAAAUGUGAUGAUAUGAUCUCAAAACCUGCAAGAGAGUUGUUUGUAAGAGUAAGUCAUGAUGAGCUCACGAUAUGCAAAACAGAUAGAAACAAAAGAUAAUUAGAAUUGAUGAGAUGCUGUUGUUCAAUUGAUGUAUGAUUCUCAAAUUAUACAUACAUAUAUAUAUAUAUAUAUAUAUAUAUAUAUAUAUAUAUAUAUAUAUAUAUAUAUAUAUAUAAUUGAUAUUUAUAAAAGCAUUAACUGUAGCUGAUAUAGUUUUAGAGGAAUAUUUGGUACUUUGUUUCCCAAAAAAAAAAAUAGAUUUUUCUGCGAAGUAGGAAAAAAAAAAAAAAAAACUGUUCAAAACUUAUUCAAGAAAUUAUACAGUUAGCGAGUCACAGAUGAUGAAUCUUAAAAAAAAUUGGCAAUAAUAACAGUACUCUAUUACUAUUAAUUAACUUAAAUAUUCAAAACUUAAAAAUAUUUUUUAAAUUUAUCCAUGCCAAUUUAUCUUAAGAGAGUCGCAAUCUGUGACUAGUUAAAUUAUAUUAUUUCUUUAAAUAAAUUUUGCAUUGUGUUAUUUUUUGUUCUAGGUGCUAUUUUGCAAAAAAAGAAAAGAAAAGAAAGAUUAACGUUUCAGUUAUUCAUUGUUCUUGGAUUUGUAGGUAUAACAACUGAAGAUAGCAAUCAAAAGCGAUGGUGACAUGGUAGAGCUUUGAGUUAUUGCUGUGUUCUAAUGAUGAAGAUGUAGGAAAACGAUCUCCCUUCUGCUGUCUGGAGCUGGGCUUCCUCUCCCUGUAAGAACAAGCAACAUCUUAUCUGCGUUGUUGUUAGUGGCCACUUCAUCGACCCAUUAGUGGGUGGAUUUUAAGCUUAAAAAGGAUUUUUUUUAAAAAAAAAAUAAAGGAAGAAAGAAAGGAGAGGGGGGGCAUCAUCACGUGAAAAGCAAGGAGGUUGCCACCCAUUAUAGAGUGUGGGGCACUCUUGCAUCUAAGAAUAUAUGAUCCUGAGGUUGUUCUGGUGAUGGGUAUUGGCCAUUACAUAAAGCUUCGACAAGCCCUUUUAGCUGCCUGUUAUUAGAAUUUGUAUAAUGAGCAUUCAAACUUAAACUUCUUUAAAUGGGAUGAAAACGAGUGAAAAUCAAGAAGUUGGAGGUGUUCAUCUCUAAUGCAUAGCUGAAGAUCCUUUGUAAGAAAAUACAGCUAAAGACAAAGUGUGUGUGUGUAACAGAGAAAUUGUCGAUAAUAGCAAUCAUGUUCUUUGUCUCUUGUGUCAUAUCUUCCAAAAAUCUUAAAGUAAUUGAUGAAAAAGUGGAUAUACCACUUUGUCUUCUUUAUAGCACUACUGGCCAAUAUGAGUUAAAAGCAUUAAAAGGUCGUGAACGCGGAUGCUUGACGAGCGAGUGUUUACUUGUUAAUUUUUUUAGAAGGAAUCUGGAAAAGAAUAAAGUCAUCUAUUUCACUUUGGGACAACAUUCCUCACCUCUCCCCGCCCGAGCUCUCUCCCUCCCUCCCUCCCUCCCUCGCUCGCUCCCUCUUCCGCCUCUCGGAAACCGCCGCAUCCAUUAAGGCUUCAGAUUUCUGCCAGGUGCUUCCUUUUCUAUCAUGCUUUUGUUUUUAAAAUUUAUGGGUGUUUUCAUUUAUUUUAUUGUAAUUAUUAUUCAGAGACAGAAAUCCAUUUUAAUAAGUAAAUUAAAAAAAAACAAAUAAUCGAUCCGAUGAAAUCUCUGCUAGUGAACGCAAUUCGAUUUUAAUAAGUAAAUUAAAAAAGUAUAUAAUCGGAUCCGAUGAAAUCGCUGCUCGUGAACGCAAUUCAAAGAAACGCACAAUCAGCCGAUUCUAAUAUUUUCUUUUGCAACCCCACCCUAAUUUACAUGAUAUUAUUCGAUUUUUCUCACAGUUAUUGUUGUAAUAAUCAAGCCCUGAAUUCUUGAACCCAAAUUUAUCUUAUUUUAUUUUAUUUUUUAGUUUUAUUUUUAAGUGGAGAAUAGAAAUCAAUUCAAAUCUUUUAGGCUCGAUCGAUAAUUUGUUAAUUAGUUUAUGCAGCAGCUGGAGUGGAAGGGAUAUUACUGCCGGAAUGGCCGAAAAAUGAGCUGUUUGGUUGAUUCUUCUUUUUUGGAAUUUACUGAAUUCUUCAAAAUUAUUGUGUUUUUAACAACAAUACGAUAUCCUUGGGUUUCAUGCUCGCUCACAAAUGGAAAAAAGAAAGAAAGAAAAGAACUUUAAAUUUUAUAAUUUGGUCAUGUUAAUGCUCGUCGUUUUCUUCUUCAUUUUCCUAGCUUAAAACAUCCUAGACAAUCUCUUUGGGAUGGGUUAUUGUUUUUGGCCUCUUCAUCUUCUAUUUGUGCUGUGGUAUUUAGUCUGCUGAUAUUCUUUGGGGAUUAAAAUGCCUCGUUUUAUGACUUUGUUUUGUUUUCUUCUUCUUUCUUUAUUCUUUUGGGGAUGUGGUAUUCUCCUCUUUCUAUUUACACUCUUUGCUCCCUACAACAUUUAUUCUUUCAGAAAAGUAAAUACAUACAUAAAUAACAACAGGAGAGGAGGGGGAGGGGGAGGGGGUUUGACGGUAUGUAUUUGGAUGCAUGAUAUCUAAAUUGGUAAGCACCUGAAAAAGGUCCUGAAUCUAAAUUGGUAAGAUGUGAUAUACUGAUAUCUAGAGAGAUAACUUAAUCUAUCUAUUGAAGUAAAGCAUUUAAAUGCGUAUACAAUGUUUUUGGAUCAUUAAAUAUCUAUUUGAUCAGAAUCUGUGAACCUAAAGCCACAAUGAAUACAAAUGCAAGUUUGUCAUUGUAAACAUUGCAUCGAUGAUGCAUCACAGGUGUUGCUAGAAAACAUCAAGUUAAAAUUGAAGCACCAUGAGUUUCUCUAUGGCUUGGUUUACCAACACUCACCAUCAGUUGGUGCGGCAAGUUAUGAACUAGCUGGCUAGUUUUUCGCUUCCUUGGUUUUAGAAGCACCAUGAAGAUUCAGGCCCAAAUCUUGCUUACAAUACUCAAAUACCCAAGAUCCUAGCACCUUGCCCUGAAUGGUCGUGUAUAUUUGUUAUGGCUGUUCAGAUUUUAUGCAUCCAUGUUUGGUAGAAUUCUUUAAUAAAGUACAUGCUAUUAGAUGGAAGUUCUCUUUAAAUCUAUUCAAGUCUGAAUAAACUGAUAUUCCAAUUUUCAUGACUUUGAUUAGGCGGAGAACUUGUGAUGGACACAGGUGAUUGGAGAACUCAAUUGCAGCCUGGCUCACGGCAAAGAAUAGUCAACAGAAUGUAAGUAUCUGUUUGCUAAUAUGUACAAGUGCUGCAAAAUAGUAAAUCUUGUAUUUAAAUGAAAGAAAAAGAGAAGGGCAAAAGGUUAAUUAAAAUCAGCAGGACUGCCAUGAGGCAACCUCAAGUAUCAUACACUGCUGUUUUUGUCUUUUUCAUUUUUCACGUGUUUCUCACAAGAAGUGAACUUGAGGGAAUAAAAAGUGCUGGGAAGGAAUUUUGGUGGAACUUCUUGUGUAACAUCUUCUUUCAAUGAUGACCUCUUGGAUGGCUGCAUGAAGCUUGUUCCGCUUUAAAUUUCAAGGUUAAUCUAUUGCUAUGAACAUUGGUGUUUCAAUUUCAACCUUGAGUUGCAACUGAACUUAAAUGAAUAGUGUUGGAUUUGGGCCUUCCAUUUGUUUUAACUUCUACAUGGUUGAAAUGAUAGUGAUCUUAAAAUAGAAAAGCAGUUGAAUGUUGAAUGGUGUAUGGUUUCCUAGUUUCUCAGCAUAAAGUUGAAUGUUUUGGUGAUAUCUCUACAUCCAAAAUCAUAUAGACAGCUACUGUUGGCACUUGCAGUAGCCAAUGAGCACUGUAGAGUAUAUAUUCCAGUGUGAGAUAAGGUUAACUCAUUGCAUUUUCAUAAAUUAAAGGGAUUUCUCUUCUUUUCUUUGUCAAUUACGGUGCAUGUAUAAAAGUUUUCUUACUUAGAGUAAAUGCUAUUGUAAUGUUUUCACAGAAUUCCCCUGGUUUGCAACUAAUUCACUUAUAUAUCUUGGAGCAUAGCCAUAGCCAUAGCCGUAAAUGGAAGGUUCUUCUGGUUCAAGAAAAUUAACCAUGAAGCUCGUAAUUAAAAUUUUAGACAGAAGGGUGGCCAAAUGAACUCCUAUACCCUGUACCUCUGGAAUAAUACGGGGAAAGGAAGUAAAAAUAGAUGUCUGUAUUCUGAUGCCAUAUAUUACUUGACCGACACUCGGCUAUAUCAUUAGUUGUUUUUAUUUUUUGCUAAUGAUUCCAUUGAAUACAUUUCUGAUAUUGGUGUGGUGUGUGAGUUCAUGGUUAUUUCUCACUGCUGCUAACUUCUCUAUACCUACCUUGUCAUUAAAAAUUAAACGUAAUGUUUUACAUGUGCAGAAUGGAGAUAUUAAAGAGGCAUCUUCCGUUUUCUGGUCAAGAGGGAUUACAAGAACUCAAGAAAAUUGCUGUACGGUUUGAGGAAAAGGUUUAUACUGCCGCCACCAGUCAGGUAUUCGGCUAAUGCUAGGUUCAAUAAUUUCGAUAUUCUCUAGACAUGAAUAUAAACAUGCAUAAGUUUGUGGAUUUAUGCAUGUACACGUGUGUGUAGUGUGUCCACACUCUCACUGGUCAUUCCGUAGAAGUUCUCAUCUGUUCAUUAAUUCUCUUGACAAGUGUUUUAUUUAGAGUGACCAAGGUUCUUUUCAAGUACAAGGGAAGUGUGCAAAAUGCAAAUAACGAAUCAAUACAUAAAUAAUUAAAUAAAAAGAUAGGAUACAGAAGUAUAUCCUAUAUCCUCACAGAAGACGCAAAUAUAGAAAGCCUAGCAUAUUAGAAAGAGCAUUUAUCCCUUUCCCCCCUUCUCUUGUAACAUGGACUGCUCAGAGAUCUAAUGUUUCCUUAUUGAUAUCUGAUUUCAGUCUGAUUAUCUGCGUAAAAUAUCUCUGAAGAUGCCUCAGAAUACCAUACCCACUGGCAAUGGUAACAAACCCCUGUAUCCAGGGGGGAAGUGUGCAAAAUCCAAGCUUUGAAUUUCUAAACAUCCUUACCUUUUGUUUUAUAUUUCGCAUUGUUAUCAGACCCUUUUACAUUUUAUUGCUGCAUUUUGCUAUGUAUAUACUAAUCCCUGUACUUUUACAUUAUGUUAAUAAACUGGUCCCUUCAUUAGUUUUUUGUUAGUCAAAUGUAGAGUUGUUAGCAAUAUUUCCUCAAUUUGUUCCACUAACUUGACGUUAAAAUGUGACCAAAGAAUCAAUUAAUUAUUUAAAAAACUUGAGGGAUUAAUUUGUUUGUUUCACAAAAAAAUACAGUGGUUAAAUAAAAUUUUACUCAAAUUUUUAUCAUCAUAUUCGUGAGUGUUUACUUGUAAAUAUUUUGGAAUGAACACAGUGGUUAAGUUUAUGUUUUGCGCAGCAUAAAAAAAAUCAUCUAGGCUUAAAUAAUUAUUUGGCAUCAUAAUUAAAACUCUAAUCCAAAUUUCUCUCAUCUGGCUUCUUAUCUAUAUCAAGUUUAAAAUUAACCAAUGUGAAAGUUGCUCUAACAUGAUAUAAUUAAUGUGAUGGGUUCCAAGUCAAUUCAUAUGACCAGUAAAAAAACAUAAUUUAGCUUUAAAAAAAAAAUUCAAGAUGAUACUUGUUUUGAACAUUGAUACGACAUCUUGGAUCGACUCUAGUUUUGUGACGUAACUCUUUAAACCCAUGACUUGAAUAAUGGAUUCUAUCUGGUUUAAUUUUUUAUAAAAAAAAUUAUUUUUUACUUAAUAAUAUGAUAAUAAAAAUAAAAACUCGUAAAAUUGAGCACUAAUCAAAUAUUAAGAUAUUUAUUUGAGACUGCAAUAACAUCAUUGAAAGCAAAUUGAAACAAAAUCAAUUCAAAAUCAAAUAAAUGUUAAACAAAUAUUAAAAGAUGAAACCAGACAAAAGCCAAAAAGGAUUUAAUUGAAAGAAAGAAAAUAUUGGAAUGUAGAGUUUAAAAACUAAGGAAUAAUAUUUAUUAAACUUGAUCCUAAUCUAUCGACUUGACUUCUUACCUAACAUAUAUUUAAAAUUAAUUUGUAAGGGAGUUGUCUGUACAUUACCUAGUUGACUUGACAUGUGCAAAUUAAAGCAACCUGAAUGACCAAUAAAAACAUGGUUUGGAUUUUAAGAAAAAAAAUCAAGAUAUCUUUUUUUUUUAAUAUUGAGACGAAAAUAUAUUAGAUCAACUCAAGCUCCGUGGCUAAACUCGUCAAAUACGCAACCCAGAUCAUGAACUCCACUAGAUUUAAAAACUAUUUUUUUAUAUAAUGAUACAAUAACUAAUAUAAACACUUAUAAAAUUGAGAACUAAACAAAUUUAGUGACGUUUAUUUGAUAUUGUGAUAACUACAUAUAAAGAAAAAAACAAAUUAUGACCAAUUCAAAAUUAACAAAAUAUUAAAGUGAAAUUGAAAGGAAAAAAAGGGCAAAAAUCAUUCAAUCAAAAGAAGAAAAAAUUAGAAGAUAGAAUUUUUUUUUUAAGGGAGGAUAUGAAUAGCAAAAUAGGAGGGAAAACCCUAACUUUUUUUAGUAUAAUAAAUGAUGUUUAAUUUAAUUAAAAUCUUUAUCUCAUACAAUUAGACCUAAAAAGAGAAGAAAAUUUCUAAAGAUUGAUUUGUAAAAAAACAGAAAAAAAAAUCAAAUCAAGAAGCGAAAAAAUACAAGGACCAAUAUACACACACAUAGUGAAAGAGUUAGAAAAGCAUAACUUUUUUAGUAUAGUAGUUUAUUUCUAAUUAAAUUGAAAACUUUAUCUCAUAUAAUUAGGCCAAAAAAGAAUUAAAUAAAAAAAAAAGGAUUAAUUUAUAAAAAGAAAAAGAAAAAUAAAGAAUACAGAACCAAAUCAACAAAGAAAAAAACUAAUUUUUAAAAAAUAAAGUGCUCCACUAUUCAUAUAAAAUAGAACAUCAUUAUAGUAUCCAAUUAGACAGUGACCCAUAUUACUGGCUAUUUUAAUUUUUUUAAAGAAAAAAAAGUUUCAGUAUUUUCAAAUGUGAUAAGUUUUUUUUUUAUAAAAAAAAACAUAUAUGUGUGCAAGGGAAUAGAGAUUUGGUUUGAGAAUACAUGCUAAAAAUCUAAACAUGAACUAAAACAAAGUGGAAUUAAAAAGAGUAAAAAAAAAAAACCUAAAAGAGAUCCAUGAUUCAUUAUAUAUAUAGACUAUGAGGUUACGAGGUAAAAUAUUAUGGAUUAGCAUAAUAUAAUUACUUUUUACCCUUCUCUACACAACAAUUACCUUGCUAAUAGGGGUAAAGUUGUCUUUUUCAAUGAUUUUAAAGGUUAUUUAUAAAUUCACUGGAGAUAAUUUAGUAGGUUUACUCCUUUUUUGCAUAUUAAAACUACAUCAUUGCCUUUGCAAGCCAAAAAAAGAAAAAACAAUUAACCUUUUGUUUAAGAUCUAUUUUGUAUUUUGUAUUUGAUUUAUACAGUAAAAUGACAUUAAUGCCUUAGAGAGUUAAAAAAUCAUCGACUUUAAGUUACUGGGCCUUAAACUUUGUUAUUUAUUUUGGUUUUUUUUUAUAGGGUUAUUUCUAUCUCAUAUCUCAAGUUGCAGAUAAGUUAGGUUGGAUGCAUACUUAAUUAAUUAAUAAAAGUCAUGUAUAUAUUUUUGCAAAUUGGAUGCACACUUAAUUAACAUACUUAUUGAAUAUUAAGUCAGGCAAAAAAUCUAUAAAAAGAAUAUACAAGUGAGCCAAACAACAAUAUUAAGAACGAAUAAGAGGUAGUAAAAGAAGAUGAUACCAAAGGACGCAAAAUCACAAAAAUUCAUGAAACUACAUUAGGCUCUCUACAAGUGAAUUGUUUAAAAAGUUAAAAGAAAAUAAAUGCACUUUUGUCCACAGCAACAACUAAAUGCACUUUUGUUCAAUACCAAGAAAUUAAACAUUUUUUAAAAAAAAAACUAAAUGAAUUGUUUAAAAAGUUAAAAGAAAAUAAAUGCACUUUUGUACACAGCAACAACAACUAUAGCAAAAUGCUGGGCUGUAGAAUCUAGAUGAUUGUCCACAGCAACAUGAAAAAAUCAUAUAUGCUUAAGUAACUAUUUGGCAUCUCAAUCUAGUAAAUUAAUCUUAAAUUUCUUAUAUCCGACUCUUUACCUAUAUUAAAUUUAAAAUUAACCAACAUAAAAAUUGUUUUAAUAUGACUUAAUCGAUAUAGUUGGUUCAAAGUCAAUCCAUAUGACCGAUAAAAAAUGUAAUUUGGCUUAAAAAAUUUCAAAAUAACAUCUUUUUUAUAACAUUGAUACGACAAUAUAUUAGAUUGACCCUGAUUUCAUGACUUAACUCUCUAAACCCACUACCUUAAUAACGGACUCCUUCUAGUUUAAAAACUUUUUUUUAAUUAUUUUUUACUUCAUGAUAUUAUAACAAAAAUAGAUGCUCAUAAAAUUAAGCACCAACCAAAUAUCAAGAUAUUUGUUUGAGAUUACAAUAAUAAAUAUCAUAAAAAGCGAAACCGAAACAAGACCAAAUCAAAAUAAAUCAAAUGUUAAAGGAUUAAACCAGGAAAAAGCCAAAGAGGAUUCAAUUAAAAGAAAGAAAAAAAAAAUAGAAGGUUGAGUUUAAAAACAAAGUAACAAUAUGACAUUGUUAUUAAACUUAAAGGAAAAAAAAACUAAUUUAAAAAAUUAAAGUGUUUCACUAUUCAUGUAAAAAUGAAAUACCAUUAUAGUAUCCAACUAUAUAGGUGACCUGCACUAUGGGUUAUUCUAUUUUUUUAAAAGCAAAAAAAUAAAGUUUCGACAUUGUUAGAUUGUGAGAAAAAAAAAGUUUUAAAAAAUAUCCGUGUACAAAAGAGGAGAGAGAUUUGGUUUGAGAAUGCAUGGUAAAAAUCUAAACAUGAACUAAAAAACAAAGUGGAAUUAUAAAAAUUAAAAAAAAAACUAAAAGAGGUAAAUGAUUCAAGUGAUUCAUUAUAGACUAUAAGGUAAAACACUAUGGAUUACACACAAUAUAUUUACUUUUUUCUCUUCUAUACACAAAAUAAUUGUCUUGCUAAUGGGGAUAAAGUUGUUUUUUUAAAGGGAUCUAAAGGUUAUUUGUAUAUUGAUCGGGGAUAAUUUAGUAGAUUUACUGCUUUUUUUGAACAUUAAAACUACAUCUUUGCCUUUGCAAGCAAAAAAAAAAAAUUGUCCUUUCGUUUAGGUUUAGGGUUUAUUUUAUCUUUCCUAUUUUUUUUCAUAGUAAAAUAACAUCAAUAUCCUUGAUAACAAUACAACAACAAAGGAAAAUACCAAUAUUUAAAAUACAACAACUCUUUUUUUCCCAUCUUCUGUUUUCUUUUUUUCAUAUCAAUACAACAACAAAGAAAAAUACAAAUAUUUAAAAUACAACAUAAAAUUUAUUUUCCUGUAGAAUCAAUGUAACAUUAAAGAGGCAUCUUCCGUUUUCUAGUCAGGAGGGAUUAUAAGAACUCAAGAAAAUUGCCAUAUGACUUGAGGAAAAGAUUUAUACUACCGCCACCAAUCAUGUGUUUGCCUAAUGCGAGGUUCGAUAAUUACGGUAUUCUUUAGACAUGAAUAUACACACGCAUUUAUGCAUGUACAAAUGUGUGUGUAGUGUGCCUACACUUCCUCACCGUUCAUUCUGUAUGCAAGGCUAAUUGGGAGUUCACAUCUUUUUGUUAAUUCUCUUGACAAGUGUUUUAUUGAGAGUGACCAGGUUCAAGUAUUGGGGAAGUGUGCAAAAAGAAAAUAGCAAAUCAAUACAUAAAUAAUUAAAUUAAAAGAGAGGAAACAGAACUAUAUCCUCACAGAAGAUGAAAUGAUAGAGCAUAUAUCCAUUUCCCCCCUUCUCUUGUAACAUGGAUUGCUCUGAGAGCUAAUGUUUUGUUAUUGAUAUCUGAUUUCGGUCUGAUUAUCUGCGUAAAAUAUCUCUGGAGAUUCUUUCGAUGGAAAUCAGGUCUCAAAACGCCAUGCCCACUGCCCCCAUGGACCCAUAAGGUAAUAAUGCAGCCAAGCAUUGAAUUUCUAAACAUCUUACCUUUUGUUUUUCUUUUCGCAUUGUUAUCGAACUCUUUUACAUUUUAUUGCUGCAUAUUGUUAUGUAUUUCGCCUUGCUGGAAAAAUCUCAUGAUCACCUCCACGAUGCUAAUUCUGUAAUGCAUGUGAAGUGUUUCUGAUAAGGUCCCAAUCAAGAGUGAUACACAAUUGCAGAAAUGCUAGGAUUCUCUUAGGGUGAGAAUUUACCACAAUAUUGUUUGGAUAAACAUAAUGCUAUUCUUUUUAUUCUUCUUCAUACAUAUAAAGAACUAAACCAUAACAACUUUCAGCAAAUCCAGCCGAAAUGGAAAUAACAGAUUACAAAACAGAAAUGCAAAUAAUGUGAAAGUGGCUGCUUUAUUUUCUCCCAUUGAAUCGGAAGCAUGAUUCCAAUUGACUUGCUUGUAACUCCCUUUAAUCACGAUAUCUUUUAAUCACGAUAUUUUAAAUUCUUCUUUAUGACACGUGGGGUCCUUCGUGGCAGCAGCUCUCCAAGCUGCGUAUCAUUACCCCCCACAUCAAGUGGAUGCUUGUCCCCAAGGUCCAAGCUUGGGUGGUUCGUUAGCAGUUCAGCCGUUGGUUCCCAGAUGGCAUCAUUUGUAGACAAAUGUUUCCACUUCACCAAACUCUCCUCAAUAAAUCUUGCCCCAUGUGGAAUCCAACGUGUGUCCAGAAUAGCUUCUGGUGUGACCACAAUGGUGCCUUCUUCAUCAAUAGGUGGAAGUUCCAUACUAGUGUCUGCUUUGUCACCCAACUUCCUUUUAAGCAACGACACAUGAAAAACUGAAUGUAAACGUGCCCCCUCCGGAAGCUUGAGUUUGUAGGCCACAUCACCGACUCGCUUUUCAAUUGGGAACGGACCAUAAAACUUGCAAGCAAGUUUUUGAUGAGCUCGUCGAAAAGCAGUCUGUUGGCGAUAAGGUUGUAAUUUGAGAUACACAAGGUCACCUUCUAUGAAUUCGACAUCCCUUCGCCCACGAUCAACCAACUGUUUCAUGCGAUUCCUAGCAUUCGCUAAAUUCUGCUUGAGAUUCCUAAGAAGUGUGUCCCGUACCUGAAGACUGUGAUCAACUUCAUUAACUGGUGAAGAGCCUGUAGCAUAAAGUGGAAAUGUAGGUGGUAAGCGUCCAUAAAGAGCUUGAAAAGGUGUCGUUCCUGUUGAUGAAUGGUAAGCUGUAUUAUACCACAGCUCUGCCCAAGGAAGAAAUUGGCUCAACUGUCGUGGUCUUUGGUGAACAAAACAGCGCAAAUAUUGUUCCACACAAUGAUUAACCACCUCUGAUUGACCAUCCGUUUGAGGAUGAUAUGCUGAGCUCAUCUUAAGCUGAGUACCAGACAUCUUAAAAAAUUCCUGCCAAAACUUACUAAUAAAGACUUUAUCUCUGUCGCUCAUAAUAGAACUAGGCAUGCCAUGUAGCUUCACCACACCAUCUACAAACUUUUCUGCCACCAUCUUUGUUGUGAAAGGAUGUGUUAAGGCCAAGAAGUGAGCAGAUUUGCUUAGAUGGUCCACUACCACUAAAAUGGUAUCGCGACCAUGUGAAGUAGGGAGACCUUCAAUAAAAUCUAUAGUAACGUCAUCCCAUACCUGACACGGAAUAGGAAGAGGUUGCAAGAGCCCAGCUGGUUUGAGAUUAUCAGCUUUAGUUUUCUAGCAUGUCACACAUGUGUGGACAUAUUCUUUGACAGAAUGAUACAUAGAUGGCCAAUAAAACUGCUGAGAUAGACGUUUGAAUGUACCCAAUAUACCAGAAUGGCCGCCCAUCUUUGUAUCAUGAAAUUCCUGUAGUAAUUGUUCUAUCACAGCUGUGUUAGGAGGCACCACAACACGUGUUUUGAAGAAAACUAACCCAUCUCGCCAGGUAUAAGGUUUUCCAGGACUAUUUUGAGCUUGCUGAAUAAUUUGUUCCAUAUAUGGGUGUCCAGUGGAGGCCUUUUUUAUGUCUUCCCAUAAAGUUACUUGUGGCACAGACAACGCAUUAAGAAUAGGGCUUCCAGACACUCUUGAUAAUGCAUCAGCAGCUGAGUUGUCGCGUCUUGGGCGAUAUAUGAUUUCAUAGUCAUAGCCAAGUAAUUUAGCCACCCAACGUUGUUGUUCUGGUGUCCCAAUUCUUUGCUCCAAUAGAUACUUUAGACUGUGCUGGUCCGUUUGAAUGAAGAACUUUUUGCCCAGUAGAUAUGGUCUCCAAGUGCGUAUUGCCUGAAGGAUGGCAAUCAUUUCUUUGGCAUAUGUUGACCAUGAAAGUUUGGCCACUCCGAGUUCUCGGCUGAGGAAAGCAAUGGGUUUACCUUGCUGUGUCAACACUGCACCAAUACCCUCUCCAGAAGCAUCAGUUUCAAUUGUAAAUGAUUCAUUGAAAUUUGGCAUAGCUAAAAUAGGUGUGGUUGUCAUAGCUUGUUUGAGCUGUAGGAAAGUUGCCUCCGCCUCUUGACUCCAUCUGAAUUGCCCUUUCUUCAAGAGAUUGGUUAAUGGCUUUGCCAGCAGACCAUAGUUGCGCACAAAUUUUCGAUAAUAACCUGUAAAGCCUAGAAAACCAGGUAAGUCUGAAAUAGUGCUUGGCCUUGGCCAAUUUACCAUAGCUGUAAUUUUGCUUGAAUUAACCUUGACCCCUUUAUUAGUCACAAUGUGACCGAGGUACUCGAGCUCUGACUGCCCAAAUGUAUAUUUGCCUUUACAAAAUAUGUAUGUUGCCGUAGAAUUUCAAAAACCUUUGUAACAUGUUCAAGAUGCAUGGUCCGGGCUAUAAAUCAAAAUAUCAUUAAAAAAAAAACUAAUAUGAAUUGACGGAGAUGAGGAUGAAAAAUAGAAUUCAUAAUAGCUUGGAAAGUGGAAGGAGCGUUGCAAAGACCAAAGGGCAUGACCAUAUAUUCGUAGUGGCCAUUAUGGGUACGGAACACAGUUUUGUGAGUGUCUUUUGGAUUUACUCGUACUUGAUGGUACCCUGCUCUUAAGUCUAAUUUUGUAAAGAAGGCAGCUCCAUGGAGCUCAUCAAGCAUGUCAUCAAUGGUAGGAAUAGGAAAUCGAUCCUUAAUGGUUACGCUAUUGAGAGCUCUAUAAUCAGUACAAAAACGCCAAGUGCCAUCUUUUUUUUUAACUAACAAAACAGGUGAAGAAAAGGGACUAGUACUUGGUUUUAUAAGUCCCAAUUUAAGCAUGUCUUGAACUUGUUUUUCAAUUUCAGUUUUUUGAAAAUAGGCAUACCUGUAGGGCCUCACAUUAAUAGGCUCAGUAUCUUCUUUAAGAGGAAUGCAAUGAUCAACUUCACGAGCUGGAGGUAACUGUGUGGGCUCAUAAAAAAUGUCCUCAAAGUUGUUGAUGAUUUCCUUCAUAUCUGUUUGCAUAUUGGGUCGUUCCAUCUUUUCUAUGGAUUGACAAUACACUGUAAAAGUGGAACAGCCAUGACGGACAUCUUUAGUAAUUGCUGAUAGUGAAGCAGGUUGUAUAGCUUGGCUAUUAGAACCAUUUAAUGUUUGAGCUUGAUUCUUCCACCAAAAGUCCAUUGUAAAUUUUUUCCAAUUACACACCACUGGUCCGAGUUGUUCAACCCAUUGUACACCAAGAACAAGAUCAAGGCCUGUGAUAGGUAUUGAAUAAAGGGUUAAUGAAAAUGGAAUGUUUUGGAGAAUAACCUGGACUUGUUCAAACCUUCCUUGGCACUUCAUUUGAUUGCCAUCUGCCACCCUUACAGUGAAGGGUCUCAUAGGAAUAACAGGUAAUUGAAGCUCCUCUGCUAUUUUAGAAUUGAUGAAAUUAUGGGUAGACCCACUGUCGAUGAGCACUGUUAGAGUGUGAUUCCCAACUCGUCCUUCAAUCCUCAUGGUUCGUGGUGUGGACCAACCCGUGAGUGCAUGGAGUGAAAUUUCUGGCUCAGUGUUCUCCUCAGCUAUGUCCUCUACUGGAAUGUCAUCAGUAACUUCUUCGCACAUGACUCUGACAGGUUCACUAAGGCUUUCUAGUAAUAACAGUUGCGGUCUUUGGCACUUAUGUCCAGCAGUGAAUUUGUCAUUGCAAUUGAAACAAAGCCCUUGUGCACGCCGUCUCUGCAUUUUAUCCCAUGUUAGUCUUUUUAUCGGAACUGGAAAACUGGAUUUUGGUGGGGGAAAAGUCAAUGGUGUGCGAGUUAAUUGUGUUGGCCGUGUAAAUUUCCCUUGCCGCAUUAUUUGUUCAUCCUUCAUUUUAUCUAAACUGAUAGCCUCUUUCAAAGUCCGUGGUUUGAACAUCCGAAUAGCAUCAGAAAUUUCUACUUUAAGUCCACCCAUGAAUGUUGUAACAACCCCGAUUUUUCUACAUUCUUUUUCGCGAUAUAUUGGAAAUUUUCAGGUAAAUUUUUUUUUUUGUGAUAUACAGGUUCCACCAAAAUUUCUACCAAAAUUUCGGCAGAGUCUCCCCUAUACUGGUAGGUCCCAGGUUAUCGACAUAUACCAUGUUUACACUUCUAAUAUCUCACAUCUCAUAACUCAAAAUCACGACCCAAUCAUCCUGGGUCUCAACCCAACUCAUUAUCAUCAACACAACACAUCUUAUUCAAUAACAUCAUAUAAUAUAGUUCAAAUGAAAGAUUCAAUUUCAACUAUAAAUAUGCAUGGUCAAAUAGGUACUAAGAGUUUAAACCAUUAGAGUAAAGACAUACAUUCAAAUUUACGGAUUAAUAUUACAUCUCAAGUUUUAUAAUUUACAUAGUCAAAAGCAAAAGAUAUCUAAACUAGCAUUACCCUUGACGCGACCCUGAUGGACCUGAAAAUAGAAAUUAACAUGUACACAUAAAUAUAAAAGAUAGUAACAAGCAAUAACAAUGGCAAACAAUAAUCUCUACGGAAUUUCUUUUGAUAUAUAAAAUUAGGCAUAAACCUCUUUUACAACAUAUAUUUUACAUUUAUUACCAAUAUCCAUCUAAUAUCCUAUCUCAUUUACCAAGAAUAAUUCCAUCUUGGAAAUCUCAACACAACUCAACGGUUUGCGAACACCAUCUCUUUAUAAAUCAAUUCUCACUUGAUACCAAGAUAUUCCUCUCUUGGUAUUAUUAGCUUAUCUCAUUCUUUUGGAAUAACUAAUUAAUAUUUUCCCUUUUCUGAAUCUGUUGCUAGAAGGUAAUCACUGAAACUAAUAAAUCUCAUUAGUAUCAUUAGUCUUCAAAUAUUGGGCUAGACUAAUCAAUUUAAGAAAUACUGGCACCGAUGAAACUUCAUCGAUACCAUUAGCAAUCCAAACUUGGAUGGCUAAUCAAUUCCAUUUGAUUCUUCCAUUCGUACCGAACCCCUUUUAUCUUUCUUAUUAACAUCAUAUGCAUUGUAACCACGGUUGCCAAGUAUCAUUUGCACACAAUCUUAGUUAUCGACACUACGGUCACUAAGCAUCCUUCACAAAACCUUGGUCACCUUCAUCACAGUGCCAAGUAUCAAUUUAUGCCCUUAGCCACCAUCAUUAUGGUGUUAAGUAUCAUUGUAAUGUAUCCUUAGCCACCGACACUAUGGUAACCAAUUAUCUAUCAAUUCACCUCCAAUCUCCAAGUCAUUGUGUCUACCCAAUAACCACAUUAAUUAAUUUACUCAAUAUGUUAGUCAUAUAUUAAUUAUUUUACUCAUAACAUUUAGAAUUUACUAUUUCUAACUUCAAUCAAUUAAUUCACAUAAUCUUUUCAAAACUUAACUAUCCGGCUAACUCAUCUCGAUUGCCAAUAAUUCUGGUAAUUUCAUAUAAUUACCCACACUUUUGGUUAACCUCCAUCGGUUACCAAUACAUCUGGUAAUUCCAUACGAAUUACUCAGCCUCCAGCUAACUUCUUUUGUUUGUCAAUUAAUCCUGUAAUUCCAUACGAAUUACCCCAUAUCCAGUUAACCUUCUUGUUAACCAAUAAACCCGGUAAUUCUCUUAAUUGUCCAAGAAAUCUGGCUAACCCAUCUUGGUUGCCAAGGUCAAUCCGGUAAUUCCAUACGAAUUACCCAUCAUCCAGCUAACCUCUCUUGUUAGCCAAUGAAUUCGGUAAUUCCAUACGAAUUACCCAUCAUCCAGCUAACCUCUUUUGUUAGCCAAUCAAUCCGGUAAUUCUAUACGAAUUACCCCAUAUCCAGUUAACCUUCUUGUUAACCAAUAAAGCCGGUAAUUCUCUUAAUUGUCCAAGAAAUCUGGCUAACCCAUCUUGGUUGCCAAGGUCAAUCCGGUAAUUCCAUACGUAUUACCCAGCAUCCGGCUAACCUCUUUUGUUAGCCAAUGAAUCCGGUAAUUCCAUACGAAUUACCCAUCAUCCAGCUAACCUCUUUUGUUAGCCAAUCAAUCCGGUAAUUCCAUACGAAUUACCCAAUAUCCCGGCUAACCUCUUUUGUUAGCCAAAUAAUUUCGGUAAUUUCUCUUAAAUUACCAAUAAUUCUCAUUUGUAAUAAUCACUCAACUUAUUCAUUUGUUUCAUUCUUUUAACAUCAAUUAAACACACAACACAAAUAUUUAAGAAAAACUAAUAAUUACAAAAUAAGGUGAUGAAUCACCUACCUAGAAUAGGUGCACGUGCUGCCACUCCAUGCAAUUGUCCAGUCCCCACAGCUUUCCCCUGUACCACCAGGGAUUCAAUUUUUAUCAACAAUACAACCAACAUCACAUCUUCAUUUAAUUCUCAUUCAACUAGUAUUCUCAAACUAAUCACAAGGAAUUUUCUUUAAGAUCUCAUACUCUUACUCAUUUUAAUGUUUAUAUUUAUUCUUAUAAUUUUGUUAUCAAAACCAUCACUCAACAGCAAUUCCAAGCAACGAUUAAAAAUUGUCUAAUUCCGAUCAAUUAAGCUUAACCAACCCAUAACACUAUCUAGUGUCUUAAUCAUAACUAAAGUUGUAAAACUCAGUUUUGGGCGUGAUUUAUAUCUCUAUGAAAGGCUAAACAUAGAGAUACAAAUUUUAUGAAGAAACCAACUCCAAAUUAUUUUGUUUUAAGGCUUAAAAUCAACAAUCACAAUAGCCCUUCUUUAUGGCUAAAAUUUUGGACAACGAGGAUUUUCAUUCCUUGGAAAUCCUUUUCAACUUCCAACUUAUUUUCAUGCAAAAUCAACAUCAUCCAAGGUCAUUUGGCAUCAUUAAAUCACAAGUUCAAACCAAUUCUAAAGCAAAACAUUCAAACAAUUUCCCUACCUCUACAAUAUAGCAAGAUUAGACCAAAAUAAGGAAACUCAUUCCUUUUGAGAUUUCUCCUAUUAUUAUUAUUAAUACAACAAAAUGAUGAACUAUUCAUUUUCUUUCGCUUUCUCCUCGUGCGAUUAAACAUAUACGGCAAACCUUAACAAUUAAUAUUCUCAGAUCAUUAUCACAACAAUAAUUUCACUCUACUAAUUGGGAUCCAUGACAACCUUCAUUAACUAACCAUUUGCUAAAAACACUUAUGGCUAGCUUUAAAUAUGUUUUAUUUUUUUCAAAUUUUUUUCAUUUCAAUUUCUUCAUGGUUCCACCCCAUUUAUAUCCACACAACCAACAAGUUAGCUUUCUAUUCAAUCAACAUGUUCUAUUCAAUCAACACGUUCAUAUAGCAAUAUUCUUUACUAUUCUUACACAACAAUCAUUCUUCCCCUCAUAUAAAGAAUACACAAUUAAUCUAUAAUAUUACUAAUAACAGGAACAUAUUUUAUCAUUACAUCUUCCAUAAAACCUACACCCACACAAUUCUAAUUUCAUCAAAACAUGUAUUUAAUCAAGCUUACUACAUUUUGCAAAAACUAGCAAUAGAUUCAAAAAGCAAUAAGUCAUCAACCUCUGAUUAUUGUUUCCCACCCAACGGUCAGACUACAUAUCAUAGCGUUGUGCAUAAUAUAUCUCAAAUUCAUAAUGAUCCAACGGUUAAAUCUCCCUAGAUCUGAAGAAAACCGAGCUUACCUGAAAAUGAACGAGCUACUGUUCAACAUGCACGCAACCUUGCCGGAGAAAUAUGUUCCGAUCUCCACUGUCCAGAAUGAAUUUAACAUCUACGCGCACCACAUAUCCAACAAUUAGCAUGAUCCAACGGUGGAAGAGAGAGAAAUCGGCCGGCGACCAAACUGCCCUGCAGGUGCAUUUCCUUUUUGUUUUCCAUGAAAUUCCAGAUGAUGAUUUCUGUCAAAUGGAUUGUGUUCCUUCCAAUCACUCCGGUCAGUUAGUAGAGGAGUGUAAUGAGAACAACACGUCCAAAACGCAGCUUGAUCCAACGGUUGAUUCCCGAGAUAUGACCACCGGAGCAUUAUUGGUUUUCUCCAAAAUUUGCAGCUCUCUCCCCUUAUCCGCUUUUCUCUAUUUUUUUUCUUUUUUUUCUUUCUUUUUUUCUUAACUGGUGGCCUCUUUGCAGAUUUAUAGGCACCUUUUUUUUUCAUAAUUACAAUUUUGUCCCUCUUUCAUGCUUUUAUGUAUUUUAUUUUAUUUUUCAUGUAAACUAUCUCGUUUAUUUCUGUUUAAAUCGCUAGUCUUUACCAAACUCUGAUUGGGAUGAGAUAUUUAACCAAGGUAGGAAAACAUAUUAAUAGGCUUCAUACAAAAUUUCAUCCCGAUCCGACGAUUGGAUUGAGAGCUCUGCUUCCUAAUGUAAAAUUGAUCAGUUCAUAACUUUUCGUAAACAAUCUAGAUUUUUUUUUUGUUCAAUCUUCACAAAAAAAAAAAACAUAUCAAUUAUCAUUCUAAACCUUUAAGGUCAUUUAAUUAUUUUGGAAUGUAUUCAUUUUAGGAUUUCCACCUUUAUUUAUUUAUCGGGCUUAUUAUCGUUUCAAAAUAACAUCACUGAUUUUUAAGCGGUGCUUGCACCUUCAGUCCUACCCUUUUCAUUGUACUAUCAUUUAUUAUAAUGUAUUCUUUAUUACCUCACUUAUUUCCUAAAAAUAUUUUGUCAUUUUUCUCAUUAUUUCAUCCAUCAAAACACGUUACCAGUUUCUCUAUCCUUAUGAAUUCUAAACCAAAAUUCAUUUUAUGAAGGUCAUCUCUUCUAUUAUAUAUCAUUAUUUAUCUAUUAUUUCUAAUCUUGGUUUCCAUCACUCAUUGAAAUAUUACCACUUUCAGUCUUAUGUUUACAUGAGGGUUUAUACAUCUACAUAUUUAAAUUAUAAAUUUCCAGGGUUUCACAAAUGUGCCCACCAGCGCCUUUUGAGUCCAACCAUGAACUCGAUUGCCCAACCUCUCAAAUUCCUUCUGAUAGUCCCUUAAGGAACCCACUUGUCUGACCUUUGAUAAUGCUUCAUCAAAAUCCUCAUAUUCUGUGGGCCCAAACCGUGCCCAAAGCUCUUCUUCAAAUAUCUCCCACGUGACAGUGCGCCCUUCUUCCUUGUGAGCUCGAUGCAACCAUUGCCACCAUUGGUUGGCUUCUCCUUCCAAAUGGAAUGAGGCCAAUGAUACUUUUUGAUUGUCCGCAGUCUCUUGAUAUUCAAAAAAUUGGUCCACCCAAUUGAACCAUUCGGUUGGAUCAUCCCCAGAAUAUCGUGGAAAGUCUAACUUGGCCAUUUUUUAUGAGAAGACGUGGCGUCCACACUCAUUAUCAGUUUUCUUCUUUCCCCCAUCAGUGUCAUCCCGAUAUGUGCGUGAGAAGCCAUCCCGGUCGUUGUUGUGGUAACUUGAAGACGCCUUGGAAGCGAUCAUGACCUCUGAAAGUUUGUUGAUGGUUUCCUCCAGGCUGUGCAAUCUAUUGAUCAUGUAAUCUUCCAGUCGCUGCAUGCCAUCUUGGACUCCACCAAGUCCUGUCUCCAAAAGCUCAAUUCGUUCUUUGUUUGUUGCCAUUGCGUAGGCUCUGAUACCAAUUGAUAAGGUCCCAGUCAAGAGUGAUACACAAUUGCAAAAAUGCUAGGAUUCUCUUAGGGUGAGAAUUUACCACAAUAUUGUUUGGAUAAAAAUAAUGCUAUUCUUUUUAUUCUUCUUCAUACAUAUAAAUAACUAAACCAUAACAACUUUCAGCAAAUCCCGCCGAAAUGGAAAUAACAGAUUACAAAACAGAAAUCCAAAUAAUGUGAAAGUGAUUUCUUUAUUUUCUCCCAUUGAAUCGGAAGCAUGAUUCCAAUUGACUUGCUUGUAACUCCCUUUAAUCACGAUAUCUUUUAAUCACGAUAUUUCAAAUUCUUUUUUAUGACACGUUGGGUCCUUCGUGGCAGCAGCUCUCCAAGCUGCGUAUCAGUUUCAUUCUUAACUUGUUAAGGAACAAGGACUGUGAUGCAUGGCUAUUUUAUAUUUUAUGAUUGAGAUGGUAGAUUUUAAAGAUUUUCCUGUUUAGGAGGUAAGACGUCACUUUCUUGCUUUUCUUCCGAGAGAAAGUAUUUGAUCCUUUCUUCAUAUAUAAUAAUGCUGCCAAGCAUUGAAUUUCUAAACAUCUUACCUUUUUGUUUUGUUUGUCGCAUUGUUAUCAAACUCUUUUGCAUUUAAUUGCAGUAUAUUGCUAUGUGUACGGCAUGCUUUAAUCAAAAAGUUGAGUACUCGAUGAAUGUUAGGCAAGAAAAUUACUGAUUAUUUUUGUUUUCUGCCUCCUCCUUUUCUUUCUCCCAACCUGAAAAUUGUCAUAUUAUUUUUGUUUUCAGCCGCCUCUUCUUCCCCCAACCCUGAAAAUUGUCUGAGGACACUUUUAUGCUUUGAAUCAAAUCCAUCCUAAUUCUUUCGCUCAUAACUUUAUGUGUGAACUGCCGAUGUUUGAUCAUUUGUCUUCCUUGUUCAGUGCCUUCUUUUUUUCUUUGACAUGGUUUCCUUUUUUCCUUUUAUCUUGAACAGCAUCCCAUAGUAUGCCCCCUCAAGUUCAGAAUCAUGGGCUAUUUCUCCCUAUCCUAUUGUCCACUGAUCAAUCUCAAGUACGCUAGCAGUUGUUAUCACAGAACAUGCAGAAUUGCAUGGCAUCUAAUGCAAUUCAAAGUUCUGCUGGUUUACUAGCGGCACUGCCUCUUGUCUCCGGUGUAACCCAGACUAUCCCCAACACUGUUGUCCAGAAUCCUAACAUGCAGAGUAUCCCCGGUGUUUCACAGAACUCAGUGGGGAAUUCAAUGAGACAAGGGAUUCCCUCCACUAUGUUUGCCAAUUCUCAUAAAGAAAUGCCAGGUAAUGCUCUUUUUGGUAGCUUUAUGUCUUCCACUUAUGGCAUUAGAAAUGCCACUGCUAUUGGAACUAUUGCAAUCACACAUGCAUUUGGCAUCACACGAUGCCCUUCAGUGCUCUGCACCAACUUUUCACCUCCCAUAAUGGUUCUAGUCAGUAAUGCUUUUUUAGGUAGCUUUAUGUGCUACUGCUGCCACUUAUGGCAUUAGUAAUGCCACUGCUAUUGAAACCAUUGCAAUCACACACACAUUUGUUACCCACAUCAUACCCUCCAGUGCAUUGCACCAGCUGUUCACCUCUCAUUCUGGAUUUAUAGGGUUUGUCCGUCUGUUUGAAUGAUUACAUAACGUUUAGAUGGAGUUCCUAGUACUCCUAGUUCAAAAAGACUUGUAUUCCUCUGUAGGAAAAUACUAAUAGUCCUAUCUAGAAUAGGAAAACCUAAUGAAGCUCGCUAUACUUUGGGAUAAUAAAAUACUAAAUGGAAAAUAAAAUGAGACUUGCAAUAUUCCAUAAUUUUCAGCAAGCGUGAAAAUUACAGAAAUACCCUUGUAUAUGGAAAACACACAAAAAUACAUGAAUUCUAAUCUUUGUUGCCCGCAUUGAAAUAUUUGUAGCAUCCCUAGAUUCUACAGCACAGACUGGACAUGCAAAAGGCGCUGAUUGACAAGAGUAGAUCUAUCAAAAGGUAAUUUCUGUGAUUUACUGUUCAUUAGAUGGAGUUCAUGUAUGCCAUAGUCUUAAAAAUAAAAGUGCACUAUUUCUGAAUGACUUACAGUUUAUCUUUUGUUAAGUGAAGAGUUAUUUGCACGAUUGCAAUCAACUUGUUGUGAAAAAUUUCCAGUAUUGAAUUUUAUAGAAAAUGAGGUUGAAAUUCUGAAUGUCUCAAGUCAUAACUGCAUAUUUGAUAAGGACAUUUUUCUUGUGCUUAAGUGAGUAUUAAAACGGGAAUAAGAAUGGUUGUUGUUAAGGAUCCAUGGGGUCAUGCAUAGGAUCUAAGGCUAAGAAGCGUCGCUAAAGUUGUGAAAUCCAUUGACUUGAGCUAGAACAGCAGAAAACAAUGAUGUGUAGUUUGCAGGGAGACAGUAACUGAACUUAACCAACCCCUGAAUCUUGUCUAAUGGUGUACUUACACAGUCCUUUGCAUCUUUCCAUUCCAUCAAUAUCGACAUCCUGUUGAGUUUCUAGCAUUAAUUCCACUCUAUUAUUUUUAUCUCAACUAAUUUAUGUUGUCCUCUGCCCUUUUUUUGUUAUUUUAUUUUUAUCAAUUCCCUUAAGUUUGUUUGUUUUACUUUCUUUCUGACUGGCACCUGAAGAGAUCAAGCAUAUGAGCGAUAAUGUUUUGCUGGUUAUUUGUACUUCCUAGAUCAAAGUUAUGAAGGAGACUUAUUUCCCUGAAAUAAAUGAAAUGUAUCAGAGAAUUGCUGCCAAGUUACAGCAGGUAAAUUGUCUCUGAAAUUUCUUCCGGAUUAUCUGUGCAUGCAUGAUUAUCUGCAAUUUCCCCAUGUUGAGUUUUGUAUUAGUUUGUUUUCCUCAUCAGCAUUGCCUGUCACUGUAUCAUCUGCACUAUUCACCUACCCCACCCCCAACCGCCCCCACAACCAUGCAUCGACACAGAAGAAGUGGAAUAGAAACAUUUUGUUUCACUAAUGUUUUGCUACAAAGGAUCAAUGCAAUUUUUAAUUCUCGUGUAUGUUAACUUUGCUUUCUAGCAUGACUCUCAUCCGCAACAACCGAAGUCGGAACAGCUUGAAAAGCUGGAGGUAUUCAAGGCCAUGUUGGAGCGCUUGAUAACAUUCUUACAGGUCUCUAAAAACAAAAUCACACCUAGUUUCAAGGAGAAAUUGGGUUCCAAUGAGAAGCAUAUUGUAAGUUUUCUAAACCCAGGCAGAUCAGGAAGCCAAUUCCUAAUCUACAGCGAGGACAACUUCCCCAGCCUCAUGUGCAACCUAUGCAGCAAUCCCAGUCUCCAGUUCCUCAAUUGCAGUCCCAUGAAAAUCAACUGAAUACCCAGUUGCAAUCAAUAAAUGUGCAAAAUUCUAUACCAACAAUGCAGCAGAACAAUAUGUCAAGCUUGCAGCAUGGUUCUCUUUCAUCUUUAUCUGGGUUUUCUAUGUCACAACCAAUCAUGAUGAUGUGGGACGAGAGAUUUUACGAGAAGAAAAGGGGGUAGAGAGAAUGAUAUUGUAGCAAAAAUAACUAAUCAAAUAGAAAGGCUGAGCUUAGAGACAGCACACUACAAAGGAAGCACCCAAUAGCUAGACAUACAAUCAUAACAAAUUCAUCUUCUAAAGUUGGAGAACUUGCGAAAACUAGCAACCAUAAAAUAGUAACAAGUAUCUAUGCAAUCUUCGAUGAAGUACAACCACCUACGUCGCCAAUAUGGAUUGAUGUAGAGAACUGCUGCAAUCGUCAUCACCACAACUGUGUAACAUACACUGAAACUGAUGUAGAAAAACUCCAUGUCUAUGAAACCAUCAUCUUCUUGUUCAUCAUGAGGCACUGGCUGGGACAACACUACUUCUUCACUACAAUUGUUUCGCAAUGGAGGUCCACACAAGAAAGGAUUUCCUUCGUAACAGCUUUCAUCGAAGGUCCCAAACUGAUAUUUUCUCUCGGGUGUCUUACCUGACAAGUUAUUGUGCUCCACACUAAAAACUUCUAGUGUGGUCAUUUCAGUAAGUUGUGGAGGGAUGUCACCAUUCAAGUUGUUGUAAGAAAGAUCCAAACUCUCAAUCCGCUUCAGGUUUGAGAAUGUUGCAGGGAUAGAUCCAGUGAGAUUGUUGUGUGAUAAGUUUAAUGACAGUAUCUCGCUUAAGUUUCCAAAUUCUGGUGGGAUUGCUCCUACAAAGUUGUUAUUGGAGAGAUCAAUACCAGACAUGUAGAUGAGAAUUUUCCCUUUGUAACCAUAAUACAUAUUUUUAGUUGUAAAUUCUAUCACUUCUUCUGUAAAGUUAGUCCAAUAACCCUUUAAUAAGGUGUAUAUGCUAUCCACUUGUGGUGGACCCAUUAUUUCAUAAUAAGCCUUUUCUAAGAACCCUGGUAGUAAAAGAACAUCGAGAUUCACUAAUGCUUUCUGGGAACUUUCUUUGAAAGUAAGAUUUUCCAAACAGGAGGGUAAUGGACCAGAAAGCUGGUUUUGUGAAACAUCCAAAAUGCUUAAUUGUUUUAAUAAGCAUAACUGAACAGGGAACUCACCAUCAAAGUGAUUAGCUCUCAGAAGAAGAACACUCAAUGAUGAAAGAUUGCCAGCCCAAUUUGGAAUUGAGCCGGUGAAGCUGUUAUCUCUAAGAUCCAUCGUAACCAGGGAAGAGCUAUUAUAAAAUCCAUAUUUUAAUGGACCGCUCAAUCUAUUUUUGGAUAGAUGCACAUGGGUUAUUUGUGGUGAAUUGAAACAAGAUGGAAUAUAUCCAAACAAAUUGUUCUCAGAAAGGUCCAAAUAUUCAAGCUGGUCAAACUUACAAAAAAAGUCUUUUGGGAUAGGACCCUUAAAAUGGUUUUUUGAAAAAUCAAUUGCUCUAAGGUUCGUCGAAUUGACGAACCACCUUGGAAGCAUGCCUGAAAAUUGAUUGUUACUCAAAUCCAAUACAAUCCACGUUUUCCACCCGUUUAAUGGAAAAUCUGAUAUUUGACCCCAAAAGUUGUUAUCACCUAGAUAGAGAUAUUCUGAGGUAGAAGAAUUGAACACGGAGGUUGGUAUUUGCCCACCCAAAUUGUUGUUUGACAGCUUGAGAAACAUUAAUGUUGUUAGUAGUUCUAGUUUUACCGUGGACAAUUGAUUGUUGGAUAAAUCUAAAACUCUCAAAGAGCUAAUAUUUCCUAAACAAGAAGGAAUACAACCCGUGAAUCCAUUCUUAGCCAUCCUUAAUCCCUUCAGAUUUGGAAAGAUCAAACAAAUAUCCUUUGGAAUUUGACCGCUCAUGUUGUUGUUGGAUAUAUCCAAUUCGGUCAUUUUCGGAUAUGGGUGAUCUUGCAACUGCAAAGUACCAACAAAGGAGUUCCCGCUCAGAUAUAGUUGCUCCAAUCGUGUAUUGUUCUUAAGCAACCACGAUGGAAACAUUCCGGUGAUGUUGUUGUGGGAGAGAUCAAGGAAUCUUAAGUGGUAUUGGUAAUAGAGGAAGUUGGGAAUUUCUAUAUUGAGUGCUUCCGUUGUUUUUGUCGAGCUAAAAAAGACUAGUUGGAACUUUGGAAUCAACUGAUCAAAUGCAGCAGGUUCUAUUACUAAUCUGUUGUUCUCAUUGCAGAAGAACUUGAGGCUUGAGUGGUUCAUAAAAGGUUUCAUUGAAGUGGGAACUUCAAAGAGGUUAUUUGAUAGUGAGAGGAAUUCAAGGGAUAUGAGGUUGGUAAGGGGACCGAAGGCAAUAUUUCCAGUAAAUUGGUUUUCAGAAACAUCUAAUAGUUGUAGAGAAGACAAGUUCCCCAAACAAUAUGGGAGUGAACCUCCUAAAUCAUUUUCAGAGAGAUCUAAUUGCUUCAGAUUCUUCAUUUCACACCAACCUGUACAAUUUAUGGAUAUAAAGUCGUUAAAGAUGAAGGCUAAGUCAAACAUGAUAAAAUACUAUCAUUAAAUUGAUCAUUGCAUAGAUAUAAAGUCCUUUUUUAUAUAUAUAUAUAUAUAAUGUAAUGAAUAUUAUUGAUUAUUCAACAUAGUUUUAAAUAAUAUAAUAUUUUUUAAAUUUAUAAUAUUAUAAAUUAUAAAAUUAUUGAUACUUGCAAUGAAGACCAAGUCUCAAAAUACCAUAUCCACUGGCAGUGGUAAUGCAGCGAAGCAUUGAAUUUCUAAACAUCCUUACCUUUUGUUUUAUAUUGCUAUGUAUAUACAAUGCUUUAAUCAAAACCUAUAAUGCAGGAAUAUCUGCAGAUGGCCAUUCCCAAAGGGAAAACUAAUCUUCCCUAGAAUAUUACAAAGUGCCAUUUCUACAGUGAGACACUGAAUAGUGAAAUUAGUGUUUCGUUUUUGUUGUUUUGUUGCUGAUAACUAGAUCUGUUAAAUCUUUUCCCUGUACUUUUACAUUAUGCAGUAAACUGGUCCCUUCAUUAGUUUUUCGUUAGUCAAAUAUUGUAGAGCUGUCAGCAAUAUUUCCUCUGUUUGUUCCACUAACUUGACGGUAAAAUGUGAUUAAAGAAUCAAUUAAUUAUUUAAAAAACGUCGAGGGAUUAAUUUGUUUGUUUCACAAAAAACAGACACUGGUUAUAUAAAAUUAUACUCAAAUUUUUUUCAUCAUAUGCGUGUGUUUACUUGUAAAUAUUUUGGAAGGAACUAGUUUAUGUUUUGCGCAACAUAAAAAAAAUCAUCUAGGCUUAAGAAACUAGCUCGAUCUAGUGGAUUAAUUUUUAAUUUUUUUUAUUUGACUUUUUAUCUAUAUCAAGUUUAACAUGAAAGUUAAUGUCUUUGUUUAAUUCGCAUGAUAACAAUUCUAUGUCUAAGAUCAUUUGGUUGGCAUACAUAUGUAAACCUAGGUGUUGUUAGUUCGAGGGAAGGAAGACACAAUAAAAAAUAAACAAACAUGGAUGAUAUGUCAUUUAUGUUUUACUUUUUUUAAUUAAAAAAACAGGCUUAAUAAAAAAUAUCAAGCGAGGUCAGAUGCGCGAGCCUUGUUUUAUAAUUUUUUAUUCAAAUUUUAAUAAUUGUUUUCAAUUAUUAUGCAUAUGACAUAAAAAUCUGUUCAUGAAAAUUAAAUUCAAAUCACUUUUUUAAUCUUAGAAUUUUUAGAUAUAUUUUUAGCAUAAUUUUAUCAUAUUUAUGAUUUUUUUUAACUUUCAAUCACAUGAAUAUAUUAUUUUGAUACAUUUUUAAUUUGUUGUGACAAUUAUAGAAUAUUCUUUUAAUAGAAACAAUGAUUCUAGUUAAGAAAAAAAUCUUGCAUUCAUCGAGAUAAACAAGAAAUAUGUUAAUAAGAAAAUUUAUCUUGAUGGAGAAAAAUUCAAAACGACUAAAUUUUCAAGUUUAAUAACAAUGCCAAGGAGUUUCCUUAGACUUGGAUAUUUUGUUCUACGUUUAAAGUUUUUUUUAUCUCCAUAACAUAGCAUUAGCAUACAAACUUGUAUAUUUUUAAGACAGCGUUUGGUUACUAUCCGGGACAAUAAAGACAAAGACAGAGGAGACAAGACAUAAAAGAAGAUGGAGAUAGAAUUGUGUUCAGUAGUGAUGUACAAGAUAAAAUAAUUGUCUUUGUAUCAUAUUUAGUUAUGUUGAAUAAGAAAGAAUAAAAUACAUAAAAAACUAUUUUACCUUUAAUAUGUAUUGUUGUCAAACUUCCAUAUUUAAAAAAUAAUUAUUUUUAUUUUUUUACUUUAGUUUAUAUUGAAUGUUGAAAUUAUUAAUAUUAUAAUAACCCUAAUUAUAAAACCAGGACUGAUUUGACAGGUUGGUUUAAGGCGUAGACUUGCCCGAGUUUUAGAAAAAUAGAUUAAUGAUUAACUAGACCUGACCUGGUAAAAAAUAUGAGUCAGGUUAAGAUAAAACACAAGUAAAAAACCCAUUGACUUUUUUGAAAAAGAAAAUUGGUCAAAACAAGGUUUCUUUGACUAUUUUUUUUAAAAAAAAAUUGGGUCAAUCAGGUUGACCUUCCCAACCCAUGACCUACACCUUUCCUUUGGUCAACUCCUAAGUUGAGUUUUAAAACUAUGAUAUUAAUAAUUUUUAUCCAUACUCAGGUCAACCUGUGUUGACCCUCUCGAUCCAUGACCUAGGCCUUACUUCUGUCGACUCCCGAGUCGGGUUUUAAAAUAUGAUAAUAACUAUUUUUAUCCUUACAUUAAUCCGGGUCGACUCUCUUGAUUCGUGACCCGAGUCUUACCCCAAAUUGACUAUCGAAUCAAAUUUUAAAACUAUGAUUAUAACCACCUUUAUUUUAUGUUGACCCGGGUCAAUCCGGGUUGACCCAUAUAACACGUGACUCAAGCCUUAUCCCGAGUCGAUCCCCGAUUUGGGUUUUAAAACUAUAAUAAUAACUAUUUUUAUCAUUACAUUUACCUAGGUCAAUAAUCAACCUCACUUGUGACCCCAAAAUUGCCCGGGUCGACCCUUAAAUCGAGUUUCAAAAUAUGAUAAUAACUAUUUUUAUUUUUAUACUAAUACAGGUCAACUCAACUCGUGACUCGGGCCUCAACCAGUGACCCAGAAUUUACCCCGGAUCGACCUCAAAGUUGGAUUUUAAAACUAUGAAAAUAAUUAUUUUUACCUUUAUAUGUCUUAAUUAGACAAUUUAGAAUUGAGAGUUUUUUAUAAGGAUAUUUUAGAAAUAAAAAAUAAUAAAUAUUGUCUCUAUAAACAUGUCCCUUCUAUACCUCAUAUUUUGAAAAUAUAAAAAUUCACUCUAAAAUUAUUCUAGAGACAAAUUUAUUUUUAUGUAUUUGUCUUUAUCUCUUUAACCAUAUAUAUUUAUAUCUUUAUUGUCUUCAUCCUUUUUAUCACACGACAAUGACCAAACAUUACCUAAAGGAUCUACAACUACUGAUGACAAACUUGGCUUUAUUUCAUCUUUGAUUUCUUCUCAAUGAUAUCUCACCUAUAUGUGUGGAGGCACUAGAUCGUUGAUUGAAAGGUUGACUUUGAAAAAAUAUAUUCAUAAAGUAAUGUUUGAAUCUUGGUGUUUUUUAUUGGCUCAAAAAAAUUACCAACCCACCAAAACCAACAUGUAUGAAACAUUUAGAUUUAAUAUUAUAUGUAUAAUUUAUUAUCAUAAUUGAUAUGCUAUUCAACUCACUAACUUAGUAGGAUGACCUAUAAUACCUGUUGAUCUAGGAUUUUAGCCGAAUCAAGCUUUAAGCCAGAUAUAAUAACUAUGAUUUUAUAAAAUUACUAUGAACUUCCCUUUUAUGUCUUCUUAUUUACUCAUUUGAUUUUAUGAAGUUAAGAUGUUUGCAUUUAUAUCAUGAUUAAACUCUAGGAUAACAUUUAGUUAUUACUUCAGGAUAACAAAAAUAAAGAUAGUAAAGACAAAAUUAUGUUUGGUUGAAAAGACAUAGAUAUAAAAAUAAUUUUUUUCAUGGGAUAAUUUUAGAGUGAAUUUAUGUACUUUCAAAAUAGAAAGUACAAAUAAGAUAUAUCUUCAUAAACAAUAUUUUUUAUUUUUAUUCCUAAAAUAUCAUUGAAAAAACUUUCAAUUCCAAAAUUGUCUAAUUAAAACAUGUAAGAACAAAAAUAGUUAUUAUCACAGUUGUAAAAUCUAACUCGAGGGUCGACCUGGGACAAGGCUUGGGUCAUUGUUUGGGUUGACCAUUGACCCGAGUCAACAAAAAAAUAAAAAUAGUUAUUAUUAUAAUUUUAAAACCUAACUUGGAGGUCGACUCAGGGCAAGACCCGGGUCAUAGGUCAGGAGGGUCAACUCUGGUUGAACUGAGUUAAUGUAAGGAUAAAAGUGGUUAUUGCAAUAGUUUUAAAACUUGACUCAGAGAUCGACCUGAUGUAAGCUCAGGUCUUGGGCUAGGAGGGUUAAUGCAUGGAUAAAAAUAAUUAUUAUCAUGAGUCGAUUUGAGACAAAGCCUAGGUUAUGGGUUGGGAGGGUCAACCCGAGUUGACCCAAUUUUUUUUUUUAAAAGAAUCAACACAACUUUGUUUUGACCAUUUUUUUUUAAAAAAAAAUAGCUGGUUUUGCCCUAUGUUUUAUCCCGAGUCGACCUGUGUUUUAUCCCGAAUCAACUCGGUUUUUUAAUUCACCUAUCUAUUCUUAAACUUAGAUUAAUACAGGCUUAGAGACGACUAGGUCCCGAAUAGAUUCACUAGGUCAGUCUAGGUUUUAUAACUAGGAUUAUUAUAAUAUUAUUAAAAUUAAACUAAAGUAAAAAAAAAUCUAAUUAUUUGUAUAAAUAUGUAAGUUUAACAAUAAUGCAUAUUAAAGGUAAAAUAAUUUUUUUAUUUUUUAUUUUUUUUAUUUAUCAUUAUCAAAUAAGAUAUAGAGACAGUUACUACCAAACACAAUUUUAUUUUCAUCUCCUUUUAUAUCUUGUUUUCAUGGUCUUCUUCCUUUUUAUUCAGGACAGUAACCAAAUAUUACCUAGUUAUAACAUAUAGAAACAUAUAAGUUGUCAAGUUCAAGCCUUUCUCUUAUCGAUUUAAAUAAAUUGAAACACAAUUGCAAGAAGAUUCGAGUGUGUUUGGUAUUGUGAUAGCUUUUGUGGUUGUGAUUUGAAAAAAAAUUGUUUUAUAAAAAAUACUUUUGGUUGAGGUUGGUUUGGUAUUUAUAUAUAUUUGGUUCAAACUGUGGUUGAAAUUGAGGUUGAACAAAAAGUAGUUUAAUGUGUUUGGUUAAGAAUGCUUUUCAAAUUGAGGUUAUAAAAUAAUUAAAAAAAGAUAUUAAUAUUAAUGGUUUUUAAUUUAAAUAUUGUAGAUUUAACUACUGUUAUUACAUCAUGAAAUAAAUAAUACUUUAUAUAAAAUAUUUUUAUUGUUCCAUUAAACUAUCUACAAUUCCAUCACGUACGAAAUCCAUCCGACAAGGACUACAGUUUCCUUGGUUUUUUAAGUGCGCAACAACAUCAUGUAAAAUAUCAUCAAGAACAAAAUUAGGAUUGCGAUCAAAUUCUGUAAAUGUUACGUCAUUAAGCGAUCUCCUUCUAAUUUAUGUAGUGUCAUUGAAUAAUGUUAAACAUUAGUUUUUUUGAAUAAAAUACAAUUAAAAAUAAAAAAAUUGAAUUUUAUUUUAUUUUACUGGGUCGGACCCGGUUCAAUGCAUUUAGCUUUGAACCGGACCCAAUUCGGCCGGAAUAAUAAAACAUUCUCCACUGUUCACGUGAACAGUGGAGAGUGAAGUAAUUCACUCUCACUAGGUGGAGACAACAGAAGAAAAGAAAAGGCAGCUUUGAGCUGCUUUCAAUGACACUGCAUUUUAAACAUAAAUUAUAAUGGAUCCUGUAAACAGUAAAUAAUAUUUUAUUAAUUAUCACAUGAUUGAUUUCUGUGGUUUGUUACAAAAACAGAAGCAACCACAGAAAUAAUCAGGUUCAAAGAAGAAAAGACAUAUGAUUAAAGUGCCACGCAACCUUUUGACAUUAUCAGUAUUUUGAUGUAUUUCCAUUAAUUUAUAAUAUACAAGUAUAUUUCCACGUUUCUUUUAUUUGGAUAGAACAUCUUUCCAAUAGAAUUUGUUUUUAUUAGAAUUCCAUAUUCAUGAUAUUUUUUUAAUAAUAAAAAUAGCAUUGGAUGAGUUUGUAUGUCAAUUGAAACUAAAAAUGUGUUAGAUACGAUCGAUGGAUUGAACAUGAUAAUAUAAAUAUCAAAUAAUGUUUAAUUAGAUUAAAUUGAACUAGAGAAUAUAUGUUUUUAUUCUAUGUUUGGUGCACACAAAAUAAGAUCAAAUAAUUUUAUUUUUAUCAUUGAGAUUUUUUCAAUCAUUUAUUUUAGUCUUUGCAUUUUAUUUUUAUGAUAUUUUAGUCCUUACUAGAAUUUCUUUAUCAUCUAGAACAAUCUAGUUCUUAAAUCAAAAAGGUUUUUGCAAUUAAACUCUUACAUGUAAAUAUUUAUUUUAAUAAAAUUGGUCAAAUUUUGGUUUUCCAAAUUAAAAAAUAAAUAAGUGAUAAAUAAAUAAUAGAUAAUAUAAAAAUUAAGAAAAAAUAAUUUUGUACAAAUUUUUUGUCCUGAGGAAAACUUUGGACAAGACAAUGACAAUGAUCAAUCCUUGUCAUGUCCAAAGUGUAUAUCAAACAUUUCAUAGCUUGCCAUGUGCAACAAAUAUAUCACAACUUGUUUUUAUUGUAUUCUAUUAUGAUCUCUUUUGUGUUUUAUAUUAUUUAAUAUAUUAAAAUAAAUUUAAUAAAUUAUACUGAAGCAAGAUCUAAUAUUAGAAAGUUAACGGAAAUAAUAAAUGUACCUUUGCCCGUCCCUUCAACAAAAUGCUGAGCUGUAUACUAAUUCUCAGAGGCAGUGAUAACUAGUUGUUCUAACUAAUCCCUAUACUUUUAAAUAUGUUUACAAUUCAGUCCCUUCAUUAAUUUUUCGUUAGUAAAAUGUUGAGCUGUCAGCAAUAUUUCCUUAGUUUGUGCCGCUAACUUGACGGUAAAAUGUGAUUAAAGGAUCAAUUAAUUAUUUAAAUCAACUUGAGGGAUUAAUCUGCAUUUGCUUAACAAAACGACAAACACUAGUUAACUCAAAUUUAAGGUAUGUUUGUUUUUAUAUUUCAAAAACGUUUUGAAAAAAUUUGAAAAUUUUUUAUUUUUUUCUUUGCUUCAAAUUAAUAUUUUUUGGUAUUUUUAGAUCAUUUUGAUAUGCUAAUAUUAAAAAUGAUUUUUUUCAAAAAACAUAUUUUAAUAUAUUUCUGAGUGAAAAACAUUUUAAAAAAUAUCUGUAACCACACUCUCAAACAAUCACAUUCCCAUACAGGUUAAUCAUCAUAUGCGUGCAUGCGUGCGUGCAAGUGGGGUUCAAUCCGGGUGCCCUAGCAUUAUAUUAUAAUACUUAUAUAUAUAAGAAACCCUGUAUGGAUUCGUACAACACUGGAAUGCAAUGAUUGAAUGAAAUAUUACAUGGACAUUGGACCUGCUGUGUAAACAUGUUUAGGAUGGAUGCGACGACAUUUCAGAGUUUUUGCUUUCAACUUGGAAACCAAUGUCAUAACCCAAUUCUGGGUUAUUCCCCAAAAAUCAUUUUUUUUUCAAAAUAAAAAUCAAAAUAAUAAUAAUAAAAGCUGGAAACGUGGAGAAGGCAAACCGGGGAAUCAAGUUGUAAUUUUGGAGGAAAUUCAAGGCCUAAUUGUACCCCAUUAUGCCAAAAAAUGGAGGAAAAAAAUGCAAAUUCAAGGUCAAAUUAAAUGACUAUUGGAUGAAUUUGCAUAAAAAUUAAGUCCAAGAACAUAAUUAAAUUUUUAAUAGGCCAAUUUGAUUUAAUCAUGGGCCAAAUUGAAUUUUAAUUAUGUUUAAGAAUUAAUUUGGGUCCAAUUGAAGGAUUUAGUUAAGUGCAAGGACUUAAUUAUACUUUAAAUGGGUAAAAUUAAUUUUAUUUGGGGCUUAAUUGGUGAAAAAUUAAGUUUGGGAGCCUAAUUUGGGCUUAAUUGAGAAGAUUGGAAUUUUAAGAGAUCAAAUUUAAUUUUUUCCAAGUUAAUUGCUUGAAAUCAGGGGCCAAAUUGCAAGAAAAUUGAAGUUUUGGGGUCAAUUAGGGGUUAAAUUGACAAAAUUUGCAGCCAAGGACCAAUAUGCAAAAAGUGCCAAACUAUAGGGCCUAUUGGCAAAAUCCAGGGUGAAAUUGAAGAAAUUGAAAGUUUAAUGGUUGAUUAGGGGUUAAAUUGCAUAAAUCCAAGACUAAAGACUUAUAUGCAAAAGGCGCGUAAAUUUGGGGUUCCAAUUGAAGUUCAGCAAGGGCGUAAUUGCAUUAAAUCAAAAGUUUAUGGUCAAUUAGGAGUUCAAUUAAAACAAAUUGAAAUCUGGAGGACUAAAUUAAAACUUAGUUAAAAUCCCUAAUUCAAACCUAAAACAACAUUGUUUUGAAUAAUAAUAAUAAAAAAAGAAUCAGACAACACGUCGUCUGGUCAUUAUUUAUUGUCUUCUUCUUUUACCCGGUUAAUCAUCAUAUGCGUGCGUGCAAGUCAGGGUUAUUGUGUUGUCUAUUCCGUGUGUAAUGUGGGGUUCAAUCCAUGUGAAUCGCACGACUUGUCCAUAUCUUUCUUAUUGAUUACAAAUAGCAUUGAGAAUUAAAGAAUAUUAUCUUAAUAAGUUCCAAUUUAUUCUACAAAAACUAUAUAUAAAGAUGUGACAAAAUCUUAAGUUCCAUUUUAUUCUACAAAAACUAUAAAGAUGUGACAAAAAGAUGCAGCUUACGGAUCAAGCCUGGUUCAGGUUUUGAUCCUGUUAAAAAUCUAUUUUGUUGAAUUGUUCAUCAACUCGUGAAUUAUUGGGUUAAAUAGAUUAAUUUUUUAAACAAAACAAUGCCAUUUUUUUUAUAUAUAAAAAAUUUGGUUCUGGCGUAUAAAUAUAAUAUUAGAAACUUAAACCUUAUUGAUUAGCAAAAACUCAAAGGGAAAUUUUGAAAUAGAUUUUUGUAAAAUCAAAUAUGAACCAAGUACUAGAAAGUUUGUUUGAAAUAACAAUUACUUUAUAGAAAGCAAAUAUAAAUAUAUUUAUUAAAUUUAAUAAAGUUUAAAAUCAGCAAGUUAAGCUACGAAACCCUGAUCAAUUUAAUAUAAUGCCGUUCAAUACAAAAAAAAAAUACAUCUUAAAAAAAAUUUAAGUUAAAUCAUGUUUCUACCUAUUAUUUAGGUUGUCUUCAGACUUAUAAAGUCGACUAGGUUAUAUUAGAAAAACUUUUAUAUAAUUAAAUUUAAAACUCGAGUUAGGAAAUUUUAAUAUUGAUUUGUUGAAUCGGAUUUAAUAACAAUACCAAAAAUCUAAAAUUUACUUUUUUAAUCAAUUUUUUUUAAUUCAACUCGUAUCAUAACACAGUAUAGUAAAAUAAAUAGAUAUAAAAUAUUUUGAUGGAUCCUCGGGAUAAGAGAUUGUUUUAGGACAUUUUGCUAAUUUCUUUUGUUAUCUAAUCAACAAGCUCAUAGUGAAUAAGUAUAUAAAUAUAUACAAUUAAAUUAAAUAACAUAUAAGAGAAAAAUGGUCGAAAGGUAAAGCUAAAGUGAUGCGACGUUGAGCCACUAGUCGAUAGUUGUAACGUCAGUUUGUUGGUUCGUCGUUCGUUUCUCGGAUUUAUUGAUCUUUAGAUUGUCUGUUUCUAGAAAAGAAAGAAAGAAAUAUUUAUAUUAUCAAUGCAAUGCAAUGCAAUGACUAAUAAGAGCUUGAAAUUAAGAGGUUUGCUUUCUCUAUAGUUUCAGGUUCGAACCCUGUGGUUGCUCAUAUGAUGGCCACUGAAGAUUUACAUGGUCGUUAACUUUAGGGCCCGUGGAAUUAGUCGAGGUGCGCAAAUUAUUAUCAUUUUAUCAAUGUAUACUACAUCUUUUUCUCAAUUGUUUGAGUUUGAAAUUAUAUCUGUGAACCCAUUAAUUUAUCUAGAAAAAAAAAAUUUAGGUAAUUGGAUCAAUCCUUGAUAUCAUAUAGAGAUAAAUUAAUUGUUUUGAUUAAAACAAUAUCAUUUUAUUUAAAAAUAAAUUUAUAAUAUUAAUUGAAUCACUAAAAACACAACUAGACCAAUCAUGUUUUAAAUAUUUUUAAAUAUUUUUAUAUUUAAUUUGAAAUUGAUUUAAAUUAAACUUUAAAUUAUGGGUUUUUCAAACUAACAUGUGUUGGGUUACGUCGAUUGAGUUAGGUAUAACAUAUCUAGAAGAAUUUAUUAAAUUUCUCUAUAAUUAGUCAAUCGAUGAGGGAAUUUAGUUUUAAUUGAUGGAGAAAUUAAUUUAAAGAUACCAUGCAAGAUAUAAAAAAAAACAUUUAAAGAUAUCAAUUAUUGUUUUCCGUUUAAUUAUAAAUAGAAUGAAGAGAGCGAUGCUCGCUGCACUUUUAUAAGCGACUAAAGUAGUUUCCAUCUUAGAUACAGUUAGAAUCUCCCAUAUCUGUCAAAAUGCCAAAAAAGCUAUUCGCAAAGAAACUCUCAAAAACUGACAUUAAUUAAAUAUAGAAUGGCAGUUCCAAUGGAAAGCCUCUACGCUUUCCAAAUCCCAGAAGGAGAACACUCUAAAGAAUUUGGUGUCACUGGCAUCCAUGGCAAGAGGUGGAGGUUCCGAUGUUGUACAAGAAAAACUGAGUUGAUCACCUUAAACCAGUCAUGUUUUCAGUUUGGAUUGAGUUCGCCAAAAAAAAGGGUUCUCAAAAAAGGUGAUGAAGUCACCUUCUCUGUGCUGGACAUGAAGGGAGCUGAGGAUCUGGAAUUGGGAAUUCAAGCUCGGAAAAGAAUCAAGCUAUUCGGCCAAGAUUUUUGGAGUAAUCCUUUGUGAAGAAGAAGAAGAAGAAGAAGAAGAAGCUACUCCUCGCAUAAGUAUAGAUUUUGUGCACCGAAGAUUGUGUCUGUGAGUAAUAGAGCUGGUUGCCUAUGUACAAUUAGUAUGCUUUGGCAGGAACUUCGUGACUGGUCCUUGGAUAGCUGAGAAAGCCAAGUCUAUGGCAACUUCAGGGGAAUCCAGGAGCAGGAAAAAAAUCAAGGUGAAAGGAUAUGAAUUUGCUAGUGCAACUGCUGCAAAGGAUCUAGGAGACAUAAAUUUGCGAACUAGAGAAGAGUUAAUUUUGAGCUCUGCAUUCUUCUUGCAUGUUCAUCUGUUUCCCGUUGUGGUUGAUCUUAGCAGUUCUCAGUAUAGUAAUUUGCAUUUCCUUCUAGAUCAGAUGAUUAAUGGAUUAUCAGGCAUGGACUGCGAUGUAGUCGGUGCUAGGGAAUCAACAAAGUUAACUCAUUGUAUUUUCAUAAAUUAAAGGGAUUUCUCUUCUUUUCUUUGUCAAUUACAGUGCAUGAUGUAUAAAAGUUUUCUUACUCAGAGUAAAUGCUAUUGUAAUGUUUUCACAGAGACUCCUCUAUUUUGCAACUAAUUCACUUAUAUAUCUUGGAAACAGAAAGGCAAUCAACGAAGAGUAAGGCAUCUUCUGAAGAAACAAAGAAAUUUAAUGCCCUAAACUAAGCAGCAGGUAGAAGGCAAAAACUGAGCUCAAAUUUUCAGUAAGGGACAAACGAAAAAAACCAAAAAGAAAGCAGAGAAAAAUACAGACUCAAAUUCACAACACCCAUUUUCUUUCCAUUGGAACACUUUAAAUAGUUUAUUAAAUUUAUAAUGAUCUGAUUUCUACGCAUAUUACAAAAUCAACUUCAUGAUCAAUUCUCUAUAAUUUCGGCAUUACUAAAAACAUCCAAACUAAUAAACUAUUAGUUAUUUUAGCCAUUUUAAUAAACAUUUUAGUUAUGAAUUCACCAAACAUUUUGAACAAUUCAUAUGGAUGAAUUAACAUGUUAAUUUUAGAUUUUUUAACUUAUUAAUUCCUUCAUGAAUUACUUCUAAAGCAUGUUAUAUAUAUCUAAGCACUUUUAUAUAAUAUAAUUCUAUCAAAUUCACUUUUACCCAAUGUAUAAUAUAAACAUCCAUAAAAAAUAACUUAUAUUGUCAAUGCAAUGAAAUGACUAAAUAACAUUUAAUUAUUAUAAUAGCUUUGUCCUCAUACCUAAGGAAGUAUACUACGUCUUUUUCUCGAUUCUUUGAGUUUGAAAUUAUAUCUUUGAACCCAUUAAUUUAUCUAAAAAAAAAUUUAGGUAAUUGGAUCAAUCCUUGAGGUCAUCAUAUCAUAGGGAUAUAAAUCAAUUAUUUUUAUUAAAAAUAAUUUUUUUUUUAAUAUUUUCAUAUUUAACUUGAAAUCGAUUCAAAUUAAAUUUUAAAUUACAGGUUUUUCAAAUUAACAUGUGUUGGGUUAGGUCUAAUAUAUCUAGAAGAAUUUAUUAAAUUUCUCUAUAAUUAGUCAAUCGAUGAGGGAAUUUAGUUUUAACUAGUUACAUGACCCGCGCGAUGCCACGGGUCAAUUUUGUUUUGCAUAAAAAAUAUCAAAAAAAGCUAAGAUCUAAAAGUGUUAGGUCUUUCUAUAAAGUUAUACCCAAAAGUCUUGGGUUUGGCUACAACGCCUGAUCCAAAAAUAAUAUUUAUAAUAUUAAUAAUAACAUUAAACUUGCAUAUAUCCACGAAUAUGUACAAUAUUUGAAACCUAUAAUGCAAGAAUAGCUGCAGAUGUACAAUAUUUUUAAUUUAAAGAAUCAAUUAAUUAUUUAAAAAACUUGAGGGAUUAAUUUGUUUGUUUUACUCAAAUUUUUAUUGUUUACUUGUAAAUAUUUUGAAAGGCACAACAUGAAAAAAUCAUAUAUGCUUAAGCAACUAUUUGGCAUCUUAAACUUAAUCUCGUAAAUUAAUCUUAAAUCCUUUUUAUUUAACUCUUUCCCAGUAUCAAGUUUAAAAUUAAUCAACAUAAAAGUUGUUUUAAUAUAACUUAGUUAAUUUAAUGGGUUCAAAAUUAAUACAUAUGACAUGAGAUCUACCAGCCAUCAUCUGGCCGGAAACGGGCCGCGAUCGUCGACUGCCACCGAAGCUUCAAGUCGUCGAUUCUCGCUCAUCAGCCAUCAACGGCCGUCAAGACCACCACCAUAAGAAUCCUCGACAUCAGAUCUACCAGGAUCGACCAUCGGUUGGCCAGAAAUCGCGCCGGAAAAUCUCCCCGCCGCCAACAGUAGCCGCGCGUGUGCCACACGCGCCGCCAGUGGCAUUUUUGUAAAUUUUGGAGAAACCCGAGGGUAUUUCAGUCUUUUACCUAUACAGUGGCACUCAGGUAAUUUUUCGGGGUUUCUACUGGUAUUUUUGAUAUUUUUUAUAUAUAAAUGCUUGUAAAUUUUCUUGCAUGUUGUAAAAAAUACAAAAACCAAAGUCGACACGUCUCUUUUUUUAAAAGGACCGAUGUCAAAAAUGUAAAUACCAAAUAUGGCAUAUGUCCAUUAUUUUUUUUUGGUGACCCAGACGUAAUUCUCCUUUUUAGGGUUGAAACGUCAUAUUUUAGACAAGUCUCCUAAUUUUUAGGGACUGAUGUCAUUUUUAACGUGUCUCCUAUUUUUAGGGACCGACGUUAACCAUUUAAAAAAACAAAUUACCAAUAAACCCAAAAUAUAAUGGAUUAUAUCCAUUAUUUCUUUUGGUAACUCAGACGAGUCUCCAAUUUUUAGGGACUGAUGUCAUUUUUAACGUGUCUCCUAUUUUUAGGGACCGACGUUAAUCAUUUACAAAAAUUUACAAAUAAGCCCAAAAUAUAAUAGCAUUUGAAUCAAAUAAAAACACACAAGUAAGGGUAACCUUUCUUUUGAAAGGAUGUUUUAAGGGUGGUGUCUACCUUCCCUUAAUCAUAACUAACCCCGUACCCGAAUCUCUGGGACCAGUGUCUAAUUUGGGAUUUCUAGUUCCCUCAAAUUACUAGAUGGCGACUCCAAUAAAAUCUUUGUUUCCCCCAAUCGAGAAAAAAACCCUUUUUGUUAAACAAACAAAAAAAGCGGGAGCCGUCGCCCGACGUCGUGUAUCGACAAAUGUCUGCAAAUCUUGUGGUCAUAUACAGGGUGCCGGUUUUCUUUCCACGAGCCAAAACCAUUGCUCCCUUUGAUACCUUCCACAUACCUCCAGAAAAAAGGAUUGAAUGACCACUAUCAUCAAGUUGUCCGACCGAGAUCAGCUUCUUCUUUAGAUCAGGAACAUGCCUUACAUUUUGCAAGGUCUAUAUAGAUCCAUUCAUUGUCUUGAUUUGUACAUCUCCUAAACCCACAAUAUCCAAUGGUUGUCCAUCGGCCAGAUAGACUACACCGUGAUCUCCAGCAAUAUAGUUUUGCAUCAUUUCAUGGUGUGGUGUACAGUGAAAUGAAGCACCAGAAUCAAGAACCCAAUCAUCAACAGGACUAUGCACAGCAAGAAUCAAAGCAUCUUGCACCUCAUUUGUGGUAGCGUUUGCAGAGUCAGCUUCAGGUUUUUUCGGUUUUGUGCAAUUCCUCAUGAAAUGACCGGGUUUGCCACAAUUCCAACAUUCAACCUGUUUUCUGGGUCCAAACUUGCUUUUACUUCUAUAUCUUGAUUUUGAUCUGCCUCUGGAUAAGCCUCUAUCAUGUCUCCUCCCUCGAGUGUUGAUGUUGAGAGCUGAUCCUGAGCUUGAACUUUCACCCGAGUCUUUCCUUCGCACUUCUUCAGCCAAAAUCAAGUCUCGAAUGUCAUCAUACUUCAGUUUGGAUUUUCCAGCUGAAUUGCUCACGGCUGUCCUCAUGCCUUCCCAACUGCUUGGAAGUGAAGCUAGCAAGAUGAGUGCACGAAUCUCAUCAUCAAACUCAAUCUCAACAGAUGAUAAUUGAUUUGUGAUGGUAUUAAAGUUAUUGAGGUGUUGUGUCACAGAAGUGUUUUCGACCAUCUUCAAGUUGAACAACUUUUUCAUCAGGUGCACUUUAUUAUUUGCUGAUGGCUUCUCAUACAUCCCAGACAAGGCUUCCAUCAAUCUUGCAGUGGAUCUUUCUUUCGUAACAUUGUGAGCAACUCUUCUUGAUAAGGAUAACCGGACAAUGCCCAGAACUUGUCUAUCAAGAAGUAGCCAAUCUUCUUCUUGCAUAUUUUCUGGUUUGCUCCCCAACAAGGGAAGAUGAAGUUUCUUCCCAUAUAGAUAAUCCUCAAUUUGCAUUUUCCAGUAUCCAAAAUCUGUCCCGUCAAAUUUUUCAAUUCCAGCUGCUUUUAUUUCAUCUGCCAUUUUUACUGCUUCUCCGAUUCGAAUUUCCCAAAUCUGACCUUACAGAUGUGUCCGGAACAGCCGAAAACCUUGGAAAUGACACUGAGAUAACCCCAAUCGGACUUCGGAUGGCUCAGAUUUUAGCAAUCAAAGUUUUGGAUUAACGGACGGUGCAGAUGCAGCCGCGUGUCAACCAGAGUACCGCCUGCGUCGCACCGGAUCAAAACCUCAGUAGCGGUUCUGAUGAAGCCACGUGUCAGCAGAUUAGGUCCUGCGUCACACCGUAUCAAAACUCAGUAACGGUUAUGAUGAAGCCACGUGUCAGCAGAUGAUGGCCUGAGUCACACUGGAUCAAUACUCAAUAGUGGUCCUGAUUUAACCACGUGUCAACUGAUUGGAUCUUGCGUCGUACUGGAUCAAAACCCCUCAACGGUUGUGAUGUAGCCACGUGUCAGAAUAUCAGCUUCUGCGACACAUCGGAACAAAACUCAGAGAUGACGUGGCAGGUGACGUGGCAGGUGACGCGGACGGUGACCGUACGGCUGUGCUGACGUGGCGGGUCAGCCCGACCCGUUUUGCAGAAGUCGGGCGAAGAUGGAGCGUGGCGCGCGUACGGCGCGUUGGUGCGCGUGGGCAGUCUGGGCGUCGGCGCGUGUUGGCGCGUGCGGGCAUGCAGGACGUCGGUUCUUCGCCGGGUUUUCAACAGUGGAUUCGUCCGGUUGUCCUCUACACGAUGGUAUGUUCAAAAACACGUUUUGAGAACUUUGAUUUUUGAGUUUGGAUCAAACACCCUCUUUGUCAAGAACAAGCUCUGAUACCAGUUGUUGGGUAAUUCCAGAACUCAAACACACAUCAAUUUACGUGGUUCGGCAACUUGCCUACUCCACGGAGCUACUGGUUUGUAUUAAUCAAGCUUAGAAACAAUACAAACAACAAAACAAGGAGGAGGAGAAAAUCUUCUCUACUCAACUCAAGCUCUCUCUCUCUCACGUUUUUCUCUCUGUGUUUUCACUCUUCUCUGUGUUCUUCACGCUUCAACCCUCCAGCUCUUCACUGAGCAUACAUAUAUAUUAAGCUAGGAGUGAAGGGCAUAAAUCAUGCCAUGAUUUAUGCCCACCGUUUGCCUCCACUUGUGCUAAGUGGAGAUUAGGUAUUCCCACUAAGCACAUAGUGGAGGUGGGACAUUGCUUGUCUCCAAAUAGCUAACAUAACUGAGGUGGGGUCGCCCUUGAAACAUUGGUAGAUGUAAGUGUUGCUCACAUGCAUAGAAUAUUUUUUUUCUACUUAGUAGUGGUUUUGGCAAUUUUUUUCAGACAAGUCUUGAGAGUUGAAAGAGUAAUCACACCCGAGUCAACCAACAAUCCAAAUCAGCUCCCUUCCUAAUGGUUCAGGAAUGAGAAGUCCAGCUUAUAUAUUUGAUAUAGAGACGGUACACUACAAAUUAAGCACCCAAUAACUAGACAAACAAUCAUGAUAAACUAGGAACAAUUGUCUUCCCAGUAACAAAUUCACCUUCUCACGUUGGAGAACUUGCGAAAACUAGCCACCACAAAAUAGUAGCAAGUAUUUAUGCAGUCUUCGAUGAAGUACGACCACCUGCGUCGCCAAUAUGGAUUGAUGUAAAGAACUGCUGCAAUCGUCAUUACCACAACUGUGUAACAUACACCGAAGCUGAUGUAGAAAAACUCCAUGUCUAUGAAACCAUCAUCUCCUUGUUCAUCAUUAGGCACUGGCUGUAACGGCACUGCUUCCUCACUACAAUUGUUUCGCAAUGGAGGUCCACACAAGAAAGGAUUUCCUUCGUAACAGUUUUCAUCAUCAAAGGUCCCAAAUUGAUAUUUUCUCUCGGGUGUCCUACCUGACAAGUUAUUGUACGCCACACUAAAAACUUCCAGUGUGGUAAUUUCAGUAAGUUGUGGAGGGAUGGCACCAUUCAAGUUGUUGUAAGAAAGAUCCAAACUCUCAAUCUGCUUUAGGUUUGAGAAUGUUGCAGGGAUAGAUCCAGUGAGAUUGUUGUGUGAUAAGUUUAAUGACAGUAUCUUACUCAAGUUUCCAAAUUCUGGUGGGAUUGCUCCUACAAAGUUGUUAUUGGAGAGAUCAAUACCAUACAUGUAGCUCAGAACUUUCCCCUUGUAACCAUAAUACAUAUUUUUAGUUGUAAAUUCUAUCACUUCUUCUGUAAAGUUAACCCAAAAAUCCUUUCCCAAGUUGUACAUACUAUCCCCUAGUGGUGGACCCAUUGUUUCAUAAUAAGCUUUUUCUAUGGACCAUGACGGAAAACCAUAUCCGAGAUCCGCGAGCGUUUUCUGGGAACUUUCCUUGAGAGUUAGAUUGCCCAAACAUGAGGGUAGUGGACCAGAGAGCUGGUUUUGUGAAACAUCCAAAAUACUUAAUUGUUCUAACAAGCAUAACUGAACAGCGAGCUCACCAUCAAAGUUAUUAGCCCUCAGAAGAAGAACACUCAAUGAUGAAAGAUUGCCAAUCCAAUUUGGAAUAGAGCCAAUGAAGCUGUUGUCUCGAAGAUCCAUCGUAACUAGGGAAGAGCUGUUAUAAAAACCAUAUGUUAAUGGACCGCUCAAUCUAUUUUUGGAUAGAUGAAUAUGGGUUAUUUGUGGUGGAUUGAAACAAGAUGGCAUAUAUCCAGACAAGUAGUUAUCAGAAAGGUCCAAAAAUUCAAGCCGGUCAAGCUUACAAAAGUCUCUUGGGAUUGGACCCUUAAAAAGGUUUUUGGACAAAUCAAGUACUUCAUCGUACGUAAAAUUAAAAAAGCUUCUUGGAAGCAUGCCUGAAAAUUGAUUGUUACUCAAAUCCAAUACACUCCAUACUUUCCACCCAUAUAAUGGAAAAUCUGAUAUCUGACCCCAAAAGUAGUUACCACCUAGGUAGAGAUAUUGUGAGAUAGAAGAAUUGAACACCGAGGUCGGUAUUUGCCCACCCAAACUAUUGUUUGACAGCUUGAGAACCUGUAUUGUUGUUAAUUGUUCUAGUUUUACUGUAGACAAUUGAUUGUUGGAUAAAUCUAAAAAUGAAAGAGAGCUAAAAUUUCCUAAACAAGAAGGAAUAUAACCUGUGAAUCCAUUGUCAGCCAUCCUUAAGAUCCACAGAUUUGGAAAGAUCAAACAAAUAUCUUUUGGAAUUUGACCAUUUAUGUUGUUGUUGGAUAUAUCUAAUUCGGUCAUAUUCGGAUAUGGGUGAUCUAGCAAUUGCAAAGUACCAACAAAGGAGUUCUCGCUCAGAUAUAGUUGCUCCAUUCGUGUAUUGUUCUUAAGCAACCAUGAUGGAAACAUUCCGAAGAUGUUGUUGUGGGAGAGAUCAAGGGUUCUUAAGUCGUAUUGGUAAUAGAGGAAGUCGAGAAUUUCUACAUUGAGUGCUUCCGAUGUUGGACUACUUGACAAGCGGAAAAAGACUAGUUGGAACUUUGGAAUCAAAUUAUCAAAGGCAGCAGAUUCCGUUACUAGUCUGUUGUUCUCACUGGAGAAGAACUUGAGGCUUGAGUGGUUCAUAAAAGGCUUCAUUGAAAUGGGAACUUCAAAGAGGUUAUUUGAUAGUGAGAGGAAUUCAAGGGAUAUGAGCUUGGUAAGAGGACCAAAUGCAAUAUUUCCAGUAAACUGGUUAUCAGAAACAUCUAAUAGUUGUAGAGAUGACAAGUUCCCCAAACAAUCUGGGAGUGCACCUCCAAAAUUAUUUCUAGCGAGAUCUAACUGCUUCAGAUUCUUCAAUUCACACCAACCUAUACAAUUUAUCUUGAAACAAUCAAAACAAUGUUGAAAGAAUCUUUUAUUGAUGAUGUAAUUAUAGGCGGAUGGAGAGUUGUUAAUUUACCUUGAGCGGGUAGGGUGCCAUGGAGGUCACAUUCAGCAACAGACAAAACUUUAAGAGCAGGCAAUGCUCCAGUGUUCUGGAGAAAGUUUAUUGGGAGAGAAGUAUUAUCUAGAUGCAAUUCUUCAAGGGUGCUAGAAUUGAAGAAAGUCCCUGUGAAAAAGAAAGAAGAAGAGAUAUGAUGAAAAUAGUGGUGGUACAGAAUAGCCAUUCCAUUCAAUAUUAUUAAUUAAGAUUUUAAGAAACUAAACUAUGAUUAACCUUGACUUAAAUUAGUAUCCUUGAGAGAAAGGGUCUUCAGCGAUGGCCAUGAACGCAAUGACUGCAGGAUGUCCAGAUUCCUUAAACCUAUGAUAUUUGGAUAGAAACAACAAAUUGCUUGAAGAAUCUAGAGAUUUCAAAAGGUAUUGUUAAGAAAUGAAGUAAAUAAUAGAAGAUGCCAAGAGAUAUUCAUAACUUUACCAUUGAUAGUCGUCGAUCCUAGCAACAUAUUGCCUGAUAAAUUUAAAGACUUGAGAUGAGAAAGUCCACGCAGAUGUGAUAAAAUGCUGUCAUUGAAUAUAUUAUUAUGGCUCAGGUCCAGGUUCUCGAGUUUCCCCAAAUGUGAUGAUAUGAUCUCAAAACCUGCAAGAGUAAGUCGUUAAAGUCGUUAUAUAAAAUAUAAUUCUAAUUUUGAUCUUAUUGGAAAUAUUACGAAACAAUUUUUAAAUAUCAUUCUAGUUUCGAUCUUAUUGGAGAAAAAAAAACAAUUUAUGGAUAUAAAGUCGAUAAAGAUGGAAGCUAAGUUAUGGAUAGACUUACAAAACAAGAUAAAGAAACUUAUAAUUAAGAUCUCAUCGGUAAUUAAAACAAGAAUAAUAAUCGAUCCUAGAUAGCAACAUAUUGUCCAAAUAUUUCACCAUAAAAUCACCCAUCACCAUUCACCACGACCAUAAGGCAAAAUCCUCCACCACAUAAUAAUAUUUUGAUUAAAAAAAGGUCCAAAAUAAUAUAAAACCAUGAUUAAAAAGGAGAGGAAAUAAUAAAUGGCUACAAACAAGAAUUAAAUAUCAUAUAUGUGGGUUUUAUGUUGUUCUCUUUAUUGAUAAAACAGUCGAGAGUUUUUCUAAUAGAGAAAUUGGCUGUCGAGAGUGAUUUGUAUUGGAUAGUUUUUUUGAUAGUUUUUAUUAAAUAGAUAUAAAGUCCUCAUUUUUGUUGAUAAAGAAACAAUAUAAUUAAGAGAAUGUCAUGUGAAGCAUUUAGGUAGGUAGAAACUGUGUAUUAUACCUGAUCCUGUCAGCUGAUUGCCUGACAGAUACAAAGAUUUUAGGGAUGAAAACCCAGUUAGAGAUGGAAAAAUGCUAUCGUUGCAUUGAAUCUCACUUAGAUGAAGGUUCUCCAGCUUUUUCAACCUUGAUGACAAGUCUUUGAGACCUGCAUGAUGUUCCUCAAUAGCAUAUUGGAAGGAAAUAAACGCAUAGAAAAAAAAUGAUAUGAGAAGGAGAAAAGAAAAGGUUUCAAAGCUAAAUAAUUAAAAGGUUACCAUAGAAGCUACCUCCUAAUCCAGCUGUCAACCCAUCGGUAAUUAAAACAAGAAUAAUAAUCGUUAAAUAUCAUUCUAAUAAUAAUCCAUGGCAAGUUCAAAUCCGUUGGUAACUGAAUUCCUCUAUCUAUUUAGUUAGUAAGAUGCUUAGUUGUCACUAAUUUAGUAAUUAUAAUUUGUUCCUCUGUUUUCUAGCAACUACUUUCCCAAUUUUAUCCAUUCACCACGACCGUAAGGCAAUAUCCUCCACCACAGAAUAAUAUUUUGAUUAAAAAAAGGUACAAAACCCAUUAUUAAAAAGAGAGGAAAUAAUAAAUGGCUACAAACCGAAAACCGGUCCAAUAUGUGGGUUUUAUUUAAAAAGAUAAAUAUAAAAUAUAUAUUUAUAGGAGAGUUUUGAAGUGAACUUCUGAUUACUAAUUUAAUCUAAAUAUUACAACACUUUUGGCAUAAAAGGGCUAAAAUAAGAAUAAAAUAUAUGCCUCUUGGACCUAAUUCCAAGUGCCUCUUUUCUUGAUAUAAAGUCCUCAUUUUUGUUGAUAAAGAAACAAUAUAAUUAAGAGAAUGUCAUGUUAAGCAUUUAGGUAGAAACUGUGUAUUAUACCUGAUCCUGUCAGCUGAUUGCCUGACAGAUACAAAGACUUGAGGGAUGAAAAUCCAGUUAGAGAUGGAAAAAUGCUAUCGUUGUAUUGAUUCUCUCUUAGAAGAAGGUUCUCCAGCUUUUUCAACCUUGAUGACAAGACUUUGAGACCUGCAUGAUGUUCCUCAAUAGCAUAGAAAUGAUAUGAGAAGGAGAAAAGAAAAGGUUUCGAAGCUAAAUAAUUAAAAGGUUACCACAGAAGCUACCUCCUGAUCCAGCUGUCAACCCAUUGAAUGAUAGAUCCAAAGACUUGAGAGUGGAAAGGUUACCAUUGAAACAUGACAAAAUGCUUUUAUCAUUAGUAAAUUUGUUAACACGUAGGUCAAGAUUGCUCAGUUUUGAUGAUAGGACUUCGAAGCCUGGGAAGAGAAUCAUCAAAGCAAGAUAAUUGACAUUAAACACCAACCAACCAACCUUCAUUUAUUUUAUGAUUAUAAUUAAGUGCAGAAACAUUGAACUAACCUUCAUUCUCCAUGCAACCAACCAAUCCAGUACCUCCCAAAUCAAGACCUCGCAAUUCUUUGAAAGGCUGAAACAAAGAUGCGUUGAGAACCCAAUCGCCCAAGUGGAAAUCCCUUGCCCCCCAAAGAGAGAGUUGGAUCACUCGCCUUGUAGUGUUAUCACACUCGAUCCCACGCCACUCACAACAAUUACUAUUGGUGUCCACCCAAUGAUCUCUCCAGGAAACGCCAUGUGGGUUGAUCAAAGAUUGGAUCUCCAAGAGACCAAUCCUCUCCUCCUCCAAACACCCAUAACAACGACCAUGCCAUUCGCCAACCAAAGUGAAUAAUGCUAGCAACAUCCAAGCCCCAAUUCUUUUCAUCAUCAUCUUAGAUAAUUCUAUGAACUGCUACGUAGAAUAUUGUUGUUUGUUAUGUGCCUUUGGGCAACCAUAGAGGUCCUAUUUAUACUACACUCUGGCCAUUUCCAUGACUUUGAGAUGUUUUCUUUAUUUCAUUUCUUUUUGGAAUAUUUUUGGAUUUGAAUAUUAUUCUAUUUUAUUGUCUAGCACUUAGUCUAUUUGCCAGGUUGGGAAAAAUAUUCAAAUUAGUUUUGUUGGCAUGUAAACCUCACCAAAUAAUUUGCGUAGACCGUAUUGACUGGGAGUCAAUUAUUGUCGUAGUGCUUUUAUGCACGAUCUGUGUGCGUGAACGGAAAGAAAAGCAGGGUGUGAAAAGCAUUAAAGGUUGUGAACGCGGAUGCUUGACUUGCUGUGUACCAUUUUGAUUUUUAAACACGGCCAUGCAGUCAUUUCCUGGCGAUUUCCUUAUGCAUACUGGUGGUCUUUCAUAAUCUUUUUCCAAACAAUCCUCGUUAGGCCGGCUCGGGGGUUAACUUAGAGUAAGGCAUCGUUUGACAUUGCGUUUGUAACUGCGUUUUAUUAAAUUUUGAAUUUUUUAUUUUUGCUAAAAUUAAGUGUAGCUUGUACUUUUUGGAUCUUUUUGAUGUGCUGAUGUUAAAAAUAAUUUUUAAAAAAUAAAAAAAUAUCAUUAGCAUGUAUUUCGGCACGAAAAGCUAUUUGAAAAGUACCCGCAACCACACUGCCAAACACGCUCUAAGAUUUGUAUCAUCGUUUUUUAUCAGAUUCAAGAUCAACUUGGAUCAAUCUUAAUUUUAUGCUAUUGUUUUUUAUAUAUAAACAUAAAUAAAAAUCCAGAUCUCUUUUAUAAUCUUAAAGGUAGUAUAUUAAUAGUAGAACCAUUAUCUAUCCAGAUACAAUUCAUCAUCUUUUCAUCGACAUAUCUUUUAAUUAAGAAAAGCUGUUUAUAGAGUUUUAAUCUAAGCAAUAGGUUUUCAUCGUUAAAGGAUACCUAUGUGGUGCUAAGUUCUUCUAAAGUUGGAGAACUUAUGAAAAUUAAUGCAAGGCUUCAACACUCCGAAGCCUGCAAGAGAAAUAUCAAAGCAAAAUAAGUAGCGUUAAACAGCAGCCAUUUCUUCAUUUUUAAUUUUAGUAUAACACAAUAAUAUGAACCAACCUUGAUUCUCAAAGGCACCCAACUAAUUCAUUAGCCUUCAAAUCAAGACUUUGCAAUUCCUUAAAAGGCAGAAACAAAGAUGCGUUGAGAACCCAAUCGCCCAAGCGGAAAUCCCCAGUACCCCUAAGAGAGAGCCGGAUCACUCGUCUUUCGGUGGUAUCACACACGAUCCUAGACCACACACAACAAUUACUGCCCAGGUAUUUCGACAGUUAUGGCUUGUGUGGGUUUUGGUUCACGAUGGAGAUGAUGGAUACAAUGAUGUAUUUCGACAACAAAAUUUUCAGUUCUUGUGAAUGGCUCUCCAACUAAAGAGUUCUUUAUGGAAAAGCGAUUGCGACAAGGGGACUCUUUAUCAACAUCUCUAUUCAACAUAGCAACUGAGGGUCUUGGUAGAAUGCUAAAAUUAAAAGGAGAUGUGAUUUGGGACUUAUAAAAGGUAUUUGUUUUGAUCACUUUCAAGUUUGUAGAUGAUACACUCAUCUUCAGUUCAUAUGAUUAUCCAUCUCUUCAAAAGAUCAAAAGAACUAUGUGAUGUUUUGAGUUGAUUCCUAGGCUGAAGGUUAAUUUCCACAAGAGCUCAAUCACUAGAACUAGAACUAGAAUUGAUGAUGUUGUUAUUUCUUCAACUGCUAGCAAUCUAAUAUGUAGGAUGGAGGGGAUGCCAUUUAAGUAUUUGGGUCUGCCUAUUUAUGCAUCUUCAUCUCAUACAUCCGUUUGGAAAACUAUUGCUUGAUUAACUCAAUUAUAAAUAACCUUUCUUUAUUUCCUAUCCCAUCCACUGUUGCUACCAAAAUUGAGAAACAUAUCAUAUCUUUCUUUGGUUCUCAGGAGGAAGGAGGGAAAAAACUAUGCAAUGUUAAAUGGGCAUCAGUGGUUCCUCCAAAAAAACAAAAAAGGUGGGUAUAGACUGCAUUAUUGAUAAAAAUAAAGCCUUGUUUUUCAAAUGGCUAUGGAGGUUUGGGAGGUCUAAUACAAGACUAUGAAAAGAUGUUAUCUACAACAUCCACAACCAAAAAGCGUAUUUGAACAUGCCUUUAGUUUGUGUUAAUUUAAAGGGUAGUACAUGGUCCAGGAAUGUCGUUACUUUUUAUAAGAACGAGGGACUUCAAAAUAUUGCCAAGAAAGAAGUUUGUGGUUUGGUUGGCAAUGGUAGAGAUAUUAACUUAUGGAAUGAUGUCUGGCUGAUAGAUUCUUGUCUUGCAGUUCAAUUUCCUAGACUUUAUAGUCCACCUGAAGAUCAUGUCUCCCCUGUAGCUACUGCAGCAGUAAAAGCUUCUAUCCAACCAGCCAGUGUGAGGCCUUCCCCUGUUGCUAGCAAUGUAGCUUCUUCAAGUAGCUAAAGUUCUGCUUCAAUAAAUGCCACGACAUCAGCAAUAACUGGUGCUACAACAAUGAGCUUCAACUACCCAAACUUCCCUGGCAAAAUUGCAGAAUGGUGCGUACGAGAUUCUAAUCCCUGAACAUGUUGGGGGCCACGAUAGCCUACAGAGGAACCCAUCCUCAGGCUAUGCCUUUCUUCAAUGGAUCAAUUCUAUUCUUCUUGAAUGUUUCAUCCUUCAUAGCUUCAGCGACAGCAACAACCAUUCAUACAGACACAACAAAGCCAACAGGGUCAUCAAAAUCCAAGUAUUUCUAGUGGCUCCUCGUCAUCCCAGAAGCAUUUGCUGAAUUAGGUGGAAUCAGCAGCGGUCAUCAAGAUCCAACCAUUUACAGAAUCAUCAGCAGAAUCAUUCCCUGCCGAACUAGCAGCGGCAGCUGAUGCAAAAUCAGAAUGUUACUCACAAACACCUCCUCCUUUUGCAAUGUCAUUUGCUCCAUCAACGGAACCACAACUUCCCCAGGUCUUGAUGUUUCAUUGCUGGUACAGAAUCAUGCUCUUCUCCAAAGCCCUCCAGAGGCAGCAAGUCAUGGCUAUCACUUCAUCACUGCGGCCCAAGCAACACAGCAGACGAAUUACCGUGUGCCUGAAGAAGGGAAAAAUGGAGGAAAUGACACUUCAAAUAUGGAAGGAGAGAGAAAGGCCGAUAUGGUUGGAGGACAGACCCCAUUAACUGGUGGGCAGUCAAUUGUGUUCUCUCGGCUAGAUUUUGUGUUCUCUCGGCUAGAUUUAACAGACUCCUCUGUUUCAACAAUGCCUGUGAACAAUGUUGUUGAUAGCUCAGCCCGAACUCUUAACCUUGGGUCCACUCUUGCUCGGACCUCAAGCCCUGUUAUGUCAGCUACUAUUGGCAGUGUAAAUGCACCAAGUAUACAACAACAGAUGCAGUGGAAUCAGCAGCAGCAGCAACGAAGUCAGCAAAUCCUUCAACUUCAGAAGCGUCAACAAUUUGCAGCUGCAGCUUCCACUCGAAGUGAAACACCAACAACUAGUAAUGGAAGUGUUUAUUCGGACCACAUCUCAUCAUCAUCAUCUAUGGGCACCAAGUUACCUAAUGCACUUUUGCAUUUCCUCAAAAUCUUGUUCAAAGCGGCAGUAGCAGCAGCAGUUAACAAAGCAUGCACUGCAACAGGCUCAACUAAUCUACGCUAAUGCUUUUAUGCAAGCUCAAGCUCAAGCUCAAGCUCAACAUGUGGCAAAUUCAACAAGCUUUGCAUCAACAGCUAGUGGGUUUCAUCUGCAAAGACAUCGCAAUGAGCAGCAACCGCAAUGCAUCGGCAACCUCUUCUACAAGGAUGUUGUUGUUAUGUCAUCCGAUCAUGUAAAUUUUUGUGACUCCCAACCUCCUAGCAACCACGAGAGGAUGUUUCCAGUUUUUUUUUUCAACAGCUAAUGCUUAGAUAACAAAAAUAGAGGAAUAACUGAUAGAGCUCCAGCAUUCGAGCAGAGUUUAAUAAAAAAAUAUAAAGUAAGGUUAGAUGCGUGAGCCUUGUUUUGUAAAUUUUUAUUUGAAUUUUAAUAAUUGUUUUUAAUUGUUAUGUAUAUGAAUAAAAAUUUGUUCAUGAAAUUUCAAUUUAAAUCACUUUUUUAAUCUUAGAAUUUUAAAAUAUAUUUUGAGCAUGAUUUUAUUAUAUUUAUGAUUUAUUUUAACUUUCAAUCACACAUAAAAAUAUAAACAUACUAUUUUGAUUUUUUUUUAAUUUGUUCUGACAAUUAUAGAAUAUUCUUUUAAUAUAAAAAAUGAUUCUAGUUAAGAAAAAAACUUGUAUAUUCACCAAGAUAAAACAAGAAAUAUGCUAAUAAAAUUUUUUAUCUUGAUAGAGAAAAAUUCAAAACGACUGUAUUUUCAAGUUUAAUAACAAUGUCAAGGAGUCCCUUAGACUGGGAUAUUUUGUUUUACAUUUAAAGUUUUUUUGAUCUCCAUAGCAUAGCACUAGCAUACAAACUUGUAUAUUUUUAAGGCAGCGUUUAGUUACUAUCCGAGACAGUAGAGACAGAGACAAUGGAGACAGAGGAGACAAUACAUAAAAGAAGAUGGAGAUAGAAUUGUGUUCACUAAUAAUAUAUAAGACAAAGUGAUUGUUUUUGUAUCAUAUUUGAUUAUGAUAGACAAGAAAGAAUAAAAUAUAAAAAAAAUAUUUUACCUUUAAUAUGUAUUGUUGUCAAACUUACAUGUUUUAAAAAAUAAUUAGUUUUAUUUUUUUACUUUAGUUUUAUAUUGAGUAUUGAAAUUAUUAAUAUUAUAAUAACCCUAGUAUUAAAACCAGGAUUAACUUGACAGGUUGACCCGAGGCCUAUACUGGUCUAAGUUUCAGAAAAAUAGAAGAAUGAUUAACUCGACCUAACCUAGUAAAAAACAUGAGUCAACUUAAGAUAAAACACGGGUCAAAACCCAUUAAAUAUUUUGAAAAAGAAAAUUGUUCAAAACAAGGUUUCUUUGACUAUUUGUUUUUAAAAAAAAUUAGGUCGAUCGGGUUAACCUUCUCUUGGAUUAACUCCUGAGUUGAGUUUUAAAACUAUGAUAAUAAUCAUUUUUAUCCAUACAUUAACUCAGGUCAAUCUGUGUUGACCCUCUCGACCCAUGACCUAGGCCUUGCUUCUGUCGACUCCCGAGUCGGAUUUUAAAAUUAUAAUAAUAAUAAUUUUUAUCCUUACAUUAAUUUGGGUCAACUCUCUUAAUUCGUAACCCAAGCAUUGCCCCAAGUUGACUAUCGAAUUAAAUUUUAAAACUAUGAUAAUAACCAUCUUUAUUUUAUGUUGACUCGGGUCAAUCUAGAUUAACUCAUCUAACACAUGACCCAAGUUUUAUCCCGAGUCGAUCCCUGAUUUGGGUUUUAAAACUAUGAUACUAAUUAUUUUUAUCAUUACAUUAACCUAAGUCAAUGAUCAACCCCACUCGUUACCCAAGAAUUGCCCAGGUCGACCCCCAAAUCGAGUUUUAAAAUAUGAUAAUAACUAUUUUUAUUCUUCUACUGACACAGGUCAACUCGACUCAUGACUCAAGCCUCAACCAGUGACCCAGAAUUUGCCCCGGAUCGACCCCCAAGUUGAAUUUUAAAACCAUGAAAAUAAUCAUUUUUACAUUUAUAUGUCUUAGUUGGACAAUUUGAAAUUGAGAGUUUUUUUAUAAAAAUAUUUUAGGAAUAAAAAAUAAUAAAUAUUAUCUCUAGAGACAUGUCUCCUCUAUACCUUACGUUUUGGAAGCACAAAAAUUCACUCCAAAAUUAUUCUAGAAACAAAUUUAUUUUUAUGUAUUUGUCUUUGUCUCUUCAACCAAAUAUAUUUAUAUCUUUAUUGUUUUUAUCCUUUCUAUUAUAGGACAAUGACCAAACAUUACCUAAAGGAUAUACAACUGACAAGGAUGAACUUGGCUUUAUUUCAUCUUUGAUAAUUUCUUCUCGAUGAUAUCUCACCGAUUUGUGGAGGCAAUUGAUCAAAACCUAGUUGAUUCAAAGGUUGACUUUGAAAAAAUAUAUUCAUAGAGUAAUGUUUGAAUCUUGGUGUUUUUUAUUGGCUCAAAAAAAUUACCAACUCACCAAAACCUGUAUGAAACAUUUAGAUUUAAUAUUAUAUGUAUAAUUUAUUAUAAUAAUUGAUAUACUAUUCAACUCAGUAACUUAGUAGGAUGACCUAUAACCUGCUGAUCUAAGAUUUUAGCCGAAUCAAGCUUUAAGCUAGAUAUAAUGACUAUGAUUUUAUAAAAUUACUAUGAACUUCCCUUUUAUGUCUUCUUAUUUACUCAUUUGAUAUUUUUUUUUAUGAAGUUAAGAUGUUCACAUUUAUAUCAUGAUUAAACUCUAGGGUAACAUUUAGUUAUUAUCUUGGGAUAAAAAGAAUAAAGAUAGUAAAGACAAAAAUAUGUUUGGUUGAAAAGAUAUAGAUAUAAAAAUAAUUUUUUUCAUGGGAUAAUUUUAGAGUGAAUUUAUAUAUUUUCAUAACAGAAAAUACAAAUAAGACAUAUCUUCAUAAACAAUAUUAUUUUUUAUUCCUAAAAUAUCAUUGUAAAAAACUUUCAAUUCCAAAAUUGUCCAAUUAAGAUAUGUAAAAAUAAAAAUAGUUAUUAUCGUAGUCUUAAAACCCAACUUGGGGGUUGACUUGUAGAAAGAUAUGUGAUCUUUGUUGACCCAAGUCAAGGUAAAAAUAAAAAUAGCUAUUAUCAUAGUUGUAAAAUCUAACUUGAGGGUCGACCUGGGACAAGGCACGGGUCAUUGUUUGGGUUGACCAUUGACCCAAGUCAACAAAAAAAUAAAAGUGGUUAUUAUUGUAAUUUUAAAACUUAACUUGGAGGUCGACUCAAGGCAAGGCCCGGGUCAUGGGUCAGGAGGGUUAACUCUGGUGGAACCGGGUUAAUGUAAGGAUAAAAGUGGUUAUUACAAUAGUUUUAAAACUCGACUUAGAGAUCGACCUGAGGUAAGCUCAGGUCUUGGGCUAGGAGGGUUAAUGCAUGGAUAAAAAUAAUUAUUAUCAUAAUUUGAAAACUUGAUUCAAGAGUCGACCCGAGACAAAGCCUAGGUUAUGGGUUGGGAGGGUCAACCCGAGUUGACCCAAUUUUUUUUUAAAAAAAAAGAAUCAACACAACCUUGUUUUGACCAAUUUUUUUUAAAAAUAACAGGUUUUGCCCCGUGUUUUAUCCCGAGUCGACCCGUGUUUUAUCCCGAAUCAACUCGGUUUUUUAACUCACCUAUCUUUUCUUAAACUUAAAAUUAAUCCGGGCUUAGAGACAACUAGAUCCCGAAUAGAUUCACUAGGUCAGUCUAGGUUAUAUAACUAGGAUUAUUAUAAUAUUAUUAAUUUCAACACUUAAUAUAAACUAAAGUAAAAAAAAGUUCUAAUUAUUUGUAUAAAUAUGUAAGUUUACCAAUAAUACAUAUUAAAGGUAAAAUAAUUUUUUUAUAUAUUUUUUUUAUCAUUAUCAAAUAAGAUAUAGAGACAGUUACCGCCAAACAUAAUUUUAUUUUCAUCUCCUUUUCUAUCUUUUUUUUCUUUAUUUUCAUGGUCUUCUUUUUUAUUCAUAACAGUAACCAAAUAUUGGCUAGUUAUAACAUAUAGAAACAUACAAGUUGUCAUGUUCAAGCCGUUCUCUUAUCAUUUUAAAUAAAUUGAAACACAAUUGCGAGGAGAAGAGUGUGUUUUGUAUUGUGUUAGCUUUUGUGGUUGUGGUUUGAAAAUUGUUGUUUUAUAAAAAAUACUUUUAGUUGAGGUUGGUUUGAUAUUUAUAUAUGUUUAGUUAAAAUUGUGGUUGAAAUUGAGGUUGAACAAAAAGUAAUUUAAUGUGUUUGGUUAAGAAUGCUUUUCAAAUCGAGGUUAUAAAAUAAUUAAAAAAGAUAUAUAUUAAUAUUGAUAGUUUUUAAUUUAAAUAUUGUAGAUUUAACUACUGCUAUUACAUCAUGAAAUAAAUAAUACUUUAUAUAAAAUAUUUUUUUAUUGUUCCAUUAAACUAUCUACAAUUCCAUCACAUACGAAAUUCAUUCGACAAGGACUACAGUUUUCUUGGUUUCUUAAGCGCACAACAAUAUCAAGUAAAAUAUAAUCAGGAACAAAAUUAGGAUUGCGAUCAAAUUCUGCAAAUGCUAUGUCAUCAAGCAAUCUCCUUAUAAUUUAUGUAGUGUUAUUGAAUAAUGCUAAACACUAGUUUUUCAAAUAAAACAUAAUUAAAAAUAAAAAAAAAUUGAUUUUUUUUUAUUUUACUGGGUCAGACCCGGUUCAAUGCAUUUAGCUUUGAAUCGGACCCAGUCCGGCCAGAAUAGUAGAGACAUUCUAAGCAACUUCAAGUGAGUCUCGUAAACAGUAAAUAACGUACCAAACAAUUAUUUUUAGUAAAGCAGAAGCAACCGAAGAAGAAGAAGAAGACAUGUGAUUACGGUGCCAUGCAGCAUUUUGACAUUAUGAGUAUUUUGAUGUAUAUCCAUUAAUUUAUAAUAUACAAGUAUAUUUCCAUGUUUCUUUUAUUUUGAUAGAACAUUUUUCCAAUAGAAUUUGUUUUUAUUGGAAUUCCAUAUUGAAUGGAUGUCAAUUGAAACUAAAAAUGUGUUAGAUAAGAGCAUACUAAUAUAAAUACCAAAUAAUGUUUAAUUAGAUUGAAUUGAACUAGACACCAUAUGUUUUUAUUCUAUGUUUGGUGCACUAAAGAUAAGAUCAAAUAAUUUUGUUUUUAUCAUUGAGAUAUUUUCAAUCAUUUAUUUUAGUCUUUGCAUUUUAUUUUUAUGAUAUUUUAGUCCUUACUAGAAUUUCUUUGUCAUCUAGAACAAUCUAGUUCUUAAAUCAAAAAGUUUUUGCAAUUAAACUCUUACAUGUACAUAUUUAUUUUAAUAAAAUUGGUCAAAUUUUGGUUUUCCAAAUUAAAAAAUAAAUAAGUGAUAAAUAAAUAAUAGAUAAUAUAAAAAUUAAGAAAAAAUAAUUUUUGUACAAAUUUUUUGUCCAAUCCUUGUCAUGUCCAAAGUGUAUAUCAAACAUUUUAUAGCUUGCCAUGUGCAACAAAUAUAUCACAACUUGUUUUUAUUGUAUUCUAUUAUGAUCUGUUUUGUGCCUUAUAUUAUUUAAUAUAUUAAAAUAAAUUUAAUAAAUUAUACUGAAGCAAGAUCUAAUAUUAGAAAGUUAACGGAAAUAAAUGUACCUUUGCCCGUCCCUUCAACAAAAUGCUGAGCUGUAUACUAAUUCUCAGAGGCAGUGAUAACUAGUUGUUCUAACUAAUCCCUAUACUUUUAAAUAUGUUUACAAUUCAGUCCCUUCAUUAAUUUUUCGUUAGUAAAAUGUUGAGCUGUCAGCAAUAUUUCCUUAGUUUGUGCCGCUAACUUAACGGUAAAAUGUGAUUCAAGGAUCAAUUAAUUAUUUAAAUGAACUUGAGGGAUUAAUCUGUUUGUUUAACAAAAAUACAGACACUAGUUAAAUAGAAUUUAACUCCAAUUUUAAUCAUCAUAUGCGUGCGUGCGAGCGAGCGAGCGAGUGUUUACUCGUUAAUGUUUUUUUAGAAGGAAUCUGGAAAAGAAUAAAGUCAUCCAUUUCACUUUGGUCCAGCAUUCCUCACCUCUCCCCGCCAGAGCUCUCCCUCCCUCCCUCCCUCCCUCCCUCCUCCGCCUCUCGGAAACCGCCGCCGCCAAGAAGGCUUCAGAUUUCUGCCAGGUGCUUCUAUUUCUAUCAUGUUUUUGUUUUUAAAAUUUAUGGGUGUUUUCAUUUAUUCUAUUGGAAUUAUUAUUCAGAGACAGAAAUUCUAUUUUAAUGAGAAAAUUAAAAAAAAUAAUCGAUCCGAUGAAAUCUCUGCUAGUGAACGCAAUUCGAUUUUAAUAAGUAAAUUAAAAAAAUAUAUAAUCGGAUCCGUUGAAAUCGCUGCUCGUGAACGCAAUUCAAAGAAACGCACAAUCAGCCGAUUCUAAUAUUUUCUUUUUCAAUUUUUCCCCUUAAUUUACAUGAUAUUAUCCGAUUUUUCUCACAGUUAUUGUUGUAAUAAUCAAGCCCUGAAUUCUUGAACCCAAAUUUAUUUUAUUUUAUUUUAUUUUAUUUUUUAGUGGAGAAUAGAAAUCAAUUCAAAUCUUUUAGGCUCGAUCGAUAAUUUGUUAAUUAGUUUAUGCAGCAGCUGGAGUGGAAGAGAUUUUUCUGCCGGAAUGGCCGAAAAAUGAGCUGUUUGGUUGAUUCUUCUUUUUUGGAAUUUACUGAAUUCUUCAAAAUUAUUGUGUUCUUAACAACAAUACGAUAUCCUUGGGUUUUAUGCUCGCUCACACAUGGAAAAAAGAAAGAAAGAAAAGGACUUUACAUUUUAUAAUUUGGUCAUGUUAACGCAAAAAAAAUAAAAAUAAUAGUUUAUGAUGACUCAUUGUUUGGUUGAUAACCCUACAUGAUAUAUCUUUCUUUUUAGGACUUCCUAGCUGGUCUUGAGUAUGAGGUGAAAGCUUGAGGAGGGCAGUUGGUCCUAACCAAGGACUGUAUUGUGAUUGAUUGAGUUGAAAGUUAAGAGCAUGUGGAAGUGUAAAACAAAUGACUUUGUUCACUUCACCCCAAAGGCGCACCUGUGCAUCUAGUUAGGAAGAACAUUUUAUAACUUACCUCAAGGUCGAGCAUGGUCAGGGUUAUUGUGUUGUCUAUUCCGAGAAAGAUGUGCCUGCAAAUUUAAUCUUAUUUCAACAAGAGUUGUUAAGUUAAUUCUUAUCAGUCCUCUUUAGAGUUGAUGAUGACAUGAAAUAUUCAUGGUUAAUGCUUGUCGUUUUCUUCUUCAUUUUCCUAGCUUAAAACAUCCUAGAAAUCUAUCUAUUGAAGUAAAGCAUUUAAAUGCGUAUACAAUGUUUUUGGAACUUUAAAUAUCUAUUUGAUCAGAAUCUGUGAACCUAAAACCACAAUGAAUACAAAUGCAAGUUUGUCAUUGUAAACAUUGCAUCAAUGAUGUAUCACGAGUGUUGCUAGAAAACAUCAAGUUAAAAUUGAAGCACCAUGAGUUUCUCCAUGGCUUGGUUUACCAACACUCACCAUCUGAUGGUGUGGCAAGUUAUGAACUAGCUGGCUAGUUUUUUGCUUCCUUGGUUUUAGAAGGACCAUGAAGAUUCAGGCCCAAAUCUUGCUUAUAAUACCUAAAUACCCAAGAUCCUAGCACCUUGCCCUGAAUGGUCGUGUAUAUUUGUUAUGGCUGUUCAGAUUUUAUGCAUCCAUAUUUGGUAGAAUUCUUUAAUAAAGUACAUGCUAUUGGAUGGAAGUUCUUUUUAAAUCUAUUCAAGUCUGAAUAAACUGACAUUCCAAUUUUCAUGACUUUGAUAUGCUCUUACUCUUCUGUUGUUCCUGACUUUCUUUUUAGGGUCUAUUCUAACAUGCAAUAUAAUUAUUAUUUUUUUUUUUGGUGAUUGAAGUGAUUUUUUUGGUUGGCCAAAACCCCAUGGAUGCCAAUAAUUGGAGGCCCACUGCCCCAGGCGGAGAACCUGUUAUGGACACAGGUGAUUGGAGAACUCAAUUGCAGCCUGACUCACGGCAAAGAAUAGUCAACAAAAUGUAAGUCUCUGUUUCCUAAUAUGUGCAAGUGCUGCAAAAUAGUAAAUCUUGUAUUUAAAUGAAAGAAAAAGAGAAGGGAAAAAGGUUAAUUAAAAUCAGCAGGACUGCCAUGAGGCAACCUCAAGUAUCAUACACCUCUGUUUUUGUCUUUUUCAUUUUUCACGUGUUUCUCACAAGAAGUGAACUUGAGGGAAUAAAAAGUGCUGGGAAGUAAUUUUUGUUGGAACUUCUUGUGUAACAUCUUUCGAUGAUGACCUCUAGGAUGGCUGCAUGAAGCUUCUUCCGCUUUAAAUUUCAAGGUUAAUCUAUUGCUAUGAGCAUUGGUGUUUCAAUUUCAACCUUGAGUUGCAACUGAACUUAAAUGAACAGUGUUGGAUUUGAGCCUUCCAUUUGCUUUAACUUCUACAGGGUUGAAAUGAUAGUUAUCUUAAAGUACAAAAGCAGCAGACAAAAAUCAAUUAGUCACAAUAGUGCAUGGUUUCCUAGUUUCUCAGUAUAAAGUGGAAUGUUUUGGUGAUAUCUCUACAUCCAAAUUCAUAUAGACAGCUACUGUUGGCAUUUGCAGUAGCCAAUGAGCACUGUAGAGUAUAUAUUGCAGCGUGAGAUAAGGUUAACUCAUUGCAUUUUCAUAAAUUAAAAGGAUUUCUCUUCUUUUCUUUGUUAAUUGCAGUGCAUGUAUAAAGGUUUUCUUAUUUAGAGUAAAUGCUGUUGUAAUGUUUUCACAGAGUUCCCUUGGUUUGCAGCUAAUUCAUUUAUAUAUCUUGGAGCAUAGCCAUAGCCAUAAAUGGAAGGUUCUUCCAGUUCAAGAAAAUUAACCAUGAAGCUCAUAGCUAGAAUUUUAAACAUAAGGGUGGCCAAGUGAACUCCUAUACCCUGUACCUGUGGAAUAAUACGGGGAAAGGAAGUAAAAAUAGAUGUGUAUUUUGAUGCCAUAUAUUACUUGACCGACACUUGGCUAUAUCAUUAUUUGUUUUUACUUUUUCCUAAUGAUUCCGUUGUAUACAUUUCUGAUAUUGGUGUGGUGUAUGAGUUCACGGUUCUUUCUCACUGCUGCUAACUUCUCUAUACCUGCCUUGUCAUUAAAAAUUAAAUGUAAUGUUUUACAUGUGCAGAAUGGAGACAUUAAAGAGGCAUCUUCCGUUUUCUGGUCAAGAGGGAUUACAAGAACUCAAGAAAAUUGCCGUACGGUUUGAGGAAAAGAUUUAUACUGCCGCCACCAAUCAGGUAUUCGGCUAAUGCUAGGUUCAAUGAUUUCGAUAUUCUCUAGACAUGAAUAUACACAUGCAUAAGUUUGUGGAUUAAUGCAUGUACACGUGUGUGUAGUGUGUCCACACUUCCUUACUGGUCAUUCUGUAGAAGUUCUCAUCUUUUCGUUAUUUCUCUUGACAAGUGUUUUAUUUAGAGUGACCAAGGUCCUUUUCAAGUACAAGGGAAGUGUGCAAAAUGCAAAUAACGAAUCAAUACAUAAAUAAUUAAAUAAAAAGAAAGGACACAGAAGUAUAUCCUCACAGAAGAUGCAAAUACAGAAAGCCUAGCAUAUUAGAAAGAGCAUAUAUCCCUUUUCCCCCUUCUCUUGUAACAUGGACUGCGCAGAGAUCUAAUGUUUUGUUAUUGAUAUCUGAUUUCAGUCUGAUUAUCUGCGUAAAAUAUCUCUGAAGAUGCUUACAAUGGAGACCAAGUCUCAAAAUACCAUACCCACUGGCAAUGGUAACAAAACCCUGGAUCCAGGAGGUAAUAAUGCAGCCAAGCAUUGGAUUUCUAAACAUCCUUACCUUUUGUUUUGUAUUUUGCGUUGUUAUCAAACUCUUUUACAUUUUAUUGCUGCAUUUUGCUAUGUAUAUACCAUGCUUUAAUAAAAGAGUCGAGUAAUUGAUGAAUGUUCAAAAAAAAAUUACAGAUUAUUUUUGUUUUCUGCUCCCCACCCCCCCACAACAAAAAAAAAAAAAAAAGUCAAAUGACACUUAUGCUUUGAGGUAAAACCAUCUUAAUUAUUUCCCUCAUAACUUUACGUGUGAACUGUCAUUGUUUCAUUUGUUUUUCUUGUUCAAUGCCUUCUUUUUUUUUCCUUUGACAUGGUUUUCCUUUUUGCCUUUUAUCUUGAACAGCAUCUCAUAGUAUGCCGCCUCAAGUUCACAACCAAGGGCAGUCGCUCCCUAACUCAUUGUCCUCUAAUCAGUCUCAAGCACGUCAGCAGUUAUCACAGAACAUGCAGAAUAGUAUGUCAUCUAAUGGAGUUCAAAGUUCUGCUGGUUUACAAUCAGCAAUGCCUUCUGUCUCCGGUUUAACCCAGACUAUCCCAAACACUGUUGGACAGAAUGCUAACAUGCAGAGUAUCUCUGGUGUUUCACAGAACCCAGUGGGGAAUUCAAUGGGACAAGGGAUUCCCCCCAAUAUGUUUGUCAAUUCUCAGAGACAAAUGCCAGGCAGGCAACAGGUUGUUCCUCCACAGCAACAGCAGCAGUCCCAAAAUCCUCAGCAGUAUCUUUAUCAGCAGCAGAUGCAACAUCAGCUUUUAAAGCAGAAGCUUCAACAGGGAAAUCAUCCACACUCACUUGUGCAAUCUCACAUCCACCAGCAGCAGCAGCAAAAUUUGUUACAGCCAAAUCAGUUGCAAUCUUCUCAGCAAUCUGGUUUGCAAACAUCAACUGUUAUGCAGCCUUCAAUGAUGCAAACUGUCUCUGGCCUUCAACAGAACCAACCAUCUUCUGUUCAACAGUCAACACAACCAAUGCACCAGCAACAUCCACAAUCAGUCCUUAGGCAGCAGCAGCAACAACCUCAACAGUCUGCUGGUAUUCAUCAGCAGCAAACACCAAUGAUGCAGCAGCCACUAUUGCCUCCACAACAGCAGCUAAUGGGGCAACAAUCAUNNNNNNNNNNNNNNNNNNNNNNNNNNNNNNNNNNNNNNNNNNNNNNNNNNNNNNNNNNNNNNNNNNNNNNNNNNNNNNNNNNNNNNNNNNNNNNNNNNNNACAGCAGCUAAUGGAGCACAUCAAGUACACUAACAUGUCGCAAAAUCAGUUAAUUGGACAACAAAACAUUGUUGGGGACUUGCAGCAGCAGCAGCAGCAGAGAUUGCUAGGGCAGCAGAAUAACCUUCAAAAUCUGCAGCAGCAGCAGCAGUUAAUGGCUCAACAAAAUAACCUCUCAAGCAUGCAUCAGCAACAGUUGGCCCCUCAAAGUAAUGUCACUGGUUUACAGCAACAGCAGUUGCAUGGAGCUCAGCCUGGUAACUCAAGCAUGCAAUCUAAUCAGCACUCUCUACACAUGCUGCAACAGCCCAAGGUUACGCUGCAGCAGCAAGCACAACAAAGUGGAAGUGGUUUGUUGCCGAAUCAAGGGCAGCAGUCACACUCACAGCUGCCACAGCAGCAAUUGAUGGCACAGAUUCAAUCACAGCCUGGACAGCUGCAACAGCAAUCAAAUCCAUUACAACGUGAUCUGCAGCAAAGGCUUCAAGCAUCAGGCUCCUUGCUUCAACAGCCGAAUGUGAUUGAUCAGCAAAAGCAGUUAUAUCAACCUCAAAGAGCCCUUCCAGAAACGUCCUCAAGUAAGUUUUUCUCAUCCUUGCAGCUUUCUAGCCUUGCUCCAACUUUAAUUUUGCAGCUUUGUGCUUUCAUGUUAGAUUAUAACAUAUUUAUUUAAAUUUUUUGAAAAUACAAUAAUGGUUCAAGUCAGUAAUGCUCUUUUAGGUAGCUUUAUGAGCUAUGGCUGCCACUUAUUGCAUCAGAAAUGCCACUGCUAUUGGAACCAUUGCAAUCACACAUACAUUUAUUUGAAUGAUUACAUAUCGUUGAGAUGGAGUUCCUAGUACUCCAAGUCCAAAAAGGACUUGUAUUCCUAUGUAAGAAAAUACUAAUGGUGCUAUCUAGGAUAGGGAAAACCUAUUAAAGCUCCUUAUUCUUUAGGAACAAUAAAAUACUAAAUAGAAAUAAAACCAAGACCUACAAUAUUCCAUAAUUUUCAGCAAGUGUGAAAAUUACAGAAAUACCCUUGUGUGCGGAAAACAUUCAAAAAAUACAUGAAUUCUAAUCUUUUGUUGGCUGCAUCAAAAUUUUUGUAGCAUCCCUAGAUUCUACAGCAGAGACUGGACAUGCAAAUGGUGCUGAUUGGCAAGAGGAGAUCUACCAAAAGGUAAUUUCUAUGGUUUACUGUUCAUUAGAUGAAAUUCAUGUAUGUCAUAGUCUUGCAAGAUUUCAAUGGAAAAGGUCUCCUGGAAUAUGGUACAAGGGAGUUUUAUUCAGCUAUGGUUGUGAUUAGUUAGGAAGCAUUGUAAGUUCCAUGAUUGCAGCAACUAAGAAACGAUAAAUUACUGAUAAGAUGAUUAAAGGUAAAAUAUUCAGAUUUCUAGGUCAAGAGGGUUAUUUUCUUGGUAUUGACACGACAAUUUUUUCUAUUGCAAAUCUCUCCCUUUCAAUUUUUUCCCUGUAUUUCCAUACAUUUAGUGUGGUGAAUUAUUAUUUUAUUAUUUCCAACAAGUCCAAUUGACAAUACUUCUUACUGUAAUAGACCGACUUGAAAACAAGAGUGAACUGUUUCUGAAUAGUCAUCGUUAUAUUUGGUUAAGUGAACAGUUAUUUUCAGGAUUACAAUCAAAUUUGUUCUGAAACAUGUGACAAUGGAAGAAAGGAAAAUAAGUGGACCUAAUCCAUUGAAUCAUGACCAUGUCCAGUAUUGUUGAAUUUUAUAGAAAACGAGGUUGAAAUUCUGAAUCAUUUAAUGGCUGUAGUUGCAAUUCAUAACUGCAUAUUUGAUGAGGUCAAUUUUUUUGUGCCUGGGAGGGUACUAAAACGGGAAUAGGAGUGGUUGUUGAUAAUUAGGAUAUAAGGGUUGUAAAUCCAAAGUUAUAAAGCUAGGAAGUGUUUACCAAAGUCGUGACAUCCAUUGACUUGAGUUAGAACAAUAGAAAACAAUGGUGAGUAGUUUGCUGUGAGACAAAGUAACUGAACUUGACCAACCCCUGAAUCUUGUCUGAAGAGGUAACUACACAAUCCUUUGCAUCUUUGCAUGCAAUCAAUAACGAUAUUCUCUUUUGAGUUUUCGGCAUUGAUUCCACUGCUAUUUUUAUCUCAAACAAUAUAUGCUGUCGUCUGCCAUUUUAUUUAUUUAUUUAUCAGUUCUCUCAAGUUUGCUUAUGUUUCUUUCUGACUCUGGCACCUGAAAGAAUCAAGCAUAUGAUUGAUAAUGUGCUUGCUGGUUAUAUGUACUUCCUAGAUCAAAGUUAUGAAGGAAACGUAUUUGCCUGAAAUAAAUGAAAUGGACCAGAGAAUUGCUACCAAGUUACAGCAGGGAAAUUGUCUGUAAUUUUUUCCGAUUUAUUUUCCCACACAUGAUUCAUAAACCCCCACAGUUGAGCUUUUGUAUUAAUUUGUUUUCCCCAUCGGCAUUGCUUGUCACUGUAUCAUCUGCACUAAUUACCUCCCCCACCCCCAACCACCCCACAACCAUGCAUUGACACAGAAGAAUUGGAAUAGAAACAUUUUUUUCACUAAUGUUUUACUAGUUUUGCUACAAAGGGUCAAUGCAAUUUUUAAUUCUCGUGUAUGUUAACUUUGCUUUCCAGCAUGACCCUCUUCCGCAACAACCGAAGUCAGAACAGCUUGAAAAGCUGAAGUUAUUCAAGGUCAUGUUGGAGCGCUUGAUAGGAUUCUUACAGGUCCCUAAAAACAACAUCACACCUAAUUUCAAGGAGAAAUUGGGUUCCUAUGAGAAGCAGAUUCUAGGUUUUCUAAACCCAAGCAGAUACAGGAAGCCUAUUCCUAAUCUUCAGCAAGGACAACUUCCCCAACCUCAUAUUCAACCUAUGCAGCAACCCCAAUCUCAAGUUCCUCAAUUGCAGUCCCAUGAAAAUCAACUGAAUUCCCAGUUGCAAUCAAUAAAUAUGCAAGGUUCUGUACCAAAGAUGCAGCAGAACAAUAUGUCAAGCUUGCUGCAUAAUUCUCUUUCAACUUUAUCUGGGGAUUCGACGUCACAAUCAAACAUGAUGAAUCCAAUACAACCAGGCUCCAAUUUAGAUUCUGGAC
rnacentral:lncRNA from 1 species